ACAAUUUGAGUGGCUCAAUUCCAAAUUGCUUGAACAAUAUGAGUCAAAUUUACACUUUCGAUGUAUCUUAUAACAAUUUGAGUGGCCCAAUUCCAAAUUGCUUGGGCAAUAUGAGUGCUCUGAGUUGGUUGGGUUUGCAAGGAAAUAACUUCAGGGGAAUGAUGCCAAAAUUUUCAAAAACAACCCAACUGCGCUUUCUGAAAGUUAGUGAGAAUAGAUUGGAAGGGAAGUUGCCCAGAUCAUUAGCUGAAUGCACUCAGCUUGAAGUUUUGGACGUGCGAAACAGCAAGAUGAAUGAUACAUUCCCUUUUUGGUUGGAGAAAUUGCCUUACUUGACGGUUCUAAUAUUGCGGGAAAACAGAUUUUAUGGUCAAAUUAAACAUAGAUUUGUUUUCCCAACUUUGGGUGUGUUGGACAUUGCUUCAGACCAAUUUUCUGGUGAACUAUCCAUUGAUUUCCUUCAAGCCACUCGACUAAGGUCACUCAAAAUAGGUGGGAAUAAAUUAGAAGGGCAGUUGUCGAGAUCAUUAGCCAAUUGUAAAGCACUUGAGGUUCUGGACCUUGGAAAUAAUAUGGUUCAUGAUACAUUCCCAUUUUGGUUAGAGAAGCUGCCUUCCUUGAAGGUUCUCAUUUUGCGAGCAAACAGAUUCUACGGUACAAUUACAAAAUUCAACACAGAACAUGGGUUUCCAAAGCUACGCAUAUUGGACAUUGCUUCCAACAAUUUUUCUGGCGACUUGUCCAUUGAAUUUUUGCAAAGCUUGAAGGCAAUGAUGCAGUUAACAAAUGACGACAAAGCUAAGCUGGAUUACAUUGGAGAGAAUUAUUAUCAAGAUUCAGUGACAAUUUUCAACAAAGGGAUUGAGCUGUUUUACGAGAAAAUCUUAACCACUCUUACUUGUCUUGACCUUUCCAACAAUAGUUUCCAUGGGAGAAUACCAGAAGAAAUACAAAUGCUGAGGUCACUCAAAGUGCUAAACUUGUCCUAUAAUAGCUUCUCCGGUGAAAUUCCAGUAGCAGUUCAAAACCUAAAGGAUCUGGAGUCUUUGGAUCUCUCACAGAAAGAGCUAUCAGGGAAGAUUCCUCCACAGCUUACAACUCUAACUUUCCUAGAGGCACUGAACUUGUCUUACAACCCACUUGAAGGGAGCAUACCGCAAGGCAACCAAUUCAGUACAUUUUCAAAUGAUUCUUAUCGUGGGAAUCCAAAAUUAUGCGGUCAACCAUUGUCCAAGAAAUGCAAUGAAAACUGUCUUCCAGUGCCACCGCCUCCAGGGGAAGAGGAACAGUCAUGGAUAUAUGCUAUGUCAACUUGGAAAAUUGUUUUGAUAGGUUAUGGUAGUGGUUUGGUCGCUGGGCUAUGUAUCGGAUAUACAAUGUUGAAUGAGUUGGGAAACAAAUGGGUUGACAAGUUCAAAAAACAUGGGAAAAGAAACAGAAGAAGAUCUAGGUGACUGUGUCGGAAUUCAUGUAUUAAAGUCAACAGGUAAACAUUUCCUAUUGAAACUAAAGUCUUUAGAUUUUCAAAAGAUUGAUGUUACAAACUAAUUUUGGAUCAUAUACAACAUUGCAACUCCUUAAUUUAAGCAGCAGGAGUGGUGACACAGUGAUUUUGUUUGCUUAUGAGAAGUUAUAUUCUUGGUGUUUCUUAUUUUGUCACAGGGAAAUGACCUCUGUCCUUCUAAGCUUCAAGUCAUUGCAUGUAAUUGGUGGCAAUGAAUCACUUUAAGUAGAAAACCAUGCAAAGUAUGAUACGUUUUGUCUUUUUUGUUUGGGUUUUUGUGCUAUAUAUUUUAUCAAACAGAUGUUGGGCUUUAGGCUCGGGUGUAAUAGGUAGACCUAUUGGUCCGGAUUUUAGUGUAGUCUGACAUUUGUUUUGUACAAAUAAUUUAUUUAUCUUUUAAUAACAAAUAAGUAAAUAAAAUAUAAUGAAAAAUUAGAUAUAUUAAAAUAUGGUCCUUUUUCCGGAGUUAGUAAACAAUGUAAAACACUAUAAAUAUGAUAGCUUUUUCAAAUGGUUCUCCCAUUAUGAAACAUUUAAACGAAUUUACAGAAAUGAAAUAUUUAUUUACAAGAAAUAAAAAUUAGCCAUGUUAUGCAUAUGAAAAACAUGAUAAUUGCAAAUGGAAUGAGAAGCUUCAUAUUCUAAUUUUCAGACCAACAGUCUGAGAAGAAAGCACAGAUUGGCAGAAUAAGGUUGAGAAAAGGAGAAGCAUAUGGUGAAAAGGUUAAUCCCAAAACCAAUAUGCUACACUCGACGUUCUCUUACAUAUAGUUUGCAUCAUACGUGGAUGGUUCGAUCUUAUUAUCUUAGGAUUUAGUUUACCCAACUGUGAACUUCUGCCUUAAAUACAAUAAUCCUAUUCUAAAUUGGUAUUGAGAUUAGUCUAUUUAUUUUUUCAAUGAUAGUUUUAUUAUUUUAAAAAAAUACCCUUCAAUUAAACAUGUAAUAAUAUAAUAAUAAUUAAAAGAUAAUGAAAGAAAUUAUGUCUUACAGUCUAGGCCAACAAUGUGCGACACUAUCAUUACAAUGUACACAUACUUUGUAGGGAAAUUUAUCCAAUGAAACAGAGGAUUAAACUAGUUUCCCAGAUGCAGGGAAGAUUUGGUAUGCUACAAUACUAACAAAAAUACUAAUAACAAAAAAACGAAUCACCCUUGUUACUUUUUAGUGUUUUUUUUUUUAGGUAUUAUAUAUUUGUAUUUGAACUAUGUUUAUAAUGGUGACCAGACCCGUUUUUGAUAUAUUUGAGACCUAGGCAAAACAAUAAAUUGACGUCUUAUUUAAAAAAUUAUUAAAUGUAAAACAAUAAAACAAAAAAUGAUCCCUUUUUAUUUUUAUAUUUUUUCUGCCUGCAAUAAGUCGAAAGACUUGAAAAGUUACAAAAAUAAUUUCACGUUAAAAAUUGAAAAAAAAGAAAUUUUUUGUGCCCUGGACAGCCUGAUUAAAUGCUAAAGUUACAUAUUUUAUGUAAUUAAAUUGGUUAAUUUAUGAGAAUGCACCACUAAUUUUGCCAUAUUUAUUGAAUUUUGUGCAGGAAUGCAAUUUGGGGCUAAAUAGAAGAAGAAGGAAACAAUUGGGCUAGAUUGAAGAAAGAAACAAAGAAGGAGGGUCAGAGCAGAAUUUUUCCAAGAAUAAUUAGCUGAAAUUGUUGACUUAGUGGGAGAUUAUUUUGGGAUAUUUUUUGUCCUUAAUUUUCUAUGACUAGUUGGCUCCUAAUUUAGUAAAGCCACUAGUAUAAAUAGAGGCUACAUUGUUCAUUUAUUCAUCAAUAAAAAAUAUUAAGCUUUUAUCUUUCAAUUCUCUCCUUUCUCACGUAGCAUUUGUUGUUUCUUGAGUUUCCUUUCCUUCAAUUUAUUAAUUUCCAAUAGCCAACCACCCAUUUACCUUACUUUCAACUAUUCACGAAUAUAUUUAUUGUCUUCAGUUUUCUUUACUUUCAAUUCCUUAAAACUUCUAGCUUGUUACCACUCACAAUUUACAAUUUUUUUUUUUCAAAUUCCCUUUCCAUUCCCAAUAGUCAACCACCCCACUUUAAUAUAUUUUUCCAACCCCCACAAUCAAUCACGUCACCCAUCUUUUCACCCAUUUACCUUACUUAAUUUAUCAAAUACCAACAUGCCCCAAACCUUAGCCAACUAAACCCAUUUUCAGCUUUAGGUCGAAAUUAACCUUGUCAAAACCCUUGAGUUACGAACCCAAGCGAUUUAACUCCUAAAUUCUAGUACUUAUUAUUUCUCCGGAUUAAGAGUAUGAUUUUGUCAACUCACAAAGUCAGAUCAACAUUAAGUCAAAAAGACGUCAUUUGAUUUAGUGUGGUUAGAUGUACAGUUGGAAUUCCGAAAGGAACGUUUCUAAUCGGUUUUCUGUGAACACAUUGGCGUGCCAAGUGGAGAUAGCUGUUUGGUUCCGUCAAGGGAAGUAGUAACCGGAUUUAAAUGUCCCACGCAGUUGAGGGCAUUGGUUCGAGCUAGGUUCUUCUAGAACGCAAAGCUGCCGGAGUUCUAAAUCACGAACAUUUCGUGAUUGUUCGAUCGGUAAGGGUUAGUUAUUGGACGUUCCAUAACUAAUUUACACAAGGAAGAGUUAGUGUCCGAGGCGUCCUUGGUGCUAUAACUAGCUUAUUGGAGAAGAGGAGUUCAUUUAAUUUCGAGGAUCGGUUCAAAGACGAGGGAAAAUCCAUGCCUAAGGCUGAGCUUAUUUUAAUUAAUUCUCCUUCAUAUUUUAUUUAACUGUUUUUAUUAUUCUGUCUUCAACUUUUACUUUUUACGCUUUUUAUUUAUUUAUUUCAGGUUUCAGAUUUUAUCCCCCCGAAUUUUUUGGGCACGACAACUGCCCCGACAAAAAUCUGGUCAAGAGAGGAACAAUUUGCAGUAAACCCAGUCUCUGAGGGAUCGACCCUACUCCCUAUACUGCUUAAAUUGCAAGUUAGGCGUAGGUUUAUAUUGGUGGAUUCGACACCCAUCACAGCCACACUCUCAAACUACCCUAAAAUCAGGCUGAUGGUGACUAGAAAACAACCCAACAAAUUCCAAUCAAAUCUCAUGCUCCGAAAUUGGAAUUUACUAAUGGAAAAACAAAAAGACAUUGGUAAAGCAAAAUAAGUGUGAAACAUGAAGAAAUUGAUAUGAAGACUAAGAAGAGAGCAUGAAAAAUUUGAAAAUUGUAAUUUAGGAUGACUUUAAAAUAUGGGGAAGAUUCAUGGAAAUUAAAUGGGUUUGAAAUCAAUGAUUUUGCAGCUUCUCUUUGUUGAUUUGGUGGAUGUUUCCCACUACUUUUGCUUUUAAUGGUUCCCAUUAUAUACUUGGAAAUUGGAAUUACUUUUGCCACUCAUUUCUCAUGUUUGUUUGGCCAAUAAAAGAUUUUUUGCAUAAAGCAACAAUGGGGCAAUAAGCUGCAACAUUUCCACAUGCCUCUCAAACAUUUUACUCCAAUUUUAUGUUUUUAAAAAAAAAAAAUUAACAUAUUUUUAAAUUUUUAAAUUUGAUAUUUGAUCCCUAUACUUUAAAAGUUAAAAUUUUAAUUCUUUUACUUUUUCAAUUUAAAAAUCACAAUCAAACCAUUAUCGUCGUUGAUAGUUUUUGUCAAAAUUUCUCAAUUUAAUAUGUUUAUUUCUAUCAAUCAUAUGUGACGCCAUAAGAUGACACGUUAAUCAAUAUUUCAAGUUGACAAGUUUUAUAGAAAGUACUUGCGAUUUAAUUAUUGCACUGAGAUUUUUAACUUUUUAAAUAUAUGAACUAAAUCUUAAAAAUAUUUAAUAAUAUAAAAUAUUAAAAUAUUAAAAUUAAAUAAUAAUAUAAAAAUGAAAAUUUUUCUUCAAAUUUCUCAUCCAAAUACAAUCUAGAAAAGUUUUAAAGAUAAAAUUUAAAUAUGUUUGUUUCAAAAGUGGAAAAUUCUAUAUAUUGUAUCAUCAAAAUUUUCACUUAUUGUGUGCAUCAAUCCAGCUAAGACUUAACUUGUGCACAAUAGUUCAACGUUGUUUUUGUGCAUGAUUAAUUACUUGGGCAUUUGCAUGCAAUGCCAAAGACUUAAUACUUAGGGCCUAUAAUAUUUCCACACUAUCUUUUUGGUCCAAAAUUAAAGAUAUUAAAAGUUUAAAUUUAAACCAUUAUGAUAAUUUAAAAUUCGAUGUAUAAUUUUGAGAUAUAAAGUGAUUUAAUUCUUUGAUAAAUUAUAACAUAUUUACAAAUUCGAUACUCAUUAACAAAUUAAUUUUACAUUAUUCGAGUUUUUCAUUAUAAAAUUCAACUCGAAACUCGAAUUGUAAACAUUUUUAAAAAAUAUAAAACAUAAAAAAUAUUAAAAUAAAAUAAUAAUUAAAUAAUGAUAUAGAAAUGAAAAUAUUUCUCCAAAUUUCUCACCCCUAUAUGCUCUAAGGAAGUUUCAAAGCUGAAAUUUAAAUAUGUUUCUUUCAAAAGUGAAAAAUUCUGUAUAUUUUAUUAUAAAAAAUUUCACUCAUUGUGUCUAUCAAUCUAUAAUGUGACUUGACUCGUACACAAUAGUUGAACGUUGUUUUUGUGCAAUAAAAACUUAGACAUUUGCCUGCAAUGCCAAAGGCCUAAGACUUAAAAGUCCUAUAAUAUUUCUAACUAUCAUUUUUUCUGGUCCAAAAUUAAUCCUUUGAUAAAUCAUAACAUAUUUACAAGUUGGAUACUCAUUAACAAAUUGAAUUUAUAUAAGUUAAAUUUUAUUCUUUUGGUGCUAUAACAAAAUUAACUUAAAAAAUUAAAUAAUGUAGAAAUAAUUAUAUAUAACAUACAAAAUGAUAAAAUUUACCUGAGUUUGAAAUAAUUUAAAGUUCAAAUAUUUGUAACAUCGAUUUUUGUUCCUAAAAAGUUCAUACCUAAAAUAUAUAAUUUAAACUCAAAAUAUCCGUUUAAUUAUUAUCUUUGCUCAUUCUAUGCGUAAUAAUGAUUCUAAUAGGGUUUAAAGUACAUUAUUAUUGCUAUAAUUUUGUCUUUUUAAUGACUUUGAUUUAGUAAGGAGUGGGCAAGAAAACUAAAACCUUGGCAUUAACAAGAAAAAAGAGAUGAAUAAAAUAUUAAAAUCUCAUUCUUCAAAAUUAAAAUUAACAAAAAAGAAAGACGUAAGGUAAAUUUAGUGUGAAUUUAACAACUUAUUUCUAAUACUAACAAUAAAUAAUUUAUGCAUCAUCACUAACAUCUUUACAUAAUAAAUUAUUAUCCCUUGCUUUUGUAUGUUGGAAAAAAUUGACCAAAAAGACUUAACUAAAGUGGUGGAACAGUAUUUUGAUGGAGUCUUGAUUUGGCAAAAUGACUUACAAAUUGCAUGCAUUGCCAAUCACUCUUAAACAUUGUUCCAUGGAAACUACACACUUGUGUAUAAAUAAGUUGUAUGCCAAACACGAUCCUCCUUCACACCCACCCAACAUGAACACUCUUCAUUCCCUUAUUUCUUCACUCUUUCUCUUCUCAUGCUUCCCUCCUCUUCUCUUGUCUUUUUCACCUCCUCAAACUCAUCUCCCAAUGCAAUGCCUUGAUGACCAGAGAUCUCCUCUGCUGCAAUUGCAGCAUCAUCUUUACUAUGCCCCUAAUUUUACUUUCUCUUCCAAAUUUGACCUCUGGGAUGUCAACACUGAUUGUUGUUCUUGGGAAGGAGUCACUUGUGAUGCUUAUGGUCAUGUCCUUGGCAUUGAUCUUAGUUACAAAAACCUUUCAGGCACCUUCCACUCCAUAUUCGAUCUCCAUCAUCUUCAACGCCUUAAUCUUGCUGGAAACAACUUUAAUACCACUCUGUUUUCGUAUGGGUUUGAUAAACUCCAAAAUCUAACUCAUCUCAACCUUUCAAGCUCAUGUUUCCAUGGCCAAAUUCCAGUGGAGACCUCAUUCUUAAAAAGGUUAGUCUCUCUUGAUCUAUCCAAUCAAGAUUCUUGUUAUUUUAGAUAUUACAAAGUUCUCUACCCUGGCUUCUACAACUAUUACGAACCUCAACAGCCUCUUAAAUUAGAGAAUCCAAACUUCAAGACAUUAAUCAAGAAUUUGAGGUUUCUCACAGAGCUUUAUUUGGAUGGGGUGAACAUUUCAACUCAAAGUGCUAAAUGGUGUGAAACCACAUCUCUUGUACUUUCCAACCUGCGUGUGUUGAGUCUGUCAAACUGUGGUUUGAAAGGUCCAUUAUGUUCUUCACUCUCAAGACUCUCUUUUCUUUCCAAACUUAUCCUUGAUUGGAACCCAAUCUCUUAUUUACCUCCCAAUUUCUUGGAAAUUUCCUCUCGUUUGGUUUCUCUCAGUUUUAGGAACUGCAAUUUGAGUGGCCAUUUUCCAACUGAAAUUCUCUUAUUGCCAAAAAUUCAAAGCAUUGACAUUUCAUUUAAUCUCCAACUUAUGGGUCAGUUGCCAGAAUUUCCAGCAAACAAUGCAUUACUGAGUUUGUCGCUUUUUUAUACAAAUUUCAGUGGAAAACUACCCCUAUCAAUUGGUAAUCUCGAGUUAUUGACUAAUUUAGAGCUGUUUGGUUGCAAUUUUUUUGGACCCAUUCCAUCGUCAAUUGCAAAUCUUAGUCACCUGGUGAACUUGGAUCUAAGUUCAAACAAGCUUUCUGGAUCAAUACAUUCUUCUUUAUUUACUCUUCCAUCGUUGAAGACCUUGGAUCUUGGAGAAAAUCAAUUGGUUGGGAAAAUUGAUGAGUUCCCCAAUGCAUCUUCUUCUUUGAUUGAAGUACUAUAUAUAGGCAAUAAUUAUUUAACAGGACCAAUCCCGAAGUCAAUCCUCCAACUUCCAAGGCUUGAAGGGCUUUAUGUCGGAGACAAUAGCUUCAGUUCCAUGAAGCUUGAGAUGUUUGUCCAACUCAACAACUUAAGGACUCUCUGGCUAAACAAUAUAAGCUUGUUAAUUGAAAGCGACCACAGAAGUCUUACUUUUCCCCAAUUAGAGAGGCUAAGCCUAAGGUCAUGCAACCUUACUGAAUUUCCAGAAUUCAUUAAAAGGCAAGACAAGUUGGUUGACUUAGAUCUUUCUAGCAAUCAUAUCCAUGGUGUUGUGCCUAAUUGGUUGUGGAAGAGCAGUCUUUCAUCCUUAGACCUUUCUUUCAAUGUGAUUGAUUUUCCAGAAAAACUUCCUUUAAGUGAUGCAAACUUCUCUUUCCCAAUGUUGAGGGGAUUGUAUCUGGGAUCUUGUAACAUAAGUGCAUUUCCGGAGUUCUUAAAGAGUCAAGAAAAUUUAGAAGCACUCGAGGCAUCUUCUAACAAUUUGAGUGGCCCAAUUCCAAAUUGGUUAUGCAAUAUGAGUCAACUUCAAACUUUCAAUGUAUCUUAUAACAAUUUGAGUGGCUCAAUUCCAAAUUGCUUGGGCAAUAUGAGUGCUCUGAGUCGGUUGGGUUUGCAAGGAAUAACUUCAGAGGAAUGAUACCAAAAUUUUCAAAAGCAACCCAACUGCAAUUUCUGAAAGUUAGUGAGAAUAGAUUGGAAGGGAAGUUGCCCAGAUCAUUAGCAAAAUGCACUCAACUUACGGUUUUGGAUGUAGGAAGCAACAUGAUCAAUGAUACAUUUCCUUUUUGGUUGGAGAAAUUGACUUACUUGAGGGUUCUAAUAUUGCGGGAAAACAGAUUUUAUGGUCAAAUUAAACAUUUCAAACAUAAAUCUGUUUUCCCAACUUUGGAUGUAUUGGACAUUGCUUCAAACCAGUUUUCUGGUGAACUAUCCAUUGAUUUCCUUCAACCCACUCGACUAAGGUCACUCAAAAUAGGUGGGAAUAAAUUGGAAGGGAAGCUGUCGAGAUCAUUAGCCAAUUGCACAGCACUUGAGGUUCUGGACCUUGGAAAUAAUAUGGUUCAUGAUACAUUCCCAUUUUGGUUAGAGAAGCUGCCUUCCUUGAAGGUUCUCGUUUUGCGAGAAAACAGAUUCUACGGCACAAUUUCAAAAUUCGACACGGAACGUGGGUUUCCAAAGCUACGCAUAUUGGACGUUGCUUCCAACAAUUUUUCAGGUGACUUGUCGAUUGAAUUUUUGCAGAGUUUGAAGGCAAUGGCGAAUAUGACUAAUGACGAAAAGGCUAAGCUGGAUUAUAUCGGAGAGAGUUAUUAUCAAGACUCUGUGACAAUUGUUAACAGAGGGAUUGAAAUGUUCUACCAAAAAGUCUUGACAAUUCUUACUUGUCUUGACCUUUCCAACAAUAGUUUCCAUGGGAGAAUACCAGAAGAAAUACAAAUGCUGAGGUCACUCAGAGUGAUGAACUUAUCCAACAAUGGCUUCUCUAGUGAAAUCCCAUUAGCACUUCAAAAUCUAAAAGACCUCGAAUCUUUGGAUCUCUCGAGAAACAAGCUGUCAGGGAAGAUUCCUCCACAACUUACAAGUCUAACUUUCCUGGCAGCAUUGAACUUGUCAUACAACCAACUUGAAGGGAGCAUACCACAAAGCAACCAAUUCAUUACAUUUACAAAUGAUUCCUACCGUGGGAACCCAAAAUUGUGUGGGCUGCCAUUGUCAAGGAAAUGCAAUGAAGUCGGUCUUCCAGUGGCACCACCUCCACGGCGAGAUGGAGAAUCAUGGUUAUAUGCUAUGUCUACUUGGAAAAUUGCGUUGAUAGGUUAUGCUAGUGGAUUAGUCGUUGGGCUAUGUAUUGGAUAUACAGUGCUGAAUGAGUUGGGAAACAAAUGGGUUGACAAGUUCAAAAAGUGUGGGAAAAGAAAUAGAAGAUGUAGGUGACUCCAUCAGAAUUCUUGCUUCAAAAUUAGCUGGUAAGCAUUUGUCUUUCUAAUUUGAACAGAUAGUUGUUGAUAUAUAUAUAUAUAUAGGUUUUCAUAACCUCAUUUUUUGCUGUCUUUACCAAGUUCACUAUCAUAUCGUACUUGUAAUUUUAUGUUACCAUUGAGCAAUGCAGGAGGUAUACUUGAAGCAGGACAUGGAAUGCACAGUUGUGAGGUACAUGAAGAAUGUAGGCAAUUAAUGAUCCUAACAAGAUCAAUCCACUGGUUUGUAAUUUUGCUUUAUAUGCACUUUUUUCCUGUUGUAGUUUUCCAUGAGUAUAAAUAAGUGUUUAUUCAUUUUGCAUCCAGGUCCCUGUGGAUUUGGGGGAUGCAAUGUUUCACUGCUACUGAAUUUCCAUGCUAAUAAUGAUAUUAUAAACAUGGCUGCCCAAGCUUUCUUUUAUAUGCAAUUUACUUUUACUUCAAUUUUUUUUUUAUCUUCAGAAUAUUUAUACAACUGAGGAGAUUUGAUGGCAUGAUGUUGAUGAAAGCCAUAUCUGAUGGACAUUGGACUGAUUGUGUAAAGAGACGCAGAUGCUGCUACUCUAAUCCUUUGCUCUUCCAAAUAGACAUUAGCACGCGUUAGGCUUUAAGACCGGGUGUAAAGGGUGGACCUAUUGGUUUGGGUUUUGGUUCAACCCGACACUUAUUUUUAUACUAGUUUAUUUAUUCUUUCAAUGAUAGUUUUAUUAAUUUCAAAAAUAUGGUUGAAUUAAGUAAUAAUAUGAUAAAAAUAAUUAAAAUAAUUAAAAUAUAAGAAAGAAAUGAUGCCUUACAAUGUGGUGUGGUUUUUAGUAUUAGCAAACAAUCUAAAACAUUAGAAAUAAAAAAAAUAUAUAUUUCAAUUCUCUUAUUGUAAAACAUUUAUAAGAAUUUAUUUAAGGGAAAGGAUGGUAUCAAAUUGUGAUUUCACGUUAUCUCUUAGUACAUCCUCGCACUUAUUUUGUACCAAUCUGUUUCGCGAAAAUUGUGUGGUCAUCAUAAUUUCCACUCCAUAUCCCCAUCAAUCCAUCUCAAGAGCAACCCAACUACGGUUGGUCAAAGUUAGAAGGGAAAUUACGAAGAUAAUGGGUGAAAUGCAUUCAUCUUAGAACUUAUACGUGUUGGUUGUUAAACCUCACCAAACCAGCAAAUACCAUAAUUUUUGUUCUUAUCGUCCAUUGCAGCACCUAUGGGUUUCUUCAUCUUUAAUUCUGCUAAAGAAGACGGGAUUUUUAUAGCUUCAAUUGUUUUAUCAAACCCAAAGUCCUCAUCUUUUACAAUCUUCUUCACCACUCUCCCUACUUCCUUCUUUAACUUUGUUUCUUCCCUUGUUUUUACUGACUCCUUUUUCUCAGCCGUUGAAACAAAAUGGUAGCUUCUUUAGGAACAGAAAGGAACAAGAUUUUGAUACCCAAUGAAGAGAAACAAAGAUGAAAUCUUUCUAAUGCAUUUUCUGAUGCAUCCUUUCUAGGAUUCUAACUAGGCAGAGAGAAGAAAAAUAAGUAAAUGAAAAAUGGGAGUGAAUUUCUUUUUCUUAAAAAAUAGUAUUCGUAUAAAAAAUUGGGUAUUUUACUAAGAAAAAGAGAGCCUAUUUCCAACAUUAUUUACGGAAUGGGCCACUUAAAACAUUAUUUACGGAAUAGGCCACUUAAAACAUUAUUUAUAGAAAUAGAUCACUUAAAAAAUAUUUACUGAAAUGGUCCAAAAAACACAAAACCCACCUACGUAAAAGUGUUUUAAGCGGAAAUUUUAGAAAAGCAACUUCUCGUGGGAGCGUUUUUGCCAUGUCAGCAAAAGCGGGUUGACAUGGAAGUGCUUUUGCUGACAUUGCAAAUAACAUACAAAUAACCUAAAUUCCCUAGAAAUAACACGGGCUAAAGAGCUCCCAUGAGAAAGCGCUUUUCUGAAAUUUCCCUUUAAAAUGCUUCCACGUAAGUCCACGUAGGUGUAUUUUGAGUUUUUUUUGACUCAUUCCAAUAAAUAAUCUUUUAAAUGACCCAUUUUUGUAAAUAAUAUUGGAAAGGGUUUUUUUUUUAGUAAAAUGUUCUAUAAAAUCACCUAUAUAAACUAUUUUCAUCAAAAUUUAAUUUCCAAGAAAUUCUCUUUGUUGCCAAAAUUUCAAAGCAUUUGACAUUUUAAGCAAUGAUGAUCAAAAGUAAUUUCGAAUUCCCAAAAUCUUCUUCUACCAUAAAUAUUCAAAUAAUUGGAAAUUUCAUUAUUUAUGAUAACUCAGUCAACAAACUCUUUAAUCCUAUUUGGUUUGAAAAAAUAGAUAUAUUUAUGAUCAUAAAUCUUAAGAAUAGAAUGAUUUUACUAUAAAAAAUUUCAGGUUUAUAGGACUUUAUCAUCAAUGUAACUAUUUUUAAUGUGGUUAUAGGAGAGGGUGUGGCUGAAUUAUCAUUAGCUAAUCAUGGUCGAGCCAUAGUUGCAGACAUGGAACCUGAAUAAUGUGCAACCAUGGGUUGUCUUUCCUGUGGAUCAUACAGCCUUGCAAUUCCUUAAAUUAACCGGCAGGAGUGGUGACACAGUUCAUUCUCUGCGAGGUGAUGACUCCAACAAGGUUUUAUGUUAUUAUUGCUACUAUUUUGUCUUUUUAAUAAUUUAGAUAUAAGAAAAUUUUCAUAUAUAUAUAGAAUAAGGAUGAGACAGAAAGACCAAAAUAUUGGCAUCAAUAAGAACACUAAGACCAAUAAAAUCUCAUAUUUCAAAAUUAGAGUUGAAAAAAAUAGAAAAAAUUGAAGAUGCAAAGCAAAUUAAGUGUUAAUUGAAAACCUUAAUGCUAAGACUAAGAAUAAAUAAUUCAUCCAUUAAGACUAAUAGCUUCAUCAUCACCCUCUGCUGUGAUAUGACUCUGGCUUGAAUUUAAAGAAGCAAAUAUGAAGAACUCAUCAUGGUCGAGCCAUUAAGACUGAUAGCUUCAUCAUCAUCCUUUGCUGUGAUAUGACUCUGGCUUGAAUAUAAAGAAGCAAAUAUGAAGUACUCAUCAUGCGAGAGAAAAUUACUUAGCUAAGAGAAGAAAUCAUUUACUUCAACCAAACUAUCCCCGGUAGAAAUAAAAGCCAAAAGAAUUAAAUUCAUUCAAAACAAAUAUUGUAGGGAUUAGUUUUAUAAUUCUACUUAAAUUUUCAUUUCAACAGGAGGACGCAUGUUCGAGUACAUUGAAGUGCAUUAUCCUCUUAUUUAUGGGUUGGGGAGAGACUAUGGGUAGUUUUAAGGCAUUGUAUCAAAAUAAUAGAUUUAAUCAAAACCUAUAAUGUAAAAAGUUGCUACUAAAAAGUUUAAAAAAUAGAAUUUUUAGUUUCCUUUUGUUUAUUUAUUUAUUUUUUUCAUAAUAUCUUUUAUGUAUAUUUGAAGUGUUUUGGGUUUGAUUUUUAAUCAUUAUAAUCAAAAACCCAAUUUUGUACUAAUAAAUCACACCAUUGUUAGUUUUUAGUGUUAUCUUUUGAGGUAUUAUAUAUUUGUAUUUGACCUAUGUUUAUAAUGGUGAUCAGACCCGUUUUUGAUAUUUUUGAGACCCUAGGCGAAACAAUAAAUCAAGGUUUUGUUUAAAAAAUUAUUAAAUGUAAUACAAAAAAUAAAAAAAUUGAGCCUUUUUUAUUUUAUAUUUUUUCUGCCUACAAUACUAAAGAAGUUAAAAGAAUUUUCACGUUAAAAAUUAAAAAAAGAAACUUUUUGAGCUCUGGACGGCCACACUCCAAAACUACCCUAAAGUUGGGCUGACUCCAACAAAUUCCAAUCAAAUCUCAAGCUCCAAAAUUGGAAUUAACAAAUGGAAAAACAAAAAGACAUUGGUAAAGCAAAAUAAGUGUGAAACAUGAAGAGUAAGAAGAGAGUAUGAAAAAUUUGAAAAUUGUAAAUUAGGAUGACGUUAAAAUAUGGGGAAGAUUCAUGGGUUUGAAAUCAAUGAUUUUGCAGUUUCUCUUUGUUGAUUUGGUGGAUGUUUCCCACUACUUUUGCUUUUAAUGCUUCCUAUUAUAUACUUGGAAAUUGGGAUUACUUUUCCCACUCAUUUCUCAUGUUUGUUUGGCCAAUAAAAGAUUAUUUGUAUAAAGCAACAAUGGGGCAAUAGGCUGCAAUAUUUCCACAUGCCUCUCAAACGUUUUACUCCAAUUUUAUGUAUUUUUUUAAAAAAUUAACAUAUUUUUCUACCUUUCUUCUUUCUCUUCUCAUCCUCUCUUUCUCAAUCUCACCUCCCCAAAAAAUGCAAAAAUAAUAAAAAAAAUUAUUUUAAUUUUUAAAAAAUAUAAAUUUUGGAAUUUUUAUGAAUAUUUUGAAUUUUAUUUUAAAUUAUUUUGUAAUUUGUGUUGAGAGAGAUUAAUUUGUUAAAUUUUAAAAUUGACAGGGACCAAAGGAGCAUGUACACCAAUUUAUUGUUUGAAUUAUUUGAGUUAUUUAAAUUAUAAAAUUCAUCUCGAAACUAAAAUUAUAAAUAAUUUUAAUAUUAUAAAACAUAAAAAUAUUAAAAUUAAAUAAUAAUAUAGAAAUGGAAUUUUUUUUCUCCAAAUUUCUCAUCCAAAUAUAGUCUAAGAAAGCUUGAAAGCUGAAAUUUAAAAAUAUUUCUAUCAAAAGUGAACAAUUAUAUAUUGUAUCAUCAAAAUUUUCAACAUGAAAAUAUUAAAAUUAAAUAAUAAUAUAGAAAUGGAAUUUUUUUCUCCAAAUUUCUCAUCCAAAUACAGUCUAAGAAAGCUUGAAAGCUGAAAUUUAAAAAUAUUUCUAUCAAAAGUGAACAAUUUCUCAUCAAAAUUUUCACUCAUUGUGUCCAUCAAUCUAGCUAAGAAACUUACUAUAAUUUUGUCUUUAUAAUGUGACUUGAUUUGUACACAAUGGUUGAACGUUGUUGAUAAUACUCUGAAAUGACAUAUUUUUAUGUAUUAAUUAUGUAUUUAUUUUGAGUAUGAACCCACGAAAUUGAGCUAUUUAUGGUUUUUAUCUUGUAGGGACUAAAUUGAAGGCAAAAGGAAAUUUAGGGGAAAAAUCAUGAAUUUUAAGAUAAAAUGGGUCAGGAUGCGAAGAAGGAAUGAAGUGGUGCCGAAAAAUGCAAAGUAUGGAAGACUUGGGGGCAACCGUUCAAAGGAGAGAUUUUAUAAACACAAGGCUCUAUUUAAAUUUUAAUUAUAUUAGGAUUAUUGUUAAGAUUAUUAUUUAGAUUUAAUUUUAGCUUUUAUCUUUAUUUAUCUUUUAGAAUUUAGAUAGGAAUAAACUAGGUUUUUUGAGUACUAUAAAUAGGGGAUGGAGUGACACAAAUUUAACUCAUCUUUUCUAUAAAAGCUCCCUCUCCCAAAAAGCUCUAGCUUUCAUAUAUUUUUUUCAAUUAAACCAAGAAAGUUUAAAAAGUUCAAUCUUUUUCAAGUUGUGUUGAAAUUGCACUGCUUCUCUACUACUUGAUUUAUAUAUUUCUGUGGUUUUUAAUGAAACUAGCAACCCUGGCAAUCGGGUUAUUUAAGAGUACAAUCGUCUAGGAUUAAAAGGGGCUUAAAUAUAUAUAUUUUUUCAGUUAUUAAUGUAAGGAAAAAAAAUUAAGUAAAAUAAAUUAAUUAAAUACAUAGGGUUUUCUAUUUUUCACUAUAAAUAUUUCAUCUCCUAGACCGCAAAAUAUGUCCAGCUUUUAUUGCAUUACAUUUUAUAUAAUUUUUUAAAAAAAAACCUAAUUUAUUAUUUGUCUGAAACCCAAAAAUAUUAACAACUGGCCUGAAAAUUAGUAGAACAUAAUAAUUAAGUAAUGACCGAACAAUAGGAGUCAUUUGCAAGUAUGCAUGGCAAGACUAAGUCAAAGAUUAAAUUUGAUAAAAACCCAUGCAUAGUAUCGUUUCUCUGUUAGUUCUACACUAAAAACAUAUAAUUUCCAAAAUAAAUCUAUGAGCUUUGUCUCUAAAUACAUUGUGUUGUUCUACACUCAAUGUCGAGCUUUGUGGAGUUUAGGAGGGAUUUUAAAUUAUUGAGAGAUAAAUUUUCAAUGAAUUGAACUUGAGAUGAAUAAUAUGAUUACAAUCUAAUUGAUUCAAGAUGAUCAGUUGAGUUCCACCAUUCAGCUGUGUUACGAACUAUUAAAGAAAUUAUUCAACGUCUUUGGAUGAUUAAGGUGACAAAUGUAUUCAAAUAAGGUAACUGAGUAGUCGAUGGACCGAAAGCAAUGAUAUUUUCAAGGCGUCUAGGCAUGUAUAGUUAUAUGCAACCCUUGGAUAAAUUUCUUCAAAAGUUAUAUGAUUAUUGCUCUGGAAUGACCUGGCCCGACUUAAUCCAAUUAUGAUUUUAUGUUUGUUCAUGUAAAAAGGAAGAAAGAAAGAUAACGAAUUUAAAUAAUUGAAGAGAAUAAAAAUUAAUUAUGUAAAUCACCGAUAAAAAGAAUCUAAUUUUGGACUUAAAAAACUAUAUGGUGGUUGCAUUUCAAUUGGUUGGACAAACUUUGAAAGUGUAAAGGAUUGAAAAGUAGCUAAUAUUAUAAGACAUUUCAACUAAGCUCUGAUCAUCAUUUUCAAUCAACCCAAAAUAUAAAUUUUGGAAUUUUUAUGAAUAUUUUAAAAGUUUUGUUGAGAGAUAAUUUUUUUAAGUUUCAAAAUUUAUAGGGAUCAAAUGAGUAUGUAUACUAAUCUGUUGUAUGAAUUAUUCAAAUUAUUUGAGUUAUUCAAAUUUUAAAAUUUAACUCGAAACUUGACUUAUAAAUAUUUUUAUGUUUUAUAUUUAAUAAUAUAAAACAUAAAAAAUUAUUUAAAUUAAAAAAUAAUGUAAAAAUGAAAGUCUUUCUCCAAACUUCACCCAAAAACACUUUAAGAAAAUUUCACUCCUUGUGUCCAUCAAUCCAUCUCAACCAACUAACAAAUUUACUAUAAUUUUGUCUUUAUAAUGUGACUUCACUUGUGCACAAUGGUUGAACGUUUGUUUUUGUGCAAUCAAAAUUUGGACGUUUGUAUGCAACGCCAAAGACUUAUGAUAUUUCAUACUAUCAUUUUUUUCGAUCCAAAAUUAAAGAUAUUAAAAAUUUCAAAUUAGAACAUUAUUUACAAUUUGAGCACUUAAUAAGAACAUUAUGAAAUCUAGAUACUUUAAAAAAUUUUAUAAUUUUUAAAAAUAGAUUUUUUAAUUUUUAAAUUUUAAAAAUUAUUAAAUGAUGAGGUGUCAUCCAUGUGACAAUUCAUGUGUAUGCCACAUUAGCAAAGUUAAAAAAAUCGUUAACAUUUCUAUCCAUUUUGGGAGAUUUGAUAAAAACACAAGUUUAAAGAUUAAAAAACAUAAAAAAAAUAAAUGAAUGACUAAAAUAACUUUUUUUUUGUAAAACUGGAGGCCAAAUAAGUCAUUACGACAAAAAAAUUAAAAAAGUAUUUUCUCCUCCAAAAGUAGAAUCUGAAGUUAAGUGGAUAUUAAAUAAUAAUAUUUACAGACUCGAACAUCAAAAAUGUAUGAAAUUUAUUGUUGUUCAAUAAAUUUAUUGUUUAAUAAUUACUUUUGUUUUGGCCAUUGGGAAAACUUACUAGCCCUUAUAAUAUAUAUAUCCAUAUUAUUGGAUGUGCUUCUUUUAUUCAAUUACAUUGCCUAAGGUUGCUUAUUGCGAUUAUGGUAACUAGAUGUAUCAUCCCCUGACUAAAUCUUCUCAUUUUCAGUGUUAGAAUCCUCCUCUUUAAAAUUUGGGACUCAUGUUGCUUUUUGAGCAUCACUAUACCAUUCUCCUCUUAAACACGUCGAAAAAUCCAGUAGGAGCUUCUACUUCCGAUUCUGGAGAAGUUGCCUCCCUUGAACUCAACAAAACCCUAUCAGCUUCCGGAGAUGCUAUACCUCAUCAAAAGCCUUCUCCACUUGUCCUACUACGAAUUGGAUUGAGAACACCAAAGCCAAUGAGAACACAACCAAAAAAACCUUCGCCAUCUUUUUUAUUUUCUAAAAAGGUUAAGAAAUAAGUAAAGAUAUAUUUUUAUUGAUGCUUAAGGAUGAAAAUGAGAUAAAAUUUAAAGAGUUUAAAAUGAGAUGUUUUGGGCGAAUUUAUGGGUCGUUGAUCAGUCUAGUGCCUAAUAGUCAUAACAACAAAAAUACAUAUAAAUUCUCUCCCCAUUUUCAGUGGCCAUGUUUAUCACUAUUAUUUUCGGGUUCAAUUUACUUCACUUUGCUUGACUCAAAGACGUUGUGGGUGAUCGAUGAUGUGUUUUAAAAUCAUUCUGACCUUCUCUGUUUGCAUCACCUGUACCAAUCAAAAACACUCAUCCUUUUAUAGUUUAAUGUAUUUUCCAUGAAACAACUUCGAACGUCAAGCAAAAUCUAAAUAACUAUCUUCUUCUAUAUCGGAUACUGACUGUUAAAUUACCUUGGAUUUAAAGUAUGUUCUUCUACUUGUCUAUGGUUAUCGAUCAUAAUACCGAUUGCCAAAUCGUCGCUUGGAGCUUGCUACCUAGGCUUUUCAAAAGAAAAAAAAUUAAUAGCCAAAUGACCAGGCCAGUUCUUGGCAUUUUUGGGGCCCUAGGCGAAUCAAUAAAUUGGGGCCCCAGAUUAUAAGAUGUAAUACAAUAUAACAAAAAAAAUUGGGGCCUUUUUUUUCUGCAUGCAAUAAAUCAAAAGAUUUAAAAGGUUGAAGAUUUUUAUUUGAGACCCUUCCAGCCCUGGGUGAUUACACUCUGAAACUACCCUUAGGGUCGAGCCUGCAAGUGACGUAAAUAAAAAUCUUCUGAAUAGUUCAGUAAUCAUUUUUAAAGUCAAGUAAAUAAUUAACCGUAAUUCUUCAGAAAAAUAUUUGAACAUAAAAUUUAUGAAUUUUUCUAUAAUACAUUAUUACAUUUUUUUCACAUUUUCAAUAGUUAUAUAUACAAUGAUAAAAUGAUAAUUUAAUCUCGUGGAGUGGGCAAGGUAAUAAUUUACCAUAAUUGCUCCAUACUUGCUAUUUUAAAAAAAAAAUCCACCUCGCCUUGCUCUACACCCACUUUUGAAAAAAAAUCCUCUUUAUCUGUAGUGGAUUGAUUCGGGAUCCAUAGAGUGGUUCGGGUCUUACCAUCCCUAGUUACACAUCUAUACUAUUAUUUUAAUCUUAUUGGAACCAAUCUCAUUGCCCAACCAAAAGGACCCAAAAGGCUUUAAAUGAUAAUAACAACAAUGGUAUAGAUAAAUGGAUUUAUACGUGAAUGUGGUUUUUUUUAAAAGAAAACUGAAAGUGACAAUAUAAGUGCUAUAUUCCUAUCUGACAUAACUCAUCUUGUCAAUUGAGUUUUAGUUCGAUUAGUAUCAUUGCUAAUUGCAACAAUCAAGAAAAUGUUGGUUUAAGCACAACUAAGUAAGUGUAUUUUUAAUCUGAUUUAAGAGUUAAGGGUGAAUUAUGAGUAGGAGUAAUGAUAAGUGAUAAAAGUAACAUAUUUUAAUCUCGUUCUUAAUGCGUUUUUGGAUGAUUAUUUAUGCAAAUUGGUAAAUUUUAUGCUCCUGAUCCUUUAAAUUAAUGUUUUUAUACUUAAAAGAGCAUUUGGGAGCAAAAGGAGCGAAAAAACAAGUAAAAAUCAGACAAAUAGAGCAUAUUUCAAGAGCCACAUAGGCUAGACACACGACCGUGUAAGCCACACAGGCUGGCACACGGCCAUGUGCCACACAGGCUGGCAGACUGUGUCAAUUAUGCGAUUUGUAUCCCAAACAUGCGGAAAAAUGCAAUUUUUAUGAUUUCGUGGCAUUCUAAAGUCUAUAAAUACCAAAUAUAAUAUGAGAAGUGGGGGAGAUCAGAGAGUAUUGAAGGAAACAACUCGAAGAACUCUAUUGAAGCCAACUUUGAAGUAGAUUUCUAUCAAGAUUGAAGAUCUUCUUUUAAUUUCUUUGAAGCUUUUAUGAGUUUCUUUAUCUCUUAUGGUUAUAUUGACUUUGAGAUUGUAAUACCCCGAAAAUUUCUACAGUAAGAAAGUAAGAUAAUAUCUAUGAUAUAGUAAAAUAAGGAAAUAAAUUGAUAAAAAGGGUAAUUUUGAGAUUUGAUGGCAUGAUGUUGAUGAAAGUCAUAUCUGAUCGACAUUGGACUGAUUGUGUAAAGAGACGCAGAUGCUGCUACUCCCAUCCUUUGCUCUUCCAAAUAGACAUUAGCACGUGUUGGGCUUUAGGAGCGGGUGUAAAGGGUGGACCUGUUGGUUCGGGUUUUAGUUCAGCCCGACACUUAUUUUUAUACUAGUUUAUUUAUCCUUUCAAUGAUAGUUUUAUUAAUUUCAAAAAUAAGGUUGAAUUAAGUAAUAAUAUGAUAAAAAUAAUUAAAACAAUUAAAAUAUAUGAAAGAAAUGAUGCCUUACAAUGUGGUGUGGUUUUUAGUAUUGGCAAACAAUCUAAAACAUUAGAAAUAAAUAUGUGACCUUAAUUAAAAAAAAAUCAAUUCUCUUAUUGUAAAACAUUUAUAAGAAUUUAUUCAAGGGACAAUUCUCUUAUUGUAAAACAUUUAAAAGAAUUUAUUUAAGGGAAAGGAUGGUAUGAAAUUGUGAUUUCACGUUAUCUCUAUCCCCUUCUUAAUAGGAGGAGAAUGACAAAUUAAAUUUUUAUUCCUUUGAUUUGUCUGAUUUCUAGCAUUUUUAAUUGGGUUUGAAUUUUUUCAAGAAUUGAGAAAAAAACUUUUGAAAUUGAAAUUAGUUUUUUCAAAGAAUUAAAAAAUUGUUAAUAAUAUAAGACAUCUCGUCAGUCUCAUUUAUCUUUGAUAAUUUCAAUUAAAUCUAAAAAAAUAUUUGUAACACCCCUAACUCGUAUCCUUCGCCGAAUUAGGGUUACGAGGCAUUACUGAACAAACACAACCAUUUUUUUUGCAACCAAACAGAUCACAACAUGAAAAUUUAAUUACUUUCGACUUUCCCCGAUCUAAUUCUGUUUUCUUCAGUUCGCGAUCUAAACAUAUUCAAAUUUAACCCUCUUAUUCAUCAAAUCAUUCAAUUUUAUCCAAAAACACAUAAAUUGGCAAAUUACCAUUUUGCCCUAGACAUUUUACACUUUUUGCAAUUUAGUCCCUAUUGCGUAAAACACAAAUUACACAAAAUCUCACAACACCAUAGUUAGGCCGAAUCUUCAUUGUAUUCAUACAAGUCCAUGUAUUUCAUUUAUUUCCUAUUUUAGUCCCUCAAAAAUUUAUUUUCACAAUUUAGCCCUAAAUACUCAAAUUCAUCAAAAAUCCCAAGACAAAACAUGUUAAUCUAAGACAUAUCUUCCAUUAUUCAUCAUCAAACAUCACAAAACACAAAUAUUCAUCAAUGGCACAUUUCAAAAUCAUCAACAAUUCACAAAAUUAAUACAUGGGUUCUGAAGUAUUCAANNNNNNNNNNNNNNNNNNNNNNNNNNNNNNNNNNNNNNNNNNNNNNNNNNNNNNNNNNNNNNNNNNNNNNNNNNNNNNNNNNNNNNNNNNNNNNNNNNNNGUAAAAAUUAUCAAAAACCGAAACAAUUUCAUACCUUAAUCAAGCUAGCAAAGUGCCGAAACCCUAAAUGCCAUGGAUGUUCUCUUUCUUUGCAACAUUCGGCCAACAAAAGAGAUGAUAAUGGCUUGUUUAUGUUUUGUUUUAUUAUACUAUACAUUAUUUAUUAAUUUACUUAUUUAACCUUUAAUAAUUAAUAAACAAAACAUAUAUAAUAAGGUUAUAUUAGUCCUUUGCCACCCACUAACUUACAUAGUGGACUAUUUGCAUUAUAAAACCUCUAAGUUAUAAAGACAACAACAAUUAGGUGCUUUUUAAUUAACCCCUAAAUUUUCAUUUUACGCGAUUAAGCCCUUUUAUUAAAUCGGACACUUAAACGACGAAAUUAAAACACGAAAAUUUCACACAAUCACAUACACACAAAAUAAUAUUAAUAAUAUUUUUUUAAUUCAGAUUUGUGGUCCCGAAACCACUAUUCCGAUUAGGGUCAAAACCGGGUUGUUACAAUAUUAAUGUGGAAAUUUAAAUAUGUUUCUUUCAAAGAAAUUACUAAGAAGAGGAAAACUAAACAUUAUAUCAUCAAAAUUGCCACUACUUGUGCCCAUCAAUCCAUCUCAACUACCUAAGAAACUUGCUAAACAUUGUUUUCAUGGGGUAAAAAAGAUUUAGACGUCAUUUGCAUGCAGUGCCAAAUGGCUAAGACUAAGUCCAAUAAUAUCUCAUUCCAUAAUUUUCUAUUGAUUCCAUACACUUUAAGUUCAUUGAAAAGUCAUCAAAGUUAUGAGAUAAUUUAGUCUUGGAGCCAUCAAUCUAUCUCAAUCAGUUAAAAAAAAUCACCACAACUCCAUUUUUUUAUUAAUUGACUAAAAUAAAAUUAGUGGUACAACAUUAUUUUGAUGCAGUAGUGAUCGGGCUUAGUACAAAAUUAAAAAUAAUGUAUGGAAAGUACAAAUUUGUGUAUAAAUAAGUUGUAUGCAUGGAAACAAUCCUCCUUCACAGCCAGCAAACAUGAAAACCAUAUCUGAUGGACAUUGUACUGAUUGUGUAAAGAGACACAGCUGCUGCUGCUACUCCCAUCUUUUGCUGGCAUAUUGGGUUUUUAUUUUAUCAAACACAUGUUGGGUUUCUGUACAGCCUCGAACUUAUUUUGCACCAAUCUGUUUCGCAGAAAUUGUGUGGUCAUCAUAAAUUUCACUCCAUAUCCCCAUCAAUCCAUCUCAAGAGCAACCCAACUACGGUUGGUCAAAAUUAGAAGGGAAAUUACGAAGAUCAUGGGUGAAAUUCAUUCAUCUUAGAACUUGUUGGUGCAACAACAGAAUCAAGCAGACUCAGCAAGUAUCUUGUCGAGCAAGCCUCGAAACUUGCUGAGCAAACAAACAAUUUCGAGUUAAAGAAAGAAGAGAAUAAGCUGGGGAAAUUUGAGAGAAUAUUGAUGUACAAAACUGAUUUGAUUCAUACAAAAAAAACAAUGGCUUGAAGCCAGUACAUAACUCAAGCAUAAGGCUUGUCAAAAUCAACAAGUAAUUACCUACCUCCACUAAUUACAUAGAAACUUGAAAUCUUAGCUUGUAAACUUAUACAAAACUGUGUUUACAGCUCAUACAUAAGCUAAUUACAUCAAUCAGAAAGCUAACUUAGUUAGAAAUGAACUAACNNNNNNNNNNNNNNNNNNNNNNNNNNNNNNNNNNNNNNNNNNNNNNNNNNNNNNNNNNNNNNNNNNNNNNNNNNNNNNNNNNNNNNNNNNNNNNNNNNNNUCAUUGCAACAAUGCAAGAACCUUGAGAGCAAUCCUACAGCAUACAUUAUGUCUGGUCUAGUGGCAGUUAAGUAUAGCAAACAACCAACUAGACUCCUGUAGGUAGUUUCACAUACCUUCUCAAAGUCUCCUUGGCUCGAUAGUUUUUCUCCAACAGCAACAGGUGUUUUAGUUGGUUUGCUGUUUUGCAUGGAGAACUUGGUCAGAAUCUUUGUGGCAAAGCUCUUCUGACUUAAAAAUAUCCCAUUCUGUGCUUGAGUCACCUCCAUUCCAAGAAAAUAGGACAUCUCCCCAAGAUCAGACAUUUCAACACUCUUGCAUCUUGGUCUUGAAAUUAACCAGCACUGCUCGAUCUCCUCCUGUCACCAGCAGGUCAUCAACAUAUAGGGACACAAUGAGUUGUGUUUGUGUCCCUUGCUUCUUAACAUACAGUGUUGGCUCACUCUUGCUUCGAUUGAAUCCUAGAUCAGUCAAGUAUCCAUCGAUUCUGCUGUACCAGGCCCUUGGAGCCUGUUUUAAGCCAUAUAGGGCCUUCUUCAAUUUGUAGACCAUAUGCUCUCUCCCAGCUGUUUCAAACCCUUGUGGUUGUUCAACAUAGAUGUCUUCAUCUAAAAAACCAUUCAGAAAGGCUGAUUUCACAUCGAGUUGAUGAAUUUUCCAUUCGAGCUGGGCUGCUAAGGCAAUCAGCAGUCUGAUGGUGUCGAGCCUGGCCACUGGUGCAAAGGUCUCCAGGUAGUCCAAGCCAUACCUCUGACUGAACCCCUUGACAACCAACCUUGCUUUCAAUUUGUUCAAGGUUCCAUCAGCAUUCUGCUUGGCUUUGUACACCCAUUUCACCCCAAUCACCUUCCUUUUGACUGGCCUUUCAACCAAUUCCCAGGUCUGGUUCUUCUCAAUCAUGCUGAUCUCCUCAGCCAUUGCCUGCUUCCACUCUUGCUGAGCUUCAGCCUCUUCAAAGUUACUUGGUUCAGCUAUGGCUAUAUGAGCCCUUUGAUAAAUCUCAGUCAUUGAUCUUGUUCCUCUGACUGGUUCAUCAUCAAUGUCCAUUUCAGGAACACUUUGUUCUGGCUCAGCUUGUUUUGCUGUAAGUUCUUCAGAAACUUCCUCAGGUUCAUGCCUUUCCCAGUUCCAACAUGACCUUUCAUCAAAUACCACAUCCCUGCUUACUGACACUUUGUUUGUUGAAGGAUCCAAGAUCCUAUAGCCCUUCUUAACAGUGCUGUAGCCCACCAGAAGACCAGGUCGAGCCCUUUCAGACAAUUUGUCUCUUUUAACAGCAGGUACAUGUGUGUAACAUAUGCAUCCAAAGACCUUCAGAUGAGCCAGUGAUGGCUUGAAGCCAAACCAGGCCUCGAAUGGAGUCUUCUGAUCCAAAGCCUUGGUUGGAAGUCUAUUUUGAAUGUAUGUUGCAGUGUUAACUGCUUCUGCCCAUAGUGCUUUAGGCAGAUUCUUCUGAAUCAUUAAGCACCUGGCCAUAUCCAUUAAGCUCCUAUUCUUCCUUUCACUUACACCAUUCUGUUGAGGUGUAUAAGUGUUGGUAAGCUGGUGUUUGAUGCCUGCCUUAUCACAGAAGGCUUGGAACUGAGCUGAGGUGUACUCAGUCCCAUUAUCAGACCUUAUGGUCUUAAGCUUGCAGCCUGUUUCUGUCUCAGCAGCAGUUUUAAACUUCCAAAACACAGUGGCCACUUCUGAUUUCUGUUUUAAGAAGUAAAGCCAGCAAUAUCUAGAGAAAUCAUCAAUAAACAGUAUGAAAUACCUGUUUCCACUUAGUGACUCAGUCCUCAUAGGGCCACACACAUCAGUGUGCACCAGUUGGAGUUUUUCAGAGGCUCUCCAGGCUUGAUUCAUGGGAAAUGGCAAUCUGGCCUGUUUUCCUAGCUGACACACUUCACACACAUCAUCAUGGUCCACUGAGUUGAUGAAGUUUUCAGCCAGGUCUUCUCUGACCAUUCGGGCCAUCGAUCUGAAGUUGGCAUGUCCCAGCCUUUGAUGCCACAACUUAGAUUCAUCUGAUGUGGCUGUGUAGGCAAUGUCUGACUUCUUUGUCCAGUCAACCACAAGCUCUUAUCAGCCAUAGGGACUGCCAUCAGUUUGGAUCCACUUGGAUCAUUGAUUUGGCACUGCUUGUCCUUGAACACCACAGAGUAACCUUUCUCUAGCAAUUGAGCUAUGCUGAGUAGGUUUCUGUCAAUUUCAGGCACCAGGAGCACAUUUGAGAUCAUUUUGGCACCUGUGGGAGUGCAUAUCAGCACAUCACCUUUGCCUUCAGCUUGAAUAAAGUGCCCAUUACCAAUUUUGACUUUGGUUUUACAGUUUCUGUCUAAAAACUUGAAGAUUGCAGCAUCAGGUGUCAUGUGAUUGGUGCAUCCACUGUCUAGGAGCCAACCAGAUGAGAGCCUUUCCUGAGCAGCUGAGCAUGACACAGCAAAGACUUGCUCCUCUUGGUCACUGUCCUCCUUAGCUACUCGAGCCUCAGCUUUCAUCUGUUGAGACUGGUUCUGUCUUGAUUUGGUCUUGCUCUUGCAAACUCUCUCAACAUGACCCUUCUUCUUACAAUGCUGACACACAACAUCUGGAUUGAACCAGCAUUUUUCUUCUGGAUGACCAGCCCUUCUGCAGUGCUUGCAAGUUUGACCUUCUCUUCUCGCAGCAUCAUUCUUUGGCUUGUCUCUCCAGGCCUUCUUGCCUUUAUAGGCAGUAUUUGUCCUUGCCUGAAAGGCACCUUCUUGAUGCUCUUCCAGUCUACUUGCUCUCCUCUGCUCUUGAGCAUAUAGAGCAUUGAUCAACUCAGUCAGGGGAAUGGUGGACAGAUCCCUUGAGUCCUCGAGAGAUGAGAUUUUUGCCUCAUACCUCUCAGGCAGAGUUGCUAUUACUUUCUCCACUAUCCUAGCUUCAUUAAACUGCUCUCCAAGGAGCCUGAUGCUAUUAACCACAGCCAUAAUCCUGUCAGAAUAUUGCUUGACAGUUUCUUCUUCCUUCAUCUUUAAAUUCUCGAAAUCUCUCCUCAAAUUCAGUAACUGUUGCUGCCUUGUCCUCUCUGUCCCUUGAAACUCUUCUUGCAACUUAUCCCAGGCCUGUUUUGGUGAUUCACAGGCCAUAAUCCUUGUGAAAAUCACAUCUGACACUGAGUUCUGAAUGCAAGACAUGGCCUUGUGCCUCUUGGUCCUCUCAUCAGCAUGCUGCCUGAUCUGAGCCACUGUUGGAUUGCCUCUAAGUGGUUCUGGUUCAACAUCUGAGUUGACCACCUCCCACAGAUCAUANNNNNNNNNNNNNNNNNNNNNNNNNNNNNNNNNNNNNNNNNNNNNNNNNNNNNNNNNNNNNNNNNNNNNNNNNNNNNNNNNNNNNNNNNNNNNNNNNNNNNNNNNNNNNNNNNNNNNNNNNNNNNNNNNNNNNNNNNNNNNNNNNNNNNNNNNNNNNNNNNNNNNNNNNNNNNNNNNNNNNNNNNNNNNNNNNNNNNNNNNNNNNNNNNNNNNNNNNNNNNNNNNNNNNNNNNNNNNNNNNNNNNNNNNNNNNNNNNNNNNNNNNNNNNNNNNNNNNNNNNNNNNNNNNNNNNNNNNNNNNNNNNNNNNNNNNNNNNNNNNNNNNNNNNNNNNNNNNNNNNNNNNNNNNNNNNNNNNNNNNNNNNNNNNNNNNNNNNNNNNNNNNNNNNNNNNNNNNNNNNNNNNNNNNNNNNNNNNNNNNNNNNNNNNNNNNNNNNNNNNNNNNNNNNNNNNNNNNNNNNNNNNNNNNNNNNNNNNNNNNNNNNNNNNNNNNNNNNNNNNNNNNNNNNNNNNNNNNNNNNNNNNNNNNNNNNNNNNNNNNNNNNNNNNNNNNNNNNNNNNNNNNNNNNNNNNNNNNNNNNNNNNNNNNNNNNNNNNNNNNNNNNNNNNNNNNNNNNNNNNNNNNNNNNNNNNNNNNNNNNNNNNNNNNNNNNNNNNNNNNNNNNNNNNNNNNNNNNNNNNNNNNNNNNNNNNNNNNNNNNNNNNNNNNNNNNNNNNNNNNNNNNNNNNNNNNNNNNNNNNNNNNNNNNNNNNNNNNNNNNNNNNNNNNNNNNNNNNNNNNNNNNNNNNNNNNNNNNNNNNNNNNNNNNNNNNNNNNNNNNNNNNNNNNNNNNNNNNNNNNNNNNNNNNNNNNNNNNNNNNNNNNNNNNNNNNNNNNNNNNNNNNNNNNNNNNNNNNNNNNNNNNNNNNNNNNNNNNNNNNNNNNNNNNNNNNNNNNNNNNNNNNNNNNNNNNNNNNNNNNNNNNNNNNNNNNNNNNNNNNNNNNNNNNNNNNNNNNNNNNNNNNNNNNNNNNNNNNNNNNNNNNNNNNNNNNNNNNNNNNNNNNNNNNNNNNNNNNNNNNNNNNNNNNNNNNNNNNNNNNNNNNNNNNNNNNNNNNNNNNNNNNNNNNNNNNNNNNNNNNNNNNNNNNNNNNNNNNNNNNNNNNNNNNNNNNNNNNNNNNNNNNNNNNNNNNNNNNNNNNNNNNNNNNNNNNNNNNNNNNNNNNNNNNNNNNNNNNNNNNNNNNNNNNNNNNNNNNNNNNNNNNNNNNNNNNNNNNNNNNNNNNNNNNNNNNNNNNNNNNNNNNNNNNNNNNNNNNNNNNNNNNNNNNNNNNNNNNNNNNNNNNNNNNNNNNNNNNNNNNNNNNNNNNNNNNNNNNNNNNNNNNNNNNNNNNNNNNNNNNNNNNNNNNNNNNNNNNNNNNNNNNNNNNNNNNNNNNNNNNNNNNNNNNNNNNNNNNNNNNNNNNNNNNNNNNNNNNNNNNNNNNNNNNNNNNNNNNNNNNNNNNNNNNNNNNNNNNNNNNNNNNNNNNNNNNNNNNNNNNNNNNNNNNNNNNNNNNNNNNNNNNNNNNNNNNNNNNNNNNNNNNNNNNNNNNNNNNNNNNNNNNNNNNNNNNNNNNNNNNNNNNNNNNNNNNNNNNNNNNNNNNNNNNNNNNNNNNNNNNNNNNNNNNNNNNNNNNNNNNNNNNNNNNNNNNNNNNNNNNNNNNNNNNNNNNNNNNNNNNNNNNNNNNNNNNNNNNNNNNNNNNNNNNNNNNNNNNNNNNNNNNNNNNNNNNNNNNNNNNNNNNNNNNNNNNNNNNNNNNNNNNNNNNNNNNNNNNNNNNNNNNNNNNNNNNNNNNNNNNNNNNNNNNNNNNNNNNNNNNNNNNNNNNNNNNNNNNNNNNNNNNNNNNNNNNNNNNNNNNNNNNNNNNNNNNNNNNNNNNNNNNNNNNNNNNNNNNNNNNNNNNNNNNNNNNNNNNNNNNNNNNNNNNNNNNNNNNNNNNNNNNNNNNNNNNNNNNNNNNNNNNNNNNNNNNNNNNNNNNNNNNNNNNNNNNNNNNNNNNNNNNNNNNNNNNNNNNNNNNNNNNNNNNNNNNNNNNNNNNNNNNNNNNNNNNNNNNNNNNNNNNNNNNNNNNNNNNNNNNNNNNNNNNNNNNNNNNNNNNNNNNNNNNNNNNNNNNNNNNNNNNNNNNNNNNNNNNNNNNNNNNNNNNNNNNNNNNNNNNNNNNNNNNNNNNNNNNNNNNNNNNNNNNNNNNNNNNNNNNNNNNNNNNNNNNNNNNNNNNNNNNNNNNNNNNNNNNNNNNNNNNNNNNNNNNNNNNNNNNNNNNNNNNNNNNNNNNNNNNNNNNNNNNNNNNNNNNNNNNNNNNNNNNNNNNNNNNNNNNNNNNNNNNNNNNNNNNNNNNNNNNNNNNNNNNNNNNNNNNNNNNNNNNNNNNNNNNNNNNNNNNNNNNNNNNNNNNNNNNNNNNNNNNNNNNNNNNNNNNNNNNNNNNNNNNNNNNNNNNNNNNNNNNNNNNNNNNNNNNNNNNNNNNNNNNNNNNNNNNNNNNNNNNNNNNNNNNNNNNNNNNNNNNNNNNNNNNNNNNNNNNNNNNNNNNNNNNNNNNNNNNNNNNNNNNNNNNNNNNNNNNNNNNNNNNNNNNNNNNNNNNNNNNNNNNNNNNNNNNNNNNNNNNNNNNNNNNNNNNNNNNNNNNNNNNNNNNNNNNNNNNNNNNNNNNNNNNNNNNNNNNNNNNNNNNNNNNNNNNNNNNNNNNNNNNNNNNNNNNNNNNNNNNNNNNNNNNNNNNNNNNNNNNNNNNNNNNNNNNNNNNNNNNNNNNNNNNNNNNNNNNNNNNNNNNNNNNNNNNNNNNNNNNNNNNNNNNNNNNNNNNNNNNNNNNNNNNNNNNNNNNNNNNNNNNNNNNNNNNNNNNNNNNNNNNNNNNNNNNNNNNNNNNNNNNNNNNNNNNNNNNNNNNNNNNNNNNNNNNNNNNNNNNNNNNNNNNNNNNNNNNNNNNNNNNNNNNNNNNNNNNNNNNNNNNNNNNNNNNNNNNNNNNNNNNNNNNNNNNNNNNNNNNNNNNNNNNNNNNNNNNNNNNNNNNNNNNNNNNNNNNNNNNNNNNNNNNNNNNNNNNNNNNNNNNNNNNNNNNNNNNNNNNNNNNNNNNNNNNNNNNNNNNNNNNNNNNNNNNNNNNNNNNNNNNNNNNUGUGAUAGCCUUCUCCAUUGAAUACUUGAGGUGCAGCUGGUGAAAAGCUUGAUGAAGCCAUGGUUUUGUAUAACAGGUCCCUUAAGAAAUAAGCUCUAGAUACCAAUUGUUGGUGCAACAACAGAAUCAAGCAGACUCAGCAAGUAUCUUGUCGAGCAAGCCUCGAAACUUGCUGAGCAAACAAACAAUUUCGAGUUAAAGAAAGAAGAGAAUAAGCUGGGGAAAUUUGAGAGAAUAUUGAUGUACAAAACUGAUUUGAUUCAUACAAAAAAAACAAUGGCUUGAAGCCAGUACAUAACUCAAGCAUAAGGCUUGUCAAAAUCAACAAGUAAUUACCUACCUCCACUAAUUACAUAGAAACUUGAAAUCUUAGCUUGUAAACUUAUACAAAACUGUGUUUACAGCUCAUACAUAAGCUAAUUACAUCAAUCAGAAAGCUAACUUAGUUAGAAAUGAACUAACACUCAUUUCAUCAACUAAAUAUAACAAAAUGAACAAAAUGAGCUUGCAUCAGCAGCCCUUGCAUCUGUUCCAGCUUUGCUUGGUCUUCAUGGCCUGUAUGGAAUCGAGUGUUGGCUUCAUGCUGACCAACUUCAACAGAACUUAUACGUGUUGGUUGUUAAACCUCAACAAACCAGCAAAUACCAUAAUUUUUGUUCUUAUCGUCCAUUGCAGCACCUAUGGGUUUCUUCAUCUUUAAUUCUGGUAAAGAAGACGGGAUUUUUAUAGCUUCAAUUGUUUUAUCAAACCCAUAGUCCUCAUCUUUUACAAUCUUCUUCACCACUCUCCCUACUUCCUUCUUUGUUUCUUCCCUUGUUUUUACUGACUCCUUUUUCUCAGCCGUUGAAACAAAAUGGUAGUUUCUUUAGGAACAGAAAGGAACAAGAUUUUGAUACCCAAUGAAGAGAAACAAAGAUGAAAUCUUUCUAAGAACUAUGAAAAAGAAAAAGGUUGAAAAAGGAGUCUGAUCUAAUGCAUUUUCUUAUACUUUCUUUCUAGGAUUCUAACUAGGAAGAGAGAAGCAAAAUAAGUAAAUGAAAAAUGGGAGUGAAUUUCGUUAAAAAAUAGUAUUCGUAUAUAAAAUAGGGUAUUUUACUAAAAAAAAGUCCAUUUCUAACUAAAAUAAAUUAAUUAAAUGUAUAGAGUUUUCAAAAUUUCACCAUAAAUAUUUCUUCUCCUAAGCUGCAAAAUAUGUUCAGCUUUUAUUGCAUUACAUUUUAUAUAAUUUAAAAAAAUCUAAUUUAUUGUUUGCUUGAAAUCCAAAAAUAUUAAGAACUGGCCUGAAAAUUAGUAGAACAUAAUUGAGUAAUGACCGGACAAUAGGAGUCAUUUGCAAGUAUGCAUGGCAAGACUAAGUCAAAGACUCCAUUUGGUAAAAACCCAUGCGUACUAUCGUUUCUUUGUUAGUUCUACACUAAAAACAUAUAAUUCCUAAUUAGAAAAUAAAAUGAGCUUUGUCUCUAAAUGUGUUGUUAUACACUCAAUGUCGAGCUUUUCGGAGUUUUGGAGGGAUUUAAAUUUAUUUAGAUAUUAGGUUCUCAAUAGAUUAUGCUUAAAAUGAAUAAUAUAACUAUAAUCUAAUUUAUUCAAGAUGAUCAAUUGAGUUUCAUCAUUCAGUUAUGUUACGAACCAUUAAAGGAAUUAUUCAAUGUGUUUAGAUGAUUAGGGUGAUACAUGUACAUGUAUUCAAAUAGGUUAGCUGAGUAGUCGAUGGAUCGGAAACAAAGAUAUUUUCAAGGCGUCUAGGCAUGUAUAUAUGCAACCCUUGAAUAAAAUUUUUCAAAAAUUAAAUUAUUAUUGCUCUGAAAUGACUUGACCCGACUUAAUCUAAUUAUGAAUUUAUUUUUGUUCAUGUAAAAAUAAAAAAGAAAGAUAAUAAAUUUAAAUAAUUAAAGAUAAAAUAAAAAUUAAUUAUGUAAAUCACUAAUAAAUAGAAUUUAAUUUUGGACUUAAAAAACUAUAUGCUCAUUGCAUUUCAAUUGGUUGGACAAACUUUGAAAGUGUAAAGGAUUAAAAAGUAGGUAAUAUUAUAAGACAUUUUAACUUAUCUGUGACCAUCAUUUUCAAUCAACCCAAAGUAAAUUUCAGAAGAACCCCACACUGUUUAUCAUCAAAAUUUCCACCCAUAAGUCAUAAGUGGUGCCCAUCAAUCCAUCUCAUGCAGUAUUGAUCGGGCAAACAGACUUAACUAUUUUUUAAACUGUUAACAUUAGUAUUUUUAAAUUUCUUUUUCCAAAGGUGCCUACAGCCUACAUUGUUAAAUUUCUUUAACAAUAGUAAUUUACUCUACAGUAUGGACACAACUUUCAAAAUACCAACGCUAUGGAUUCCAAGGUGCCUACUGCCUACAUUGUUUUCUCCUCCACAUUUCUAUAUCAUUUCGUUGAUACUGCCUUUUUUUGCUCUUCUCACAUGCUUAAGAUAUACUGGGUUGGGGGUCUUCUAGUUGGGGUUUGAAAAUUACAUCUACCUAAUGCUUUGAUUCUAAGGGAAUGGCUGCUUUUCAUUACGUCUUCUCUGCUAUUCAUUCCUCUCUACGUGUCCAGUAGGAAGCAAAGUUGGACUAAUUCUAUAUCCAUCUUUUUUCUAACUUUUUUUAUUUCUUUAUACAAUACUUGACCUUCAAAUAUUUUACUCUACUUGUGACUUCCACUUUAUCCUUGUUAAUUUCCUACUUAUUUUCACAAUUUUUGCUUUUGAUUUUGAUUUUGAUUUUGCGGUUUUAAAUAAAAUAUAAGUGGUAAGAUAGGAGAAUCAUGAGGGCGAAGGUCAAGAUACGGUACAGACUGUAUAAGAAAAAUCUUAUGGUUUAAACAGAGAAAAACAAAGGACAAAGCAAGAAAGGAAUAAAUAGAAUGAAUUAAAAUAUUUGCUGGUACUCCAUUUUCUUUUUCGAGUUUAAAAUUAUGGUGUUGGAUAAUAUUUAAAUUAAUAUAUUUUGACUAUAAUUGGUAGCAGAUAUGAAAGAAAAAAUUAAGACUAGGGCUAAUAAAAUCUCAUAUUAUCAUUUUCCAAAAUUUAAAAAAAAUUAAAAAAUUGCAAGUUAAACUAAUUUAAGGAUUUAAUUAAAAUAUUUUAAAAAAUUUCUAUACUUUUUUCCUUAAUUUUGUAGUUUUCCAUGAGUACAAAUAAGAGUUUAUUCAUUUUGGAUCCAGGUCCCUAUUGGAAAAUUAAAAUACUCCACCACUAUUGGAACAUUAUUUAUUUAUUAGUCCAAAAUAUAUAUAAUUUCUAAUUAGAAAUUCUUGGAAAAUUAAAAUGCUCCACCACUAUUGGAAUAUUAUUCAUAUAGAAUAAAGAUGAAGAAAAAAAAGACCGAAACAUUGAAAUUAAUAUGACUAAUAAAACCAAUAAAAUCUCAUAAUCCCAAAUUAAAAUUAACAAAAUGACAAAAGAAAGAUGUAAAGCAAAUUAAGUGUGAAUGGGACAUAAGACUAGGAAUAAAUGAUUCAUGCUUUAUGACUAAGAGGUUUAAUAUAUAUAUAUAAAUCUAUUAUAUAAUAAGGGUAAAGUUGACCAUCAAAUCACUCAAAUUUGAUUUCAAUAACAAAAAAAUUUAUUCAAUUUUCGACUAAUCAUUCAAUUUUCAAAAAAUACCAAAUCAGUAUUUGUAACACCCCCUAACCCCAAACCGUCGCCGGAACAGGGUUACGAGGCAUUACCAGACAUAUCAAACAGUUUACGAAUAAUUCAUAAUAAAAUAACAAUUGUAAUAUAAUUGUAUAACUAAAUCCAUAUAAUAAACUUUUGAAGUUCAAAACAUGAAUGAAAAAGUGAAAUGAAACUCGUUCAAAUACUCCGAGGUUUUUUUUUUUUUAAAAUUUCGGCAGCAUUUCGGCUUAUUUUUGCAUAAUACCUCCUGCAAUUAAAACCAUAGUAUUUCCAAUCUCAACCAAUCCAACCAAUUCAUUUCACAUUCUCAAUUCCUAUUCUAAUUACCUUCUAAUCAACUUAAUCAACAUAACAUCAAUUUAAAUUUAACAAUGUAAUAAAUUAAAUAAAGAUCGAUAAACUUCUUUCAUUAUAAUUCAUAAACUUAUACUACUAACAUUUUUAAUCAUUCAUACUAAAACAUAAUAACCUUUAUACACAUCCUAUGUACAUGCCACAUUACUAAAGAAAAUAUACAUCACCAAAGUUUGCUAAAGUCGGGUCUGGCUUUGGAUGCUGGUUCAGUGCUUGACUUCUACAACCUGCGCACGGAAACAACCGUACGCUGAGUAUGCAUAUACUCAGUGGUAUCACUAUAAUCCAAUUUAUAAUUAAAUACAUUAAAUCACACACAUACUUUUUAUUACAAUUAUCACUACUAAUAAACAAUUCAAUCAUUUAAUAUUAUCAAUUAAUUAUAUAUAUUUAUAAACAUCAUUCUUAUUUCUUUAUUUCAAAUUUCACCUUUUACAUAUACCAUAUCAUUUAAGUAGUAAACUUAUUUCNNNNNNNNNNNNNNNNNNNNNNNNNNNNNNNNNNNNNNNNNNNNNNNNNNNNNNNNNNNNNNNNNNNNNNNNNNNNNNNNNNNNNNNNNNNNNNNNNNNNUUGACUCGGACUCGACGGAUACACGGAUUCCAACCAAACACACCAGUAUACAGUAAUCAAUAACAGUAACAGUAACAGUAUUCAACACACAAAGUGUUGAACCUGUAACAGUAACGGUAACAGUAUUCGACACACAAAGUGCCGAGUCAGUAACAGUAACAGUAUUCGACACACAAAGUGCCGAAUCAGUAACAGUAACAGUAGUCGGCACAUAAGUGCCUGAUCAGUAAGCCGGCAAAUACCCCGUACACUUCCAUAUCCUAUGGCAUGCCAACUAUAUCCGACUAGCCCGACUAGUUAAUAGGGUAUUUAAUUCACUUUUCAGUAUAAAUUUCCAUCUUAAUUCAGUAUCAAUUAUAAUUCCUUAAUUCAAUCGGUUUCACAGUAUUACAGUAAUUCUUUACUUCAGUAAUUUCACAAUUCAAUGCAUUAUACAUAACAAUAUUCAGUAUUUUCACAAUUCAUUCAGUAAUCAAAACAAUAUCCAGUAUCCCAUAAUUCGGUUCAGUAUCAGUUUCAAUUUCAUUACUACAUUAUAAAUUUAUUAUUUAUUACACACUUACCUUAAAAUACUUACCACACAUAAUUAGCAAAUUAAACACUUAAUAAUAAUAAAGUUUGAAUUAUAGUGAUACAAACUGUAAUUCUCGUGUCUAUUCCUCGUCUACUUUUUCCUUUCCUUUCCUCGUGGAUGCCUCGGGUGCAAUAUUAGCUACGAAAAAAAAUAAUAAUUUAUACUAUUAAUUACAGCACUAAUUAUAAUAAAUAAUUAAAUUUCUAUUCAAUUUCUUCCUUAUUCUCAAUUUAAUCCUAAUUAAAUUCACUUACUUUCCUAAUUCAAUUCACACUCUAUUUCUAUUCAAACUUCAUCCAAACUCAAAUUUAACUAUCAAAAUUUCAGCAUAUUUUCCAAAUUUCGAAUUUUCCUCAAUUUAGUCCCUAAAACAUAAAACUUAUAGUUUCUUUUACAAUUUAAUCCCUUUUUCAAUUCUAACUUAAAAUUCAUGCUAUUUAAUCCCUAAUUCAUCUCUUUUGUUCAACAUAAACUAUACUUGAAAACCUAUGAACUUACAAAACAUCAACUUAAUCCCAUCAAAACUUUGUUUUAAAGCUUUUAAAACAUUAGAAUUAAGAGAAAAGGGCUAAUUUGACUUACCAAAUUAAAUUUCAAGCUUCAAAAACCCUAUUUUCCCUAUUUUCUUCUUUUUCUUCUUUCUCCCCUGUUUCUCCCCUGUUUCGUCUCUUCUAUUCUGUUUCUUUCCUUUCUUUUGCUUUGUUUUUAUUUCAUUUUAUUUCAUUUACUUUAUAUUAUAUUAAUUAAUUAUAAAUAUUACAAAUGUAUGUAUUUUAUUAGUACACUUGCAUUAAAUCAUUACCAUACACUUGUUUCAAUCUAACUAGCUUAUCAAAUAAAAAUCUCAUAAUAUUAUUAUUUAAUUAACAAUUAUCUUUUACUAAAUUUUCAAGUAAAUAAAUAAAUAUAAUACACUUGUAUUUUAUUUUUACCACACACUUGACAAAAUCAUAAUUUAUUAUUACCCAAAAAUCUUAUACUAAUUAUUUAAUUACUAAAUAUCUUUUAAUUUAAUAAUAACUAAUAACUAAUAAUAAAUAAUAAAUAUCAUUAAUUAUAUAAUAAACAAAUAAAUUCUUAAAUUUUAUUCCUUUAUGCCGCCUCAAUCAUUUUAAAUGGCUUAAUUGCCAUUUUAGCCCUUUUUACUUUCUUUUAAUCUAUGAUUAGAUUUUCACUUCUAUUGUAAUUUAAUCCCUUUUGCUAAUUACUCUUAAUUGAGCCAAAUUCACCUAUCUAAAACCUAAUUAAACACACAACUAAUCUCGUAAGUAUUUCUAAUAAUUAUUUAUGACUCAGUUUACUAAGACGGAGGCCCGAUAAUACACACUUUUCUGGUGCCCACAGAUUUUGGGUCGUUACAGUAUUACUAAUUAUUUUUCGUUAUAGAUAUAACGAAAAUGUGACCUGUCAUUUAACCGGUCACGUUGGAAUCAUUAUUGUCAUUUAAUUGACCAUGUUGGAGGGUUUAUUGUCAUUUAAACAACCCCAAUUAAGAACCCUAGCUAGGAAGAAGAAGAAGAAGAAGAAGCCAAUUUCCUUGUAAGAGCCCAAUUUUCCUCGGGCCUAAUAAUAAAACAAUAGCAGAAAGAUAACAGUCCAUUUAUAUGGCUUGAGAGCCCAAAAAAUUAUUACAGGCCCAAAUACAAAGAGAGACCUAAUGGCCUAAAAUCCUAAUCUAUCAGCAGAAACCCUAGUUGCCCUAACCCCAAGUCGUGCCGCUCCCCGGCAUGUCAGCAGAAGCAAUGCCCAAAACCUUCCCCUUGCACCAAAACGACAGCAGCAACCUCAUUGACUUCCACCGCCUCUGCAAGAAACACAGAAAAGGAAAAGAAGCAGAAACAAGCAAUCGAAAAAAACAUAUAUUAUAAUAUUAUUUUAGUUAUAAAAACCGAUCUUUGUAACACGAAAAGGGGGACCGAAUACAUUGAAAUAAAAAAAUGAAAUCGAAAUACAAACAAAUAUAUUAGAAUAAUCGAAAUAAAAAUACCACAAAGUUCAAAAAGGUAACAUUUUAUUGUUUAUUAUUAUUUUAUUUUGAUUCUUCUCUUUUCGAAACAAAAAAAAGAGAGAGAAACUUUACUUGUUUUUCACUGUCAUCGGAGGUCCCCUCCGACUCGAGAAGACUCAGACCCCUUAGGGCCCAUGGAAGGCAUCGUAGGAGAGAGUAGAAAUCAAAAGGUUUCUCCCAUUUUUUAGGAUUUUGGCUAAGUUUUCAGCGAUUCUGACUCCAGAUUAUCAAUCUACGCUGAAAAGGAUUCAGGGGAAAUUUUGAUCUUCGGCCAUCGGAGGUGACAGUCUCCGUCACCUGUGACCGAUAGCCACAGCAAGGACUUAUUGGCCUCGUGGCCAGACUUGAACCCACUUCAGAAACCCUAAAACGACGUUGAUUUGACUAAUUUUCUUAUGGAUAUGUUUGACUAUUUUCAUGAACAUCGCAAACACAUUUAUUUAGUUUAUAUGAAUAAACGUGAACACAAAUAGACAAAAAAAAUAAACUGACGGAUCAAACUUGAUUCAUAAACAAAACCAAAGAUAUGAGAAAAAAUUCUAGUGGCAGACUCCCUGUUUAUAAAUCUCCUGAACCAAAUACAGUUGUUGAAUCUAGAUAGUUAGCCUACAGGUUUGGAAUUCGUAUUUGGAUUCUAAUCCUUAGCUUUCUUGCAUUUAGUUUCGUACAAGAAAGAUAAAAAAAAAUAGAAGAAGAAGAAGACGAAACAAAAGUAGAAUUAGGAGGGUUUUUAUUUUUUAAUUGGAGGUUUAUGGACAUUUUCUAUGUGAAAAGUUGCUAUAAAAUGUUUAAGAAAUAGUUUUUUUAGUUUCCUUCUGUUUUUUUAUUUGUUAUUUUUUUUUCAUAAUAUGUUUGAGUUUGAUAUUUAAUCAUUAGAAUUAAAAAUUCAAUUCUCUACUAAUAAAUCAAAUAAUUGUUUGUUUUUAGUGUUAUUUUUGAGCUUUUAUGAAUUUGUAUUUUACCUGUGUUUAUACUGGUGACAGGUCAAAAUUAUAGACUAUAUAAAAAACAUUAUGGUGUGAAAUUGUUUGAUUUAAAUUAAAAAAUUAAACAUGUUAAAUUAAAAUAUUAUUAAAAUAUAAUUAAUAUUUGAAAUCAUAAAUAUUUGAAAACUGUUUCAAAGCAAAAUAAUAAUAAAAAUUAUUAUAAUUUUUACAUAAUAUAAAUUUUAGUAAUUUUAUGAAUAUUUUGAUUUUAAAAUUUAUUUUAAUUAUUUUAUAAUUUUUGUUGAGAGAGAUUAAUUUGUUAAUUUUUAAAGUUGAUAGGAAUCAAAGGAGUAUAUCAAUCUGUUGUUUGAAUUAUUUGAGUUGUUUAAAUUAUAAAAUUUAACUCGAAUCUUGAAUUAUAUAUACUUUUAAUAAUAAUUAAAUAAUAAUAUAGAAAUGAAAAUAUUUCUUACGCUCUAAGAAAGUUUGAAAGCUGAAAUUUAAAGAUGUUUCUUUCAAAAGUGAAAAAUUAUAUAUAUUCUAUCAUCAAAAUUUCCACUCAUUGUGUCCAUCAAUCUAUAAGGUGACUUGACUUGUACACAUUGGUUGACCGUUGUUUUUGUGCAAUAAAAACUUGGACAUUUGUAUGCAAUGCCAAAGACUUAAGGCUUAAAAGGCUAUCAUUUUUUUUGGUCCUAAAUUAAAGAUUUUAAAAUUUUUAAAUUAAAAUGUUACACAUAAUUUGAGAACUUAAUUAAAACAUUGUAAAGUUUAGAGUUUAAUUUAAAAUUCGAUGUAUAAUUUUAAGAUGUAAGGUGAAUUAAUCAUUUGAUAAAUCAUUACAUAUUUACAAGUUGGAUACUCAUUAACAAAUUGAUUUUAUAUUAUAAGUUCAAUUUUAUAUUUUUGGUCUUUUAUAUUUUUGAUAAAGUGCUAUAAUUUAGUCUUUUUUAACGACUUUGAUUUAGACGAUUAUUUAUAUAGAGUAAGGAGUGGGCAAGAAAACUACAACCUUGGCAUUAAUAAGUUAAUGAGAUUGAUAAAAUAUUAAAAUCUCAUUUCUUCAAAAUUAAAAUUAACAAAAACGAAAGACGUAAAAGGCAAAUUAAGUGUGAAUUUAACAACUUAUUUCUAAUACUAGCAAUAAAUAAUUUAUGCUAACAGCUUUACAUAAUAAAUUAUUAUCCCUUGCUUUUGCAUGUUGGAAAAAUUUACCAAAAAGAAUUAACUAAAGUGGUGGAACAGUAUUUUGAUGGAGUCUUGAUUUGGCAAAAUGACUUAGAAAUUGCAUGGCAUGCAUUGCCAAUCACUCAUAAACAUUGUUCCAUGGAAACUACACACUUGUGUAUAAAUAAGUUGUAUGCCAAACACAAUCCUCAUUCACGCCCACCCAACAUGAACACCCUUCAUUCCCUUAUUUCUUCACUCUUUCUCUUCUCAUGCUUCCUUCCUCUUCUCUUGUCUUUUUCACCUCCUCAAACUCAUCUCCCAAUGCAAUGCCUUGAUGACCAGAGAGCUCCACUCCUGCAAUUGCAGCAUCAUCUUUACUAUGCCCCUAAUUUUACUUUCUCUUCCAAAUUUGACCUCUGGGAUGUCAACACUGAUUGUUGUUCUUGGGAAGGAGUCACUUGUGAUGCUUAUGGUCAUGUCGUUGGCAUUGAUCUUAGUUACAGAAACCUUUCAGGCAGCUUCCACUCCAUAUUCAAUCUCCAUCGUCUUCAACGCCUUAAUCUUGCUGGAAACAACUUUAAUACCACUCUGUUUUCCUAUGGGUUUCACAAACUCCAAAAUCUAACCCAUCUCAAUCUUUCAAGCUCAUGUUUCCAUGGCCAAAUUCCAGUGGAGACCUCAUUCUUAAAAAGGUUAGUCUCUCUUGAUCUAUCCAAUCAAGAUUCUUAUUAUUUUAGAUAUUACAAAGUUCUCUACCCUGGCUUCUACAACUAUUACGAACCUCAACAGCCUCUUAAAUUAGAGAAUCCAAACUUCAAGACAUUAAUCAAGAAUUUGAGGUUUCUCACAGAGCUUUAUUUGGAUAGUGUGGACAUUUCAACUCAAAGUGCUAAAUGGUGUGAAACCACAUCUCUUGUACUUUCCAACCUGCGUGUGUUGAGUCUGUCAAACUGUGGCUUGAAAGGUCCAUUAUGUUCUUCACUCUCAAGACUCUCUUUUCUUUCCAAACUUAUACUUGAUGGGAACCCAAUCUCUCAUUUACCUCCCAAUUUCUUGGAAAUUUCCUCUCGUUUGGUUUGUCUCAGUUUGAGCAACUGCAAUUUGAGUGGCCAUUUUCCAACUGAAAUUCUGUUAUUGCCAAAAAUUCAAAGCGUUGACAUUUCAGCUAAUGACCAACUUAUGGGUCAGUUGCCAGAAUUUCCAGCAAACAAUGCUUUACAGAGUUUGUCGCUUUUUUAUACAAAUUUCAGUGGAAAACUACCUCAAUCAAUUGGUAAUCUGAAGUUCUUGACAGAUUUAGAGCUGUUUGGUUGCAAUUUUUUUGGACCCAUUCCAUCGUCAAUUGCAAAUCUUAGUCACCUGGUGAACUUGGAUCUAAGUUCAAACAAGCUUUCUGGAUCAAUACAUUCUUCUUUAUUUACUCUUCCAUCGUUGAAGACCUUGGAUCUUGGAGAAAAUCAAUUGGUUGGGAAAAUUGAUGAGUUCCCCAAUGCAUCUUCUUCUUUGAUUGAAGUACUAUAUAUAGGCAAUAAUUAUUUAACAGGACCAAUCCCAAAGUCAAUCCUUCAACUUCCAAGGCUUGAAGUGCUUUAUAUCGGAGGCAAUAGCUUCAGUUCCAUGAAGCUUGACAUGUUUGUCCAACUCAACAACUUAAGGACUCUCUGGCUAAACAAUAUAAGCUUGUUAAUUGAAAGCGACAACAGAAGUCUUACUUUUCCCCAAUUAGAGAGGCUAAGCCUAAGGUCAUGCAACCUUACUGAAUUUCCAAAAUUCAUUAAAAGGCAAGACAAGUUGGUUCACUUAGAUCUUUCUAACAAUCAUAUCCAUGGCGUUGUGCCUAAUUGGUUGUGGAAGAGCAGUCUUUCAUCCUUAGACCUUUCUUUCAAUAUGAUUGAUUUUCCAAAACAACUUCCUUCAAGUGAUUCUGUUAAGUUUAGUUCCCAUGCAAAGGUGGCCAUGCACGACAUGCAAAGGUGGUCAUGCUCGAAGAAAUAGCAGCAAGCAGUGGUGCCAUUGUGUGCAGCAACUGAAGUUUGAAGCUGCCAAUCCACUUGCUGUUUUUAGUUCCAUUUUGAUUGUUUUGUAAUCUAGUUCAUGUUGAACUAAGUAGGUAAAUGUUUUUGAUAUUGAUUGACUGAAAAGUCAGCAAUGCAAGUUGUACAAGCUAAUCUUGUAAGUUUCAAUGCAAAUUAGUGGAGUUAGGUAGUUGAUUAGGUGAUUACUUGUUUGUUUUACUUGUUGACUAAAAUAUGUAAUGGCUUAAUGCCUUGGUGUGUGUUAAUGAAAAAUAUCAGCUCAUUUUUCAUUCAUUCUUCUUCUCUCUUUUCUGUUAUUCGCUUGCUAGUUUCAUUUUCUGUUUUUGCUUCUGAGUUUGUUUCUUCACCAAGGCUCGAGGCUUGCUAUUCAAGCAAGAUACAAAACAGCCUGUUAUUGUCUCUUUGUUCCAACAGAUUCAAACUUCUCUUUCCCAAUCUUGAGGCGAUUGCUUCUGGGAUCUUGUAACAUAAGUGCAUUUCCGGAGUUCUUAAAGAGUCAAGAAAAUUUAGAAGCAUUCGACGCAUCUUCUAACAAUUUGAGUGGCCCAAUUCCAAAUUGGUUAUGCAAUAUGAGUCAACUUCACACUUUCGAUGUAUCUUUUAACAAUUUGAGUGGUCCAAUUCCAAAUUGCUUGGGCAAUAUGAGUGCUCUGAGUUUGUUGGGUUUGCAAGGAAAUAACUUCAGUGGAAUGAUACCAAAAUUUUCAAAGGCAACCCAACUGCGAUUUCUGAAAGUUAGUGAGAAUAGAUUGGAAGGGGAAUUGCCCAGAUCAAUAGCUGAAUGCACUCAGCUUGAAGUUUUGGACGUGGGAAACAACAAGAUGAAUGAUACAUUCCCUUUUUGGUUAGAGAAAUUGCCUUACUUGAAGGUUCUAAUAUUGCGGGAAAACAGAUUUUAUGGUCAAAUUAAACAUUUCAAACAUAAAUCUGUUUUCCCAACUUUGGAUGUAUUGGACAUUGCUUCAAACCAGUUUUCUGGUGAACUAUCCAUUGAUUUCCUUCAACCAACUCGACUAAGUUUUGCUAAGAGAUAAAAUUUUUAAGUUUCAAAAUUAAUAGGGAUCAAAUGAGUAUGUAUACCAAUCUGUUGUAUAAAUUAUUCAAAUUAUUUGAGUUAUUCAAAUUUUAAAAUUUAACUCGAAACUUGACUUAUAAAUAUUUUUAUGUUUUAUAUUUAAUAAUAUAAAACAUAAAAAAUUAUUUAAAUUAAAAAAUAAUGUAAAAAUGAAAGUCUUUCUCCAAACUUCACCCAAAAACACUUUAAGAAAAUUUCCACUCCUUGUGUCCAUCAAUCCAUCUCAACCAGCUAACAAAUUUACUAAAAUUUUGUCUUUAUAAUGGUUGAACGUUAUUUUUGUGCAAUCAAAAUUUGGAGAUUUGCAUAUAAUGCCAAAGACUUAAAAUAUUUCAUACUAUCAUUUUUCCCGAUCCAAAGUGAAAGAUAUUAAAAAUUUCAAAUUAGAACGUUAUUUAUAAUUUGAGAACUUAAUUAGAGUAUUAUGAAAUCUAGAAACUUAAUUUAAAAUUCGAUGUAUAAUUUUGAGAUGUAAGGUGAAUUAAGCCUUUGAUAAAUCAUAAUAUAUUUAUAAGUUUGGUACUCAUUAACAAAUUGAUUUUAUAUUAUAAGUUUAUUUUUUUUUUUGGUGCUAUAACAAAAUUUCCUUAAAAGAUUACAUUCUUUUUAAAUGACUUAGAUAUAUAGACUAAGGAGUACUGGGCAAGAAAACUAAACCCUUAGCAUUAAUAAGAAAAAUGACAUCAAUAAAAUAUUAAAAUCUCAUUCUUCAAAAUUAAAAUGACAAAAAAGAAAGACGUAAGGCAAAUUAAGUGUGAAUUUAAAAACUUAUUUCUAAUACUAAUAAUAAAUCAUUUAUGCAUCAUCACUAACAGCUUUAAAUAAUAAAUUAUUACCCCUUGCUUUUGUAUGUUGGAAAAAAUUGACCAAAAAGACUUAGAAAUUGCUUUUAUAUGGGAACUACACAUUCGUGUAUAAAUAUGUUGUAUGCCAGACACAAUCCUCCUUCACAGUUCACACCCACCCAACAUGAACACUCUUCAUUCCCUUAUUUCUUCACUCUAUCUCUCCUCAUGCUUCCUUCCUCUUCUCUUGUCUUUUUCACCUCCUCAAACUCAUCUCCCAAUGCAAUGCCUUGAUGACCAGAGAUCUCCUCUGCUGCAAUUGCAGCAUCAUCUUUACUAUGCCCCUAAUUUUACUUUCUCUUCCAAUUUUGACCUCUGGGAUGUCAACACUCAUUGUUGUUCGUGGGAAGGAGUCACUUGUGAUGCUUAUGGUCAUGUCGUUGGCAUUGAUCUUAGUUACAAAAACCUUUCGGGCAGCUUUCACCCCAUAUUCAAUCUCCAUCGUCUUCAACGCCUUAAUCUUGCUGGAAACAACUUUAAUACCACUCUGUUUUCGUAUGGGUUUGAUAAACUCCAAAAUCUUACUCAUCUCAACCUUUCAAGCUCAUGUUUCCAUGGCCAAAUUCCACUGGAGAUCUCAUACUUAACGAGGUUAGUCUCUCUUGAUCUAUCUAAUCAAGAUUCUUGUUAUUUGCGAUACUACACCAUUCUUGACCCAUAUAGUGGCGUCUACUACUACUAUGAUCCAUUGCCUUACGAACUUCAACAGCCUCUUAAAUUAGAGAAUCCAAACUUCAAGACAUUAAUCAAGAAUUUGAGGUUUCUCACAGAGCUUUAUUUGGAUAGUGUGGACAUUUCAACUCAAAGUGCUAAAUGGUGUGAAACCACAUCUCUUGUACUUUCCAACCUGCGUGUGUUGAGUCUGUCAAACUGUGGUUUGAAAGGUCCGUUAUGUCCUUCACUCUCAAGACUCUCUUUUCUUUCCAAACUUAUCCUUGAUGGGAACCCAAUCUCUUAUUUACCUCCCAAUUUCUUGGAAAUUUCCUCUCGUUUGGUUUCUCUCAGUUUGAGUGGCUGCAAUUUGAAUGGGCAAUUUCCAACCGGAAUUCUCUUAUUGCCACAAAUUCAAAGCAUUCACAUUUCAUCUAAUGACCAACUUAAGGGUCAGUUGCCAGAAUUUCCAGCAAACAAUGCUUUACAGAGUUUGUUGCUUUCUUAUACAAAUUUCAGUGGAAAACUACCUCAAUCAAUUGGUAAUCUGAAGUUCUUGACAGAUUUAGAUCUUUAUUAUUGCAAUUUUUUUGGACCCAUUCCAUCGUCAAUUGCAAAUCUUAGUCACCUGGUGAACUUGGAUCUAAGUUCAAACAAGCUUUCUGGAUCAAUACAUUCUUCUUUAUUUACUCUUCCAUCGUUGAAGAUCUUGUAUCUUGGAGACAAUCAAUUGGUUGGGAAAAUUGAUGAGUUCCCCAAUGCAUCUUCUUCUUUGAUUCAAGCAUUAUAUGUAGGCAAUAAUUAUUUAACAGGACCAAUCCCGAAGUCAAUCCUUCAACUUCCAAGGCUUGAAGGGCUUUAUAUUGGAGAAAAUAGCUUCAGUUCCAUGAAGCUUGACAUGUUUGUCCAACUCAAGAACUUAAAGGGUCUCCACUUAUCCAACGUAAGCUUGUUAAGUGAAAGCGACAACAAAAGUCUUACUUUUCCCCAAUUAGAGAGCCUAAGCCUAAGGUCAUGCAACCUUACUGAAUUUCCAGAAUUCAUUAAAAGGCAAGACAAGUUGAAAUAUCUUGACCUUUCAAAUAAUAAAAUAAGUGGUGCAAUACCAAACUGGGUGUGGAAGAAAAGUUUGUGGUAUCUGUUUCUUGCUAAUAACCAUCUCUCAUCUUUGGACCAACUUUUACCCAAUCAGAGUUCACCUUCUUCACAAACCUCCUUGACUAGACCUAUUUGCAAUUUGAGUCAACUUAGAAAUUUCAAUGCAUCUCAUAACAAUUUGAGCGGCCCGAUUCCAAAUUGCUUAGGCAAAAUGAAUGAUCUCAAUUUGUUGGAUCUGCAAGGAAAUAGCUUCAGUGGAAUGUUACCAAAAUUUUCAAAAGCAACCCAAUUAUAUAUUCUCAAAGUUAGUGAGAAUAGAUUGGAAGGGAAGUUGCCUAGAUCAUUAGUGGAAUGCACUCUGCUUGAAGUUUUGGACGUGGGAAACAACAUGAUGAAUGAUACAUUCCCUUUUUGGUUGCAGAAAUUGCCUUACUUGAUGGUUCUAAUAUUGCGGGAAAACAGAUUUUAUGGUCAAAUUAAACAUUUCAAACAUAAAUUUGUUUUCCCAAAUUUGGAUGUGUUGGACAUUGCUUCAAACCAGUUUUCUGGUGAACUAUCCAUUAAUUUCCUUCAAACCACUCGACUAAGGUCACUCAAAAUAGGUGGGAAUAAAUUAGAAGGGAAGUUGUCGAGAUCAUUAGCCAAUUGUAAAGCACUUGAGGUUCUGGACCUUGGAAAUAAUAUGGUUCAUGAUACAUUCCCAUUUUGGUUAGAGAAACUGCCUUCUUUGAAGGUUCUCAUUUUGCGAGCAAACAGAUUCUACGGCACAAUUGCAGAAUUCAACACAGAACGUGGGUUUCCAAAGCUACGCAUAUUGGACAUUGGUUCCAACAAUUUUUCAGGCAACUUGUCCAUUGAAUUUUUGCUAAGCUUGAAGGCAAUGAUGCAGUUAAGAAAUGACGACAAAGCUAAGCUGGAUUACAUUGGAGAGGAUUAUUAUCAAGAUUCAGUAACAAUUUUCAACAAAGGGAUUGAAAUGUUCUACCAAAAAGUCUUGACAAUUCUUACUUGUCUCGACCUUUCCAACAAUAGUUUCCAUGGGAGAAUACCAGAAGAAAUACAAAUGCUGAGGUCACUCAAAGUGCUAAACUUGUCCUAUAAUAGCUUCUCCGGUGAAAUCCCGGUAGCACUUGGAAACCUAAAAGAUCUCGAGUCUUUGGAUCUCUCACAGAAUGAGCUGUCAGGGAAGAUUCCUCCACAACUUACAAGUUUAACUUUCUUAGCAGCAUUGAACUUGUCUUACAACCAACUUGAAGGGAGCAUACCACAAAGCAACCAAUUCAUUACAUUUUCAAAUGAUUCCUACCAUGGGAACCCAAAAUUGUGUGGGCUGCCACUGUCAAGGAAAUGCAAUGAAGUUGGUCUUCCAAUGCCACCACCUCCAAGGGGAGAUGAAGAAUCAUGGUUAUAUGCUAUGACUACUUGGAAAAUUGCGUUGAUGGGUUAUGCUAAUGGAUUGGUCGUUGGGCUAUGUAUCGGAUAUACAGGGCUGAAUGAGUUGGGAAACAAAUGGGUUGACAGGCUCAAAAAACACGGGGAAAGAAACAAAAGAAGAUCUAGGUGACUCCAUCAGGAUUCAUUUUUUUUCAAAAUCAGCGGUUAUGCAGUGCACCACCUUAUUUCUUUUUUAUCUGUGGACAAAGUUAAAUAUCAUAUGGUAUUUGUACUUGUAGCUUGUAACAUUGACAUUCGUUUUUCAGUCUCUUCUAAUUUAAUGUUACCAUUUCGCAAUGCAGAAGGUACUUAAAACAGACAGGCUCAAGCAAAAAUCUUUGAUGAAAAUGGUAAAAGUGCCUAACAAAUAUGAGCAUAUUUUUCCUUAAAAUUGUCUUUUUCUUGACAUUGGCUUUAUAUUUUAUCAAACACGUGUUGGGCUUUAGGUCUGGGUGUAAAGGGUGGACCUAUUGGUUCGGGUUUUAGUGCAGUCCGACACUUGUUUUCAUGCUAGUCAAUUUGUUCUUUCAAUGAUAAUUUUAUUUCUUUAAAAAAUACCAUUCAAUUAGACAUUGUAUGUAAUAAUAUGAUAAAAUAAAAAUUAAAACAUAAUUGAAAGAAAUAAGUCUUAGAAUCUGGUAUGCUUUCCAAUGUUAGCCAAUGGCCCAAAAUUUAUAAGUUGGAUCCUCAUUAAUAAACCAGGACUAAAAAAUACGCAUAGUUAAUUUAUUCUUUUGGGGUGCUAUACCAAAGUUUAAUUAAAAGAUGUUAAUGGUGCAUUUUUAUAUUUAAAAAUAAUAAAUUAUAUAGAAACAAUUAUGAUAUAAAAUGGAUCAUAAUUUGCGAUAGAUUAGUUCCAAACCCAAAUAUUGCUAUAAUUUUAUUCCUACUUCAUUAUUUGCUAAUUUGAGCAAUUUGGUCCUCAGGGACAACAGGCAUUCCUGAAGAAUUAGGAAGCUUGAAAUUAUUGAUUUUUCUAGAGUUGACUCAAUGGUUGUAUUCCAACUUCAUUUGCUAAUUUGAGUGUCCCAUACCUCAAGAAAUUGCUAACUUCGUGAAAAUACGGAUGCUGAAUCUACUUGGAAAUAGCUUCAGUGGAACCUUACCAAAAUUUUCAAGAGCAACCCAACUACGGUUGGUCAAAGUUAGAAGGGAAAUUACGAAGAUCAUGGGUGAAAUGCAUUCAUCUUAGAACUUAUACGUGUUGGUUCUUAAACCUCAACAAACCAGCAAAUACCAUAAUUUUUGUUCUUAUCGUCCAUUGCAGCACCUAAACAGCUUCAAUUGUUUUAUCAAACCCAUAGUCCUCAUCUUUUACAAUCUUCUUCACCACUCUCCCUAGUUCCUUCUUUAACUUUGUUUCUUCCCUUGUUUCUACUGACUCCUUUUUCUCAGCCGUUGAAACAAAAUGGUAGCUUCUUUAGGAACAGAAAGGAACAAGAUGUUGAUACCCAAUGAAGAGAAACAAAGAUGAAAUCUUUCUAAGAAGACUAUGAAAAAGAAAAAGGUUGAAAAAGGAGUCUGAUCUAAUGCAUUUUCUUAUACUUUCUUUCUAGGAUUCUAACUAGGAAGAGAGAAGCAAAAUAAGUAAAUGAAAAAUGGGAGUGAAUUUCGUUUUCUUAAAAAAUAGUAUUCGUAUAUAAAAUCGGGUAUUUUACUUAAAAAAAGCCCAUUUCAAACUAAAAUAAAUUAAUUAAAUGUAUAAAUUUUUAAAUUUUCACCAUAAAUAUUUCAUCUGUUAGGCGGCAAAAUAUGUGUAGCUUUUAUUGCAUUACAUUUUAUAUAAUUUUUUUUAAAAAAAAAGUCUAAUUUAUUGUUUGCUUGAAACCCAAAAAUAUUAAGAACCGGCUUAGAAAUUAGUAGAACAUAAUUAAAUAAUGACCGGACAAUAGGAGUCAUUUGCAAGUAUACAUGCCAAGACUAAGUCAAAAGCUCCAUUUGAUAAAAACCCAUAUGCAUACUAUAGUUUCUUUGUUAGUCCUACACUAAAAACAUAUAAUUUCCUAAUUAGAAAAUAAAUCUAUGAGUUUUGCCUCUAAAUACAUUAUGUUGUUAUACACUCAAUGUUGAGCUUUGCGGAGCUUUGGAGGGAUUUCAAAUUACUUAGAGAAUAGGUUUUCAAUGGAUUGUGCUUGAGGUGAAUAAUAUGACUACAAUCUAAUUGAUUCAAGAUGAUUAGCUGAGUUCCACAUUUAGCUGUGUUACGAAUUAUAAAGAACUUAUUCAACAUCUUUGGAUGAUUAGGGUGAUACAUGUAUUCAAAUAGGGUAAUUGAGUAGUCGAUGGACCAGAAGCAAUGAUAUUUUCAAGGCGUUAUAUGCAACCCUUAGAUAAAAUUCUUCAAAAAUUAUAUGAUUAUUGCUCUGGAAUAACCUAACCCGACUUAAUCCAAUUAUGAUUUUAUCUUUGUUCAUUAAAAAAAAAGAAAGAUAGUAAAUUUAAAUAAUUGAAGAGAAAAUAAAAAUUAAUUAUGUAAAUCACCGAUGAAAAGAAUCUAAUUUUGGACUUAAAAAACUAUAUGCUCGUUGCAUUUCAAUUGGUUGGGUAAACUUUGAAAGUGUAAAGGAUUGAAAAGUAGCUAAAUUAUAAGACAUUUCAAGUAAUCUGUGAUCAUCAUUUUCAAUCAACGUCCCAAAAUAUAAAUUUUGGAAUUUUUAUAAAUAUUUUAAAUUUUUGCUGAGAGUAAAUUUUCUAAGUUUCAAAAUUAAUAGGGAUCAAAUGAGUAUAUAUACCAAUCUGUUGUAUGAAUUAUUCAAAUUAUUCGAGUUAUUCAAAUUUUGAAAUUUAACUCGAAGCUUGACUUAUAAAUAUUUUUAUGUUUUAUAUUUAAUAAUAUAAAACAAAAAAAUAUUUCAAUUAAAUAAAAAAUAAAAAAUAAUGUAAAAAUGAAAGUCUUUCUCCAAACUUCACCCAAAAACACUUUAAGAAAAUUUCCACUCCUUGUGUCCAUCAAUCCAUCUCAACCAGCUAACAAAUUUACUAUAAUUUUGUCUUUAUAAUGUGACUUCACUUGUACACAAUGGUUGAACGUUGUUUUUGUGCAAUCAAAAUUUGGACAUUUGCAUGCAACGCCAAAGACUUAAGAUAUUUCAUACUAUCAUUUUUCCCGAUCCAAACUUAAAGAUAUUAAAAAUUUCAAAUUAGAACGUUAUUUAUAAUUUGAGCACUUAAUUAGAACAUUAUGAAAUCUAGAAACUUUAAAAAAAAAUUAUACUAUUUUUUUAUAUUUUUUAAUUUUUUUAUAAUUUAUUACUUUUUUAAUAAUUUUAAUUUUUAAAAAUAGAUUUUUUUUAUUUUUAAAAUUUUAAAAAAUAAUUAAAUGAUGAGGUGUCAUUCAUGUGAUAAUCCAUGUAUAUGCCACAUUAGCAAAGUUAAAAAAUAGUUAACAUUUCUAUCAAUUUUGGGGAAUUUGAUAAAAACACAAGUUAAAAAAUUAAAAAACAUGAAAAAAAUAAAUGAAUGACUAAAAUAAUUUUUUUUUGUAAAACUGGAGGCCAAAUAAGUCAUUAUGGCAAAAAAAUUAAAAAUUUAUUUUCUCCUCCAAAAGUAGAAUCUAAAUUUAAGCGGAUAUUAGAUAAUAAUAUUUACGGACUCGAACAUCGAAAAUGUAUGAAAUUUAUUGUUGUUCAAUGAAUUUAUUGUUUAAUAAUUACUUUUGUUUUGGCCAUUGGGAAAUUUUUCUAGCCCUUAUAAUAUAUAUCCAUAUUAUUGGAUGUGCUUCUUUUAUUCAAUUACAUUGCCUAAGGUUGCUUAUUGCGAUUAUGGUAACUUGAUGCAUCAUCCCCUGACUAAAUCUUCUCAUUUUCAGUGUUAGAAUCCUCCUCUUUAAAAUUUGGGUCUCAUGUUGCUUUUUGAGCAUUACUAUGCCAUUCUCCUCUUAAACACGUCGAAAAAUCCAGUAGGAGCUUCUACUUCCGAUUCUGGAGAAGUUGCCUCCCUUGAACUCAACAAAACCCUAUCAGCUUCCGGAGAUGCUACCUCAUCAAAAGCCUUCUCCUCUUGUCCUACUACAAAUUGGAUUGAGAACACUAAAGCCAAUGAGAACACAACCAAAAAAAAACCUUCGCCAUCUUUUUUAUUUUCUAAAAAGGUUAAGAAAUAAGUAAAGAUAUAUUUUUAUUGAUGCUUAAUGAUGAAAAUGAGAAGAAAUUUAAAGAGUUUAAAAUGAGAUAUUUUGGUCGAAUCUAUGGGUCGUUGACUAGUCCAGUGCCUAAUAGCCAUACACGACAAAAAUACAUAUAACUUCUCUCCCCAUUUUCAAUGGCCAUGUUUAUCACUAUUAUUGGUGGGUUCAAUUUACUUCACUUUGCUUGACUCGAAGACGUUGUGGGUGAUCGAUGAUGUGUUUUAAAAUCAUUCUGACCUGUUCUAUUUGCAUCACCUGUACCAAUCAAAAACACUCAUCCUUUUAUAGUUCAAUAUAUUUUCCAUGAAACAACUUCAAAAGUCAAGCAAAAUCUAAAUAGCUUUCUUCUUCUAUAUUGAAUACUGACUGUUAAGUUACCUUGGGUUUAAAGUAUGUUCUUCUACUUGUCUAUGGUUAUCGAUCAUAGUACCGGUUGUCAAAUCGUCGCUUGGAGCUUGCUACCUAGGCUUUUCAAAAGAAAAAAAUUUAACAGCCAAAUGACCAGGCCGUUCUUGACAUUUUUGAGGCCUUAGGCGACACAAUAAAUUGGGGCCCCAAAUUAUAAGAUGUAAUACAAUAUAACAAAAAAAUUGGGGCCUUUUUUUCUGCAUGCAAUAAAUCAGAAGAUUUAAAAGGUUGAAGAUUUUUAUUUUAGACCCUUCCAGCUCUGGGUGUCUGCAGUCGAAACUACCCCCAGGGUCCGGCCUACAAGUGACAUAAAUAAAAAUCUUCUGAAUAGUUCAGUAAUCAUUUUUAAAGUCAAGUAAAUAAUUAACCGUAAUUCUUCAGAAAAAUAUUUGAACAUAAAAUUUAUGAAUUUUUCUAUAAUACAUUAUUACAUUUUUUUCACAUUUUCAAUAGUUAUAUAUACAAUGAUAAAAUGAUAAUCUAAUCUCAUGGAGUGGGGCAAGGUAAGAAAUUACCAUAAUUGCUCCAUACUUGCUAUUUAAAAAAAAAAUCCACCUCGCCCUCCUCUACAUCCACUUUUGAAAAGAAAUCCUCUUUAUCUGGAGUGGAUCGAUUCGAAAUCCAUAGAGUGAUUCGGGUCUUACCAUCCCUAGUUACACAUCUAUACUAUUAUUUUAUUCUCAUUGGAGCCAAUCUCAUUGCCCAACCAAAUGGACCCGAAAGUUUUAAAUGAUAACAACAACAAUGGUAUAGAUAAAUGGAUUUAUACAUGAAUGCGGCUUCUUUUUUUUAAGAAAACUGAAAGUGACAAUAUAAGUACUAUAUUCCUAUCUAACAUAACUCAUCUUGUCAAUUGAGUUUUAGUUCGAUUAGUAUCAUUGCUAAUUGCAGCAAUCAAGAAAAUGUUGGUUUAAGGAUAACUAAGUGCAUUUUUAAUCUAAUUUAAGAGUUAAGGGUGAAUUAUGAGUAGAAGUAAUGAUAAGUGAUAAAAUAACAUAUUUUAAUCCGGUUUUUAAUGCGUUUUUGGAUGAUUAUUUAUGCAAAUUGGUAAAUUUUAUGCUCUUGAUCCUUUAAAUCCAUGUUUUUAUAUUUAGGAGAGCAUUUGGGAGUAAAAGGAGCGAAAAAUAAGUAAAAAUCAGACAAAUAGAGCAUAUUUCAGGAGCCACAUAGGUUGGACACAUGACCGUGUGAGCCACACAGGCUGGCACACAGCCAUGUGCCAGACCGUGUCGAUUAUGCGAUUUGUAUCCCAAACACGUGGAAAAAAUGCAAUUUUUAGGCUUUUGUGGCAUUCUAAAGUCUAUAAAUACCAAAUAGAAUAUGAAAAGUGGGGGAGAUCAGAGAGUAUUGAAGGAAAUAACUCGAAGAAGACCAUUGAAGCCAACUUUGAAGCAGAUUUCCAUCAAAAUUGAAGAUCUCCUUUUAAUUUGUUUGAAGCUUUUAUGAGUUUCUUUAUCUAAUCUUAUAGUUAUACCUAAUCUUAUAGUUAUACUGACUUUGAGAUGUUUUUAUUUACAAUUAUGAACUAAUCCUUUAGAUACUUAGUGGAGAUAAACCCUAUGAUGAAUUCUAUUAUUUAAUUUCUGUUUUACGCAAUAAAUACUUGAAUCUUGUUCUCAAUUUUGUGUGAUUAAUUCUUAAUUUGAUACUUCUAGAUUAUUAAUCCAUGUUUGAUAUGCUUAAAUUUGAGGAGGAAAAGUCUCUGUUUAAUAGUAGAUCUAGCAUAAUUGAGUGGAGUUGCAUGCAAUCCUAGAAAUAAAAUGACAUAAAUCUAUUAGAUUAGAGUCAAAUCUAAUAAGGGAAUCUAUAGGUCGAGUUAAUGCGACAAUAUGAGUUUUAAUUAGAAAGAAAUUUCAAUUAAUUAAUCUAGAGUUAGUUGAUCUUACUCUCAAAAAAGAUAUUAGUAUAAUUUAGGGGAUUCAAUAUGAUAGAUAAAGUCUAGGUGGAUUAUUUCCUAGGUAUCAUUUAGCUUCUUGGUUAUUAUUCAAUUAUUUUCUUGAUUUAUUCUCUGUUGAGUUCUUUAGCUAAUUAAUUUAGUAGAUUUUAGCUUAAACCAAUCACUACAAUUAGUUGAUUAAAUAAUAAGAAAAUGGUAAUUACUAGUACUUUUAGUCCUCAUGAAUACAAUAUAUUUACUCACCAUAACUAUACUAUUUAUCAAUAGGUGCACUUGCGUUUAUCGUAUUUUUAGUUAGUUUCGUGACUAUCAAGUUUUUGGCUCUGUUACUAUGAGGAAAACUUUAUUUCUAUCAAUUUAAUUAUUUUUAUUUUUAUAUUUUUGUUUUAAUUUAAUUUUUACAUUUUAAUUUUUCUUUUGUUGUUUCUAGCAGGUUUUUUUGGUCUAUGACUAGAGGAAAGCCGUCGUGACCAUUGCUUUUUGAUACUGAGUUUGAAAGUACUGCUCGUAGAAAUCGUAAAGAGAUUAGAGAAAUAAGACAAAAUCAACAGAAUAUAGUAUACUUAUUUUAAGCACGUGCCCUAUACAAAAUUUUGAAUAUUGAUUAAUGUUAAUUAAUGUUUUAAAACAUUUUCCUCCAAACGUUUAAAUACUAAAUAUUUCAUAUAUCUCAAGAGUGAUAGUUAUAGUUGUGCUAUUAGUACGAUGAUACUUGUUCUUAGAGAAUAUAUAAAACAACUUAGAAAUCUAAUUUAAAAAUAGAUAUUUGAGUGUGUGACAAAUUCAUAACUCAUAUUCUGAAAAAAAAAAAAAAAAACAAUACCAUCAUACUGGUAUUAAAAUUGUUUUUAUUGUUUUCGAUUCAAACUCAAAACUACAACAAUAAUUGUAAGCUUCAAAACAUUUUAUUAAAUCCUCAAAGCUUUUAGUAUACAUCGAAUAAGUAUUCUGAUAGCCUAGCUAUUAACUUGGGUUUAAAUGUUAGCUCAAAUUUCAUGUGAAUUAUAUCUAAAAUAUGUGGAUUGAUUUGAAUAUAUAUGUAUACUUAUUGCAUGGAUAGUUAGAACCGAUAAGUAACCAAAAAAAAAGUUUAAUCAUGCUUUUAAUCUUUAUAUUCUUUGGAAAUUUGAAAUUUAGUCCCUUUGCUUUUAAUUAUAGGAGUUUAGUCCUUCUACUUGUCUAAUUUAAAAAAUAAAGUCCAAUUGAUAAUAUUAUUAGCAGACUUCUGUUCAAUUUGAAUAUCUAGCAUUCCAAUAAUCAAAUGCUCUGAUUUAAAAACUAAAGUCCAAUCAAUAAUACAUAUUAAUAUUUAGUGGAUGCAAAUUAAUAACACUUUAAAUUGGUCUUUAAAUUUUAAAUCAAAUAAGGGACUAAAUUCUUAAAAUUAAAAGUAGAGAGACUAAACUUCAAAAAAGUGCAAAAAGUACAAUGAUUGAGGGCGUAAUUGGACCCAAAAAAUAGUAUUUCUAAAGUUUUAUUCAGACUAUUUUUUGUGACACGUGGGAUCUAAAUUGUUCAUACGGUAAGUAAUAGCGUGUUUAUAUUGAUCAUUGCAUUUAAUAUAUGUUGGACCUCACAUUCAAGCUAGCACUUAUCCCCUAAAUUUGAUUAAUAUAAUAUUGAUAUUUAGAGACUUAAUUAAAUUAUUUUAAAAUUGAGGGAUCAACUAAAAAUUUAAGUGAUAAUUUAAAAAUAUUUGAUGAAAUUAAAUCAAUAAAAAAAGUAAAAAAAAAAAAGAACAACAAAGUAGCAUGUGAUUUGUUUAAAAAAACAACAACAAAGAAGCAUGUGAUAAAAAUAUUUAAUUUCAUAUUGUCGUGUAAGAAACAUGGGUCUAGCCUUAUAAUUCUAUAUGCAAAUAUAUAAAUAUAAAAAAAAUUUAAAAAAGUUUACUAUCAAUACAUCUCACAAAAAUAUAUAUAAUUUUUAUUUUAUUUUAAAAAUUAUAAGUUAAUUAGAAUAAAAAUAAAUGAUAAAUUUACCCAAAGUCAUUAAACUAUUAAUAAAUUUACGUUUUAGUCACUUAACUUCAAAAAGUUAUAAAUGAUCACUUUUUAUACGAUCUGUACUAAUAAAAAACUUUAUUUCCUUUUUCUUCUAUAGUUUAGUUUUUUCUAUGAAACUUCUUCAAUUUCAGAUACUAAUUGUUAAAUUAACUUGGAUCCAAUGUAUGUUUUUUUAUUUGUCGAUGGGUAUCGAUCACAAUACUAAUAAUUAAAUUGUCACUUGGAACUCGUUAAUUAGAUUUUAUAAAAAAAAAGUUUAACAAUCUAGUGAUCAUUUUGUAACUUUUUUAAAAUUAAAUGACCAAAUCAUUACCAUAACUAAAGUUUAUAGUUAGGUUAAUGGCAAAUAAAUAUUAUAUGGAAAAAAAUUAAAAGGGAAACGCGGUUACCCAUCAAAAAAAGAAAGUGUUGAUUUCAUUACAUGGUAUGAGCUAAUCAACAGCUGUAUAUUUUGGUGGUAUUCCCAUUUAAUUUUAAUUUUUUUUAACUAAAGAGGUUUAAAAUAGAAAAAAAUAAUUUUUUUGAGAUUUAUUUAUUCUAAAAUAAUAUUUAUAAAAUUUUAAAAUAUUAUUACCAAAUAAAUAAUAUUCACCCAAUUAAAAAUCUGAAAUCACGGCAUAAUAAUGGGAGAGUCUUAACUAAUUAAUUUUGGUCAAGUCGUAAAUUCCCUUUAUAUAAAAAAUUAAAAAUACAGCUAAGAUAUUUUCUUUAAAUGGAAAAUUAUUUCAUAAAUAUUAAUAUAAUUUUUUAUUAUUCCGAUCAAAAAUUGAUUGAUAUAACGAUUAAAACAAAGGGAUUGAAUCGAUUCUUUAACGAAAUAUUCAAAAUUGAUAAAAAAUAAAAAAUCGAGACAAAAAAUUUAUUUUAAUAUAUAUUUGUAAAAACGUAUAUAUAAUAUUAAAGAAAAAAAGGGGGAAUUCAUGAAUGUAAUAAUUUCGGGUCAUAAAAUUCAUUUAAUUAUAUAUAUAUUUUUCUCUUUCCCUCCCAACUACUAUUAUUAUUAUUGCACUUUUUCUUCACUUCGAUCUUUGUACCUUCCAAUGGGAAACAUCGACCACCGUCACUUCCUUUACCCUUUCCUCCUCCUUUCCGCCGUCCUCUGCGCCGCAGACGAUGGUGCCGUCAUUGUAAAGCUAGCUUCAUCCCUUAGUCCACUUCCGAGAGGCUGGUCUUCCACCUCUUCAGACAACUACUGCAACUGGUCAGGCAUCAAGUGCGCAUCCAACCGCGUUACUUCCAUCAACUUAGCUUCCAAAUCCUUGUCCGGUUCACUCCCUGCCGACAUCUCCACCUUGUCGGAACUCCGUACCGUAUCGCUUCAACACAAUUCCUUAUCUGGGUCCAUCCCAUCUUUCGCCAACCUUUCCAACUUACAAAGCAUUUACCUCGACGGUAACUCGUUCACCUCGGUCACACCCAACGCGUUCUUCGGGUUAACCAGUCUUCAAACACUGAGUUUAAGCGAAAACACGAAGCUGAGUCCAUGGACAUUCCCAGAUUUAUCCCAAUCAACGAGUCUCGUCGAAGUUCAACUCGACAACACCAACUUAUACGGCACUUUACCCGAUGUGUUCCAAUCUUUGAACAGUUUACAAAGCAUAAGGCUGUCUUACAACAACUUGAACGGCACAUUGCCGGCUUCUCUCGCCGGUUCAAUGAUUCAAAAUCUUUGGAUCAACAAUCAGAAUGUUGGGUUCACAGGUACUUUAGAUGUUUUAUCUAACAUGACAGAUUUGCUUCAAGUUUGGGUUCAUAAAAACAUGUUCACUGGUCAGAUCCCAGAUUUGUCUAAAUCUAUGGGUAUCUUUGAUAUUCAGCUUAGAGAAAACUUAUUGACCGGCCCAGUUCCGGGAUCUUUAACUAAUCUCCCUAGUUUGAAGAACAUUUCAUUGUCUAAUAACAAAUUACAGGGUCCAUUUCCGAAAUUUCCCAACACAGUUGAAAACAUUGCUGUUAAUGGUACUAAUAAUUUCUGUAAUAGUAAUGGUGAUCCUUGUGAUCCUCAAGUUACUACAUUGCUUGAGAUUGCUGGUGGUUUUGGGUACCCUGUUUUUCUCUCUGACGAUUGGCCUGGAAAUGAUGCUUGUCAAUGGGUUUUUGUUCGUUGUGAUUCACAAGGCAAUGUGAUUACUGUGAAUCUCGCAAAGAAAAACUUGGUCGGAACGAUUUCGCCGGCAAUUGCGAACCUCACGAAGUUGAAGAACUUGAAUCUGAAUGAUAAUAACUUAACAGGUUCAAUCCCUGAUGGUUUGAUUAAGUUGAGUAGUUUGCAGCUUAUCGAUGUGUCUAACAACAAUCUCACCGGUGACAUUCCAAAAUUUUCGGCUUCGGUUAAGUUUGCUUAUUCAGGGAAUAUUUUACUAGGAAAAUCUAGUGGUUCUGGUGGUGGAGGAACUUCAGGUUCCGGAGGAUCUAGUGGAGGUUCGAGUGGUAGCUCGAAAAGCGGUAGCAAUGGUAAGAAUUCUGUAGCUUUGAUUGUCGGUAUCGUCAUUGGUGUAGUGGUUUUCGUUGCUGUUGUAUGUUUUGUUUCGUAUAAGUACGUGAUGAACAAGAAAUAUGGGAAAUUUGGUGUGAUGGAUGGUAAUGCUAGUGAUGCUGAGAAGGGAGUAGUUAAGAACAGGGAGAUGAAUGGUUAUGGAGGAUUGCCUAGUGAAAUGCAGAGUCAAAGUAGCGGUGAUCAUAGCGAUUGCUAUUUCUUUGAGGAUGGAAAUGUGGCGAUCUCGAUACAUGUCCUACGAGAGGUGACUGAUAAUUUCAGCGAGGCUAAUAUUUUAGGAAGAGGGGGUUUUGGGAUCGUGUAUAAAGGUGAAUUACAGGAUGGCACGCAGAUUGCUGUCAAGAGGAUGGAGUGUGCAGCUAAAGGUACUAAAGGUUUGAACGAGUUUCAAGCUGAAAUUGCGGUACUUACGAAGGUUAGGCACAGGCAUUUGGUUGCACUUUUGGGUUACUGCAUCAAUGGCAAUGAGAGGCUCUUGGUUUACGAGUAUAUGCCUCAAGGUACUCUUGGUCAACAUCUCUUCGAAUGGCGAGAAAAUGGGUAUGCUCCACUUACUUGGAAGCAACGAGUCACCAUUGCACUGGAUGUCGCGAGGGGGGUCGAGUAUUUGCACUCUUUGGCACAACAAAGUUUCAUUCACCGGGAUUUGAAGCCUAACAAUAUACUACUCACCGAUGACAUGAGGGCAAAGGUUGCGGAUUUUGGCCUUGUUAAGAAUGCACCUGAGGGAAAGUACUCUCUGGAGACAAGACUGGCUGGAACAUUUGGAUAUCUUGCUCCUGAAUAUGCUGGUAAGUCAAUCCUCAUCUGGUAGCUCGAACCUUUCAAAGUAAUUUAGGUGCAUCUUUAAUUUUUCAAUGUGUUGGUGUUUGAAUUCCCGAGUACUAAAAGAUAUUAGCUGUUAAUGUGGUGGAGUUUCUUUACUCGAACCCAAACAACAAUGCGAUAACAUUUGAAGUUUUUUCAGGUUCGAAGUAGAUCAUAAUGUUCUACAUCCUGUUAUAGUUUGAUAAAUUUUGCUAACUUGAACAGCUAGAAAUAAGUUUAUGUUUAGUACCUUGUAUGUCGAUCUUACAGGGAAGAUACAGGCUAUGUUAUCUUGGCUUUUUAUUUUUUCGUGAGGUACCCAUGUUUGAUGCAUAUCUGGACAUUAGAAUGGGAGUACGAGCUCCCAAAGAUCCUCCAAAUACAUAGAGAAAUUUAGAAUCCGAUACUUAUAUCUGAGUUUGAAUAACAUAGAAUAUGGAUUAUAUACUUAUUUUCUUUUAAUCUUGACAGCAACUGGACGGGUGACAACGAAGGUGGACGUGUAUGCAUUUGGUGUGGUCUUGAUGGAGAUAAUAACCGGCAGACAAGCUUUAGACGUAACCUUACCCGAUGAGAAAUCGCAUUUGGUCACAUGGUUCCGCAGGGUUCUAGUCAACAAAGACAACAUUCCCAAAGUGGUUGACGAAACAAUCAACUGUGACAACGAGGAGACAAUGGCAAUGAUCUUCAAGGUAGCCGAGUUAGCCGGUCACUGCACCGCUCGCGAACCGUAUCAAAGACCCGACAUGGGGCAUGCCGUCAACGUGCUUGGCCCUCUCGUAGAGCAAUGGAAACCUACAACCCAAGAGGAUGAUGGAAACACCGGUAUUGAGCUUAACAUGAGCCUCCCUCAGUUCCUACAAAAAUGGCAAGCUGAUGAAGGUACUUCAACGAUGUACGGUGAUUUCUCGUACUCCGAGACCCAAACAAGCAUCCCCGCAAAGCCCUCAGGAUUUUCAGCUACAUUCAGCUCUUCCGAUGGCCGGUGACGGAAAAUGAUAGCUAAAUAGUGUUUUGGUAAUAUAAUGUUUAUCUUUGUUGUUGUUUCUUCAAAAGCUAGCCGAUUGCUUUGUUUUGUUUGGUGAAUUUAUUUAUAUAUUAUUUCCAUGGAAAAAAGACAGGAUUUUUGGAGGGAGAGAGAAAUUGUAUAAUAUAUUCAUAUUCUUUUUUAACUUUUUUCAAUGUAAUGAUAAUUAUUAUUUAAAAAGGUUAAUGCUCUUUUUUUUUUAAAUAUUAAAAUUAUAAUUUUUAUAUUAGAGUUUAAAUUUUUAAUAAAUAUUAAUUUGUUUAUUCAAAUAUAUAAUUAUAUUGAAUCUAAACUAGUUUACUUGAUAAAUGCAUUUUAUUUUCACAAUUUAUAUAGCAUAAUAUUAAAAAAAUUAUGCAAUAAUUUACAAUUGUUUUGUCGAUGCAAUUAAAUAAUAAUUCAAAUUAAAACCGAACAAACUACAAAAAAAUUCAACAUCAAAUCCGACUCAAUUUUUACCAUUUCAAGCAUCUAUUGGUAAACUCAAAGACAAUGUCAAAAGAAAAACAUAUAUUCAACCAAAGGAGACAAGAACACACCCCACCUUGUCCUAACUUCAUAAUCUUUACCUUUUGAUAUACAAAAUCUAUAAACCAACAUUACAUUAAUCAUUAACAUAUAAUCUUUUGUUUCAUGUCCUUUUUCUUGAUUGUAAUAAAUUAAAGAACUAAUCUUAUCUACUUUCCACUUAAUUUACUCAAUUUCUCCUCUUUAUAAAGCAACCACUUUAGAGCCAAAUCCAUCACAUUACAACACGCAGAAACUUGUAAGAAUCAACAAUGGCGACGGCUCUUCUUACAACAAUCCUCUUGUCUUCUUUCCUUGUUGUUUCAUGUAAGUCUUUCAAUGUCCAAAAAUGGUGAAAUUUUGUUCUGUUUUUUAAUUAAAGAUUAACCCUUUUUUUUGUGUGUGUGUGUGUGUUCGGUUUUUAACAGCGGCUGAAAUCUCGAGCAAGAUUGGUAUAAACUAUGGUCGAAUAGGAAACAAUUUGCCAUCACCAUAUCAAACCAUUGAGACCGUGAAAUCGAUGAAUGCCGGGCGUAUUAAGCUCUAUGAUUCCGACCCUGAAAUAUUGAAACUUUUAUCAGGGACCAACAUUCAUGUAUCUGUUAUGGUACAAAACAAUGACAUAAUCCGUAUCGCUUCGAGCCAAGCUGUUGCCGAACAAUGGGUACAAGACAAUGUCUUGGCUUAUUACCCCGACACGAUGAUUCGGUUCGUGUUAGUUGGUAACGAAGUCCUUAGCCACCAAGAUCGAAGAAUUUGGCUUAGUCUUGUCUCUGCCAUGCGUAGGAUCAAGAACUCGUUGAACACGCACGAUAUCAAGAACAUUAAGGUCGGUACGCCAUUGGCUAUGGACGUAAUGCAAUCAACUUUUCCACCGUCGAGCAGUAGGUUUCGGCCCGAUAUUACUGAUACGGUCAUGGCACCGUUGUUAAGAUUCUUGAAUGGAACCAAAUCGUUCUUUUUCAUUGAUGUUUAUCCUUAUUUAGCAUGGUCAGCUAAUCCGAAAAACAUCAGUUUAGAUUUUGCUCUCUUUAGAAGCAGGGUGAGCCAAACUGACCAUGGAAGUCACUUGGUUUACACCAAUCUAUUAGACCAAAUGCUCGAUUCGGUCAUUUUUGCAAUGAGAAAACUCGGAUACCCCGAUAUCCGACUUGCUAUAGCCGAAACCGGGUGGCCAACCACAGGUGAUAUCGAUCAAAUAGGUGCUAAUAUCAACAAUGCAGCCACUUAUAACCGAAAACUAGUCCAAAAAAUGACUGCUAAACCACCAUUAGGGACACCAGCUAGACCUGGUUCAGUCAUACCAACAUUUAUUUUCUCCUUAUAUGAUGAAAACCAAAAGACAGGUCCAACAACCGAAAGACAUUGGGGCUUGUUACGUUCCAACGGAACAUCGAUUUAUGAAAUCGAUCUCACCGGUAAACGACCUCUCUCGAGUUACAAACCAUUACCCGCAGCUAGAAACAACGUACCAUAUAAAGGUAAGAUAUGGUGCGAAGUGGCACCGGGGGCUGACGCGAUGAACUUAUCGUUGGCAUUGUCGUAUGCCUGUGGCCAAGGUAACCAAACUUGUGCUGCAUUGAACCCUGGUAAACAAUGUUAUGAACCAGUAUCGGUUUUUUGGCAUGCAAGUUAUGCAUUUAGUUCGUAUUGGGCUCGGUUUCGAAAACAAGGUGCAACUUGUAACUUCAAUGGCUUAGCUCGACAGACCAGAGCUAACCCAAGUAAGUUUUUUUGUUUGGUCUGAUCAUUACAAGCUUGAAAUUUUGUCUUGAAAAUCUUUAAUUUGGUUCCUUUUUCAGGUCGUGGACACUGCAGUUUCCCAAGUGUGACACUCUGAAGAUGAUUUUAUUUUCAAGUUCAAGCUUAAGGUUCCUUCUAUCAAGGACUUGCAGACACAGUGGUGUCAAUUAAUAUAUAUAUAUAUAUACAUACAUAUAUAUAGUAUGAACUUACUUUAUCUUAUGUUUGUUGUAAGGGAGUAACAGUGUUUUAUGACAUAAUUACAAGAAAAUAAUUGUCUUUGUUUUGCCAUCAAAUUUAAAGAAGUGAAAAUUUCUCAUUUUCAAGUUCUUCUUUGUUUUUCCCUGCAAAUCAAUCCACAUGGAACAUUGUGAUGUAUCAAUUGUUACUUGCCACCAUUAACAUGUAUGAUUAAAAAAUUUUAUGAUAAAAUAGCCUUAAUUGAAUACUAAAUAUAUAGGAGGUACUAAAAUUGAUAUUACUCCACUUAAUCCAGGGAUCUAGACCCAUUCUACCCUUGUAGCUGCCCUUGUAGCUAGAGCUUGAUUGUUGAAGUAUGCGAGAAAUUUUAGGCUCAAUUCAAUUUAAUGUUUUUGAAAAAAAAUUAGUGGUCGAAUUAAUUAAUUAUCAAUUUUUGAUCUCACUAAUCGAUUUAGUUUUAAUUAAAUAACUUAUUAAAAAUUUAUAAAAUUAAAAGAAAAUUAUGACCAAAUGUAGCCCUAAAUUAUACUUGGAUUUAUUUCUUACACUUAAAUGCCCAAAAAAGAACCGCUUCUUUGAACCGGGUGGGUUUGGCUUCAAGUCAUCAACAAAGGCUAAUGUAUGCCAAUUCUUCACUAUCUUCACCAACUCCAAAACUGUGCCAAGCACCGUUCUAUCGUCUCCACCAAACAACUCCAUGCCCAUUUCAUCAAACUUGGCGUAACCCAGUUUCUCGCUUUAAGCAAUACUCUUUUAAAUGUCUAUGGCAAAUGCAGCCUCCUUCAAGAUGCUCUCCAACUGUUCGACGAAAUGCCACAAAGAGACCAUGUUUCAUGGGCUACCUUUCUUACUACUCAAAACCAAGCCAACUUACCCGACAAGACCUUAUCUAUGUUCCCUGCCAUGUUUUCACUUGACAGGUUGCUGCCUGAUGAUUUUGUUUUCGCUAGCCUUGUCAAGGCUUGUGGUAGCUUGGGUGCUAUUAAACAAGGUAAGCAAGUUCAUGGCAACUUUUUAGUAUCACCCUAUUUUGAUGAUGAUGUUGUUAAGUCAUCUUUGGUUGAUAUGUAUGCAAAAUGUGGAUUACCUGAUGAUAGUCGUUUAGUUUUCGAUUCUAUUAAGUUGAAAAAUAUGGCUUCUUGGACUGCUAUCAUAUAUGGCUAUGCUAGAAAAGGAAGAAAAGAAGAGGCUUUGGAGUUGUUUUUAAGGGUUCCCCUGAAAAAUUUGUUUGCUUGGACUGCUUUGAUAUCUGGGUUAAUACAGAGUGGAAAUGGGGUUGAUGCAUUUGGCUUGUUUGUUAAGAUGAGAAGGCAAGGGAUUAGUAUAAUUGACCCUCUUGUGCUUUCAAGCAUUGUUGGUGCCUCUGCUAAUUUAGCGAUGUUGGAACUAGGAAAGCAGGUCCAUGGACUCGUUAUACAGCUUGGAUACGAAUCUUGCGUGUUUAUAAGCAAUGCUCUUGUGGAUAUGUAUGCAAAAUGUAGUGAUAUGUCGGCAGCAAGGGAUGUUUUUAGUAGGAUGUCACAAAGAGAUGUUGUUUCCUGGACGUCAAUUAUAGUUGGGGCUGCUCAGCAUGGACAGGCCGAGGAAGCGUUGUCCUUGUAUGAUAAUAUGAUUUUGAAUGAAGUCAAGCCGAACGAAGUGACCUUUGUUGGAUUGAUUUAUGCUUGUAGUCAUGUUGGUUUAGUGAAUAGAGGCCGUGAACUUUUUAAGUCUAUGGUUGAGGAUUACGGCAUUCAUCCUUCCUUGCAGCAUUACACAUGUUUGCUGGAUCUUCUUGGUCGAUCUGGACACCUCGAGGAGGCUGAAAGUGUUAUAAACUUGAUGCCAUUUAAGCCUGAUGAACCUACAUGGGCAGCAUUGUUAAGUGCAUGUAAGCAAUAUAGAAAUGCCAAAAUGGCCAUUAAGUUUGCUGACCAUCUAUUUAGCUUGAAACCUGAAGAACCUUCAACAUAUAUUCUAUUAUCUAAUACAUAUGCUAGUUCCGGUUUGUGGGAACAUGCUUCGAAAGCAAGGCACUUGCUGGAGUCUCUGGAAGUUAGAAAAGAACCCGGUUAUAGCUACAUCUAUUUUGGCAAAGAAAGCCAAAUGUUUUACGCCGGGGAAACUUCUCAUCCAAUGAAGGAUAAGAUUUUCGGUUUGUUGAACGAGUUGGAUGUAGAGAUGAGAAGGAGAGGUUAUGUUCCAGAUACCAGCUAUAUUUUGCAUAACACGGAUCACCAAGAGAAGGAGAGGCAACUGUUUUGGCAUAGUGAGAGAUUAGCCGUUGCUUACGGGCUUCUUAAAUCCGUUCCGGGAACCGUCAUACGGAUAGUGAAGAAUCUCCGUGUGUGUGGAGAUUGUCAUACUGUCUUAAAACUCAUUAGUGACAUAGUGCAAAGAGAAAUCGUCGUCCGAGACGCCAAACGAUAUCACCAUUUUAAGGGUGGGAAAUGUUCGUGCAAUGACUUUUGGUGACUCUGUUUUCAAUUCCAUUGUUUCAUCUUUAUAUCUCUGCCACUUUUGGAAGUUUCUCUAUGUUAAGUAUAUGAUCUUUUGGGUUACAUCUUUACAUCAGUCAAAAAAAUUUUUAUUCAACUCGGACUUAGCUAGUUAUCAUUUUGAUCACUUAACUAAAAAAGUUAUAAUUUAGUCAUUAAAUUUCAAAAUUGUUUUAUUAUCAGUUGAACAUUAAUUGACACUUUUUUAAUUUGUAUAAUAAUAAUUUUAGUCCUCAACUUUUAUAUUUUCUAUCAACAUGACCUUGAUUCUAUAUAAAAAAAUAUAAAAUCAUUUUUAAAAGAUAGAAAAUUCUAUAUAAUAAUUCUAAAAAAUAAAACCUGAAAAAUGUCAUUAUUUUAAAACUAAUAUGUAUUGGGAAAUAAAGAAAAUCACCGUUCAAUAGAAUUUAAUAACAAAUUAAAAUCAUAAUAAAAAAAAAGUUAGAUCAUUGCAUGUUUUUUUAGUAUUUCUCAAAACCAAAUUAAUAAUAUAUUUUAACUCAAGUUCCGUGCCUCUGAAAAACAUCCAAAAUCGAACUAGAUUCUGCAAACAUAGGAAAAUGAACUACGUAAAGAAACCUUAAUGUUAUUUCUGUUUUGUUUGCUUAGUUACUCAAAAUAUCGAGUCGUGAUGACCACUUCAGUCUAUAUACAGAUACAUGUUAAAAAGGUCAAGUAUUAAAUAAUAUAUUAAACUUAAAAUAAUAAUAAAAUUUUGGAAGAUAAAAAUAGGUUUAUAUAAUUAGAUAAGUUAAAAAAAAAAAAAAAAAAAGCCAGGGGGACCAGGGCCUUUUCCUUUGUCCCAUUUAUAGUUUAUUUCCACCGCCUCCCACUAUUUCUAAAAGGUUAAAAUUGGUCAACUUUUAGAAUAUUUUUAUUUUGGUCAUUUAAAAAUAAAACCUUUAUAAUUUCACCACUUAAUUUUUAUGGUGUUUUUAUUUUAGUCAUCCAUCAUUAAAUUUCUAAUGACAGUUGACUUGUACAUGCCAUAUCAUGUUCACACUUUCAUUUUGAUCACCCAAAAAAUAUCUUUUUUUUUCUGUAAUAUUGAUCGGAGUAAAAAAAUUAGUGAUUAAAGUGAAAAAGCGGUAAAAACUAAAAUAAUGCUUUAAAAAUUGACAAAUUGUACUUGUUUCCCCAUUGCCGAAAAUUGUUACUUUUUUUCAAUAUUGAAAUUUUAAAAUUCAAAAUAUCAAAAUCAAUUAAAUAAGUUAUUGAAACUUUUUUUCUCUCUUGAUAAUAUUAACCGAUUUGUUACUAUAAUAUUAGUGCCUUUUAAAACUUAAAAUUUUAUUUUAUAUUUCCAAAUUAAAAUUAACUCAAAUAAAGCAUCUUUAAUAAUUGUGCAUGAAACCCAAAGUUCUUUCGAUUAUAUAAUCUUGAGUAUUUCAUACUAAGCUAAAAGUAAAGAAAAAUCCUUACAAUUAAUUUUAUCUUCCAUGCCAAACAAAACUUAGAACUUUUUUUAUCACUUCUUUACCCAAACAAAGAACAAGCAAUUAAUUUAAUUAAUUGGAAUAAUUUUUCUUUACUUUUUAGCUUAGUAUGAAAGAUUCGAUAUUAUAUAAUAAAAACUUAAAUUUCGUAGAAAAUUAUUAAAUAUGAGUUAUUGAGUUAAUUUCAUUAAAAAUAAUAUGAAAACAUAAAAUAAAAAUUUAAAUUUAGAAGAUGAUUAAUUUAAUUAAUUUGAAUAUUACAGUAACAAAUCGGUUAACAUUAUCAAAAAAUAAUAUUUUUAAUAAUUUAUUUAUUUGAUUUUUAUAUUUUGAAAUUUAAAUUUUCAAUAUUGAAAAAAAAAAGAAAUUUAGAAUUUUCGGGAAUGUGAUAAACAAGUACAAUUUAAUAAUUUUUUAAUGAAUUAUUUUAGUUUCUACGACUUUUUCACUUUAAUCCUUUUUUUUUACCCCAAUCAAUACUUUAAAAAAUAUAUAUUUUUGGGUGACUAAAAUGAAAGUAUAAACAUUAUGUGGCAUGUACAGUUAAUCGCAUUAGGGAUUUAACAGUUGGGUGACUAAAAUAAAAUUGCCCUAAAAUUUGAGUAACGAAAUUGGAAGGAUUUCAUUUUGGGUGUCCAAAUAAAACCACCCUAAAAGUUGAGUGACCAACUAGGUAGUUUACCUUGUUAAAAUAAGUCUAUAGUUCCUGUACUUUUCAAAAAUUAAGAACUUAGUCCCUAUAAGCUUAUAUUUCUAAUAAUAUAGUCUCUUUAUUUUUCAGAUUUUAAAAUUCAAAUAUAACUGUUAUAGCAACAAAUUUAGUCAAAAUGUAGUAUUAUAUUAUACUUUUGACUUUUAAAAUCAAUUAAAAUAGCUCAGAAACAUGAGGAAGACAAUAGAGGUGAUCGGGUGAAUAUUUUUUUUCUCAAUUUUAGUUCAUACGAUGAUACGAUUGUCAUGCCUUCAUACGAUUAAAAUUGAAAAAAAAAAUCAAAUUCCAAAAUUAAUGUGCAUAAAGAAAAAGUUCAAGGACUAAGUUGAUAAAAGAUUUCAAAUUUAAAGACUAAAUGUUAUUUUAUUUAAAAAAAAAGUAACCCAAGGUGGUUGUAAUAUCAAAAUCGAAAUAAUUGAAAUAUACAUUUACCAAUUUCAACGCAUUUGAGAAAAAAAGAAGAAGAAAGAAAAGAUAUUUGAACUCACGGUUAAUAUAAUGUCUAAAACUAUCUAUAGUUUUUUCCUAAUUCUUAAAUAAAAAAAUAAUGGGUUUUAGCGCCAUUGAACUCACGUCCUCCUACAUUAACAAUAAUACUAAUAUCAAUUGAGUUAAGACUUAAUUGACAAGAUAUUAUAUAUAUAUAUAUAUAUAUAAUAUAUAUAUUUAAUGGGUCCAAAUAUACAAAUCAAUUCAUAAAAUCAAUAAUUGAAUCACGUUUUUUAUUCACAAAUUACUUUGCACAUUUUAUUCAUAAAAUCAAUUGAGUUAAUCUUCAAUCACUUUUUUUCUACUUUACAUAUUUAAUUCUUGGUUAAAGCCAACUUCUAGGAAGUAAAGUUCAAUUUUAACUUCUCCACUUCAAAAAAAUCAAAUUACAUAAAUUAAAAUAUUGUAAUUUGAUUGACUUUAUUCAUGAAUUAGACCGCGUUGGAUCAAAUUGAGUGAAUUUUUUUUUGAGUUAAUCAAGUUUAUGAUUUCUAUUUUACUAUCUUAAUUCAAUUUUAAAAAAAUUUUAAUCAAAUCGAGUGAAAAUUUGAGUCAAGUCUAAUAAAUUGAAAUUGUUCGAGUUGAAUUAAAAAACUAAACAUGUUAAAUUAAAAUCUUGUUGCAAUAUAAUUAAUUUCACGUUAGAGCAUGUAAAUUUGAAAACUUUUUCAAAGAAAAAAAAAGAUACUUCAGUAUGAUAAGUUGAAUCAUUAAUUAACUUAUUUUAGGUUCCAAAACUAUUAUUUUAAAAAAAAUUUAAACAUUUAAUUUUCUUUAGAAUUUUUUAAAAACUUUCAUAGUUUUUUUUUUAAAUAUAAAUGAAUUUUUAUAAUUAUUUUUUAUUUUUUAUUUUUGAAAAUUAUUUUGUAAUUUUCGCUGAGAGAGAUCAAUUUGCUCAUUUUCAAAAUUGAUAGAGACUAAAAGGGUAUUUACACCAAUGUAUUAUUUGGAUUGUAAAAUUCAACUUGACUCGAACCCAAAACUAGAAUAACUCAACCAACUCAAUUCGAUUAACUUGAAAUUCGAAUCUUUUUCUGAAUCGAAUUGAGUUUUGCUCCUCUAAUUUUAUUAUUAAAAAAUUAUUAUAUUGAUAUUAAUAAAGUAUUAGAAAAUAUAUACUUAUAUUAAUAUUUAUUUUAUAAUUUAAAAAUAUUUUUAUUUAAGAUUAAUUAAAUAUAUAUUUACAUAUCAAAUGAAUUAGAAUAAGCUAAAAAAAUGGUCGUGAGAAUUUUUAAAAUGAAAACUGUGAAAAUCAAAAUAACUUUAGCUAUUAAAUCAAAAUAAAUAAAUUAGAAUAGUGAAUUUAUUGAUCAUUAAGAAAUUAAAAAUUGAAUAAGAAUUUAUUUUAUAAUAUAUCAAUGUUUAUUGUUUAUAAAAAUUCUUUAAUAAUAGGAAAUUUUUAUUUGUACUAUAUUUUAAUAGUUAAAAUAAUUAUAUAUUUUAAUAGCAUUCAUUAAUUAUUAUUUUAAAUAAUGAUUACAUGAACUAAAAUUAUAUUGUAUAUUAAAGUUAUAAUUUGAAUUUUUUAAAUAUUAUUAAAAAAUUAUUGAUUUAUAAAAUAUCAAUAUUUUAAUAUGAUAUUUGAAUUUUUUAUUAUAUUUAAAUUUUUAAAUAAGUUAAUUAUUUUUUAAUUUUUAACCAUUUGAAUAACGAAUUAAAAUUUUAAUUAUAAUAAUUAAAAAUAUAUUAUAUAAAAACUAAUUAAAAAUUAAAUGUAUAAAAUCACAUUAUAACCAUUAAAAGAUAGUUAUAAAUUAAAAGCAAAAGAUAUAAACAUUUUUAAAAAAAAAAUUAAAAUAAAUAAUUUCUAAUUUGUGACCCAAAAAAGUUAGGUACCCAGGCAUUCAUAUGCCCCCACAGCUACACAAAGAGCCUAUAAAUACAAAGGAAUUUCCCAUGCUUUUCACUACCAAAUUACUCAUACAAACCCAUUUUCUAAAGAUAAAGUUUUUUUCUCCUUUUGGUACUUUGUGAGUGGAGAGAGAGAGAAUUUGCCAUGGGUGAAGAAGUAGGGUGUUGCAAGAGAACAGGACCAGGGUAUGGAACUCCAUUGGAAGCCAUGUCUGGUCCUAAAGAAGCUCUUAUGUAUGUUACUUGUGUUUAUAAUGGUAAUACUACUUUUCUUUCAUUUUCUUUGAAACCAAACAUGUUUUAAGUAAUUACUUAUGUUCAUCUAUGUAGGUUUCUUUUUUCUUUCUCUUUUUUUUUUUUUUUUAGUAAUGGAUUUGUAUGCAUCUAUAUAGGAACUGGAAGAGAGAAGCCAGAUUUCUUGGCAACAAUAGAUGUAGAUCCCAACUCACCAACUUACUCUAAAGUUAUACACAGGCUAUCUUUGCCAUAUAUAGGUGAUGAACUACAUCAUACAGGGUGGAAUGCUUGUAGUUCUUGUCAUGGUGAUCCAUCAUCUGAUCGACGGUUUCUAAUCCUGCCUUCGUUGCUGUAAGAAACUGUAACAUGUCUAAUUUUUUAGGGUAGAGUAAACUAUAGUUUUCAAUUAACUUGGUUCAGAGGAGCUGGUUUUGAUGGUUAAGACAGUUUUGUAACCGAUUAAAACAGGUUAUAUCGGUGGAUUAGAAAUAUUAGAUUAUGGUUGACUAAUUACGUGAAAAAAAUGGUGAAAUUUAUAAAGUUUUGUGUUGAAAUCUUAUUUCAUAUAUAUAUGUAAAAGAUAUAAACGAAAAACCCUCAAACUUGAGUGAGUGUUAAAUUUGAAUAAUAUAGCACAACUCGAUUGAAUUUUAAUUCGAUUGGUAUGGAUAUUAUUAUCAAUAUAGGAAGACAUGAGUUUGAAUGUGUUAAAGGGUAACCUUAUCUUAAAAAGAGAAUAUAUGUAUAGCAGAAGUAUAUUAUGAGUAUUUUGCUUGUUUCAGCUCUGGUCGUAUCUAUGUGAUCGACACACAAAAGAACCCCAAGGCUCCCUCGUUGCACAAAGUGGUGGAACCUGAGCACAUCAUUGAGAAAACCGGCUUGGCAUAUCCCCAUACAUCUCACUGCCUUGCCAACGGCGACAUAAUCAUUUCAUUUCUCGGCGACAAAGAUGGAAACGCCCAAGGCAACGGAUUCCUUCUCCUCGAUUCCCAGUUCAACAUCAAAGGGAGGUAAAUGCAAAAACAAAAACAAAAACAACAAUUUAGACCAUGAAAACAAUUGUCAUUAAGCUUAAGCUGUUUCACUUCUUGUUGUUGGUUUUUUUAAGGUGGGAAAAACCAGGGCGUAAAGCUGAGUUUAGCUACGAUUUUUGGUACCAACCUCGACAUAAAACGAUGAUCUGCUCAUCGUUUGGUGCUCCUUUGGCAUUCACCCAAGGUUUUAACCUUAAACAUGUCGAAGACGGUUUCUAUGGAAGACAACUGUUUGUGUAUGAUUGGCCUGAUGGUCGGCUCAAACAGACAUUGGAUCUCGGUGACAAUGGUCUUAUCUCCGGAGAGGUAACUUUAAGGGUUAAUUAAACCAAAUCUUUAUUAACUACUAUACUAAUCACCUUAUUUUAUCGGUCUAAUUAAUACUCACUUUGAAAUAUAUUUAAAAUAUGUAUCAUAUUAUAAAUUUAUAUAUACUUAUAGCCAAUAUUACCAAAACCAUACUUGUGGCCAGCAUCUACUUUCUUAGCCAAUAUUUACUUCAUAUUUUGUGUAUGCAAAAUGCAAUAAAUCCUGCUUUCUUAGACUUGGAAUUCGCUAUAUGCAUGUAUAUACACUGAUGUGUUUUCUUUGCAGAUAAGAUUCUUGCAUGAUCCAACCAAAGACACAGGGUACGUCGAGUGUGUCCUAUCAAGCAACGUAGUACGGUUUUUCAAGACCCAAGAUGGAUCAUCAUGGAGUCACGAGGUGGCUAUCUCAGUGAAACCAUUGAAGGUACAAAACUGGAUUCUCCCCGAAAUGCCCGGACUCAUAAUCGGCCUUUUAAUCUCUCUCGACGACCGGUUCCUAUAUUUCGUCAACUGGUUCCACGGCGAUGUCCGACAAUACAACGUUGAAGACCCCAAAAACCCAAUCUUGGUCGGCCAAGUAUACGUCGGAGGAUUGCUUCAAAAGGGCAGCCCCAUAACAGCAGUCACAGAAGAUGGAAAAACAUGGCAAGCCGAUGUUCCUAAAAUCCAGGUCUUGUUCUUUCAACAUUGAUAUAAUAACAAAAUUGUCGGAUUAGGCCUAUCAAUGGCGAUAUUGAUGCUGAACAUUGUUUUUGUUUGUUUUUGUAGGGACAUUGUCUCAGAGGGGGACCUCAUAUGACACAGUUAAGCUUAGAUGGGAAGCGGCUGUAUGUGACGAACUCGUUGUUUAGCACAUGGGAUCGACAGUUUUACCCUGAUGUUAUAGAGAAAGGUUCACAUAUGAUACAGAUUGAUGUGGACAUUGAGAAUGGUGGUCUGAAAAUAAACCCAGAUUUUUUUGUUGAUUUUGGAGCUGAACCUGAUGGUCCUUGUUUGGCUCAUGAGAUGAGAUACCCAGGUGGUGAUUGUACCUCAGAUAUUUGGAUUUAAAUCAUAUGAAGAAAAAAACAGUUUCAGUUAUGAAGACAAAACAAUCAAUGUAAUCUUGUUGACUGUUGUGAAUUAAAAGAACACGUGUUCUUGGAGGAGAUAAUGUAAUAAUAUCAUCACAUCCACAUGUACCUUGGACUCUCAAUGUUCUAAAACUUGGCCGUUGUUGCUCAUUGUUGAUAUGAUUUGGACUUUGGAGUAUCCUAAGAGAGGUCCAAAAGGUGUCAACUAAAUAAAGCAAAAAAGUACAAUGGGUAACAAACUUAAACCCAGCUCACAAGGUGUCCUAAGCCCAUAGGAACACCGACUAGCAAGGGUUUGGAGUCAUCCCCAACAACCGUUGGAUCACUGUGAAAACAAAAGAGAUGAAUAAAUAUCGAGACAAACAAUCAUUCCUGCCUUCAUCCACCAAACCUUUAAAUCUCUCAUCGCAUUCCAUUGGUGACUCAAAGAGUAGUGAAGGAACUUAAAGAAACAACUUGUUCGGGGUUCGUUCGGGAUUCCAAUAGGACUUGGAAAAAGCAUUACCCCUUCCGGGAAAGGCAAGCCAACUCCAACUUCAUUAAGCCAUCAAUAAGCAUGGUCACAUCUGACAUACAUCUUAUUCAUGGUUAGUUGUUUUAGUAAUAUUAUUUUUAGAGUUGGAACUUAAGUUAUCUCUUUUGAAGUAUAAUGUGUUUUAACAAAACAUUUUAUAUUUAUUAAUUAAUUAAUAAUUAUAUCUUUUAACGAGUAAUGUGAUAAAAUUCGUUAAUAAUGUAUAAAUCUAUAUAUAAAAAGUUGAUUGAGUCUUAGAUCAGUUGAUAUUGAUAUUAUUGUCAAUAUAAAAAGACAUAGGUUUGAAUGUGUAUAAAAACAAUCUAUGUCGAAGACAAUGGUAGGAAUUUUAUAUUAGAGUAGGAUAAUAUUAUAAAAUUUUGAAACCUAAAGCUAAGAUUUCUAGGUUAAGAAGCUUAAAUUGUUAAUUUUUGUAAAGGACCAAAAAAUAAUUUUUUUUUUUUAGAAUUAGAACUAAAUUAACAAAUUUUGAAGGCUAAAUUUAUUGAAUUUUUUAGCAUUCAAACUAAAAUGUCAAAUUUUGUGAACAUUGAGGGCUAAAUUUUUGUUGAAUAUUUUCUAUUUAGGACCAAAUUAAUAUAAUGUUUAAACAUUAGAGGGCUAAAUUUAUUAUUAGACCAAUAAAAAAAAAGGCUCAAAUCAACUUUAAAUUAACAAUUCAACAAACAAAAUAGAAUAAAGACAAUAGUUUAAGGAUCAUUUGAUUGUUUAACCUUAAUAAAAUCCAUAUUCAAUUAUUUUUUGAAAGAUAUAUUACCUUUAAAAAAAUACAUAUUUAUUUAUUAUUUAUAAACAUUAUACAUAAAUAAAUUUAAUAUAUAUUCAUAAAAAUAUUUACAAAUAUGUUGGUUUAAUGUUUACGAAGAAUUUCAUUUAACUUAAACAAAUAUAUAUAAUUUGAAAUAAAUAAAUAGAAACAUAAUUUUGAAACAUUUAACAUACAUGAACCGACCACAGCUAUUUUUUUAACAGUAAUAUUAUUAUAGGUUAUUAUCAUAUUUAAUUUUUUUGAUAUAAUAUCUAAAAUUAUUCAUAGCAUCUUCCUAACAUUUAAAUAAGAGGAUAAUGCGCUGCAGCGCACUCGAACUCAUGUUCUUCUACACUAACAAUAAUACCGAUAUUAAUCAAACUAAUACUUAAUCGACCGAACACCAAUAAUAUUAAAAAUAAAGGAAUAAAUAUAAACAAAAAUUCAUUUGUUGAAGAUGGGUUGCUCUGGAGGGUUACAAACACCAAUUUCAACGCAUUUGAGAAAAAAAGAAGAAAUAAAAGAUAUUUAAACCCACGGUUAAUAUAAUGUUUAAAACUAUCUAUAGUUUAUUCCUAAUUUUUAAAUAAAAGAAUAAUGGGGUUUAGCGCCCUUGAACUCACGUCCUCCUAUAUUAACAAUAAUACCAAUAUCAAUUGAGUUAAGACUUAAUUGACAAAAUACUUUAUAUAUAUAUAUAUAGUGGGUCCAAAUAUACAAAACAAUUCAUAAAAUCAAUAAUUGAAGAAUUGGACUCACACAUUUGAUCAUCCUCCGUCAAUGUAAACAUCAAUUCCAAAUCUAAAUUCUUGGUUAAAGUCUACUUCUAAUAAGUAAAGAUCAAUUUUAAUUUAACUUCUCCACUUCAAAAAAAUCAAAUUAGAUAAACUAAAAUAUUGUAAUUUGAUUGAAUUAGAACGCGUUGGAUUAAAUUGAGUGAAAUUUUUUUGAGUUAAUCAAGUUUAUGAGUUCUAUUUUAUCAUCUUAAUUUAAUUUAAAAAAAUUUCAAAUCAAGUCGAGUGAAAAUUUGAGUCAAGUCGAAUAGAGCGAAAUUGUUCGAGUUGAAUUAAAAAAUUAAACAUUUUAAUUAAAAUCUUGUUACAGUAUAAUUGAUUCCAUGUUAGACAUGUAAAUUUGAAAACUUUUUCAAAGCAAAAAAAAAAAAAAAAAUACUUCAGAAUAAUAAAGUUGAAUAAUUCAUUAACUUAUUUUAGGUUCCAAAAUUAUUAUUUUAGAAAAUUUUUAAAAUUUUAAUUUUCUUUAAAUUUUUUUUAAAACUUCCAUAAUUUUUUAAAAAAUAUAAAUGAAUUUUUAUAAAUAUUUUUAAUUUUAAAAUUAUUUUUAUUUUUGAAAACUACUAUGAAUUAUUUUGUAAUUUUUGUUGAGAGAGACCAAUCUAUUAUUUGGAUUGUAAAAUUCAACUUGACUCGAACUCAAAACUCGAAUUACUCAACCAACUCAAUCCGAUUAACUUGAAAUUCAAAUUUUUUUCCGAAUCGAAUUGAGUUUUGCUCCUCUAGUUUUAUUAUUAAAAAAAUUCUUAUAUUGAUAUUAAUAAAGUAUUAGAAAAUAUAUACUUAUAUUAAUAUUUAUUUUAUAAUUUAAAAAUAUUUUUAUUUAAGAUUAAUUAAAUAUAUAUUUACAUAUCAAAUGAAUUAGAAUAAGCUAAAAAAAUGGUGGGAAUUUUUAAAACGAAAACUAUGAAAACCAAAAUAAUUUUAGCUAUUAAAUCAAAAUAAAUAAAUUAGAAUAGUGAAUUUAUUGAUUAUUAAGAAAUUAAAAAUAGAAUAAGAAUUUAUUUUAUAAUCAAUGUUUAUUGUUUAUAAAAAUUCUUUAAUAAUAGGAAAUUUUUAUUUGUACUAUAUUUUAAUAGUUAAAAUAAUUAUAUAUUUUAAUAGCAUUCAUUAAUUAUUAUUUUAAAUAAUGAUUACAUGAACUAAAAUUAUAUUGUAUAUUAAAUUAUGAUUUGAAUUUUUUUAAAUAUUAUUAAAAAAUUAUUGAUUUAUAAAAUAUCAAUAUUUUAAUAUGAUAUUUGAAUUUUUAUUAUAUUUAAAUUUUUAAAUAAGUUAAUUAUUUUUUAUUACUUUUUAACCAUUUGAAGAACGAAUUAAAAUUUUAAUUAUAAUAAUUAAAAAUAUAUUAUAUAAAAAUAAUUUAAAAUUAAAUGUAUAAAAUCACAUUAUAACCAGUAAAAAAUAGUUAUAAAUUAAAAGCAAAAGAUAUAAACAUUUUUUAAAAAAUUAAAAUAAAUAGUUUCUAAUUUGUGACCCAAAAAAGUUAGGCACCCAGGCAUUUAUCUGCCCCCACAGCUACACAAAGAGCCUAUAAAUACAAAGGAUUUUCCCAUGCUUAUCACUACCAAAUUACUCAUACAAACCCUUUUUCUAAAGUAAAGUUUUUUUUUCCCCCCUUUUGGUAGUUUAUGAGUAUAGAGAGAGAGAGAGAGAGAGAAUUUGCCAUGGGUGAAGAAGUAGGGUGUUGCAAGAGAACAGGAACAGGAUAUGGAGCUCCAUUGGAAGCCAUGUCUGGUCCUAAAGAAGCUCUUAUCUAUGUUCCUUGUGUUUAUAAUGGUAAUACUACUUUUCUUUCAUUUUCUUUGAAACCACACAUGUUUUAAUUAAUUACUUAUGUUCAUCUAUGUGGGUUUUUUUUUUCGUUCUCUUCUUUUUUUUUUCUUUUUUUUUAUAUAUAUAAUGGAUUUGUAUGCAUCUAUAUAGGAACUGGAAGAGAGAAGCCAGAUUUCUUGGCAACAGUUGAUGUAGAUCCCAACUCACCAACUUACUCUAAAGUUAUACACAGGCUAUCUUUGCCAUAUAUAGGUGAUGAACUACAUCAUACGGGGUGGAAUGCUUGUAGUUCUUGUCAUGGUGAUCCAUCAUCUGAUCGACGGUUUUUGAUCCUGCCUUCUUUGCUGUAAGAAACUGUAACAUGUCUAAUUUUUUAGGGUAGAGUAAACUAUAUAGUUUUCAACUAACUUGGUUCAGUGGAGUUGGUUUUGAUGGUUAAGACAGUUUUGUAACCCAUUAAAACAGGUUAUAUCGGUGGACUAGAAAUAUUAGAUUGUGGUUGACUUAUUACGUGAAAAUAGAUGGUGAAAUUUAUAAAGUUUUGUCUUGAAAUCUUAUUUCAUAUAUAUAUUUAUGUAAAAGAUAUAAACGAAAAACACUCAUAGUACACUUUACCUUAUAAAACAAUAUCCACUUAUAAUCUAUUAAACCUAUUUAUGGGUCGAACAAAAAGGUUUAGCUAAAAAUAUUAGGUUCGAAAAAUAUUUAUGUUAUACAAACUUGAGUACGUGAGUGUUAAAGUUGAAUAAUAUAGCACAACUCGAUUGAGUUCUAAUUCGAUUGAUAUAGAUACUAUUGUCAAUAUAAAAAGACGUGAGUUCGAAUGUGUUGAAAUACAGUAUCUUUCUAUUUAUGAGUUAGGAAACCGUAACGAGUAACCUUAUCUUAAAAAAGAGAAUAUAAGUAUAGAAGUAUAUUAUGAGUAUUUUGCUUGUUUCAGCUCUGGUCGUAUCUAUGUGAUCGACACACAAAAGAACCCCAAGGCUCCCUCGUUGCACAAAGUGGUGGAACCUGAGCACAUCAUUGAGAAAACCGGCUUGGCAUAUCCCCAUACAUCUCACUGCCUUGCCAACGGCGACAUAAUCAUUUCAUUUCUCGGCGACAAAGAUGGAAACGCCCAAGGCAACGGAUUCCUUCUCCUCGAUUCCCAGUUCAACAUCAAAGGGAGGUAAAUGCAAAAACAAAAACAACAAUUUAGACCAUGAAAACAAUUGUCAUUAAGCUUAAGCUGUUUCACUUCUUGUUGUUGGUUUUUUUAAGGUGGGAAAAACCAGGGCGUAAAGCUGAGUUUAGCUACGAUUUUUGGUACCAACCUCGACAUAAAACGAUGAUCUGCUCAUCGUUUGGUGCUCCUUUGGCAUUCACCCAAGGUUUUAACCUUAAACAUGUCGAAGACGGUUUCUAUGGAAGACAACUGUUUGUGUAUGAUUGGCCUGAUGGCCGGCUCAAACAGACAUUGGAUCUCGGUGACAAUGGUCUUAUCUCCGGAGAGGUAACUUUAAGGGUUAAUUAAACCAAAUCUUUAUUAACUGACUAUACUAAUCACCUUAUUUUAUCGGUCUAAAUACUCACUUUGAAAUAUAUUUAAAAUAUGUAUCAUAUUAUAAAUUUGUAUAUACUUAUGGCCAAUAUUACCAAAACCAUACUUGUGGCCAGCAUCUACUUUCUUAUCCAAUAUUUACUUCAUAUUUUGUGUAUGCAAAAUGCAAUAAAUCCUGCUUUCUUAGACUUGGGAUUCGCUAUAUGCAUGUAAAUACACUGAUAUGUUUUCUUUGCAGAUAAGAUUCUUGCAUGAUCCAACCAAAGACACAGGGUACGUCGAGUGUGUCCUAUCAAGCAACGUAGUACGGUUUUUCAAGACCCAGGAUGGAUCAUCAUGGAGUCACGAGGUGGCUAUCUCAGUGAAACCAUUGAAGGUACAAAACUGGAUUCUCCCCGAAAUGCCCGGACUCAUAGUCGGCCUUUUAAUCUCUCUCGACGACCGGUUCCUAUAUUUCGUCAACUGGUUCCACGGCGAUGUCCGACAAUACAACAUUGAAGACCCCAAAAACCCAAUCUUGGUCGGCCAAGUAUACGUCGGAGGAUUGCUUCAAAAGGGCAGCCCCAUAACAGCAGUCACAGAAGAUGGUAAAACAUGGCAACCCGAUGUUCCUAAAAUCCAGGUCUUGUUCUUUCAACAUUGAUAUAAUGACAAAAUUGUCGGAUUAUGCCUAGCAAUGGCGAUAUUGAUGAUGAACAUUGUUUGUGUUUGUUUUUGUAGGGACAUUGUCUCAGAGGGGGACCUUGUAUGACACAGUUAAGCUUAGAUGGGAAACGGCUGUAUGUGACGAACUCGUUGUUUAGCACAUGGGAUCGACAGUUUUACCCUGAUGUUAUAGAGAAAGGUUCACAUAUGAUACAGAUUGAUGUGGACAUUGAGAAUGGUGGUCUGAAAAUAAACCCAGAUUUUUUUGUUGAUUUUGGAGCUGAACCUGAUGGUCCUUGUUUGGCUCAUGAGAUGAGAUACCCAGGCGGUGAUUGUACUUCAGAUAUUUGGAUUUAAAUCAUAUGAAGAAAAAAAACAGUUUCAGUUAUGAAGACAAAACAAUCAAUGUAAUCUUGUUGACUGUUGUGAAUAAAAAUAACACGUGUUCUUGGAAGAGAUAAUGUAAUAACAUCAUCACAUGUAUCUUGGACUCUCAAUGUUCUAAAACUUGGCUGUUGUUGCUCAUUGUUGAUAUGAUUUGGAGUAUCCUAGGAGAGGUCCAAAAGGAAGUACAAUGGGUAACAAACUUAAACCCAGGCCACAAGGUGUCCUAAGCCCAUAGGAACACCAACUAGCAAGGGUUUGGAGUCAUCCCCAACUACCGUUGGAUCACUGUGAAAACAAAAGAGAUGAAUAAAUAUCGAGACAAACCAUCAUUCCUGCCUUCAUCCACCAAACCUUUAAAUCUCUCAUCGCAUUCCUCUGAUGACUCAGAGAGUAGUGAAGGAACUUAAAGAAACAGCUUGUUCCGGGUUCGUUCAGGAUUCCGAAAUGACUUAGAAAAAGCAUCACCCCUUCUGGGAGAGGCAAGCCAGCUCCAACUUCAGUAAGCCAUCAAUAAGCAUGGUCACAUCUGACAUGCAUCUUAUUCAUGGCUAGUUCUUUUAGAAAUAUUAUUUUUAGAGUUUGAAUUCAAGUUAUCUCUUUUGAAAUAUAAUGUGUUUUAACAAAACAUUUUACAUUUAUUAAUUAAUUAAUAAUGAUAUCUUUUAACGAGUAAUGUGAUAAAAUUCAUUAAUAAUGUGUAAAUAUAUAUAUAAAAAGCUGAUCGAGUCUUAGAUCAGUUGAUAUCGAUAUUAUUAUCAGUAUAAAAAGAUAUAGGUUUGAAUGCGUUAAAGCACAUUUAUCCUAUAGGAAUCCCACCGAAUUAAAUCUAUAGCUCGGGCUGUUUUAACAAUUUGGCUCAGUAAGCUUUUGUUGGAUUAAAAGUUAGAACUUGGGAUUACCCAUACUGAAAUUUUUUUAUUUAAUGAGUUUUAAAUUUUGUUUUUAAUAAGAGAAAAAUAUAUUACAUAAUUUAGAUUCGAAUUUUAAGUUUAAUGUAAAUUAAAUCCUUAAAUUUAACAAUAAUUUUUUAAUUAAAUGAUAAUAGCAAUUUAAUAUAUAUUUGUUAAUUAGUAGUUGAGUCUGUAAUACCCCCUACCCGUAUUCGUCGCCGAAAUAGAGUAUGAGGCAUUACCAGAUUUUACCGAAUUUUUUUUUUCAAGAUAGAUUUAUCAUAUUCAUAAGAUAAUUUCAUCACAUACCAAAACCAAAAUUUGUUAGCCAUACCAAUGGCUAACCAUACAUUCAUUUCACAUUAGCAUCUAAUUUACUAGCUUAUACAUGCCAUUGAUUUCCAAAAUAAAGUUCCUUUAUGUACCGAGAUCUCGAGAUUGAUAGUGUGAUGUGUCUCCGACCAAAUCCGACUUCCGAGCUCUUAACUCUACAAACAGGGGAAAAAAAACAGGGUAAGCACUUUGUGCUUAGUAAGUUCAUGCAACAGGAAUUAUACUUACCAUACUUAUACAUCCAUCAUUUAAUAACACAAGCACACAUCCAAUUCACAUAAACAUAUACCUAUCACAUACAAACUCAACCUCAUACAAAUUCAUUACAAAGAUAAAUGAUUGAUGAGCUCAUCAAUUCCAUGAUUUCCAUUUCCUUGUUAUUUUUCCAUAUUUAUCCCGUUGAACUACUUGGAAUUUCGAUGGAUAUUCAGGGUACACCUAAGUGUACAAAUCGGGGUCCGUCAAUUCAUAUUCAUGUGCGCACAUUUCCAUUUCAGAGAGCACACUCCCGCGAACCUCAUCCUUACAGCGGGAUUACCAAUCCAGGCUAAAUCCCCUGUAAUAUAAACUCAUAGAGUAUUGUCGGGAUUACCAGUCCAGGCUAAAUCCCCUGCAACGACAAUUACUCUAAUGAGCUUGGAUCUGAAUUACCAGUCCAGGCUAAAUUCAGACCCUAAUUCGGAUUACCCGUCCGGGCUAAAUCCAUUUUCCACAUAUUCUUCGGGAGGGCUAUAUCAGGAUAGGAUCACCCGUCCGGGCUAGAUCCUUUUUACCGUCAAUUCCUUUUCAGAGAUCCAUCGAACUUUCCUUUCAUUCAACCGGGAUUUAUUUCCUCUUUUCAUCAAGUAUAUCAAUACUUCAUCAAUUAUCAUACAAUAAACAUCCAACUCAUAUUCACAUCAAUAACAAACAUUUCAAGCAUUUAUGAAUAUAAUUCAAGUUACACGAACUUACCUCGAUACUUGUUCGUAACCAAAAAUCUACUAAUCCCAAAAUUUUUCUUUCCCUCGAUCUUGCUUCGUAUUUGAAUUUUCCGGAUCUAAAUAAAUAAAUUUAAUCAUUAAUCUAAUACAUUUCAUGUUCAUAUGUAACUUUCUCUACAAUUCCAUUAUUAUUUAUAGUGCAUUCAAAGCUGCCUCACUGAGUCACAGUCACUAAAUUAUUUAUAUCUUGAGCUACAGAACUCUAAAUUAAGAUCCGNNNNNNNNNNNNNNNNNNNNNNNNNNNNNNNNNNNNNNNNNNNNNNNNNNNNNNNNNNNNNNNNNNNNNNNNNNNNNNNNNNNNNNNNNNNNNNNNNNNNAUUCUUUAAAGUUUCCCCUGUUUCACUGUAUGACAGUUCUGACCCCUCUUCACUAAAAAUUAAUAUCUCACUGUACAGAAUUAGGAUGAUGCUUCCCUUUAUUUCUUCAGAAAAUAGACUCAUUAAUGAUUCUAAGCAUAUAAAUUAUAACUCAUAAUCAUUUUUGUACAAUUUUUAAUGAUUUUCCAAAUUCAGAACAGGGGAACCCGAAUUCAUUCUGACCUUGUCUCACAAAAUCUAUUAUAUCUCAUGAUUUACAAUUCCAUUGCUUACACCUUUUCUUUUAUAAGAAACUAGACUCAAUAAGAUUUAAUUUCAUAUUUUAUUCAUCCUCUAAUUCGAUCUCUACAAUUUUUGGUGAUUUUUCAAAGUCAGAGUACUGCUGCUGUCCAAAACUGUUUUAGUGCAUGGUGUUAAUUACCAUUUUUCCCUUAAACUUUCAACAAUGAUAAUUUCGUCCCUGCUCAAUUAACCUCUCAAUUGAGCUGAUUUUUCUCAAUAAACACUUUAUUAUAUCACUUUAAACUACCUUAUAACCUUUGAAAAUCAGAAUUUCAGCACUAAACUUUAAUUCCAGACGUUUUCACAAUUAGGUCCUACAAAUCAAUUUCUAUUGGAAUUACCUAAUAAAAUCAUCUCAUAAACAAAUUAAAGCAUCAAUUUCAUCCUAUUUCCUCAUAAAAUUCCAGCACAUAUUCAUAUCAACUUUCAAUAUCAUUCACAAAAUCAAAAACUAAUGAAUUUAGUAAUAGGACCUAGUUGUAAAAGUCUUAGAAACACAAAAAUUACAAGAAAAAGGCAAGAAUUAACUCACUUGGUGCAAAAAUUAUGAAAAAGCCAGCUUGAAGAAACCCUUAGGACGUUUUUGGCUGAUGGGAAUGCAGAAAAAUAAAGAGGAAUCUAGAUAAUUCCACUUUAGUCCUAACUUUUAAAGCAAAUUUUGUAAUAUUCCAAUUUUACCCUUAUUUCUUCAAUUCUCCUGAUUUUUCUCAGCGUAUGCCGCCCAAAAUAUCUCCUUUUGGGGUUAUUUUCAAUAUAUGUCCCUGCUCAUUUCACAAUUAAGCUAUUUAAUCCCUCUAGUAACUUUUACACCUUUUUCAAUUUAGUCCUUUUUACUUAAUUGACUACCCAAACAUUAAAAUUUUCUAACGAAAUUUUAAUACCAUAUUACUAACACUUCAUAAAUAUUUAUAAAAAUAUUUUUGACUCGGUUUUACGAGAUCGAAGUCUCGAUAUCUCAUUUUUACCUAAUUUCUUCAAUAAUUUCUUUUUCUAACUAACUGCUUAAUCAGUAAAAUUUUUCUAUCGAUAUUUUCAUACGAUUUUUCCUAUCAUAUCAAUAUUCAUGCAAAAAUAUUAAAAUAAAUUUCUCUUUAAAUCGGAUUUGUGGUUACGAAACCACUAUUCCGAUAAUUUUGAAUUUGGGCCAUUACAGAGUCCUUCGGUUUAUUGACUAAAGGCGGUUACUCUAUAUGUCGCAUGUUCCGAUAAAUUAUAAAACUGAUCAUUAAAUUAUUGUCUUCAGUUUAUUUUUUAUCAUUGAACUAUUAUUUUUUAUUUAAUCACUAAACUUUUCGAAAUCAAAUAUUUUAAUUUGAAGUUGAUUUGAGCAUUUUUUUUAUUAGUCUAAUAAUAAAUUUAACUCUCCAAUAUUUACACAUUUUUAUCCUAAAUAUAAAACAUUUAACAAAUUUAGCCCUCAAUAUUUAUAAAAUUUAUCAUUUUAGUUUGAAUUCUAAAAAAUUCACAUGGCUUUACCUAUAACUAAGCAAUCCAUUUCCUGUAAUAUUAUCUUCUGUUUUGAAGUUGGAGAUGACAACUUGAGCUCACUUCUAUUUUAGGUAGUGUUGAAUUCCGUUAUUUGGUGAUGUUUUUUUUCCUUAUUAUAAGCUAGUUGGUUAGUUGUUGUAGACUUUGUCGAAGAUUUGCAAUCAACUUUCUUUCAUCAAUUGUAACGUUUUAAAUAUCAUUACUAUGUGGUGUUCUUUUCAUUCCUUUUUUUUCUCUAUUCCAUGUGUUGGGUUGGUAAACAAGGUGUAUAAAAACAAUCUAUGUCGAAAUUUUCUAGGUUAGGAAGCUUAAAUUAUUAAUUUUUGUAAAGGACCAAAAAUUAAUUUAUUACUUUUUUUUAGAAUUAGAACUAAAUUGAAAAAAUUUUUAAGGCUAAAUUUAUUGAAUUUUUUAGCAUUCAAACUAAAAUGACAAAUUUUGUAAACAUUGAGGGCUAAAUUUGUUAUUUUAUAUUUAGGAUCAAAUUGAUAUAAUGUUUAAACAUUGGAGGGCUAAAUUUGUUAUUAGACCAAUAAAAAAUGUCAAAUCAACUUUAAAUGACUAAAACAUUUGAUUAAAUCAGAAAAAUUAACAAUUCAACUAACAAAAUAGAAUAAAGACAAUAGUUUAAGGAUCAUUUUAUUGUUUAACCUUAAUAAAAUCCAUAUUCAAUUAUUUUUUGAAAGGUAUAUUACCUUUAAAAAAAUACAUAUUUAUUUAUUAUUUAUGAACAUUAUACAUAAAUAAAUUUAAUAUAUAUUCAUAAAAAUAUUUACAAAUACGUUGGUUUAAUGUUUACGAAGAAUUUCAUUUAACUUAAAAAUAUAUAUAUAAUUUGAAAUAAAUAAAUAGAAACAUAAUUUUGAAACAUUUAACAUACAUGAACAGACCACCGUUAUUUUUUGAACAGUGAUAUUAUUAUAGGUUAUUAUCAUAUAAUACUUAAAACUACUUAUAGUCUCUUCCUAACAUUUAAAUAAGAGGAUAUUGCGCUUUAGCGCACUUGAACUUACGUUCUUCCACACUGACAGUAAUAUCGAUAUUAAUCAAACUAAUACUUUUAUAACAUUAAAAAUAAAAAAUUAAAUAUUUGUUGAAGAUGGGUUGCUUUGGAGGGUUACAAAUACCGACAUGGAUAAUGAAAAUCGAGGAGAGAUCUGGAAACAUCGUGCACCUAAAAAGAUUGGAUGAAGACACAAAAGGCCCAUUGCUCUCACUAACAGCUCACUACACCAUACACGUCAACCUCAUCUAAAUAUUAAAUUUCAUAUAAAUUAAAAAAAUAAAUAUUUUUAUUUUCAUUAAUUUAGUUCUUCUAACUUUUAAAUUUCAAAAUUCACGUCUAAUUAUUGACAUUGUUAAUUUUUAAAAAUUUAAAUUAAUUACAAUGGGUUUUUUUAAAUUACAUGAGCACCAACUGAACAUCAAUAAAUUUAAUCAGACUUAUUUUUACUAUUAUUUAUUAUUAAAAAAUCUUAUAAUUUUUACUAUUAUUUAUUAUUUUAGAUAAUGAAUAUUAAUAAAACUUAUUUUAUUUAAUCAGACUAUGGGUUGAUUUAUUAAUAGUUUUAUUAAGUUUUAUUAAUAUUUAUUAUUAAAAAUCUUAUAAUUUUUACUAUUAUUUAUUAUUUUAGAUAAUGAAUAUUAAUAAAACUUAUUUUAUUUCAAAUUAUAUCAUUAUAAUUAUUAUUUUAGAUAAUAAAAAUUACUAAAAUGUGUUGGCAUUGAUUUAUUGGUACAAACAUUCUUCAUACAUCCAUGGCUACUGUCGUGCAGUAAAAGACGAGGGGAGACAGAAGAACAGAGAAAGAAGAACAUACUUACCCAGUGGACAAAGUGCUCUUCAAAUAAAUAAUAAGAUAAUAAUAAAAAAGUAAAAAUUAUUUAUUAUUUAAUCAGGGUAGCUCUAAAUAUUAUAUAAAAAAAGUAGAUAAUUGUAAUCAGACUUAUUUUUACUAUUAUUUAUUAUUUUAAAUAAUGAAUAUUAAUAAAACUUAUCAAUAGAAAUUCAAUAACAACAUUUUUGUUAGAAAAAAAAUUAUUAAAAUCUUUUAAAUAGUGAUUUUAACAAUUAAUCAGGAGUAAAACUCUUAAAUAAUAAUCUAUUAUUAAACAAUAAAUGCAAAAUUAGGAUUUACUAAGUAAAUUUCAUAUCAAUAUAUCAUUAUAAUUAUUAUUUCAACUUUUUAUUUUAAUUAAUUUUGUGAAAAUAAAGCUAAUUUUAUAACUGUAUAAUAUCCAAAUAAUAAAAAAAUAAGAGUGACAUAAUAACGAGAUGACAAUAAAAUAAAAAAAUAAAAAAUAAAAAUAAAACAACAAUUUUUUUAUAAAUUUGGUCCAUAAGUCUAGUCCUACCAUGACAGAUAAAUUUUUUUAAUAAUUUAUUUAUAUAAAUUAAAAUUUAAAAAAUUAAAAUUUUAUAUUAAUAUUAUUUUUCAAUAAAACAAUCAAUAAAGUAAAGGACUCUACACUAAUUGCACUUACUAAUAUAAAGUCCUAAAGUCGAUCUUAUCCUUGUCAUCAGCUCUCAGCUUAAUCCAACACCGCCACGUGGACAAGUCUGGGUCAGAGUUGACGUGUGACGCAAAACGGUGAAUGUGAUCGAAAGGUCCCUCUAUUAUAGGGACCUGAUCAAAUUAGUCUCUGGUGGAUCAAUUUAAUCUGUGUACUAACCAAAUUGGAAUAUAUUUAACAUUUAUUUUUUAACGUAGUUAAUAAUAAAGGAUAUAAUUUGAACAUAUUAAUUUUUUUAAUAGCAUAAGGAUUAAAUUGAUCCAUUUAAUAAUAAAGGGACUAAUUUGAUCUAACUCAUAUAAUGCAAGGAUAUCUCGGGUACUUUAAAGGACCAAAAACACAACUGCAAAUCUCAUCUCAGUACAACACGCGUCAAUCUGAACACAGUCCGAUGUGAUAACUCCCGAAUCUCAAAGCCCUUGGGACCACAUGGAGAUCAAAAGAGGAAACACAAUAUUGGUCGUAAGUUUAGUUAGGGAAAAUUAUAUAGAGGGUCCCUGUAGAUAUUCUUUCACAAGCUUAAAGUUUGUCUGAUAAACUAAAAUUUUAAGUAUGGAAAAAUUUAAUGGUAAAUAUAAUUAAGCUAUUUGAUAAAAAUAAAUAUUAAUUUUUAAAAGAUUAUUUAUUUUUAAUUUUAAUCUUAUUAAUAUAAUAAUUAUAUUAGCGAUAAUUUGAACAUUUCAUUUAAAAAAAAGAAAAUAUUAAAUAGUAGCUAUCAGUAGUAUAUAUAAAAGAAAAACAACGAAAUUUUUGUAGGAAGAAAGAAGAGGAAAAAAAGAAAGAGAGAAAUUGCGAUGGGUGAAGAAACUGAGUGUUGCAGAACAACAGGACCAGGAUAUGAAACUCCACUGAAAGCCAUGUCUGGUCCUAAAGAAGCUCUUCUUUAUGUUACUUGUGUUUAUACUGGUAAUGAUUUUCUCUCUUCUUCUUCUUCUUCUUCUUCUUUUUGUUUUGGUUUUUGGCGUGAUGUCUGCAACCUUUUUUUUUUUCUGGGAAUUAAUUUCAUUUGAUCCAUUUAUUCCUUGAAUUAUAAGUUGUUAUGUGUUCAUGUUUAUUUUCAUAAAAUUUUAGAGAAAAUUCAGUGGGUGUUUUCUUUUUUAUUUUCUAAAAAAAAAGAAAAAAAACAUAUAUUUAGCUUUUUUUUAAAAUAUUAUAAAUAAUCUAUCUCACUGUAGAUUUUACUCCAAAAGUGAAACAUUAACUUUUAGAUCUACUUCUUAAUUAUCAUAUAAAAUAAUAUAUAUAGAUAUAUUUAAAUGGAUUUGCAUGAUGUAUGCAGGAACAGGAAGAGAGAAGCCUGAUUUCUUGGCAACGGUUGAUGUAGAUCCGAACUCACCAACUUAUUCUAAAGUCAUCCACAGGCUAUCUAUGCCGUAUGUAGGUGAUGAACUACAUCACUCUGGGUGGAAUGCUUGCAGCUCUUGCCAUGGUGAUCCGUCGGCCGAUCGACGUUUUCUGAUCCUUCCUUCAUUGGUGUAAGUGGCUAUAUGCCUGAAAUUUUGUUUAUGGAGAGUGAGAUAAUAUUAUAAAAUUUGAAGGGGCAUAAGUUAAAAAUUUUGUAUUAAAAAAGUUUUAAUUAAAUUAUUAAUUUUUCAAAAUGGUUAUAAAAAGGAUUAAAUUGAAUCUUUUAAUUUUAGGAAGGGACCAUAAAAUAAUUUUCCUAUUGAGCCAGGGGUCCUUGCCUUCCCCCUUUGGCUAACCCUGCUUACGAGGAAAAUGAGGUUUUCAUGUAAUGUAGAACAAUGUGGCAAACCAUGUAAUAGUACAGAAAUGUUUAAUACCAAUGUUCUAUUCGGUUCAGAUCGGGUCGUGUCUAUGUGAUUGACACACAAAAGAAUCCCAAGGCUCCGUCGUUGCAUAAAGUGGUGCAGCCGGAGGAUAUCGUUAAGAACACCGGUCUAGCGUAUCCGCACACGUCUCACUGCCUUGCUUCCGGAGAUAUAAUGAUUUCGUGUCUCGGAGAUAAAGAUGGGAAUGCCAAAGGGAACGGAUUUCUUCUCCUUGAUUCCGAAUUCAACGUUAAAGGGAGGUAAAGCCGAUAAACCGAAUGAACAAUUAGAAGGUAAAAUGAUUGGUGACUUGUUGUUACUCAUUGUUUCUUUAGGUGGGAGAAACCGGGGCAUAGUCCUAUGUUCGGCUACGAUUUUUGGUACCAACCUCGACAUAAAACAAUGAUCAGCUCAUCAUGGGGUGCUCCUGUUGCCUUCACCAAAGGUUUCGAUCUUCAGCAUGUCACGGAUGGUCUGUAUGGGAGACAUCUGUAUGUGUAUAGUUGGCCUGACGGUGAACUUAAACAAACAUUGGAUCUCGGUGACACCGGUCUCAUACCCUUAGAGGUGAUUGAUUACAUGUUACUACUUCGUUUUUUGCUCGGUUUUGCUCGAAGGCGAUACUUAGUUUUGUUUCAUUUUCAUUGCAGACAAGAUUCCUGCAUGAUCCAUCUAAAGAUACAGGGUACGUUGGGUGCGCCUUAACAAGUAACAUGGUUCGGUUUUUCAAAACCAAAGACGGAUCAUGGAGUCAUGAGGUGGGAUCAUAUAAUCUUGCAUUACCAAUGCUCAUAAAUUUGGACAAGCCUUAUUAUGUACAUUUUAACUUCUGCAGGUGGCAAUCUCAGUGAAACCAUUGAAGGUGCAAAACUGGAUUCUUCCCGAAAUGCCCGGACUUAUAACUGACUUCCUAAUCUCUCUCGAUGAUCGUUUUCUGUAUUUCGCCAACUGGCUGCACGGAGAUGUCCGACAAUACAACAUUGAGGACCCCAAAAACCCGGUCUUGGUCGGCCAAGUAUGGGUUGGAGGAUUGAUCCAAAAGGGAAGCCCUGUAGUGGCUAUGACAGAAGAUGGUAAAACAUGGCAAUCCGAUGUUCCGGAAAUCCAGGUUUGUUCUAACAUUCAUAUCAACUUGUUCAGAUUAAUCAUAUCAAUGGCGAUCGAUGAACAUUGUUACAUCCUUUUACAGGGACAUCGCCUAAGAGGAGGACCGCAGAUGAUCCAAUUGAGCCUAGACGGUAAACGAUUAUAUGUGACGAACUCUCUAUUCAGCUCAUGGGAUCGACAAUUCUAUCCAGAACUCGUGGAGAAAGGUUCCCACAUGUUGCAGAUCGAUGUCAACACCGAGGAAGGCGGUCUUAAAACAAACCCAAACUUCUUUGUCGAUUUUGGAGCCGAACCUGAUGGACCUUCCCUGGCUCAUGAGAUGAGAUAUCCAGGUGGUGACUGCACUUCAGAUAUAUGGACUUAAACAUCUCAAAAACCAGUUUCAGCCAUGAAGAAAAUCAUCCUUUUAAUUUUGUAGGACUAAAAUAAAAAUCAGUGCAAUCUGUAUGUGAGUCAAUUUGAUAGAUAAUGUAAUGUUAAGGGGUUAAUUUAGCAAUAUAUCUUAAAUUUAAUCGACUUCCUGUUAAACGCCUUUUAACAUUGGACUUAAUUUAAAUUAACUGGCAGCUUAUCCAACAUUGACACGCGUUCCAACGAUGAUCCCACUAUACAUUCGGAUAAGAUACCAUUGGACAAACACAAAUGUCUCCAGUUCUCAAAACUGUAAGACGCGUGGCAAUCUAUCCACCGUCAGUUGAGAUUAAUGCUGACAUGGUAAGGAAAAUCGAUAAUCUCAAACACCGCGCCCAUAGAAAAAAUUGAUAGUUAUUUAUUUUUGAUAAUUCCCAUGUGACAUUUUCAUUCGAAGGGCAACAUUUUCUCCUCACAAUGGUGGACAUUUAUGUAAAAUAAAAAUAAAGAUUUGAAUCCCAAAGAUUCGGUUUGAUUUGUCGAUUAAGUUUUAUGAUGAUUGGUACGGGUAUUAUUAUCAAUGUAAGAGGAUAUGUGUUCGAGUGCGUUGAAAAAUAUUAUCCUCCUAUUUAUAGAUCAGAGAGGAACUAUAAGCAAUUCUAGAUAUUAUGUUAAAAAGAGUUGAUAUAAUUAAAACCUAAUAUUAUUAAAAAAAAUAACUUUAUGAAAGUUAUGAUAUUUUCAAAAUUUAAUACGACAGACAUAUUAUCAUAUCUGUAAUGUUAUAUCAAUUUAUUAUUUUCACCUUACUAAAAACUCAAUUAAUAGAUUAACAACGGUGAUUUUCGUCAAGAACAAAAUUCAAAUUUUGAGAAGUCUAGGAACUUAGAAUGAUCCUUUUGGAGAAUAUAGACUAAAUAUAUAAUUAUAUGUAUAAUACAAAACUAAUAAUUGAAUUUAACUAAACAUAUUUAAGCGUUAUUGUUUGAGUCAGGAUUAAAAUUGACCGAUUCAAAAAAUAUAAAGACUGAAAUUAAUUAAAUUGUGGGGACUAAAUCUAUAAUUUUCAUAAAUUACAGAAUUUAACCUAUCGAACCUAAUCCCAAGAUUCUGCCGUAUAGACCCAAUAGCCUAUAAAUUACAGAGGAUUUUCCCAAUGUUUUUCACUAACUAUUAGAAAAAAAAAUUAAUAUUUUUGUAAGAGAAAAAAAAAAGAGAGAAAAUGGGGGAAAAAAUGGGGUGCUGUAAGAGAACUGGACCUGGAUAUGCAACUCCAUUGGAAGCCAUGUCUGGUCCUAAAGAAACCAUUAUUUAUGUUAAUUGUAUUUAUAAUGGUACUUUUUUCCUUUUUUUUCUUUAAUGAUUUUCUGAUCUUUAAAAAUGAGUUUUUUCAAUGGAUUUGUAUAAAUAUAAUUGCAUGAUGUAUGCAGGAACGGGAAGAAAGAAGCCUGAUUUCCUAGCAACAGUUGAUGUAGAUCCAAACUCGCCAACUUAUUCUAAAGUCAUCCACAGGCUAUCUAUGCCAUAUAUAGGUGAUGAACUACAUCACUCGGGAUGGAAUGCAUGCAGCUCUUGCCAUGGUGAUCCAUCAACCACUCGACGUUUUCUAAUCUUGCCUUCCGUCGUGUAAGCAAUUAUCCCGGAUUUUCAUAUUAUAUCGAUGGAUAGGGACAUAUCUAUGUCGUUAAGGUACCAAGGUGCUGCUUGUUCUUAGGUCUGGCCGUGUGUAUGUGAUUGACACACAAAAGAAUCCCAAGGCUCCCUCUUUGCAUAAAGUGGUAGAAUCCGAGGAUAUCGUCGAGAAGACCGGCUUAGCGUAUCCGCACUCGUCGCAUUGCCUUGCUUCCGGGGAUAUAAUGAUAUCGUGUCUCGGUGACAAAGAUGGAAAUGCUAAAGGGAAUGGAUUUCUCCUCCUUGAUUCCGAAUUCAACGUCAAAGGGAGGUAAAUACGAUAAACUGAAACAAUGUAUAAACGAAUUGUGAAUAACCGUCACUUGUAAAAAAUCAUCAGGUGGGAGAAACCAGGGCAUAGUCCUCUGUUUAGCUACGAUUUUUGGUACCAACCUCGACAUAAAACCAUGAUCAGCUCGUCGUUGGGCGCUCCGGCUACCUUCACCCGAGGUUUCAAUAUCCAGCAUGUCAAAGAUGGUUUGUAUGCUAGACAUUUGCAUGUGUAUAGCUGGCCUGAUGGUGAACUUAAACAAACGUUGGAUCUCGGUGAAACUGGUCUCACACCCUUAGAGGUGAUUAAUUACUUGUUUCGACUUUGUUUUUAACUCGGUUUUGCUCGAAGACGAUACAUAGUUCUGUUUCAUUUCAUUGCAGAUGAGAUUCUUGCAUGAUCCAUGUAAAGAUACAGGGUACGUUGGGUGUGCCUACACGAGUAACAUCGUUCGGUUUUUCAAAACCGAAGACGGAUCAUGGAGCCAUGAGGUCGGAACUUGGAACAUAUAAUCUUGCGUUGUCAAUGCUCAUAAACUUGGACAAGCCUUAUUCAUUAACUUCUGCAGGUGGCAAUCUCAGUGAAACCAUUGAAGGUACAAAAUUGGAUACUUCCCGAAUUGCCUGGAUUUAUAACCGACAUCUUAAUCUCAAUCGACGAUCGGUUUCUGUAUUUUAUCAACUGGUUGCAAGGAGAUAUCCGACAAUAUAACAUUGAGGACCCCAAAAAUCCGGUCUUGGUCGGCCAAGUAUACGUUGGAGGAUUGGUUCAAAAAGGAAGCCCUGUAGUAGCUGUGACAGAAGACGGCAAAACAUGGCAAUCCGAUGUUCCGGAAAUCCAGGUUUGUUCUAACACUCAUAUCAACUUGUCGGAUUAAUCAUAUCAAUGACAAUCUAUGAACGUUGGUUACAGGGACAUCGAUUAAGAGGGGGACCGAAUAUGAUCCAGUUGAGCCUAGACGGUAAGCGACUAUAUGCGACGAACUCGUUAUUCAGCACAUGGGAUCGACAAAUCUAUCCGGAACUUGCGGAGAAAGGUUCCCACAUGUUGCAGAUCGAUGUCGACACCAUGAAAGGCGGUCUUAAAAUAAACCCGAACUUUUUCAUCGAUUUUGGAGCUGAACCUGAUGGUCCUUGUAUGGCUCAUGAGAUGAGAUAUCCAGGUGGUGAUUGCACUUCAGAUAUUUGGAUUUAAAUCAGAUGAAAAAAACCGCUAUGAAGAACAAUCAAUGCAAUAUGCAGAUUCUUCUGCACAUGUUAUGUAAUAUCAUCAUGUCAAUGUGAAAUCAUAAACAGCUCAAAGUAAUACAUACAUACAUACAUACAUACAUACAUUUUGAAUGUUACAUUGUGAACAUGUUAUGUAAUAUCAUCAUGUUAUGUAAUUUCCUUAUGCUAAAAUUUGUGUUGAGUUUGAUGUUAAUCUUGAUAUGCCUAAUUCAAUCAUAAAUCCCUAUCCUAAAAUGUGUGCUCAUCAAUGAUCAAUGACACAUUUCAUCUUGGGCAUGGCUAAUUUUAGGUAACCUCAUGACAGCUUUAAACGUGAAGACUAUCAUCAGAUCACUUCAUCACAUCUUAAUAAACGAGUCAUGUCUCUAUAAACAUCUCAUGUAAAAUAACGCAUCAUUCCAUUAAGACUCACAUUAGAACUUCUCCAUCAUAAGAAGAUAAGAAGCUCUCGAAGUACUAUCAAAACUCUUACCAAAUCUCUCCCAAAAAAUUCUCUAAUCUCACAAGCUUCCCGAAAUCAAAAUUCUCAAUGGCUCUUCACAUCUUCUACUAUGUAACCACACUCAAUUUUUGUGCACUACUAUCCAAUACCAUCAAGGAUUAUAGAAUUGCACUACUAACAGAGACAAAUUUUGAAUGAACCAAGCUUGCAUGUUGAAGAAUUUAUUCACCAAUACAUCAUGAUAUAUUGAGAUAUACAAGAAGGAAUUAAGAAAUAGGUUGAUUUUGAGUCUUAAUUAACUUCAAAAUAACUUUAUAAGCUUCCCCUUUUUUCCUACGAACAUCCAACAAUUGCCUCUUCAAAGAAGCUAUACUCUUCUUUACACCAUUUAUUUCACUCUUCACCACUUCUAUUUCACCUCUAAUCUGCAUAUGCUGCUUCCUAUCUUCUUCAUUUAAAGCCUCUUCCAUUGCCUGUAUUUUACCAUAAUCAAACCAAUGCUUUCAUAUUUUACAAAAUAGGUAACUAGAUCAACUUUUGAUAUUUGAACUUGACAACUAUCUUUAUCUUGGUACUUGAAUUUGAAAGAAUAUAAAAAUUUGAUAACGUGACAUUUUGAGAUUGUAUCACAUCAUCACUUGAAAAUUUUAAAAAUUAUAUAAAAUUUUAGGUGAUAAUGUGAUACAAUCUUGGAAUGUUAUACAGUAUUCUAAUAACCAGUUCAACUGUUAGACCAACAAUAAUUAAAAAUUCAUAAAAAUUUUAAAAAUAAAAAAAAUAUUUAACUGUUUCACCAUGUUCAACUAUCUGUUAUUGUCCAAGUUUUCGAUUUUUAUCGUUUUCAAGCAAUUUUAAAUUUAAUCGGUUCAACCCCUUUGUUCGAGCCAAUAUACCGAUCGGUUCUCGGUCCCAUCGAUCCGACUGACCAAUCUAGUCUUAUUCUAAAAAUAUUAGUCACAUCAUUAAAUCUUGACGAAAUACAAGUUUAAAGACCAAAAUAGAUUUAUUUGCCAAAUUCGAGUAACAAACUGGACCGAAUUGUCAAGUUUUCCUUUACAAAGAAACAAUAUGAGGUUUACGAGCUUAGUUCGUAGCUUAACUCGACUCUGACUCAGGAACAUUAGUUAAAUUUGUUACCUUAAUUUGUUGUUUGAUGACAUUUUUUGAAGGCAACGAAUUCCAAAUCUUCCCCUUUACAGGAGCAUUAGCAAAGGCUUUAUCUCUAGCCCAUUUGAGCUCAUUAAUCUCUUUAAGAACUUGUUGUUCAUCAACCCUUAUUGCAGGUCUUGGGAUGAAAUAGUUCCUUCUAAUGUCCCACCUCAAUCUCCAUAUCUGUUUUCACAACAAAAAUGAAUUAAAUAUGUUUGGUGUUAAUCAUUACCGACCCGCUACCCGCUUAGUCAACUGGGACCAGCCCGAUUCUCUUUACUUCAGUAGUAAUCGCCACACAGUUCACAUCAUAUGAGUUCGCACGUGAUGGGUUCGCAUCAUCAUGCAAGCAAACUCACACUUAGAAAACACGUGUUAAUUUUAGAAUAGAGUACGUGUUGGCAUGUAUGGAGACCUACCUAAGCCGUCACAUCCAUGAACCAUAUCAUAUAAAUAUUCAAACAUACUUACCCGAUCGGAUAUCUCUUCGACCACUGACGGACCCGAAUCGUUUAAUCCCUUCUGACCAGCAUUCACCUCUUUCAAGAGCUUCUUUUCUUUCACCAUAUUGCCAGUUUCAUGAUGCAUUCGGAAACACAAAUUCUAGAAUCGAAACUUUAUAUCAAUCAAUCAAAUUACUUUUCACGAAAACCAACAUCGAAAAAUACAAAAAAACAUGCUUACAUGGCUAUUAAUCUUGCCUUGUGUGUUGAUAGAUCUCUCCUUAUAAGCACCAUUAGCAAAAGUAAGCUUAUCGAGAUCUCGUUUCAAAGCAGCCAUUUGCUUCCCUUUAUUUGUCCACAUACUUCUGAAUCCCUUCUCUUUAUAGUUCAAAUCAUAUAACCUAUUAUAAGCUUGGCGUUCUUCGAACUGUUCAUCAUAAUACGAUUUUCUGAUUCUCUUUAUCGUUGAUAUUCAUCGUAAUUGAUAAAAAUUUAAAAAGGUAAAUGUAGCUAGGUACCUGUUUUUCGUGUAUCGCCUUUGUGAUUCGAAAUAAUUGUUCAUUCAAGCAUGUAAGUGACUUCGUAGCUUGUUGAAUCCCAGAUUCUGGAUUUGUGUUUUGCUGAAGCAUUGUAAAAAUCAAGUCAUUGAUUGGAUCCUUCUUGGCUUUGCUCUUAACAGCCUGUAACUCUUCAUUUUCUGGUUUUGCAGUAGCCAUGUGAUAGUGUGCCUAUAUCAAGUUGAUACAAUAUAUAUAUGUGUAUGUAUAUGAUUAUAAAGGGUAAUUAAAAUCAAAUUCUGGCAUAGAAAUGAAAAUUUUGAAUGCAUAAAUAAAAGAGAAAAUGCAAGGUGACGUGAUCCACAAGUCAAAUGGACAUUCAUGCUACUUAUUGUGAGGCCUUGCACCCCACGGCAGUCUUUAAGUCAACCCAAUCCUUGAUAAUAUAUAAGUAUAUAGAAUGGAUAAAUAUUUAAUGUAUUGAUACUGUUGCUUGCCAACUAUGCCUUCAGGGGUAAAGUCAAACAUUUUAGGGUUGAAAUUUAAUUAUAAAAUUUUGGGGGUCAAAACAGAUAUUUUACUAUUUUAAUAACUAUAGUAUUAUAAAUUUUAAGGACUUAAAAGAUAAUUUCCCCUAAAUCAAGGGGAGUCAGGGCCCUUGCCUUUGGAUCAUAGUUGUUAGGUCCAAUGGUUCCAUAAAAUCAUAAAAUCAGAGGAGUGAAUUAUUGUAAAAUGGAUUGAAUCGGGUAAAAAGUCAUUUGAACUAAAUCUAAGUUGAUCUAAAUUUUAAUUUUUUUUAUAAUUUAUAAAAUGAAUGUUUAGAUUUUAAUAAUUUUUAUUUAUGUUUAUUAUUUUUUUAAUUUUUAUGAAUGUUUAAAAUUUUUAAUGAGUUCUCAUUAAAAUAUACCUCAUUUAUGAGUAAAAAUAUUAUGGCUGAUGGCAUACACAUGGAUUGCUAUGUGGAUGAUAUGUCAACAUUUAAAUAUUUUUUAAAUACUAAAAAUUACUUUUCAUAUUUUAAAUAAUUUUAAUGAUUUUAAAUUUUAAAAUAAUUUUUAAAAAUAAUUUUUAAAAAAUAAUUAAAUACUAACGCGUCAUCCAUUUAGCAAUCCACAUGUAUGUCACAUCAACAAAGUUAAAGAAUAUUAAUUUUUCUAUCUAUUUUGAGAUAAUUUGACAAUAAACGCAAAUUUAAGUACUAAAAAAGACGAAAAAUUAAAUAGAGGUUUAAAAUAACUAUUUUUUAUAAAGUUAAAGAGUCAAAUAAAUCAUUAUGUGAAUAUAUUACGUGGAUUCAACAUGGAACAAGCAACAAAUAAAAUAGUUUUUCUUGAGCCACUCGGUUUUCUUCUCUUUUAAAAGAUUUCCAUUUUCACAAGGAAAAAAUUAUAAUUUUUUUAAUUUAGGGUAUCCACCACCGAUAAUAGUAACUAAUUUAAAAGAUAUUUUUUUGUUAUUAAUCCUUAUAUUUUGCACUGUUUAUGGAACAAUACUUUCUUGCAUAUAAAAAUACAUUGAAAGGUUAAGUUUUGUUAUUAGCCCUUAUACUAUCCACAAUUUGUGGAUUUAGCCCCUAUAUUCUAAUUUGGUUAAUUUUAAUCAAUGUAUUUUUCGAAUUUUGACUUAAAUAGUAGCAAUUAAAUCUGCUAAAUCAAAUUGUGCUAUUAGUCUCGUACUAGGCCUAAGUUAUAGAUUUAAUCAAUAUUUUCCAGUCUAAUUAUUUGUAGCCUCUAUACUUUUUGAGUUUUGGAAUUUCCAUUAAAUCCAUUAAUUAAAACGAUAUGGUUUUUUUUAUUAGUAUUAUAUGCAAAUAGCAAGCUAAUAGUUGUUAAAUUUGUUAGAUCAAAUUCUACUAUUAGUCUCGUACUAUGUAUAAAUUAUGGAUUUAAUUUUUGUUCUCUAAUUUGAUAAUUUUUAGUUCCCUAUACCUUUCAAUUUUUAAAAUUUUAGUCCUGAUUCAAACGAUGUAUUAACUAAAAUGAUGCGACUUUUUUCAAUUUAAAUAAUAAUAUAUAUUGGGUGGAUUAUUAUUAUUAUUAUUAUUAUUAUUAUUAUUAUUAUUAUUAUUAUUAUUAGAUACUACAAAUAUUUAUUUAAGAUUUAAACUUUUUUUAAUAAAGUACCGUUACAAUUCAUCCAAAUGAUUAAAUAUAUAAUAAAACAUUAAGUUUGAAUUUGACUUCUUCAACAUUGGGUCGAAUUUCUAAAAUAAUUGAAUUAAGGGUAAACUACACCCAUGGUCACUUUUGUUUACCUUAGGUUAUAUUUUAGUCACUUGUGUUUGAAAUGUUACGUUUUAGCCACUUACGUUAUCUUGUUGUAACAUUUUAGCCAUUAAGCCGUUAAUUGCCGUUAACGGUGUAACGGUAAGCUGACGUGGCACGUUAAAUCAUCAUUUCAAACAAAAUUUUAGGUUAAAUUAUAUAAUCGAUUCCCAUUUUUUUCAAAUUGACAGUGAAGAAAGAAGUAAGAAGUUGAAAGUCAUAAUUGCCUAUAACCAAAACCCAUAAACCCAUACCAUGCUUCUUAUUUCAUUGCCAAUUUGACUUCUUGAUAUGUUAAAAGAAAUGGAGAAGGUAGGAAAAUAAAUGGAGAAGGUAGGAAAAUAAAAGGAGAAGUAGAAAAUAAUGGAAAAUAAAAAAAAAGUUAAAAGAACAUAAAAGAAAAAAAUUAAAUUGUUCAAGACGAAAAAAUAUAGGGACCAAAUGUAUAAUUUAACCUAAAUUUUUUGUUUAAAAGGAUUAUUUAACAUGCCACGUCAGCUUACCAUUACAUUGUUAACAGCAAUUAAUGGCUUAGUGACAAAAAUGCUACAACACGAUAACGUAAGUGACUAAAACAUAACAUUUCAAACAUAAGUGACUAAAACGUAACCUGAAGUAAACAAAAAUGAUCAUGGAUGCAAUUUACCCUUGAAUUAAAAUAUAGUUUAACUUUUUGGACAUUCGACCAAAAUUGCGGGUGGUAGGCACACUUAGAUUUUAUAAUGGUCUAAUUAGGGUUUUAUAUCCCUCUACUUUAAGAAAAUUAAAAAGCUAACUCCUCUACUUUAAUUUAUUAGAAUAUAGUCCUCACGCUUUAUAAAAAAUUGAAGAGUUAAUCUUGCAGUACUACCAAACUUUGUCGUUAAAUUGUUAACAUGGAAAUAAACAGUUCAACAAAAUUAUAUGAAUUAAACUAGGGGUGAGCAAAAUUCAGUUUGACUCGAAAAAAUUAAAUUUUUUUUAAUUUCAAGUUAAACAAAUCAAGUUAUUCAAAUUAAUCAAAUUAUUUGAGUCAACUCAAAUUUUUUUUUCAAAUUUUGAGUUCGAAUCGAGUUUGAUUUUCAAAUUUGAAUAAUUCGAAUAAAUCGAAUAUCAAACUAUAAUAAUUUACAUUAUUACCCCAAACACCUAAACCUCUUCACUUUCCUCCCAAAACUUUUACUCCCUCCCACUUUCCCCCAUAACUUUUACUCUCCUCCCAUCUUACCCCCUUCUACCCCAAACCCAUCCCCCCCAAAUUUUACUCCUCCCAUUUAUUCCCCCCCCCCCAAUUUUACUCCCUCAACAUCUAAAACGUUUUAUUUUCCCCCUAAAUGUUUACUUCUCAUCCUUUACCCCUAAAUAAAAAAUUAAAAUCAUCCAAAAAAAUUUUGUAAACCUAAAUAAUAAUUUUAUUUAUAUAUACUAUUUAUAUUAUUAAAUUAAAUUCCAUAUUUUAUACUAUUUAUAUUAUUGAAUUGUUUUAUCAUAUUGAAUCUUUACAAAUUUUUACAAAAAUUGAAUUAUUGAUGAUGUCAUAAAAUAUUCGUGUUAAAAUUUGAUGUUGGUAUGAAUUUCACAUUUUAUCAUAACUUUUAUUAAAAAAUCACAUUUUUUACAUUUAAUAUUUUUUUUAAAUUUCAAAAUACAUAGUGACAAGAAUCAGAAAAUAAUUGAAGCAACUAAGCAAGCAAAGAAGUUAACCCGUAUAUAAAAGAUUAAUAAAUAAAUUAUAAGGAGAUUAAAGUUAAUAACAAAUUUGAUUACGGUGGAUGACAGUGAUUACAAGGGCCUAAAAUACUUUUUUUUUAAUUUAACUCGAACAAAUAUAUUCGAUUCGAUUCGAAUUCUAUCUCACUCGACUCGAUUCGAGAAACAUUCAAAUCGAAUUAAGAUGAUAAAAUAUGAUUCGUCAAAUCAAUUAACUCAAAAUUUUUUCAUUCAAUUCAAUUCAAUCUGAUCGAACACUCACCCCUAAAUUAAAAUACUAAAAGUUAGCUAUUUAUAUAAUAUUCAAAUUAUAUUUUUCUUUUUUUUUACAUUAUAUAAUAUAUUUUAUCGAUUUAAUCCCCAUAUUUAAAAUUUUAAAAUUUAAAUCUUUUAUUUUUUCGAUUUAAAAAUUCUAAUUCAACCAAUAACACUACUAGUAUUUUUCGUCAAAAUUUAUUAACUUAACAUUUUUUUUGUCAAUCAUAUGACAUCUCAUGUGAAUGCAAUCUAAUCAACACGUCAAGUUGAUAAUAUUUUAAUAAAAAAAUAAUGAUUGGACUAAUAUUUUAAAAUCAAAAAAAUAAAAACUUAAUUUCUAACGUUUUAAGCACUAAAAUUAAUUUUCAAAUUUUAUUAAAACAUAAAAAUUAAUGACAUAUUUAACUAAUAUAAUGAUAUUAUGUUUACCUCUAACAUAAACCAUAAAAAAUAACAUGCAGGGUUGAACCACAGUGAAGUGACAUACAAUUUGUGUGUAAAUAUUCGAUUCAUAUCCGUUUCGAAUUUGAUGCUUGAACAACCCUUACCCUAUGUCCCUUAAAUAAUAAUGUUUUUUAUGUGUGUUUUAUAUUUAUUUUAUGAUUCAUAUUCCGAGUUCAUACAUCUCUCAAUAUGUGGUCCCCAAGGUCUUAUCCCUCAAAUCAUAAUAAAAGAAAAUUACACUAGUAGUCACUAACUAUUAGUAAAAGUCUUUUUUUUUUUUGGUCACCCAAACCUCUAACACUAAAUGCAAAAUCAAAAUGAACUUAAAUGAUUCAAUUAAUGUUGAUGUGUCUUUAACACAAGUAAGGUCAAAGAAACGCUCCCUAAUAAAGUCAUCUCUAUCAACAAAUCUCAAAACAAGAGUCAUUUGUUCUUCUUUAAAUUCAUCACGAUAUUCAUCAACAAUGAUGCAAAAUUCUGAGUCUCCAGUAUCUUCACGAAUCUUCUUUUGCACUUUAUUAGCAACAACGUGCAAAAAUUCCUUUUGAAUUGAAGGCUGGAUUUAGGAGCAUUUUCCAACACAAUAUUCUUAACAUCAUUGUUAUAAGAAGCUAAAGGUUGAACCAACUCGAUAAAUUUACCACAAUUUUUUGUAUCAAGUGUUUCAUCUUGACCUCUCGAAACAUAAGCUUGAAAUGCAAGCCAUCGAACAACAUCAAUAGAAGUCUUAAUUCGUAACUUAUUAUUCAAAACUUGUUCCGAACUUUGUUGAUGCAUUACUUUAUUAUGCCCAGUUUGCUUCAUCAAAUUUGCAUAAGACUUGAUGACAUUAUUAUAUGGUCUACAAUAUGACUAAGGGUGAGUUUGGAUGGGCGAUGUGUUUACCUGCGGUUAGUGUAAAAACAGCGGUGGCGGUGGGAUUAGAUACUGUAGCGAUAUGCACGCACCCAAUCGCCCAUCCGAACCCACCCUAAAAAAUACAUAAUUCUUUCGAGAAAUAUUUUUUUCCCAACUUAGUUGGAGAAUGCUCAAGUCAAGAAGAGAAUUGAGUAAACCAAUAUUAUUGAAGACGCUUAGGAUGCUUUUCUAGUGAAUAUGGAUAAAAUGGAUGUGGAUCUACUCUCAAGUAAGCUUCUUGAAUUUCAUUUCAUUGAUUAAUAAUUAAUAAAAAAUUUGAAUAGUUUAGUAAUUAAAUUAAAAUUUUAUUAUUAUUUAAUGAUCAAAACAAAAACACGUGAAAAAUUUAAUGAUCAUUUAAAUGAUGUAUUCUUUAAAAAUUGUACGGACAAAAUUCAUUGAUUUGACAUAUAUAAAUAUACAUAUUAAUUAAAUAACUUUACCCUACAUAAUCAUCUACCUCCGAUGAAGCGACAAAUAACUCGUGCCUAAAUAUUUGAUAUCUUUCAUAUUCAUUUUACGAUACGAUGACAUUGGCUGCCCCUCACCAAUGUCUAUUAUCCCUCAAAAAAAAUAAUAUUUUGACCAAAAACAAGGUCAAAACUGUAAAUUUUCUCCAUUGGCAACUCGAGGCUUCAACAUAUGACACUUUUGGCUUUUCCAUAAACUCCCUUUCUUCACCAAAACCCAAAAGGAAGCAACUCGGAAAAUGGACCCAACUGCACCCUCCGCGUCGGUCGUCGGCGGCGGUGGCGGCGGCGGAGGAGGGCCGGCACCUUUCCUUAUGAAAACAUUCGACAUGGUGGACGACUCAUCGACCGACGACAUCGUUUCAUGGAGCUCUAACAAAAAGAGCUUUGUGGUUUGGAACCCUCCUGAUUUUGCUCGCCUUUUGCUUCCCACUUAUUUCAAGCACAAUAAUUUCUCCAGCUUCAUCAGGCAGCUUAAUACCUAUGUGGGUUUCUUUUCCUUUCUGGGUUUUUUGUUUAAUUAAUGUAUCUUUGAUAAUUAGGGGAAAUCAUGUUUCUUUUUUAGCUUUUAACUUCAAUUUUUGAUGACAGAUUUAUGGAGUGAUUUUGGUUUUAUGUUUUUGUUCCUUGAGAAUGGACAAUUUCUCCUUUUUUGUGUGUGUGUCCUUUUCUACUGAAUUAUGGGUAUGAAUCUUUGCUAAAGCCAGCACAUAAAUUUAAGGUCAAUCAAUGUCUUCUGCUGUGAUUCAUAAGGUAAAAUUCUAUGAGAAUUGGGGUGUUUUUUAAGUCAAUGAUUUUGACUUUGAAAUUUAUAAAUUUUCUUCGUAAUUGUUUCACAUUUUCAUGAUUUUUCUUUUGCAUUCCUCAACUAAAAUGGUCCUUAAUGAAGAGUAUCUAUUCUUCUUUAUCUUUGAUGCAGGGGCUGUUGAAAGAAGAAUUAAGAGUAUCUAUUCUUCUUUAUCUUUGAUGCAGGGGCUGUUGAAAGAAGAAUUAUACUUGUUUAUGGUUUGCUUAGGUUUAGAUGUAUGAAGAUGGAGUGUCUAAGCAUGAUCUGAUUGCAUAUGAAUUUAAUUUGUUGACAGGGGUUCCGGAAGAUUGAUCCCGAACGAUGGGAAUUUGCCAAUGAAGAUUUCGUGAAAGAUCAAAGGCAUCUUCUUAAGAAUAUUCAUCGAAGAAAACCUAUUCACAGCCAUAGUAAUCCACAGGGUUCUUUGAUAGAUCAUGAAAGAGCUGGAUACGAAGAAGAAAUCGAAAAGCUUUCACGUGAGAAAGCUGCACUUGAGGCUGAUGUUUUGAGGUCUGAACAAGAGCGGUCAGCUUUGAAGCAUCAGGUGGAAGAGCUGACACAACAAGCUGAUCAAAUGGAGCGUAGGCAAGACACUUUGUUUAACUUCUUAGAAAAGGCUUUACAAGACCCUGCUUUCGCCGAACAUCUUUUUCGUAGAAUUGAAUCUAUGGAUGAUGUUGUGGCAUAUAAUAAGAAAAGGAGACUGCCUCAAAUUGAUCAAACCAAGCCAGUUGGUGACCAUAGUCUUUUGGACAACAAAAGUAGUUCUACACCCGAGUUUGGAAAUGUUGUCCACCUCGAUUUCUCGAACAAGCUUAGACUAGAAUUGUCAUCAGCUGUUUCGGAGAUUAACUUGGUUUCUCAAAGCACGCAAAGUUCUAAUGAAGAUGGAGAAAGUCCACAGAGAAGGGUUUCUCAAGGAGAACCAAAAGAUGAUAAUAUCAGACCUCAGGGGCUUUUAUUCACACCCGAAACAUUAGACAUUUCAGAUACAGGCACAUCUUUUACAUUCAACAUGGAUUCAUCUUUCUCUCAAAGAGUAUCAAUGAAUGAAAGCCCGGCAGUGCAUUCACUGCAACAGAGAUUAAGUUCCAAUGAAGAACCUGAUAGUCAUAUUUCCUGUCAGUUAAAUCUAACUCUGGCAUCUUCUUCAUUGCAAGUCAAUAAAAGUCCCAGCUUAACUAGGAUGUCCCAACCAAGUUGGGAAAUCGGAAAAGUCUCCGAGUCAAGGUCUAAUGCCAACAGUAAAGACUCUGAUUCUGGACCUUUCCAUAAUAGCAGAAACAUGAUUGAUGGGGAAACAACAUUAUCGUCAUCGAAAGAAGGCCCUAACACAAAUCAAGAGCCUGCCGCUGCUCCGGUUAGAGUAAAUGAUGUAUUCUGGGAACAGUUCCUCACCGAGAGACCAGGUUCCUCUGACAAUGAAGAGGCCAGUUCCAAUUAUCGAGCAAAUCCAUACGAAGAGCAAGACGACAAAAGGUCAGGCCAUGGACUAGCAAGGAAUACCAAGAACAUCGAGCAGCUUAGUCUUUAGCAGCAAAGUUGCCUUGCCGCAAAUCCAUUGAUAAGUCUACAAAGGUCUCUCUUGUUCCUUCUGUUUCUUCGUGUUAUUUAUAGUUACUUCGUUUAUAGGAUACGAUUUUAUACAUAACUGCCCAAAAUUAGUUUGAAUAAAAUCAUGUUGAAAUUUGAAUUCCACUUGGUAGGUUCUUGCAUUGGGGAUAUAGCAUCCUUUUUUCACUGAUAAAAUAGAAAGUUAUGUAGCUUUACCGUCUAGGUUUCGAACUGUCAGUAACCAAGCAAUGAUGUUCAUCUUGCAAAAAUGACGUAAUCUGUGUAUUCUUUUUCCCGUAUCGAAACUGAAGUCUCCUCUUAGUGUUUUCAGUGCCCAUCUAACAAUUCAUCUCAUAAUAAUACAUUGUGGUAUUGUUGUUUUUUCUUACAUCAAUCCCGAGUUAUCACAUUUAACUUCGUGCGUUUCAACUGAUUGAUGGGUAGAUUAUUCAUUAGUUUGUGCAGUGAAUGUUAUGCAUGAUAUAAGACGUUCAUGUUUCUUAAGAAAGUAGGGUUCAUCUGAAAAAUCACUAUAAUAUUAAGACAGUGAUAAUGUGAUUAGUAAAAUAGAAAAUGGAGUACUACCUUUGCUUCCGUUUGUGUUGGAGUUUUGAGUGAAAGGGUGAUUCAUCAAUGGAGCUCAGUAGUGAGUUGAGUCGUAAGGAGCUUAGUGGCCCUUAAGUAUGGUCAUAGUUUUAAAGUCAUGUGAACGGGGAACAGACGUUGAGAGAGCUUUUCUCCCAUUUGAGGUCUGGCCCGGUUUAACUCUAGAUAAUUGAAGCCUAAUGUGCCUACUAGAUACCGAAAAAUCAUAGAGGAAAUAAAAUACCUAGAGUAAGAUAUUGUGAAAAAGUAUGCACUCGACAAGCGAAAUGAUCGCCAUGCUAAGCAUUUCACAAAGUAGGUAGAGUGCUUCAAUCUCGGGAAGAUUUUCGGGCAUAUAAGCUCGAGUGCUAUGCUUCCUGAUAAGCUGGUUUUGGAGGAAGGCGGUGAUGGUUGCAUGACACAGUGGUAUUAGAGCCAACUUUUAUGAAUAUAAAGUAACAAUUUCAUUAGCCAUUGGGUUAGUUACUCGGAGUGAUUGAGAGUUCAAUCCUUACAUUGGAUAUCGAAUAGUUUUAAAAUUUAUGGUCAACAUCUACUCUUUAAUGGUCCUAUAGAAUACGAAAGAUUUAUUACAGGACUCGUUUCGGUGGAUAUCUUGAGAACCAAAAAGAAAUUCAUUAAUCAUAGGGUGCAUUAAUUAAUUAAUUUUGAAAGGUUCAUUUGGUUUUAUUUAUUUAAUAUUGAGCCUUAUUUAAUAUCCCACAUUUGCUUUUUUUCUUUUUCAUCCAAAAACAGAGGGAAAAUGACAAAUCAAACCAAUUUACAUCAAUUAUUAUUUUUCUUCACGAGAUUAAUGAAGCCAAAGUUUUAUUCACGAGCAUAAAGACCAAAAAUGAAAAAAAAAAUCGUUAAUAUUAUGAGAAAAGGUCCUUGUCUUAUAGUAGAAAUAUUUAAGGUAAAUUAUAUCUAAAGUGAUUAAAUUAUUAGUAAGUUUACGUUUUGAUCAUGUAACUUUAAAAAAUUAUAAAAUAGUCACUGAACUAUUCGAAAGUUUUUAUUUAAGUCGUUGAACUAUUCAAAAAAUUAAUACAAGUCAAUGAGUUAAGUUUUUUUUUUUAAUCUAAAUAGUGAGCUCUAAGUGAUGAUUCAACAAUCAAUAUGGUGGAUCAAUAUCCAUCACUGAGCAGGAACAUACUUUAAAUCUAAGUCGAUACGAUGAUCAAUGUGGAGAUUGAAGAAAAAAACCUAUUUAGAUUUUGGUUCGCAAAUUCAUGAUAUUCAAAACUAUUUCAUGAAAAAAAAUCGAAUUGUAGAAGUGAGGGGGAAGGAGAGCUUCCGAUUGAUAUACGCAGUGCAAACAGAGAAGGCCAUACAAUAACGAUUUUAAUAGCUCAAUGAUAUAAAUAAUUUUUUUUACCAUUUUAUAACUUUUCAAAAUUAAUUGACAAAAACAAAAACUCACUAAUAAUUUAAUGACAUUGAGUGUAAUUUACCCAAAUAUCUAUAAGUUGGACUGAUCCAUUUUCUUUUACAAGCUAUGAGCUAUCCGACCAUGAACAAAUCUAUUUAACAACUCCACUAUUCUCAAAUAAGUCAUCGAAAUUUCACAAAUUGAUAAUGAAGUUUAGUAUUAAUAUUUGGAAUAUUAGUAUUAACAACGUGGUUCAAUCCCUGCCCAUGAGAAUGGACCAUAUUUCAUGGGCAGUCGUUUUUCUUUUCAAAAAACACCCACGAUAAAAAGAAUAAUCAUUACUACGAACAAUGGAUACCCUAAUUUUUAAAAAAAAAAUCAUUUUAGAACUAAUUAGUUAUUAAAUUGUUAUAUUAGAUAUAUUAGAUAUAUAUUUUUUCUUACAUUAAAUGCAUUACAUUUAUUAUACAUAUACUUUUGGCAUUGGAUUUUUAAUAAGCAUUAAAUUAUACCAACACCACUUCAAUAAUUUUCUUUGGAAAUCUAUGGAUUAUUUUUAGAUAAUUCUUUGAAAAUUGCAAAAUAGGUGUGACAUGUUCUACCCCAUAAUAAUAUAUAUAAUUAAAAUCAUAUUUAAAUGACAAUACAAUAAAAUAAAUCAUUAUUUCUUAAAUUUAAUAUAUUAAAUUAAUCAAAAAAUUUAAGUUAUAAAUAAAAAUAUUAUAUUUAUAGUUUUCUUAUUUCCUUUUUUUUUAAGUGAAAAAUAAUACUAUAAAUUCUUUUUACUGAAAAAAGCAAUUAAAUGCUACUUAUAAGCCAACUGCCUACUACUCCCACAAUUUAUAGUGUUGGCCUAAUUCGAUAGCGAAAUCAAUAAAAAGAUAUAAUGAUAAAUUUAGUAUCUAAUAUUUAUAUAUUUUAUUAUUUUAGUCCUAAUUUUAUUUUUUUAAACAUUUUCUUUAAUUUUUAAAAUUAAAUUAAAUUGACAUUUUUUUAAAUAAAAAUGACUCAACUAUUAAAUUUUAUUUUAUAAAAAAUUCAAAAUAAUGAAAGUUAUUAAGAAUUCAACAAAUUUAAAAAAUUAUAAAAAUAAACAAAAAAUGGACGUAACAUAUAGACUAUCACAUGGGUUGGUAUAUCAAUGACAUCAAAAUUUUAACAUUUUAGUAAGUUUUUAAAAAAAGUAAUUUAAUUAAUUUUUAAAAAUUAAGAGCUAAAAUGAUAAAAAAAUAAAAUAAAAUUAGGAUCGAAAUAACAAAAUGAGUAAAUAUUAAAUGCUAAAUUGACUAUUAUGCUCAAAUAAAAAAUUAAUAGAGGGUCAAAUAUAUUUUCUCAAAAGAAAUAAUAUAAUUUUUGGCUUCUGAAUUUGACAAUUAAGUUUCUUUUAGUAUCUAUAUUUUUUUGUUCAUUUUGGAUCUUGAACUUUAUAAGUAGGUCCAUUUUGAUCUCCGAACUUGAAAACAUAAGAGUUUAAUGAUCAUUACUUGAAAAUUAAAAAAAAUUAAUAAUUUUUCGAGUGAUGAUGUGGUACAAUCUCAUAGUGUUACAUUUUAUGUUUUAAUAACAAGAUGGGUGGUUGAAUAGGUUAGACCAUUAUUUUUAUUUCAACCAUCCAAAAGCUUUUAAAAAUAGAAAAUUAUUAAACAUGUUCAAUAGUCGAUUUUUGUUUCGGUUUUCAAUUUUUAUUAAUUUUAAAUAGUUUUCAAGUCAUUCAAUGCAACAUUUUUAUUCGGAUCGUUAUAUUAAUCCGUUUUCAAUUAUCGCUCUUGUUCUUUUGUUUUUUGGACCAAAAAAUUAUUUUAUUUUUUAAAUUAUUAAUUUAAUAAUAUUUUUUCACUAUUUUAUGAACAAUGGAUAUAAUGUAAUUUGUGAGACAAAUGUAUACCCUACUUUACUGUAUUUCCAAGCAAAGUGGGAUAAUUUGGGUGUGAACAUAAAUACAUGGGAACCUUGUUCUGUUUCAAUGUCUUGUCUUCAUCCAUCACUUCUCCAACUACCCUAUUAUUUCUUAUUUUCACUCCCCUCCAUGAAAGCCAUAGCUCCAAAAUAGCUUCAAUCCCUCCCCCCCAAAAAUGGCUAUUCUCAAACUGAUCUUCAUCACCCUCACUCUACCCCUUCUUUUCCUUCAUUCUUAUGUUGCUGUCUCAAUUUUAGAGCUCCAAAAUGCACUGAAAACCAGUGAAAUUGAUGCCACGGUGAGAAGGGCUUGUUCCAAAAAGCUUGAAGAUUGUUUGGAAAGUGAAGAUAUGGAAUCAGAGACCCAAAGGAGGUUGCUUUUGAUGCAAAGAAGGUACAUUAGUUAUGAAACAUUGAGGAGGGACAUGGUUCCUUGUCAAAAACCAGGUUCUUCUUAUUAUGAUUGUGGUGCUGCUCAAGCUAAUCCUUAUAGUAGAGGUUGUGAGAUUAUUACAAGAUGUGCUAGAGGUAUCAAAGGUACUAAAACCUGAAGAAGAAGAAGAAAAAAGAAGACCUAAAUUUGAUGUCUUUUUUUUAACUGUUAACAGCUUGUUUCUGCAAAUGCUAAUGUGUUUGAGCUGUUUUGUAUUGUAUAUUAGAGAACCUUUACCUUAAAUUUCCUAUAUAUAAAUCCAUGUUUAAUCUUUAGGAGCUCUGGGGCUUGCUUGUUAAAAUCUGGGUUUUUGAAGAUGCUCUAUGUUUGAAUCAGCUAGUUUAAUCUAAAGUGGAGAACAGUAGGAAAAGGUUAACUCACAAUUAAGACUGAACUGUCAUUUUCUAAUGUUCAAUCUAUCCAUGGCAUCAUCUUUUAGCUCUAUACCCUUUUCUGUAGAUGUUUCCAAAAGUAUCACAUGGCUUAGCCUACCAUUAUUUAUUUCUUGUCUUCAUACGUGUUAUGUUGGGCUUUUGAGAUUAGGUAUGGGUUUUUAACAGUAAAAAAUGGAUAGAAUAGUUUGUUCAAAUAAAGAUUAACUUGAAAAACCGAAAAACCAAAGUUCAAACACUGUUGUAGCCAUCCCUUUCCCCCAUUUGUAAUGUGUAUCAGUAUAUAUAUAUAUAUAUAUAUAUAUAUAUAUAUAUAUAAGCAAUGUGCAUGUAUAUACACAUUACAGAUUUCCACUACAAUGGUUGAAUGUGCAACGUGCCAACUUGUCUUAUUCUUUAUCCAACUUGUCCUCACCUUUCCCAUUGACUGAAAAUAUAAACUUAAAGUCAACCAAUCUAAAACUCUCAAAAUCCCCAUUUUUUUCUCUCAGUUUCUUUUCCAUCAGAUUAAGCUCUUUUCAUUUUCCAUACCUGAAGAUGGCAAACCCACGGCAAACCAUGGAUUCAUCGAAGCUUUCAUUGCUUUUAUCCAUGGUUUUUUAUGUUCACUCAGUGAUUCUCAUCUCUCAACAUUUCAGUCUCUCAUACUUUUCCACAUUGUCAGCAUCUUUCGCAUCAGUCCCUUGUUGUUUCUUCAUCAUCUGUAAUUGCCUACAAAUGGAGAAGUCAUUUAGCAAUCUAAUUUGGGACCAUUUCCUGUUCAUCUGUGCUCAUCUUUCAAGUAUUUGUGAGCUUAGCAACAACGACUUAACAAGAGGGUACUUGUUCUUCUUCAUGGGGGUCUUGCUUUUAUCUCUUUACACCAGUUACAUUUGGUAUCAACAUCAGUCUUCAAAUGGUGUUCAUCUUGUGAAUGUGAUGAUAGAGAUCUCAUUUUCGUUUAUCGGCAAUGGGAUCGCCUUGAUCGGAAGAUGGUUCGUUCCAUUAGACAACCUUUUAUGGUUGGUGAUUGGAACAUGUACAAUGUUUUCAAUUUGUGUUGUUUUGUUUUGUUAUUACCUGUUUUCUUCAGGCAAAUUCAAGAAGCCAUAGCCAUGUUUUUAUUGACUACUUUGAGUUGUUUAUAAUAAGAUAACAUGUUCUUUAAGAAUUUGCAUAUUGCAUUCAUUGUUCUUUAUAGCUGAAACUGGUUUCUUCAUAUGUUUUGAAUCCAAAUAUCUGAACUACAAUCACCACCUGGAUAUCUCAUCUCAUGAGCCAGGCAAGGUCCAUCAGGUUCUGCUCCAAAAUCGACAAAAAAAGUUCAGGUUUAUUUUAAGACUGCCUUUCUCAGUGUCGAUGUCAAUCUGCAACAUGUGGGAACCUUUCUCCACAAGUUCUGGAUAGAACUGUCGGUCCAUUGUGCUGAAUACCGAGUUCGUCACGUAUAGCCGCUUACCGUCUAAGCUUAAUUGGAUCAUCUGCGGUCCCCCUCUUAAUCGAUGUCCCUGUAAACAACAUAAUGAUGAUCAUAGCUUGCCAUCAAUAUGAUUAAUCCGACAAGUUAAUAUGAAUGUUAGUAUUUAGAAAAGACCUGGAUUUCCAGAACAUCGGAUUGCCAUGUUUUACCAUCUUCUGUCAUGGCCGCUAUAGGGCUUCCCUUAUGAAUCAAUCCUCCAACCCAUACUUGGCCAACCAAGACCGGAUUUCUGGGGUCCUCGAUGUUAUAUUGUCGGAUAUCUCCAUGCAGCCAGUUGGCAAAAUACAGAAACCGAUCAUGAGAGAGAUUAAGAUGUCAGUUAUAAAUCCAGGCAAUUCGGUAAGUAUCCAAUUUUGUACCUUCAAUGGUUUCACUGAGAUUGCCACCUGCAGAAGUUAAUCAAGUACAUAAUAAGGCUUGUCCAAAUUUAUGAGCAUUGGUAAUGAAAGAUUAUAAGAUCCUACCUGAUGGCUCCAUGAUCCGUCUUCAGUUUUGAAAAACCGAACAAUGUUACUCGUCAAGGCUCACCCGACGUACCCUGUACCUUUAGAUGGAUUAUGCAGGAAUCUUAUCUGCAAUGAAAAUGAAACAGAACUACGUAUUGCCUUCGACCAAAACCGAAUCUUAAAAAUGAAGUUGUAACAUGCAAUCUAUCACCUCUAAAGGCAUGAGACCGGUACCACCGAGAUCCAACGUUUGUUUAAGUUCACCAUCAGGCCAGCUAUACACAUGCAGAUAUCUCCCAUACAGACCCUCUGCAACAUGCUGAAGAUGGAAACCUUGGGUGAAGGCAGUCGGAGCACCAAAUGAUGAGCUGAUCAUUGUUUUAUGUCGAGGUUGGUACCAAAAAUCGUAGCCGAACAUAGGACUAUGCCCCGGUUUCUCCCACCUAAAGAACAAGAAGUGACGGUUAUUCCCCAUCAUUUUACCCUCUAAACAUUCAUUCGGUUUUCGGCUUUACCUCCCUUUGAUGUUGAAUUCGGAAUCAAGGAGAAGAAAUCUGCUUCCUUCGGCAUUUCCAUCUUUAUCUCCGAGACACGAAAUCAUUAUAUCCCCGGAGGCAAGACAGUGAGACGUGUGCAGAUAUGCUAGGCCGAUUUUCUUAAUGAUAUCCACCGGCUGCAACACUCUAUACAAAGAGGGAGCCUUGGGAUUCUUUUGUGUGUCAAUCACAUAGACACGACUAGACCUAAAUCAUGCAGAACAUUAACUGUAUAAUGCAACUUUGGUACCUUAACAUAUUGUAUAUGUAGAACAGUUAAAAUAUGUUUAUAUUGUAAAAUAUCGUCUCUAUCAUUAUACUAUGAUCUUCCAAAUAUAUAAAAAAUACAAUUUUGGCAUGUAUGUAUGUAUAGUCCCUUACAGAAACGAAGGCAGGAUCAGAUAUUUCAGUAAUUUAACGAUAUUUAAGUAAUUUUAUUUUAUGUAAUUCAUACAUAAUUUUGGUAAUUUUUUAAUCUAAACUUGGACCUUUGAUUCAGGGUUCGAAUUUUGGAUUCCGAGUAAAAAAAUUACCAAAAUUAUGUAUCAAUGCAUCAAAAAAAUUACUGAAAUAUCACUAAAUGAUUAGGAAGGAAUUUAGGAUGACGUAGCCACUCUGUUUCUUGCAAUCCUUUCUGUUAGGGAAUAUCUCAUCUUUAUACUUUAAAUUUUUUUUUUUAAAUUUGUCUAUAAAUAAAUAAAAUGAUUAUUUUUGUAAUAAUUAAAAAUCUAUUAAUUUUAAGAGGUAGGCUUAACUAAAGUAUAUAAUAUUAAUUUAAAAUAUGAUGUAUUUUUUGUAAUGUGCAUGACAUGUUUAUCUUAUACAUUAUAAUAUGAUUUACACCAUUAUAUUUAGUUGGUGAUCAUACAUAAUAAAAUGUGUAUAAAAUAUAUAUAAUCCUCCAAAAACCAAUUAAAAUACAUAAAAAUCUUAAUAAAAAUUCAACCAAAUCCACCAAACAUAAUUAAAUAUUAUUAAUAAAUAUUUAAUAAACAAGUGAAAUCAAAUUACUUCUAUCAGAUGCAAUAAAACUGCAUCAAUGGCAACUAUUAUGAUUUUAUCCCAAUACCUUAUUCAAAACUUUCCCAAUGAAAGACAAUUACCCCCAAAACUUUCCCAUCACCCAAACAAAAACUCCUACAUUAAUCAAAAACCUAACAAUCUAACAAUAAUUCAUAUGAUAAAAUGCAAUAAUAAUAAAAACGAUGGAACCGUCGGAAUGUGCCGUUUUCGUUAUUGAAUUCUGCCUCAAAUUCUCUCCUCAGUACCUGUAAUGAGGAGGCUUAUAAGGACCCUCAAUUGGGACACUAAUGUAGUCAGCUUGGUCCUUGGUAAGCUUAGUGAGCUUAGCCCCAAGUUUCACAAGGUGAAGAGCAGCGACUUUCUCAUCGAGAUGCUUCGGCAAAACGUAAACCUUCUUCUCGUAUUUUCCGGUUGAUUUCUCCGUCCAUAGCUCGAGCUGUGCAAUCACUUGGUUCGUGAACGAACAAGACAUCACGAAGCUAGGAUGACCGGUAGCACAUCCUAAGUUCAUGAGACGUCCUUCGGCUAACACGAUGAUACCUGUCUUGGUAUCGGGGAAUACCCACCUAUCGGUUUGAGGCUUGAUGGUGAUUCGUUUGACACCUGGAUAAUUCUCGAGGCCUAACAUGUCGAUCUCGUUAUCGAAAUGACCGAUGUUGCAAACGAUGGCGUUGUUUUUCAUCUUCUUCAUGUGAUCAACCAUGAUGAUGUCCUUGUUACCUGUUGUGGUGACAAAGAUAUCAGCUGUUGAAAGAACAUCUUCAAGAGUUAGGACUUGGAGUCCUUCCAUAAGAGCUUGAAGGGCACAGAUUGGAUCAAUCUCGGUCACGAUGACACGAGCUCCGGCUUGUUUCAAGGCUGAGGCACAACCCUUGCCGACAUCACCGUAACCACAGACAACGGCGACUUUGCCGGCAAUCAUAACAUCGGUGGCUCUCAUUAAACCAUCAGGAAGAGAGUGGCGGCAACCAUACAAGUUAUCAAACUGUUCCAUAUAAUCAAAUCAUAACUAUACAAUUGGAUCAUUAUACAUAAAUGACAAUUAAAAUCAUAAUUCCAUUAAUUAACCAAGAGUGAGUGAGCAUAUAGGAGCCGAAGUAUCUUAGAAACUUAGGGUCCAAUUCAAAAUCCGGUUGAUAGUUUAGGGGGCUUAGCUGGAAUUAACCCAAAACAAAAAUACUUCUAACGGUGAAGAAAACAUCAAGCAAAUAGCAGACUCGAUCACUCAAAGCAAUUUGAAAUGGUUUUCAAUAUAUCUGUGCAUCAUAAAAUAAAACCAGAUCCACUAUGAAGAAAAUAAAUUGGGAAAUUAAAUCAGAAAUAAAAGAAAUAUAUACCUUGCUCUUGGUGACAGAGUCAUUGACAUUAAUAGCAGGGAACAACAAGGUUCCAUUAGCCUGCAUUUGAUAAAGCCUUUUAACCCCAGUCGUGGUUUCUUCAGAAACACCAACCAAUCUCUCCUUCAUCUUCGUAUAUUUCUUCGGAUUUGCUGUCAACCCAUCUUUAAUUAUCGUCAAUACGAUCUGAAACUCAGCGUUAUCGCUCGACGUCGGGUCCGGUACCUUCCCGGUUUUCUCAUAAGCUUCCUCAGCUUUAACCCCUUCAUGGAUCAACAUCGUAACAUCCCCACCAUCAUCAACAAUCAAAUCAGGUCCACCACCGGCACCCCAAUCGAGGGAUUUCUCGGUACACCACCAGUAUUCUUGGAGUGUUUCGCCUUUCCAAGCGAAUACAGAAGCGGAGUCACGAGCGAUGACGGCGGCGGCGUGGUCUUGGGUUGAGAAAAUGUUGCAAGAACACCAACGGACUUCGGCUCCUAAUGCGGUUAAGGUUUCGAUGAGGACGGCGGUUUGGAUUGUCAUGUGAAGUGAACCGGUGAUUCUGGCUCCUUUGAAAGGUUGAGAAGGGCCGAAUUCAGUUCUACAUGCCAUUAGACCAGGCAUUUCGACCUCGGCUAAAUCGAUCUCGAGACGGCCAAAAUCGGCUUGAGACAUGUCUUUCACCUUGUAUUCACGGCCGCCGGAGGUUUUAUCCACUGAAAGAGCCAUUGGUGGAAGUAAAAAGUGAGAACAAAGCACACAAAAUCACCCCUGGUAAAGAAACGAUCAACGUAGCAAUGAUAGAAAAAGAAAGGCAGAGUGGUAAAUGGCAAUGGGAUGUGCUUAUAACCAAUGCAUGCAAAUAAAUAGGUUGAAGAAGAUAUAUUAUAGGGUUAAUUUCAUAAAUGUCCCUAAACUAUUUCUCAAAUUUUAAAUUGAUCCUCAAACUUCAAAACAUUUUAAUUGAAUCCUCAAAGUAUUUGUAUUGUAUCGAUUAGACCUAUAUCUUUUUUUUAACACCUCAGUCUUAAGUUAUUCAUAACAUAAAAUACGUACAUGUGUCUUAAGCUAAUGGUAAGAGAAAAACCCAAUUAAUACGAUAUUAAUACUUUGAAGAUUGAGAUCAUUUUAAAAUUUGAAUCAUUAUUUAGGGACAUACGGUGAAAUUAACCCUAUUUUAUAAUUAUAUAAUAAAUUAUAUAAGGUUAACUAUAAAUUCGCGUUGACAAUUUCCUAUUUUAUUUAUAUAAUAGCUGUGUAACAUAUUUUUACGUUUAACUCAUUAUUUUGUUUUUAUUUUUUUUAAUAUAAUGUAAUUUGAGUAAAUGAAAUGGUGAUGCGAAAGGCACGCAACAGGAAGCGGAAUUAGUCUAAUUAUAUAUUUUUAUCAUUUAAGUUAUAAAAUUAUAUUUUUAUUAUUAUUUAAUUAUAAAAAUUUAUAAAAUAUUUAUUUGAUUAUUAGAAUUUUUGUCACCCAAUCAUGAAAAUUUAUAAAAUGGUCACCAAGUAAAUAUGAAAACAUAAAAAUUUUUAAGAUAAUUGGGUGAUAAAAAAAAACAAAAUUAAAUAAUUAAAUGACCAUUUUAUAACUUUUCAUAAUUGAAUAACCAAGAAAAAUAUAUAUAAUCGAGUGAUUACUAAAGAAAUUUACCCCUAAAGAAAUGUGUAAUUCUGGGUUAAAAAACUUAUCUAAAUAGUUAGUCAAAUUACUAUGUUGAUAAUUUUUGUGGUACAAUCUAUAUUUUUUUUAUUGAAUUACAAAAAAAAAAAAGAGAAAAAUCUUAACAGCAAUACAACUAAUAAAACUCGUAUCUAAGCCACAUCUAAUACGAAAAACACCCUAACCAUUAGACCAACACAUGAAUAUAUGUAAUAACAUGUAUUAUUUGUAAUUUAUAUUAUACUUAUAAAUCCUUCAAAAGAAUAAAUAAUUUGCUUUAUUUUAAUUUAACUAUAAAAGUAUUUUCAAUAUUUUUGGAAUUAUAAAUUCGGUUAGAUUCGGGCUUCAGUAAAACCUUGGAGAAGAAAUCGGCCUACGGCCCGACCAAUCUGAAGAACAUUUCACAUUCACAAUUUUGUGAAAGCUUUCUAUAUUUUUCACUGAUUUCUACAUUAUGCUCCACUGCUACUAAGUUCAAAAAGCAUGCACUGUGCCUAAACAGAAUCCUACAGUGGUUUUUUUUUUCUUUUUGCAUUUCCAUGGCAAGAAUUUGAAAUACAGAACCUGAAUGACAGGGAAAAUGGAUAAUGUAUUUAGUUGCUACAUUUAUAAACUCUACAUAUAACAAACAAACCCCUCACUUUGAUUUCAGGAGCAGCAUCGGGUUGCAUGUACAGAUUCAAUCUCGAUGAAACGGUGCUUGGGGGAUGAAGUAUCGAGGACAACCCGUUGAAAGAAUCAAUCAAAUAUCUCCUGGGCUUCAAUUAUACUAUGCUGACUGAGAAAAUGAGGCAGAAAAGAUGGUUUGAAUCAGAAAGAUUGGAUAUUACAGAAAAAGGUAAGAAACUUAGAAGAAUAAACAACAAAGCCUUACUGGUCGUCUUUUGCAACGCGAUAAUAUUUCUCUGCGUGUUGCCGUUGACCGAUCAAUUGAGCAAAACGUUCGUCAUGAGUGAUUACUAUCAGCUGAAAAUUCUCCUGGCCUUUUCUGUCCUCCAUGAUUCUGGACCAAAGAGGAAAUGGAAUAAUUGGUAAUUGGUAUAUGAUAAGGCACUGCCUCAGUGAAAUAAAUACGAGAAGGAAAGACAAAAGUGAACAUACCUAUGGAGAGCUGCAGCUAGACUCUCUGCGUUUGGGCCGUCCAAAUUUGUGGUUGGUUCAUCUAAUGCUAAGAUUCCACAGUUGAGGCAAAAUGUCUCGGCUAAAGCCAACCGUAUGAUUAGAGAAGCAAGGACCUGAAACAAGCAGUAAAUUCCAUGAUGUUUCAGUCGCUCAAUGAUGCAAAUAAAGUAACUAAUACAUUACAACUUAUUUUUCCACACAACGACUGAUGAUCACUCACCUUUUGACCCGCACUACAUCGUCCUCUCAUUUCGAGCUCAGCAUCACCGGUUUGCAUAAGAACCUGUUUGGAGGGGGCAAAAGGUAUGACAUAACAAAAUUUUGGAAAAAUAAAAAUAAAUAAAUGAAAGGCCUUACCUUGUAGCUGUAAGAACGAGUUCCAGCACCCUCAGAAUCCGAAUGAAUGCUAAUAUAAUCUAUAUCUUGUCCUCUGUAUGUUUGCUGCCACAAUUCUCUUAUAAUUUUGUUUAUUUCCUCCAUUUUCAUAGAAUGGAAGCGCAUAAGUGCUCUGCAAACAAGGAAGUGGUGUCCAAAAAGAAAACAUGGUUAUUAAAAAGCAAGAACAGAUUUUUGUAUUUACACUUAACAGAUGAUUCACAGUUCUUUAGCCUGGUAGCAAUUAAAGAACUAUUCUUGAACAUUUUUGGAAAGAAUUCACAAUCUAAAUUUCUAGUUGCGCAUGUAAUUAGAAAGACAAAUCGAAAAUUGAGCAAAUCGCAUACUUGUCAAGUGCAUUGUAGUAUCUGUCAAGAUCCUUGUUUGCCAUCUCAGUUGUCUGUCAUACAGCAUGCAAGUUCAUAACAUAUAAACCCAGUAACAAAGGUUAAAUCAGCAUUAUAAUUAAAAUAAUUGUCACCUUGAGCUGGAUUAGCUGAUCAAAGUACCGCUUGUCAAUGUCCUUGUAUUGUGCUUGUUUAAGUUCAGCUUUGUUCUUUGAAAUAUUACUCUGGUAAACGGACAUUGUUCCUCGGCAUCUGUUGAGCUGUAGAAAAAUAGAUGCAUCUUACAACUCUGAGACAGAUACAUUAAACACUUUUUUUAAAAAAACCUUUAAUAAUAGGGAUGGUGAAGUGAACUCAAUGAGUGAAUGGCAAUAACGCACAAUGAAAGAGACAACAAUAAAUCCACUACCCCUUUUUCACACAUUGAAUGAAAAUGAUGGUAAAGAACUGUAGGUCCACAUCAAUUCAACAGGGCAAAAUCAAUGGCAUGCUAGCCAAAGAUGUUACCUGUGAAUGGACAUAAUGAAGAAGGUCAACAUACGAAGAUGCCAGUGAGAACCACACAUACCUCGGAAAGAAGUCUCUCCCUUUCUUCCGAAAUUUUUCGUAUUUCACCUUCACAUUUGGAAAUACCACCAAUCUCCAUUAUUCUCUCUUGCAGUGACUCAAUUUCACGAGAGAGCACAUCUACUUCAGCUUUUGUUUUCCUGUAAUUUAAGUUAUCCUCAAUGUUACGUCUUAAUUGAUCUUGAUUACGCAUCAAGUCUUUACUUUUGUUUAGCUCAGCCAAUAUUUCCUGUUUCCUAGCAUCAAAGUUGAGAAGUUGAGAUUCCAUCACAGACUGCUGUUCUCGCAGUUCCUUUAGUUUCUCCCCUUUCUUUAAGUCAUAAUACCUGGAAGGAAAAAAAAGACUUCCAUUAAAGUUCAAUGGCACAUAAGAGCAAGCUCAAAUUUCAUGGCUCAGAAAUAUACGCUUUAAUCUUGCUGUUAACUUCAUAUAGUACUUCAGCUUCACGUUGAUACGAGCUUCUAAGUUUUUGCUGCUGCUCAUAUUCCUCUGCAAGUUUUACUUUCAAGCAAUCAUAGUCUUCCAAUAAAGAUUCCUUCUCCUUGAAUAAGGACCUUAGAGACUCUGCUAAAUGCUGAAAGUUCCAAGAACAAUGCAUUAGAAAAAAGCAAUUAAAAAGGAACAAAGUUUGAAUGUAAAUCACAUUAGAAACCAAAAUGUAAAGGGUUUAUAAAUAGGACCAAUUAUCACAUUAAAAAGCAUCAUGCCUAAUAAUUUCAGAGACAAAGCUUGAAUCAACUCUAUUUCAUCCUCAGCUGACCUACCUUGAUUGAAGCAAUGAAGAUUAGCCAGUAGGAUGUUAAGGAGAAAGCUUGCAAAUUUUCCUAAAAGGUAUCACCAAUUCUUCUAUCCAUGGUAAACAUUGACAUUUUUUUGGUAAAAUUUGACUUUCAAGUAAUCAAAGACAACGCGAGCUCCCUAUUGAAACCAAAUCUCUCUAUAGCCUAAAGAACUACAGAAGUAAAGCUUAGACAGCUUUAUGAAUACUAUCCUACAUUAGCAUAGCAUCAGUCAAGGUAUAUUUCAACUUGAUUGAAGAGACCGACACAUAACAGUAGAAUCAGAGAGAAAACUUGUUAAUAUCUUAUGAGAUAAAGCAUACAAGUUAAACUUAUGAGAUUAUCAACCUUCUCCUCAAGAUCAAGUUGACGUUUCUCCUCUGACAAGUGCUCCAACUCUUCUUCCGCCUUUUUAAAAUCACGCAAUGUGUUAGCCACCUCAACUUUUUUCUCCCUUAUAUCGUGCCAGCGUGUCUUAACGCUUUGCAAAUCCUUUUCCAUGUACCUCUGUUCUGUCCUUAAGUCAUCCACUUCCUUAAGUAAAACGUCCCUGGUUAUAAGGAGAAGGAAAGUUGCUAAAUACCAAUAACAAGUCAAUAUUGUCUCUACAAAAUUUUAAAGCUUAAAACAGAUGGAUAACAAGCUUCUCAACAACCUAUAUUUGGGUUAGGAAAAACAAUGGUUGCUACCUUUUGCUUUGCAAAUCGUUUAGCUCCGAUUGAAUAUCUUCCACAGUUCUAGCACCACCUUGCCCUCUAAUGUCAAACUUAUAUUCCAAACCUUCAACUUUUGCUUGCAAACCCUGAAUUUCUUGAAAGAUCCUGUCAGCAGUUUCAACAGGUCCCACCAAGAUCUCAAUAGAAUCCUUAUCCAUCUUUAUUUGGGCUAAAACACCUAACACCUAUAAGAAUAACAACAAUAGUAAAAUAAUAAUGCAUUGCUCAAACUAAACAAUCAUCAUGAAAGGUUCUUUGUUAUUUUUAAAAUUAUACCAUAAAAUUUAAAAUUAUCAGUAAUUAUUUUUAAAUGCAGAGCCAAGAAAAGUAAAUUCAAUAAUUGCUUCUUUGGCAGUUGGCAUAUACAAAUUCUGCACACAUACAGAAAUUCAGGGAACAUAGAAAAGAAAAGAAAAAAAAAAACAAGGUGAAGAAGAAAGAAGAAUAUUCUUUUAGAUUGAAAGGUGUCAUCAUAUUUCACAGCCAAUUAUAACGACUUUCAGAGUUUUCACUUACAUCAUCUCAUUACUUCUUGUUCAAUAACAAAGUGAAAUAGCAACUUCUAAUGAUGAUAAGGACUAACAAACAAUGAAGAAUGGUCUUCCUAUAAAGUGGCAAAUUAUUUUAAUUACAAAAUUAGAUUAUCUGAUCCUAAAAGAUCCAUUUAACACCAAGUUAUUUUUCAUGAACCAGAAAUAUAGUAUACUGAGGAAAAUGUUUUCAGUAAACCUAUUUUCAGCACUAUACGACUGACCUCAGAAAGACUUGGAAUUAAACCUUGUUGCACUAGUAGGACCAGUAACAAUAAAUCAUAGAAUUAUAUAUAAUGAAACAGAUACGUACAUCAUCAUGGGCUUGAGACUUUUGAUCCAGCUCUUCAUUUAGUUCAAGCAAUUUUUUCUCAGCAAGAGGAAUUGCCUCCUUUACAGUUUUAAUAUAUUCCUCAUAAACCAUUCGAAGCUUGUCCAACUGCUGAAAGUAAGACUCAGCAUUUGAUGAUUCCACUGCCAACACCUUCAUAUGUUCAGCCGAACUUGCAGCUUUAACUCUUUGCUGUAGUUUUUUCAAGAAAAUACAACAGAAUUUAGAACUUUAUGCUAACUGAACCAAUAGACACCCUAUUAAGAUUUAAAUAUCAGCAAAUACCCCUGAAAGUUCACAGAAAAAAAUAAUAAGUGGUCAAAGAGCGGUAAGGCUCUGGAAGUCCCAAGUACAGAUCCCCCAACCCCCAAUGUAGACAAGUUUAUCAGUAAACAUCUAAGAAAGAGAAGAUCAAUGAUGAGCUCAAGAGAACUUAUAUAUCAUAAUUCACAACCUUCUUAACAAAUUCAUCUUCUUCUUCAGCAGAAAAAGGACGCUCACAGCAGGGGCAAAUAUGAUGAGCACGGGCAACUCUUUCAAAUGGAUCAAACAUUUGCCUCAUACCAUCUGCAAUGUUGUAUUUGCUGCAAGAAAUGAUCCAGUUAUAUUACUAGCAUGACCAAGAAAAUGAAAGAAAAUGAAUAUAUUCAUACAUAACCGAACAUUGCCUCUAAAAAGUUAGGAGCAAGAACCUUUUAUGAACAUCUUUUUUCUCCUUUGCAGUCUCCAGGACUUGGGGAUAGGAAUCAAUGGUAAAAGAUUGUUUCUCUAAAGAAUUUAGUCUGGCUUCAAGAAAUUUCUUCCUAGCUGAAUUUAGAUGACAAAAGAAAACACAAGAAAAUAAUACGAGUAAACAACCUUGAAAUAUCGCAUUGAUAGCUUGGUUACAUUCAUCUCAUGCUCUUUUGAAGCCAAAGGCUAUGAUCAUGGACUCUUUAUCAGUAGUAAGGUCCUCCCGGUUUAGGGAGGAUGACAUCACAGGUUCAAUAUUUAUUGAGUUAAUUCAAGUUUUGGUACAUUUUCAAUUUCUAAUUUUCCAGGAAUGGACCUCAGUCAUUUCCCUAGGGCUUAUUUUGUGUUCAGUGAAUUCAUCCACUUGAAAAAUGUAUAGGUUAUAAAACUUUGGUGACGCUCCUAAACAAAAAAAAAAUUUAAGAAUCUAAGUCCACGUAUGACGAGUUUGAUUUCACUAGAUAUUACCCCAAGGAUCUUAUUACUAUUUUGCAUUAAUGCAAAAUCUGUGAUUUAAGUAUUUCCUCAUUCUUGUCUCUCAAUGCAUGGCAUGUUGUUGAUACAGUAAGAGUGAUACUCAUAAACUUGCUAAAUCACAUUUAGCAGCUAGCUUUUUCCUUCAAUUCCAGCUAUGAUUUAAGAUAAAAUCACAAUCCAUUUAAACCCUAAAUUAACUCCUAGAUUUAACAUGAAUGUUAAAUCUCCAGUGUAGUAAACCUACACAUCAGAAUCUUCCACACUAUAUAAAAAAAAUCACAACAAGAACAUAGGUAUCAUUAAACACUAUGAAGAAAAAAGGCAUGAAGGCUACUUACAGUCCAUUUCUUUCUUAUGUUUGGAUAAGUUACUAUUAAUUUCAUCUAUUUUCAUCUGCAAAAUGUUUACUUCCUUCUCAGCUUCACUGGAUUUUGUGCUCAAUUCAUCAUACUCCUUUUGAACAGCGCUGCAGAGGGAAUGGCUCAAUUUUGAGACAAAAUCACAGACAAGUAUAUAAAAGCAGGAAAAAGGAAUAUUAUAGUUGCAAGCACCUAAAUAUACAAUUCCAAAGAAUAACUCAUAUAAUCAUCACUCUUGGUCAUCAUGAAUACCAACCCUCCAACCCCCCGCCCCCCCUUUUCCCCUAAAAAGGAAAAAAUAUUCCUUCAUAAUAGCAUGUUAAAAAAUGAACCAAGUAUUUUGGUUUAACUAACCUUAAAGUUCGGGUAACUUCCCUUUUCAAAUCUUUGUCAGGAGGAACCCUCCCUUUUAGCACCACUCUAAUCCUGUCCUUGUACUCUUCAAUUCUGGAAAACAAUAAUAAAGCCAUUAGCUUCAACAAUAAAAAAGUAAUAGACCCAAAACAAAUUAUAUUGAGGCUGAUUAAAGUUGAAAGAUAAAGUAGAUUUACAUCUUUUUGUGCUGUUUCUUCUUAUUCUCCAAUUCUCUCGUACUUAUAGAUAGCUCCAUUCUUUCUGUGGCCUCACCAGCGGCUAAAUCUCUUUCAUGACUAAGGACCUUAAUCUUUUGAUCUAUGGCAAACACCUCAAGUUGCUUCUGUUCUACGAUUUUAUCAUGGUUUCGUUCAUCAAGUUGUCUACUCUUUCUAUCAAUCUCAACUUGCUGCGAUCAGCAAAAGAAAGAUUAUUAUUUUCCAUUUUUCUAAUCAAGAUUUACUAGGAAGAGGUUUUUGAAUCCCAAGCAAAGCUGAAUUUGAAAGGCUAUACUCACCAAAUUCUUUUCCCUGUCAUCAAGGCUAGAAAGAUUGACAUCCGAAAUUUGAAUUUCAAGAAAAUCACGAUUACUUUUCGUCUCUUCUAAACGUUUCAAAAUAGAACCCUGAAUUGUAUCACAUGUAAAUGCCCAUAAAAUAUGAGAAUAAAGGUAGUUGGAGAGUAAGUUACAUAAGUUUUCUAAAAGACAGACCUUGAUUUCUAAUUUUGCCUUCUUCUGAGCCUCAGCAAUGUUGCAACGCUCACUUGCACCCAUGUAGCAAUCCCAUGCAGUCUUCAGCUUCUUGUCAUUUGAUUGCUGAAAUUAUGAGAAGUGAUAUUCAGGAUAGGAACAACAGAUAUCAAACCAUAUUAAUACUGGUGAAAGGAUAAUCUAAAUUUCUAAAAUGCAUCAAUGACAAUAAAUAAUGUGUUGUCCACCAUACAAAACUUAACCCCUUUAAUAGAGAAACAAUAACAACUGCACACAAAACCACCUUUUUCUCAUCCAAAUCUCUUUCAAGCUCCAUUAACCUCACUUCUAUUUGCCUAGUGAGGUUCAAAGCAACUUCAUCACUAAAUGGGCUAUUUGGAGUAGAUCCUAAAUUGAGCCGUGCAAAUAGUUGUUCGAUGGCUGUAUCUCUGUCUUUUUUCGACAGCACGAGAGUCUGCAAAAGUGUAAAAGAGUUAACCAUAAUAAAAAUCACACAAUAGAUGGCAAUGAUUUAAUUUUAAAAAUCUCCUGUCUUUUUGUAACACCUCAGCAUCCCUUUGAAGCUUGCCAAUCUCCCCAAUAUACGUCUCUAAUUUCCUCCGAUAAGCAGAGCUCUCCUCAUUCAAAUCCUGCUGGUUACUCUCCAUUUUCUGAAUUUUAUUAUCCAAUAACAUAAUCCUCUCGUCAAACUUGGUUUUCCAUUCCAUCAACUCUUCAUCAGUAUCUAACAGUACGGUACAAGAAAAUAUACAUAAAAAAUUAGUUAUUCCAUAAAUGCAGGAUUUACAUAGCUCCCACAGAAAGAAAAAAAAAUUAAGAAAGAAUCCUGCUUCUGCUGUUGAAUUGACAAACCUUCAUUUUCCUCAGCAAGAGCAGCAUAUUGUCUCUGCUGUUCCUUGAACAAAGUGCUCCUUUCAGCAGUCUUUGUAGAUUUCUGGUCCUCUAGCUUUCGUAGAUCCUUCAGGGUUAAUUCAGCAUUAUGAAUCUUAGCAUCCAGGUCCUCAAUGUUUUUCUCCAAGACUUGUAUUUGGCUUUUCAAGGAUUCUGUUUUUUCUUGAUCCUGAGCAAUGCUUUCUCGAUGCUGUAUGAAGACCAUAUCAAGAAAAUCCCUUUUAAAAAUAAACCUAAACCCUACUGUUAAUCUUACGGAUUAGCUUCCUGUAAAAAUACCAGCUAUUAGAUUAGCUCCAAUGUUUCCAAUAACUACAUUUCCCCUCAACUUUGCUAGCCUUCACUCACUUCCACAUAUAGUCCUUUUCUUCACAUUCAAGACAUACAUUCAAUAAUUGUUCAAAAAAAAAAAAGGACAUACAUUCAAGAAGGGCAAUCUAGGUUUAGAGACACAAGUGUAAUAUCAAUGUACGUCUUUGCAGUCCCACCAGGACAGAACUUAAGAUUCCCCACAGUUAAAACACACAGAGAGAGAGAGCUGGAAUGCUAAAACAAUGGGCAAACAUGCAUGAAGAUGCAGACUGAUAAAUAUCAUGAAUCAAUGAAUGCCACCCAUAAAGCCCUAAACAAACAUGAAAAACAGAAAACCUUUUCUGUAAACUAAAGCUUAACAUGCACGGAGAUCGUCUUCAAUCAGUUUCCUUCUUUAUUUCUCCUGAUAACAGAAUUUCCUGCAGAUUAUAUAACUUAAGGACAAAGAUCCUUUGUGUUUUCCCUAAAAUAAAAUCAAACCCUUUAAGCCCUUACACUUUUUCUUAACAAAAUUGACCAGCAUCAUUAGGCACCUCUAAAACACAAUCACUUGUUGAAUGACAGCACAGUAUGAGUCUGUUAUGUGGCUUAUGCCAUGAUGUAGACCACAGGAGCUUUAUGAUCCGAUUUACAAUGAGAGAGGAACAACAGUAACUCAGCAGAAAUUAUAAACAAAUAUUAAAUUGGACGAAUAAGAAACAAGAUUUAAAUAAAUGAAAAAGAAAAGAUACAAAAGAAUAACAUAUCCACCUUAUAUGCAGCAUCUUUCAAGGUCUGUAAGUGCUCCAGUUUUAGCUUAUAAGCCUUUAUCUCUUGAGCCUGAUCCUUGUGAAGCUUUUUUAUAACCUCCAAGGCUCUUGUAUAUCUGUUUACAGGCAGCCAUUAGCAAAAGAAUAUCCUAAAACGGUCACAAUAAGAAAACUAAACUUUUAUUGUGGAAAAAUCAGCAAAUUAACUACCACAGUUAAGAACUGUACAUGUGUUUUAGGAAAGACAUGCAAAAUGUAAACCAAAACCAUGCAAGGAAAUCCAUCAUGCUUUACUAAAAGUAAAGAAGUUGUAACAGACAUUAAACAAUAUCCAGAUUUGCAAUUUCAGAUAUAUAAACAUUUUAUCCUGUAACACAAAAGAAAUAUGAAAAUUAUGAUUCAAUCCUAAAGAGAUUGGGCAUUUUCCUUAGAAUAUUAGAUGAAAAUUCUCAACUUGCAACCAAAACCUCAAGGAGAAAAGCACCAUGUUAGUAGGCAGUCUUGCUUCAGAAAAGUUCUCUCGGCCUUUCGUAGGUAACCUUUCUAAGAACCAUUUAGGAGCUUGAAUGUAUCAUAAAAUGAGCCGAAAUCCAUAUGAUUCAAGUCUAAUCUUUCUCUGGUACGGUGAUUACUAUUAAAACAAGAAGGCUUUUGAAAUAAGUAUAUAAGCAAUUUACAGACCUUGUACAGAAAGUAAAUUACUUCAUAGGGGCCACAAAUAUAUAAAGAGAGUUCAAGAGAUGAUGGAAAAAAAAUAUUGGAUUCUUGGCAUAUAACUUGGAGAAAAAAAUUGUGAAUACAAGGGCAUUUGAAAGGAAGGGUGUUUUGUAAACUAGACCUGAUAAAAAAUCCACAAACAUGAUAACAUGAAUAGUUUCACAGAUAACAGAUACCAGGUAGUACUCGGUGGAUUUCAAUAUUGUCAGGCAAAGCUUUUUUCAGGGGAAAAAACAGCAUACCUCGUAGCUGAGAAGAUAUCAUCGAAUUUCUUUUUCAAAGUCGAAGGAUCUUGUAAAGGCCAAUUGGCCUCAUCUUGGUGCACAAAAAUCACAUUCUCCAGAAUAGCUUUCGAGACACCCAUCAAAGCUGGGAUUUCUCUGUCCAUGUCAGCACAUCUAUAGCUGAGGCAAACUUUCUGCAGUUCAUAACCAAACCAGAAAAAUUAGAAGUACAACCAGUGGAUUAAAACAACAAAAUAAAACCACACUACAAACAAGUAGGAACAGUCAAAGAAACAUUGACUACAACCUCUCCGGUAUGAGGAUUUAGCGUCUGAAGAACACUCUCAAUUGCUUUAUACUCCAUCUUCGAUGCCUUUUGCGUCAAUUGGAAUGACCUUAUACAUACCACAUCUUUUCCUGCAGCUGUCUUGAACCGGAGCUUAAUUUGACCUUUUGUCUCCGUUUCCCCUGCAACCUACAUACAAGGUAAACAUGUCCUAUAACAAUUCCUUGAAGUAUUAGAAGUAUUAAAAUUAUAAAAACAAAACACAUGGUUCCCUCAUACUCAAUUUCAUUGCUACAACUUUUUUUGGUUCACCAUUUUCGUUUUACUUCCUAAAAAUUGCACAAAACCAAAAUCAGAUUUCACUGAAGAUAAGCAAAUGGCUAAAGUAUAUUACAUAAUAGAACACAUCUCUUACCAUGUAAGCCAAAUCAUCCAUUUUUCUAAUAUUAUCAAAAGCUAAAAUUUCUAAUUCCUUAAAAACAAUUAUUCACUUUUGCAUCAAAAUGAAACUAUAUGUGUAUAUAUAUACAUAUAAAGAGUGAAUAAGGAUACCUUGGGAUCAUGAAUGAAACUAUGACCAGACCUUGCAUUUGGAGGCAACUCCCCAGUGCAUGAAAGUUUCAAACAUUCUAUAAUUGUCUGCAACACCCCCCCCCCGGCAAAAAUAAAAACAAACAAAACCCAUUAAAGAAAACUUUACAAAGAAGCAAUAUAUUAAUUUAAAAAAUGAAGUGAGGAAUGAAUGAUUACAGUUUUGCCAGCGCCAUUGGGUCCAACGAUUAGGGUUAAGGGUUUAAAGAAAGUGAUGACGUUUUUGUUUUCCGGGUCGAAGCUCCGGAUUCCUUUUAUCAACAUUUUAUCAACCGUGCUCAUCUUCUUUUUCUUUGGGUUUUUAUCAAAUUCUGGGUUUGUGUUUUUAGCUCACUGAUGAUGAAGCAAACUCACGAAAGCUGCAAAAACAAAACAAAACAAAAAGCGGGUUUCAUGCAAAACGAAAAAAAAAGUUAAUGAUUCUUAUAGGAACGUUUAUUUCAGCAGAAGGGGAAAAUACUGAAAACAUAUUGACUCAGAGACCGAGUGACUCUGAAUCAUAGUAGAGAUUGAAGGGAGGCACAAAAAAUGGGGGGAAAUGAGCAUUGAUUGUUACUUUUGUAGACUGUUCUCAAGAAGAAAGUGGAAAGACCGGACCGGACCGGGUUAUUUGGGUAUAUUUUAUUUUGGUUAAAUUCUAUAGGUAGUCCCUGUAUUAAGUGUUGUUUUAAAUGUUACACCAAAAAGCACACUCUUGGAUUUGGAAGAGCUUGGUCCAUGGUAGAGAUGCUUGCAAAAGUGGAGUUGAUGUUGAAAUUUGGCAAGGUAAUCAAUGCAUCAAUAGAAGCCAACUCGUUCAAGCUGUAUUCAAAUGAGCUCAAUUCACCGGUGGAUCGAAGUCUUGUAUCCAAAUGUGAUAUGGCACCAGAAAGUAAGGAAUGUCCCUUUGCACCAGCUUUAUGGUUUGGAUGCCCAUGAAACCUUCGUAUUGAGAAUAUGAAUGGUUAUGGAAUAAUCGAAUGGUUGAAGAAGUUGCUUUAUGUCCUCUCACUUGAUGUGGGUCAUCUGGGAAUGUCGAAAUGCUAAGGUUUUUCAAGGUACUCAACCUAACCCAAUGGGAGCAAUACAAUAAAUCCCUCACUUGGCACAAGGUUUUGUAGAAGUUCAUGAUCCCGGAUGUAUGCUUGUUAACCAUCCACAAAAUCAGAAAGUGGAGUUUCCACUGCAAGUUGAACACUCAUGGUUUAUAUCAGUAGCUGCAAUUAUAACAGAUCAAAUCAUGUUAUGGUAUACUUACGAGGAUACCAACAAUGUUCAUUGCAGACUUCUUCUACUUUGUUUGACAUUGGUUCGGCUAAAGGAGAUGGCAACUGACAGAUGUGUAUGCAAGGACCCUUGUAUGAAAUGGCUUAAUAUUUUGCAGGGAAGAACAGCUAUCUAAUGGCAGUACCAACCUUUAAUGGAGGAUAUCAUCUUGCUGCAAAGGGAGAUACAGCUUAUAGGUGACCAAUCCAGGGGUAUCGUCUAUGGCUAAAAUCGUAGCUUAUAGUUGGCCCUAAUAGUUAGUUAUAAGGUUAUGUAACAAAAACAAACAUCAUGUCAAAUUAUUUUACAGGACGAGAUAUCGAAAAAUUUACAUAUGUGUGAUUUAGGGACGGUCGUAGAAUUAGUAAAUUUGACAUUUAUUUGAGGAAUUUAAAUUGAUUAAAAUAUAUUUCAAGUUUUUAUAGGCUUUGCGUAUUUAGAAUUUAAUCAUUUACUUUUGCUUUUAGGAAAUUAGUUCAUUUGUUUUUUGAAUUUUAAAUUUUAAAUUAAUUUGUUAACACGGUUAAAAUUAUGAUUUUUAAUUCAUUGGUGUAAUAUUCUGAAAUGGAAAAUAUUCACUUAGUUACUAUGUAAUUUAUAAAUUGUGUUAUAAUAAACAUGAAUUUAAUAAAAGAAUUUUAGUAAUACUAACAAUCAAACUUGUAUUUUUAGAUCUGAAAAAAAUAAAAAUAUUAAGUUUCUAAAAAUAAAAGUAGAAAGAUUAAAGUUCAAAUGUAUAAAAAAAUAUAGGGACAUAAAGCAUAUUUUAACCAUUUAAACAAAUCACAAAUAUUUUUUGGGGAAGAUUUUUGAAAAAUGAGUUAAAAUGCCAAUUUACCAUGAAAGUUGAAAUUUAUCACUAUACCUUUUUUUUAUUAAUAUAUGCCAUUAUACUUCGAGAAUUUAAUUAAAUUUCCACACAAUUUGUAUGUAAUUUAAUUUUAGUACUAAACUUUAAAUUUCCUUGAAAUUUGUAAUUAAUUUUUAUUUUAAUUAAAUUUCAUCACUUGGUGAUUUGAAAAUAGGAUUUAACAAAAAAAUUUAUUUCAAGUACUUUAGUUUUAUAAUUAAAACGAAAUUAAUUUAUAAAAUAUUAAAAAUUAAUAACUUGAUUUUUUUAUUUAAUAAAAGAAAGACUCAAAAUAAAAUAAUAAUAAAAAAGCUUACCUUUUCUAUAAAUAGUUAUUAUUAAAUGUUAAUUUUUUAUAAAUAACUUAAAUCUUUUUUUAUAGAAACAAUUUUCAUUAAUUGUUAAAAAUGAAAGUUUUUAAUUAAAUUUUGUCUUUGGCCCCAAACUUACUGGCACCUUCUCUCAAGAUGAUACUUAACGAUUUUUGUGUCCCGAAUUUUAUUCUGUCAAUGAUUUUGUUACUUUUUUAUAGCGCUGUUAAAUUUAAUACAUGUGACACUUUUUAGACCAUCAUGGUAGUAAUAAUGAUAUCAUAAUGAUAAAAGUACGAUAAAUUGAUGGAAAAAUUAAACAAUGUGAUUAGUUAUCUUUAAUUGCUCACAUCCGAAAUUGAGAGCGACUAAAUUACUUCAUUUUUUUUAAAGGAACCAAUUUGUUUAAUAUCAAAUUUGAGACGGGCCAGAGAAAUCAUUUUACCCAAGAAUUUUAAGUCUGGUUUCUUGCAAACAUCGAGGCUUCUCCCAUGUAAAUAUGGUGCAAGAAACAAUUGAAGACUAAACACUGUAAUUGUUUUCAAUAUGCAUCCUAAACCUAUGUUACUCAGAUUCGAAGAUUUCGAAGAUAGAUAUGGAUAUACACUUGACGUAGAUAUCUUCAUUUUUUAUCCUAAAUUCUUUUUAUAUGUAUAUGGAAGAUUUUCACAGGAGAGAAUCGUAUUCCUGCAUAUCGAUGCUUGAAUACGAGUCAAACCGAGUACAGAAAGAAAAAUGAAGAAUCAGAGCAACACUAUCCUAAACACAAUGAGAUACAAGGAAUGACACCAUAGCAAUUUUCAGUGGAUCUUAUAGCUUUCACUCACUAGGUGGAACGUCACCUUUGAGCACCUUCCACGGUCCACCAUAAAAUUUAGGCUUCAUCAGUGGCACUGCUUCCCCAGGAUGAUCUUCCCAGUACUUUUCCUGAUAAAAGAAAUAACACAAAUUCUUAUUAUGAUUAAAAACAUGGAUCAUUCCAAUGACCUUUGCACGAUAUAUGCUUGGCAAAAAUAGUAUGAAAAUAAAUGAUAUUUGCUUGAGUUGCAUGUUCCAAUCCUCAUUCAUGAAUUGGAUGAACAAAUCGACCACUUUGUAUGUUUGGAAAAUCGAAAAUAAACCUGUUUUUAGGCCAGUUCAAUGUCUCCCCAGGUUGAAAUAUUAAAGCAGACAAGACAGUUUUUUGGUUUUCAGUUCAACCGGUCCAAUUCUAGUUACAAAUUGCUAUACAAUCUACUGAGCCUAAUAGUAGCUUGCUGUAAUACAAUUACCAAAUAGCUAAAAGAAGCCUAAAGAAUUAAGCUACUGUGAUUUCAACAAUUCAUAAGCAUUUCACAAUUUCUAAUGUGAUUUCCAAGAUUAUUUAUACAUACAUAUAUAUAUAAACAUUUUAGAAAAAGAAAGGAAAACCCUUUAUCAAUAUAAUGCAAGGAAAUCCAUGGAGAUGGUGGAAAGGAAGUACCUUGUAGAGCUGCUCAGUAAUGGCGGCACCAAUGACACCGGUGUAAAAAGCUGCAACAUAAAUGGUAACGAGAGGCGUAAAAGAUUUGGGUCUUCGAUAAGGCUCUAACAUGUCCCAAAGAAAUGUUCUUUCCCAUUUGUUGUAAACAUAAUCUGCAUAUUUUCUCCAUAGAUAGCUCGCCAUUUUCUUUUUCCUUCCACCUCCCCUUUUCUAGUACUUUUCUUUAUGGUUUGUUGAUGAUUUAUGUUGGACUCACUUGAUUACGGUGGCGCCCGAGAUGUAAUGACUUGGUGUGAGGGAAGUGAAUGCUGAAAGAGUACCCAAAAACCUACUUGAAAGUGACAAUUCAACCAAAAAAAAAAUCAAAUUUUCAAGACAGUUACAGAGAUAUGGAUCUUCAAAGACUUUUAACUACAUGAAAAAACUUUCUAAAGUUGAACAUACUUGUAUUAGACAUUUCAUAAAAAAAAAGGUUUAAGCAAGCCGAACUAGAGUACCCUUAUGUUUACCCUUAUGUUUUACUUGAAUAGCUCACGAGCCUAGUCGAGUUAUUUUUAAUCAGUAUUAAAAAUCUCAAUUCAAACUUGAGCUAAAGUGCAAAUAAUUAAGUUUAUAGCUGAGUAUGAAAAUCGAGUCUAUUUUUACUAUAUAAACUCAAGUUUUAUCUCAAAUCUAGCUCAAACUUCAGGCGAGCUUCGAAUUUCGAAUCAAGCUUGAGCUUCUUAUACUUAAACUCAACUUAGCUUGAAUUAACCCCUAUUUGAAUUUGGUUGCCUGAUCAAGAAUCAAUUACAUAGCUAUAAUCAUUCAUACAACACUGCUAACCUAUAAGGAAGUCAAUAUUCGACAUGGACUCGUAUUUAAUAAGUUUCUUCAUGUACUCGAAGGAUACCGGAAGAUUAUAUCUAUACCAUAUCCGAAAAUGAAUUCAAAAUAAAAAUUUGAGAAAACUCAAAGUGAAAACUGGAAGCUUCCAAAAUAAACUACUGACUGAUACAAUCACAACAAUAUUCAUUCUUUCAGUAAAUUAUAAAACCCUAAGAGUUUUUAGGAUGAUUAAUCGUCAAAUUGGAAGAACUUAUUGACCUAACAAAUUAAACAACAGUCAAUGCUAAUCGAGCCAUUAAUAAAAGCAAAUAAUGGAAAAAGGAUGUAAGACAAACCUGGUUAUUGCGAACCGUACCGCCGUUUUCCUGGCCGCCGAUCAGAGGAUAAGGGAAAUAAGGAGUCGAACUGUGAAACAAAGGCACGAAUUCUUACCUGGGAGUCGAUCUGAGCAAAAAAAAAAAACCAGCAAACGAAGGGAGCUCCGCUCUCUAGGAUGGACUGAAACGGUGGAGUUUAUCGCCGGAGAUAUAUCAAAAUAAGAGAGAUUGAAGGAGAGAGAAGCUUCACUCCUUAGUGGCUGGGUUUCUUGUUUUCUUCCCCACAUUCAUACGGUCCAUUAGGUUAGAAUAAGUCAUUAAGGGCCUAGAGUUGGCUUGUUGGGUUUAUUAUAAAAAAAAGCCCAUUUCAAUUAAAAAGAAACUUUUUUUAAUAAUUUAUAAGGUUAAUGAAAUAUUUAUUUUAAUUUUGGCUCCGUUUAUUUCAACAUAAAAAUUUUUACGGAAAAUAUCUUUAGCCUUACUCGAUGUUUGUUUCAUGUAAAAUAGGAUGGUCAACCUAAAAGAUUUUUCAGUCAAUGUAAAAUUAUCCUUUUAUUCCAGUAAAAUAUCGUACCAAUUUUUUUUCGUAAGACAUUUUCUAAACUAAUAUGGCUCUAUUCAUUAUAACACUCUCAUACCCAAUUCGAACAUCGGGUCAAAGCAUCAGGAUGUUACAUUCUCUACUACGUUCUUCACUUAUCCAAUAUUUUCUUAUAAACUUUCAUAACUUUUCAAUUUAGUCUCUUUUUGUCAGAAAAAUUCAAUAUUCACUAAUUAAUCAUAUUAAAUAAUUUUUCUUUCUUGUUACACUUAUCUCAAUAUCUUGUUUCACAAGUUAAAUUUCUAUGCAUUCACUUCUAUUAUUUCAUCCAUAUAUUUUCUCAAGUUUAAUAAUUUAGUCCUUGUCAUCAUAAUAAUUUCAUAUUUUUCCACACUUUCACUUUUACAACACUUUAUACAUAUUUUAUCAUCUCAUAGCACAUCCAUUCAACUUUUAUUAUAAUUUCCUUAUUCGCAUAUUAAAUUGUUUCACACUUAAACUUUUGUAUAUUUUUCAAUUUAGUCCCUAUUGCCAUGUAAUUUAAUUUUCACCGUAUAAACACUUUAAUCAAAUAAUUCAUUAUAAUACCUUAAUUCACAUAACAAAUUUUCAUGCAUAUCACUUCUCUUGUUUCAAUUAUAAAUUUCACAAAUUUUACAAUUUAAUCCUAAACAUCAUGAAGAUUCAUUAUUUACUAUAACUUCAUCUUCACAUCACUUUGUAAUCAAUUCACUACUUAUCAUAAAUCUCAAACGUAUGUUUGUUUCAUCGAAAACAACUUUUUGUGAAAUAUUUUCAGGAAAUCUACCAAACAACAGAAAAUAUUUUACACAAAUUCAUUCAAACACCAGAAAAUAUUAAAUUUUCCAGAAAAGUGAAACAUUUUUCGGAAACUAUUUUCAGUUAAACAAACGAACCUUUAUAUCCAAAUAUGUAUUCUAAUAACAUAACAAUUUCAUAUUUGUUUACAUCUUUUAUGAAGACAAACGUAAGCUUUUUAAAAAGAAGUUGUACACAGGGACGUAGUGGAUGGUAAUAUAGAGUUGAGCUAAGAUAGAUGAUGAAUCAAAACACACAAAAAAUACCAAAAACACUAUUUUUUUUCUUAAAAAUUGAAAAAAAUAAUAUUUAAUUAAAAAAACGUGGAGAAAGAUUGGUCCCUGUGGAACACCCUCCAAAUUCCCAGGUUGUCAAUUUAGUGAAAAAAAACGAAACAACCCACAUGUCUAAGCACAUGGCCAAACACAUCUCAAUCAACAACAACAUUUACAAUUGGUCCCAUUAUAACAACCCCCCCCCCCCCAUUUUGUUGUCUUUUUCUUUUAAUGUCUAUUUCCAACUUUCCACCUUAUAAUGUUUAGCCACUUGUUUUGGCUUUCCAACUUUAGGUAAAUCAUUAGCUAUUUGACAAAAUAUUUUUCAUUUUUAGCAUAAAAACUCAAAGAAAAGAUUAAAUUAUGUUUUAAGCAAGGUUUAAGAUUGUUGAACCGGUCAGAUCUUCAAUUUUUUAAUUCGAUCUGUUUGUUUGGUUAAAUUUGAUAAUAUAUUGAGAAUUCAUAAAAAAAAGGGAGAAAUUUGAUUCAAUCGGAUCAACUAGAUUUGCCAUGAGCCGAGUCACCUGCUAAAAAAAUGGGAAGGUUUGGACAAAAUAUGAGGGUCGAAAAAUGCGCUUGACUAAAAUUUAAGGCCUGUUUUCUAUAUGGCUUGGGCAUUGGGCAAGAUUUUCUAGCCCAAGCCCGGCUUGAUGUGUCUCGAAUAUGAUGCUAUAAAAAUAUUAUAUUAAUCAUAUAUGUUAAAUAAUAAUCAUUUCCUUUUAUAUUUUUGGCCUAAUACCUGCCAUGGGCUAGGUCACCCGCUCAAAAAAUGAGAGGAUUUGGACAAAAUAUGAGGCUCGAAAAGUGGGCUUGAGUAAAAUUUAAGGCCCACUUUCUAUAUGGCUCAAGCCUUGUAAAAGAUUUUUGGCCCAAGCCUAGCUUGGCCCGACCCGAAUAUAUUAUGUUAUAAAAAUAUUAUAUUAAUUAUAUAUGUUAAAUAAUAAUUAAAUGUUUUUAUAUUUAUAUUAUAUCAGUAACCCAAUAACAAUUAGACCUGUUACCCAAAACCUAAAAAAGAACAACUUAAUUAAAUAACCCAAUCCAAAAUAUAAAAAUUAUAUUUAAUACAAUAAAUAUUUAUUAUAUUUAUUAUAGUGUUUUUAAAUAUAAGUACUUUUUUAAUGUAUAUUUAAUGUGUUAGAAAACUUUUAUUUUAAUUUUUUUUUGUGCAUUUAGUGUACUAUAUUUUUUAAUAUAUAUAUAUUUAAAUAAAAAUUAAUCUAAAAAAAUCAAAUAGGGGUGAGUUGGGUCAAGCCCAAGUUUACCUUUCUUGGAUUUGGCCGAGCUUAGGCAAAAAAUUAAACCCAUUUUUUGAGCCAAGCCUGAGCUUGCAAAAAUGGUCUAGAUGCAUUACAUAGGCCCAACCUGAUCUCAGCUCAUCCUGGCCCAUUAGCAUCUCUAGAUCAAACUGUUAGUUCAACUAGUUUUUUAAUCCAAUUCAACCAGUUCAGAGUGGUUCGUGAGUCAACCAGCCGAUCCAAUCUAAUUUAAACGACAUUGGUUUUGAGUCAUUGUACUAUUUGUACAUUUGGAAUUUAGUCAUUCUACUUUAUUUUUAAGAAUUUAGUCCAUUUAGUUUUUAGAUUUCAAAAUUCAGGUAAACUUAUUAGUUUUGUUAAAAAAUAUAUGGUUAAAUUCGUUGAUGUGAUUUUUUGAAAUAAAAAAGUACUCGUAUGGUAGUUAUGUAACAAAAAAAUGUUGUAAUAAACCUGAAUUUAAUAAAAGAAUUUUAAUAAUGUUAAUAAUUGGAUUUGCAUUUUCAAAUUUGAAAAGUAAAACAAUUAAAUUCCAUGAAUUAAAAAGAAAGGAGAUUAAAUUUCAAGUGUACAAAUAAGGAUAAGGACUUAGAGCAUAUUUUAACCAAAUAAAAAAAUUAUACGAAGGGAGGUUACUCGAGUUUAAGGUCAAGAUUUAUCAUAGACUUUAAAAUCGGCUAAUAAUGCACUAUGCAAUUUUCGAAAUUCAACUUUAAGUAAGGUUAUUUAGUAUACAAGUUGGUUCAAAACGGUCCGUCUACUAUGGACUCAAUUUAAUGCAUGUAUUAGUGAAAAGAAGGGAUAAAUAUCAAAAUUACACAUAAACUUGGUGCCAAUGUGAAAUUUGGUUUGCAAACUUUGAUUUAGUGUAGCUAUACACAUGAACCUUUAGUUGUUAUUCAUGUGUAUACAUGAAACUUUAAUUUUGAUUACAUUAUACACAUUUUGAUUGGUGUUUGCUCGUUGUUAUGAAAAAUGAGAAAAAUGACAUGCUAUUUAUAUUGUUUUUUAAAUGGAUAAAAUGGUAAAACAGCAGAGGAUUUUUUUCAAUAAAAAAUAUUCUGAAAAAAAAUAUUUACGAUAAAAUGAACAAAUUCUAUUCAAAAGGACACACAUGGUACAUGUCGUCAACAAGUGUUGACACGAACAUGGACUGGGCCGAACAAUAAUGACACACAUAUGUUGAGCCCUUAGCCCCUAGUUACUAAAUGAAGGUAAUAGGUAAGACUAUUUUUAAAUCCUUUUAAAAAUCUUUCUUCAAUCAAUAUGGGAUUACCCACUUUAAAUCCUAAUUUUGAUACAAGAUCAAGCUAGAAUUUUAUGGUAAAUUCGACUCAACACAAUUAAAUUUUAAUAAAGUGUGUUCAUUUUAUCUCGAAAUUAAACAAAAAACCGAUGUUAUUUCUGUCUUUAUAUUUAGGUUUUACCAUCUCUAAUAUCACCAACACUUUUCUUCCUAUAGAAUAGAUAGUUUACUUGGCUUAAAACUUGGGAUGGCACCCUUGCUUCCUCAAAAUGGUAAAAUUUAUUCUUAAUCCCUUUAAAAAUUAUAAACUUUUAAGUGAAUAUAAUAGUUAAGUUACAUUUUGCCUCCUAAAGAUGGUAAAAUUUAUUCAGAAUUCUUUUAAAAAUUACAAAAUAAUAUGUUAACACAAUGAUAAAAUUAUACUUUAAAUCUCCUUAAAUAAAUAUAACUUAAUCUUGAUCUCUUCUAAAAUAAUUUCUUGACUUCAUUUCUAUUUAGAACUGUCCAUAAACCAAGCAAUACCACUAUUCAACUUUUUUCUAUUUUCCUAAUUCAAGCAUCUCUGUUCGAGUCAUUGUUCAUUAUAAUAUCGAAAUCCACAAUGAGAUUUUGUCUUAGAAAAAAUCCCAUCAUAUAAAAAAUUAUAGAGUAUAAUUGUGAAAAACUUUUAAAAAAAUUAUAUCAAAAAACUAGAAAUUUGUUUUAUUAUUAUUGGUUGAUGCUUUAUUUAAAUAAUUAGCACUGAAAUUUAGGAUAAUUUAGUAUAUCAAGAUUUAAACCAACUAAAAAUAUCUCACCAAGCUUGAGAGUGACCCACUUCAAUUAAGAGUUAUUAUUAAAUUUUUGAAAAUUAUAAAAGAAAAUGAAUAGACAUCACUAUUAAAGAGAGAAUAAGAUGAAUUAACCUAUAUACUAAUUAGAAUUAUUCAUGAAUCGGAUUAUAUCGUAUUAAGUAAUCUUAAUUUUAAGAUACAAUACGAAUUAAGUUAAUAAUUCAAUUUUUAAAAAAGUUUUCCGUUGAUAUAAAAAUAAAUAAAAUUUAAAAUUACAUAUGAAUUUUGAUUAAAUAUGCAUUAUGAUGCUUAAAUUUUGGUUUCUUACAAAUAUGUACAUAUUAAAAUUCGCCUAUCACAUUAUUAUACAUUUGAUUAAAUUUUUAUGUAUAGUUUUAAAAUUUAUCUCGAAAAUAAAUUUAUAAACUUAAAAUUUUCACUAAAUUUGAUAAUAUCCAAUAUUAUACGUAAGGGCGAAAUUAAAAAAAAUAAAAUUAGAGGGACUUAAUUUAAUAUUUUAAAAAGCUUAAUAAAAAAUUUUCACACGAAACAGAUGUAAUUAAUUAAAAAUUUAAUACAUGAAAAAAAUAUAAAAAAAUCUAAUUGCGACACAUUAAAGAGAAGACAGAAGACAACAUUUCAACGGACAUGCGAAAAAAUUUCAAUACUUUAGAGAAAAAAGAAAAAGAAAGACAGCCCAAUCCAAAGUGUUGAUAGCUUCCAUAAACAGUAAGGAACCCAACAUCGAACAUCAAACAUCAAACUUUUUUGCUUCGAAAUAUGAACCAAUCAAAUCAAUGGUUCUGAUAAUUAAACUGAAUUAACCACAAUUUUUAUUUCCAUUUUCAACAUACAAAAAAUCCGAUGUUUUAAAAUUAAAUUUAAAUUCAUAAAAUUUUAAAUUUCGAUUCAAUUGACUCAAUUCGAUAAAUUAUUUAUUACAAAUUUACAAUAAAAAAAUUUAAAUCAGUAAAUAUGAUGUUUAUUUACCUGAUUAGUAUAAUAAUUGUUACAGAUUCAAAGGACUAAUUUUUAAAUUAAGAAAUUAAUUUUAAGUUGGCAAUACAUUAAUAUGAAAGGCAAGGUUCUCCAAUUUAGUGUUCUGCCGACAAUUUGUGUGGAUGGAGAGAAAGCAAGGAAUAGUGUUUAUUUAUUUAUUUAUAUUUAUUUAUUUUAAAUUCACAUGUGAUAAAUGAAGAGAAUAUUCUAUAUUUAUGUAUUUAAAAUUAUAUGUGUUUGUAUUUAUUUAUUUAUUUAAAUUAAAUGAAUUUGUUUAUAAACUCAUGAAUAAUAAACAAACAAACAAUAAACGAGUGUCAGAUGAGUUUUAAGUGAUCUAUUAAAUGAGUCUUGAAUAAAUAUAAAUGAAUUUGUUUAUAAAUAUAAAUGGUUUGAAUAAAAUUUGUUAAUGCUUUGUUCAUUUAAUAAUGAGUCUCGAAAUUUUUUUUGUUCAUUUAUUUAGCUUGAUAAAUGAACAUAAGCGGAAAAAAAAAAUUGAACUUGAAAGUGUUGAAUAGUUGUUAGUAAAAAUCGAUAUGGACACAUGAGUUUGUUACACGAUUCGGAAACCUUUAAGGUCAACUUACUUACCAAGUUGCAACUAGUACUGUUCAUUGGUUGGGUUGCAUCUCGGUUUUAAAUCUAAGCCUAUUUUUGGCUUCACUUGCCCGAAAAACCCGUUUCACUGUUCAAAAUUAAUAAAAUACUAAAAACAUAUUUUUAUAUUAAUAUUUUAUAUAUGCUAUAAUCAAUUUUAAAUUUUAAAAAUAUUUAAAUUGAGUUUGGGUUGGACUGGGUCGAAUUGAGACAUAAAAAACUUUAAGCUCAACCCAUGUCAAGCCUAGUUGUUCGGUUCUUGAAAAAGUCUAGUUGCAACCUAGCUCAUAUAUUAACUAAGAUCGCUCUUUCUCAUUGAAAACCUAGCUACAAAUUGCGCGUGAAACGAAUAUUCGACUAGUGUGAACGUGACAUCUUAAAAUUGUAUUUCAAUAAGACUCUUAUAUGGCAUCAGACAAGGAAAGAUAUUGAAUCUCAUCAUAUGAGAUAACAUGAUCACACAUAAAAUCUUCAAAUAAACUCCUUGCUCGACUAAUAUGAGAGAAGGGCGAAGGGCAAAGGGCGAAGCUUAAGGAACAAUAUGAGGUUUACACGAAAGCUUAAUAAUCUAAGAGUGUCAUAAAUCCUUUCUUUUGAGUAAGCAAAAUCUUACAUAUACAUAUUCUUAAAUAAGUGUAUUCCUUUAAAUGUCCAUGAAAUGACUCACGUGAUACUGUUAACACGUGUAUCGACAUCUCUCUCUCUUAAACUAUAUAUCACUUCACUAAAUUUUCACAAUCUACGUGGUGAUGAGUCAUCAAACUUUACAAGUAAUAAACAGGAUAUUAUAAAAUUUAUCCAUUUAACCCUUUUUAAAAAAAAAUAUCUGAUUUUGGAUUGAUAAGGAUGGGUGAAGCCACUAAACACAACAACUAAAAUUAAUAUUUCUUUUUUAAGAUGGGUGACUUGAAGAAAACUAAGAGUAACAUCAAUCAUAUUUUUUUUUAUUUUUUUUAAAUUAUGUAAUUAAAUUUGAAGCAAAGAUAUCAUAAUUGGUUGGUAAUAAACAGCUUUCUCAAAUUUUAUUAAUUAUUUUACUUAAAAGGAAUAUUUUCUUUUUCAAUUCCAGUCCUCCGUACUAAAGCAAAGGGACCCAAUUCUAAUCAAGUCGUCAGUGGAUAAGGAUUAUGCUUUGGGAUAGAUUUUAUUGAUUCUUUAAAGAAAAAAAGAAAAGCAAUGAAAGUGAUACUUCUUAACAUGUAUGCUAUUAAUUUGUGUAUUUUGCAAAAGUUGUGAAUUUAGUCCUUAUACUUUCGGAACGGUCAUAUUUAGUAUCUCUACUUUUCGAAUUUUGAAGUUUUAAUCCUCGCCCGAACAGUAGUGGUUAGAUCCAUUUGGUUAAAUUCAAUUACUAGUCACCAUGUGUACAAUUGUAUAUUUAGUCCAUAUUAUCCAAUUGAAUCAUUCUACGUCCCUAUACUUUUUUUUUUAAUUUUGAAAUUUCAGUCUUGAUGCAAAUAACAAUUGUCAAUCUAUUAAUUAGAUUUCUAAUAAGUAAUAUGUAGAAAUAACAAGCUGAUAAAGCAUUAAACAUAUGAUAAUAUGUUUAUCGCAUCAAAAUUUGAAAAUAACAUCACUUAACUUAAUGAAUUUAUCAAAAAUUGCAAGAAAUAAAAAUGACCAAUAACUUUUGUAAAAUAUACGGAUUAAUAGUAAAAUUUGACGUAAACUAAAAUAUUUGAUAAUAUUUUUUUAAUUAUCUAUAUAUAACUUGACCCAAGUAUAAUUUAGCUAGCUCUUAAUUACUUAUAUAAGUGAACAUGUACUUAUAUAAAGCUUAAUAAAAUUUUAUAUUUGGUAAAGUUGGUUGGCCAUGGUAGCAUAGUCUUCACACCUAGAAGAAGUGCCAAAUUGGUCUAUAAUCCCUAUUUCACCUAAUUAUGCUAAUAGCCUUCCUAUUUAGCAAUGAAAUCUUGAUUGAGCAUUGACAUAAUGAAAUAUUAAUCAUAGAUAUAAAUAGGAAUCUCAUGUGAAUCUACCUUACUUGAAAAAAAAAAGUAAAAAAAAAAAAAUUAAAGAGGUGAAGUUAGAUAGGUAAUCUUGUCAACAUGAAUAAAGGGAAAAAGGUUUUUUUUUUUAAAUAAAAUAAAAUUUAUAGGUUCUGUUUAUAUCUGCUAUUGGUUUCUCCCUAACCCAUAAAUAAGAAGAUAAUGUGUUUCAGUGCACUUGAGUCCACGUCCUUUUGCGUUGGCAAUGAUGUUCAUUCCAAUCGAGCUGAAACUCAAUGGACUUAUUUUUAUAUGGUUUUCUCUAAAACUUAUUGCUAACAUCUAUUUUUAUCUAAACCGAAACAAAAACAAUAGUUCAAACUCGACAAAAUAAAAUAUUUUAAAAUUAUUUAAUUUAAAUUUAUGCCAAACAAAACCCAAUCUAAGUAUAGAUCUAACUCACACUUGAAUUUUAUUAAUGUUAUUAAUAUUAUUUACAAUUUCUAGGACUCAUGUGAUAGCACCGCCCUCAUACUAUGAUGAAGGUAAAAGAGUUCAUUGCCUCGCACAAUUUUAUCGUCUUAAAGUUUACUCCCUUUAUACUAAAAAAACAAAACCCUAGUACAAAUGAACAAAAAAAAAAAUACAUAGUACAAUCACAUGAAGCACUCCUAAAAGUUCAUGCAUUAAUCUUAGUAAAUAACUUUGUGCACCCAUUGGAAUUAUCUCCAUCAGUUAACCAAUAUAUUUAUUGUAACAUGUACCCAUUGUUACUUUCUUUUUAAAAUAAUUGUUGAAUAUUGUGAUGGAAUAACCUCACGUUAAGGAUUGUUGUUACAUAUCAUUCACAUAUUUAAUAAUCGUAUCCCAGCAGCUUAUAUUAUCAGUCAUAUAUUUUAUAUUGUCAGACGGUACUUAUUGUUUUUACGGAUAUACUUCUAAAGAUAUCUAACACGUCAUACGCGAUUGUCCUGAAGUUAAAGACAUAUGGUCUAUAAUAAUACCAGAAGAUAAGUUCAAUGCUUUCUCAUCUAGGGAUUGCAUGAUGGAUAGUUGCCAAUUUUUUCAAUAAACUUGGAAUGCAAAUGGAAGGAGUGGAUUGGCAAUGUUUCUUUGGUAUGGUUGCAUGAUGUAUUUGAAAAAAUCGUAAUUUAUCUGUCUUCCAAGGAACGUCGUGAAGUGUUGAGGAGUGGGUCAAAGUUUCAUACAGUUGGGCUAAACAAUACACCUCACUCAAUAAGGCAAGUACCCUGAGACAAUUAGUAUCAAACUUAGUCACACCUUUACUUGAGAAUUGGAUUCAAUUGAAUACUGAUGGUGCAAUUAAAGGGGAGACCGAGGCUGCCUUGAUAGGGGGUUCUAUGAGAUAGGUAUGGGUGUUGGAACCUGGGUUACAAUUGGAUAAUUUAUUGGAAUAUGUUUUAUUUUAGAUGCGAAAUUAUAGGGCAUUUUGGAAUGGUAUGUUGAUUGCACUGGACAGAGGAUUCGACAGGUUGAUAAUUUUUUCAGAUAGUUAAGAUCAGGCGGUACAAGCUCUACAAAGCAAGUCUACAAAAGAUUCAAGUUUAGCUUUGGUCAGAAGAAUUCAUCUCUUAUUGACUAAGAUAGUGCAUUGAUCGAUUCAUCAUGUUUCAAGAGAACUCAAAAGAUGUUGAUAGGCUAGCUAAAAUGACGAUCGGUUACAACGAUGGCCUUCAAUUUUUUGAAACACCUCCUUGGAGGCUUGAGUUUUUAUCUAAGUAGUUCUUUAUAAUGCUUUGUCUCUCUAAAAAAAAAGAGAAUACUCUUAAAUACCUCUUUAAAAUACAAUCAAGAGAAUAAACUAAUUCUCACUCGAAUUCCCCUCCCUUUUCCAACCAGCUAACCUCAAAAGCCUUUUUUUCGACUUUUUAUCCAUCGAGUGAACUAAUUGAACCGUUUUCAUAAUAAUUUAAAAAAAGAAAGGCAAUGGGGAGAAAACCAUGAAUGCAAGCUAAACCCGGAUUUCAAGCAGGGAAAGGAAUCAUUAAAAUUUGAGAAAGUCCCCCACCAAAUUACUUUAUCAAAUAUGAAAUGGCAAAUUUUGGUCAAAAUGUUGGCUCCACACCACUUUAGCAUCUUCCUUUUUAUCUCUGCUAUUUUUAGCUAAAGGAACUUCAAUCUCAAGAUAAAGAGAGGGAUUUCUAAUUUUCAAAGGUGUUUAUACCUUAAUCUUUGACUUUUAUUUUCAUCAAAUUAUGAUUUUCAUAUUGAAAUAACAUCAUUUUACGCUGAUAUAUUAUCUAUACAAACAAUGAUAUUAAUCCAAUCCAAUAUGAAAAUAAAUGUAUUAAUUUAUUUAUUUCUUUAAAUGUGUACAAUUGAACCAAAAUUAAAGUUUCAUGUAUCAAAUUUCACAUUAAACGUUCAUGUAUAAAUUUAAUAUUUAGCCCUAGCAAAGUGAGUUAAAAUUUUAAAAUUGUGUUUUUCCUUUCUUUCUUUUUGUAAUCCACAUCAAUAUUUUAACUUGAAUAAUUAACCAUUUGACUUAAAUAAUGACAUUAUAAACAUAGAGGUGCCAUAUUUUUCCAAAUUAAAUUAUAUAUUAAUCACUUGAUUGAGUCGUUGUCGCGAGUCAACUGAACACCAACUUAGUUAAAUAAUGACGAAUAUACACACACUUCAUCGUUUAAUCAAAGCCUCAUUUGUUAUUGAUAUCAAUUUUUUAUAAAUAUAUUUAUUAUAUAAUUAUAUUUUUCACCCAUAUCGUGAAAUUUACAUAAUAUAAAAUUAAUAUUAUUAAUUCGAAUGAAUUAUUAUAAGUAUUAAAUAAAUAAUUUCAACAAUUAAUUCAACCCAAAUUAAUUAAAAAAUUCGAAUCCUUACGCUUAAAAUCUUAAGACCUCAACCAUACCGACAUUAAUGCAAGUCUACCGUUACGUAAGAUAAGACAUACAUAUCCCAUCUCUUUGUGGAAAUAAUAGCCCACACGCAAUGUUCUCAUUUCAUUGCAUUAUUCAAUACGUACGCAUGCAAUAAUUUUGUCUCAACAUGUUUUUGACCAUGAUUUUCAACCAACGUAAAUAUAUGGAUCGGUUAACAGCUAGGUUAAAUUUUAUUAUUAGUCCUUGUAUUUCAUAAAAAUUGUGAAUUUAGUUUUUCUACUUUUUAAAUUGGUCAAUUUUAGUUUCUGUAUUUUUUUGAAAUUUAAAGUUUUAGUCAUGACCCAAACAGCAGUAGCUAAUUUCGUUGGGUUAAAUUCGAUUAAUUGUGGUUAAAUUCGAUUAAUUGUGUUAUACUAUGCGUACAGCUAUAGAUUUAGUUCAUAUUCUCUAAUCGGAUCAUUCUAAGUUUUUGUACUUUUUGAAUUUUAAAAUCUCAUUCUUGACCCAAAUGAUAGUCAUUAAUCCAUUAAUUAGAUUUUUAGUGAAUAAUAUGUGAAAAUAACAAGUUGACAUAGCAUUACACACGUGAUAAUAUGUUUGCUGCAUUAGAUUUUGAAAAUAACAGAACAUAAUGAAUUUAACAGUUAUCGUUUGCUGAUUAUUGAAAAUUUAAAAUUUCACAACUUUUAUUAUAUUAAAAAAAUUGUAUUUAUAUUUGAUGUAUGGAUCGUGAAUAUAUUUAAUUAGCUGAUAGCGUAUAAAAUUAUAUAAUGUUACAAUGUAUCGAAUAUAAAUUCAAAAAAUAAUAUAUUAAUUAUAUGCUUUUAUAAAUGUUAAUUUAAUCACUAUCAAGAUAUUGAUUAAUAAUUUCAAUUAAAUAAUGUUUUUUUAACUUAAAAUAGUCACAUAAAAUUUAUUAAAAUAAAUCAUACAUCUCAACAAUAAAUGAUUUAGAUUUCUAGUUUUCAUGAGAGGUCCUUUGUUAACCUUAAUUUUGAAUACUUGUACACUCAUGACGACAUGUAUGAACAUCUCUAAUCUCUUUUAAUAAUUAUAUGUCAUGAUCUUAACAAUUAUUAUCAUGCCCUUCAAAAGUUUUAAAUUUUAAUUAGGUCUCUCGAAACUUUUAGAAACUUUUAUUAAACACCCUUUUUUUUAAAGUUUUAAUUAGACCCUUCGAACUUUUUCAACAUUUUAAUUAGGCACCCAAAAUUUAUUGGCACGUUUCACUGUUGUGUAUGUUCGAAGAUAAUGAUUUAAGCAUAGAUAUUUGCAGGCACAUGUCCAAAACUUUUUCUCCUUGAACUUUAACCGAAAAAUGUUACUAUUCAAUCACUUAAUGAGUUAAUGUGUCACGUCAGCAAUCCGUUAAAAGAAAGUAAAAAUUUUAAUGAUAGUGACUAAUUCGCACAAUUAUCUUAUUUAAAAUGACAAAAUUAAAAAAAAAAGAUAUUUGAAAUGAUGAAAAUAGAAUAGCCCCUAAUUUAAAGUGAUGAUGGGUGUAGUUUAGCUAUAUAUAUUACAAUAAUUUAAAGCAAUUGAUACCCAUAGUUCCAAGAAUCAAACAACUUAGUAUGAACAAAUUAACUACUAUAUUUCAGUGGCUUAAGUCAAAGCUAGUGUAUAGUUUAAUACUCACCCAUGAAAAACAAAGACCAAAAGAGAAAAGCAGCAAAUUUUGGAACAUUAGUUUGUAAUUCACUGAGAAUCUUGUUGGGGUAUGAUCUAACAAUCUUAUCCAUAUGAAGGAAUUCAAUGAAGAUGGUCCAUCACCACCCACAUCUCCAUAUUCUCUAUAUUUUACAGUCAAAACACUCUUGUCUUAUUAAUUUAAGCUGCAUUUCUUUUAUAUAUAUAUAUAUAUAUUCGAUUUUGUUACACUCAUAAUGUGAGUGAAAUAAAAUAUUAUAUGUUCGAUCUCUGUAUUUAUAAAUUUAUAAUUGUUUUGUUUUAUUUUCUAUUUUUUGAAUAAUUUCAUUAUAGGUUUUUGAUCAUAUAUAUCUGCUCAUUUUCACAGAAAGUCUAAAACUGCCCAUAGUCCAUUCUUAACCCAUAAAUAGGAGGAUAAUGCGUUUCAACGUACUCGAACCCACAUCCUCGAGCUAAGACUCAAUAAUAAUAUUAAAUUAUAAUUUAAAAGAAGGGAUGGUCUUGUAAUUUCAUAAUUGAGUUGGUAGCCCAAUUAAGGGUGACACCAAUUCAGCAAAGUGCUUAAAUAUAAUAUACUAGAUAUCUAUGUUUAUUAAGUCAAAUGGUAAGAAGUUCGAUAUCCUUUAAGUAAAAUUUUCAAAAACUAAAUUUAUUUUUAUUUAAAGAUCUAGUUUGACUCAACUCCAAACAUAAUCAAAAUUCAAUAUAAUUAUCGAAAAUCAGAGAAUUUCAUAUAUAUAUAUAUAUAUAUAUAUAUAUAAAUGAAACUCUAAAUUUGAAAGCUACUUCCAAACUUAAGACUUUUACAACAUUACAACUUCAUUGUGGUGUAUUCUUAUUUAUUAUAAUGCCCCCCUCGAGCCAAAAAAAAAACAAAACGCGUAAUAUUUCAACUACUAAUGCCAAAAAUCCAAAUUGUGGGCACAUGAAUUUCAACUACUAGUACUUUAAACCACUUUUGUCCAGCUCUAAAUAAAAUCGAGAUUAAAAUCAGUGAUAAAAUAUAUCUAUUGAUGAAUAAACGCGAAUUAUGGUAUUUUUAUUUAAAAAAUUUAAAAUUUAUGUGAUCGAUUCGAAUAUUUAAAUUGGGUUAAAUUAAGUAUUAAGGAAAAAAAAUUAAAAUUUAAGAAAAUUAUAGCAUAUAGUUGUUGACCCUAAAUUUGUUUAUAAUUUAAUCAAAAUCAUUAGUGGAAGUCAGAAGAAUGUGAAUGGCUGUUCAAAAGUCUUAAGUGAAGUACCCAACAUGGAACGGUUGACCCUAAAUCUGUUUGCAAUUAACAUUUGGGUGUUGGCAUAUCUUUCUCUAGAUUUGUUUCCAUUUAUAAAAUUUUAAUCUUACAUAUGUCAUACAGUUAAAGUAUUUAGAAGGUUUCUCUUACCUUAAAUUAGUGAUCGAGGAUUCGAUCUUCGUCCUGGAUAUGAAGCAGUUUUAAAACUCAUGGCCAGCGUCUACCCUUUUAAUGGGUCUACAGAAUGCGGAAGAUUAAUUAUUGGGUUCAGCUACAAAUCAAUUCCUAACAAAAAGUUCCAUUUAUAAAAUCGUAAAAAUUUUAAAAAUAUUAACCCUACUAAACAGUAAAUGUUAACUGUAAUCCAUUUUAUUCUUUCUAAUAGUAUAAGAACUACAUCGAUUCAUUUAAUAAUAUAGGGACUAAUUUAAUCGGAGGGACUUUUGAAAUACUUAAAAAAAAUGGUAAAAUAUUUAUUUUGGUCUCUCAAGUUUUAUUAUUUUAAUUUUUUUAUCUAGUCUUUUUUUAAUAUAAUUUUCUAAUUUCUUAAUGCAUCAAAUUAUAUAUAUUAAAUUUAUAUAUUUUUAUAAUAAAAAAUUGCAUUUAUAUCUUCCCAUGUGACCAGGGGAGGUGACCCUAAAAAGAUAUGAAGAGUGGGCAUUGGAGCUAGGAACCUUCCCAUGCAUUUCCCACUUAGCUUCUUGCACAAUAGGGGAUAAUGACACUUUUGGUCCUGUUUUUAGUACCCAUGUCCUACGUCAACCCUUGCGUGGGUCUCCUUUACAUUCAUUCACUUUGGUCUUUUAUAAGAAUAAAAUAAUUGAGCUAUUCAAAUUCAACUUUUUCUUUUUCUGUUUAUCUAAUAUAUAUAUUUCGGUAUCCGAUAAUUAUAUUAAGUUUCUACUAAAUCUAAUGUCGAGUUAAGAUGGAUCUUUAUUCGAGGGGUAAAGCUUCCAGCAUUGUUUUCUACAUUUACAAAAUUCAAACCUUAGACCAAGGGCGGCGAGAGGGGGAUAGGUAGGGCCUUGACCCCUCCUAAAAUUAAAAUAUGGUGAUUAUUAUCCUUUUAAAUGUAUAAAAUUAUAAAUUAAUAAUGGUAAAAUUGCACUUUGACUCCAAAAAAUGGUAAGAUUUUAAUUUAGCCCUUUAAAAAUUAUAAAUAUAUUAACUAAUACAAUGGUGAAAUUACAUUUUAACUCAUAUAAAAAUUUAUAAUUUAAUUUUGAUCCCCUAAAAGUUUUUUUUCCAAAUUCACCGUACCCUAAACCUUACCAAGAAGCAUCAAACUAUUUACCACUCCACCUAACCAACAUUAGUUUUGUUGCUCUAGCAAUAUCAACAACGGCUACUAACUCGUCUAGGACCAUUUCAAACACUUGCAUAGUUGCAUUACUCUCCGAAACCAAUUUGGCUAGUCUAUCUUGAACUUGAUUUCUCUCUCUAGAAAUAUACUUGAACUCCCAUUGCUCCAUGGUUUGUAAAAUCACAUGGAUUCUUCUAGCCAAGGCUAAAGUUAAUUCAGUCAGAUGAAUACCUUGAAGAGCUUUGACAAUCUCUAAAUUGUCUGUAUGAAUGAAAAUCUUAUUGCGUCCCUCUCUUUCAGUGAAAGUUAGACCAUCUAAAAUUUCCCAUAAUUCAACAUAAAAAACUGAGCAAAACCCCAAAAACCAAUUGUAUCUAGCAACCCAUUGCCCAUUUAUAUUUUAUUAUUUAAGAGUUUGAUUACGUUUGUAUCACCCAUCGACUGAGUUCUAACUCAGUUCUGAAAUUAUUAAAAGCUCAUUAUUUUUACAUAGUGACAAUUAUUAUUUUUGAGGUUACUUUUAUCUUUUUAUAAACAUACAAAUAAUGGGAUUUGAACCUUAAACUUCAUGAUCUUUAUUAUCUCAACUUUACUCGUUCAACCAUAAUCAUAUUUAAUUUUUAUAUUAAAUUCUUACGUAGAAUUUCUACCCACAUCGUAAGGAUACAAUAAAUUAAUUUAUAUAAUAUGAAUAUGACACUAUUUUUCCCACUUUAUAUGAGUAUAUUCCCGUUUUUAUUUCCAAGGAAGGGAACACUUAAUUAUUAAAGAGAUCUUCAAGCAAUUUAUUUAAUAUUGGAUCUACAACAUUCAUUAAGUAGUCAAUUUCAAGCUAAGAAAUCCAAAAUAUUAAUUUACUAGAAUUACAUUGAAUCUAGAUCACGAGUCACCCAUUAAAUUUAGGGUUUCCAAGCCAAAAUCACGUAGUUAAUAUGAAUAUUUAAUUUAGGGUUUCAAAGUCAUUUUUUCCAUAGUUAAUUUGCACAUGAAUUUGUUUUGCCCAAAAAGUCAUUUUCUUGAUGAAAUUAAUUGGGGGUUUGCAUCUGUAAUUAAUCCUUUGUUUUUUUUUUCAAGUCGUUUUUUGAGUGAUAAAUGGAAUUAAUCAUAGGGCUGGAAAUAUGGUUUUCAUUUUCAAACCAAUUUUAGUGUCAUAAUAUUAACUUAUUUAAAAAAAUAUAUUAAAAAUGGUAAAAUUAUGCCGCAAGUCCUUGUUUUUAGAUUACAUUAUUUAGUACCAUUGUUUGACACUUUUUUUAAAAUUUGAUACCUUUGUUUUUUUGUCCACUGAGAUACUUAUUUUUGGCAAAAUUGUAUAUUUUGGUAUCCAUAUGUACUAAGAUCGACUUUUUAGUGUUUAAUUCGUGCUUUAGGAUUUACUUAAUGAAAGUUCAUUGCUAUUAUUAUAUUUGAAUUUUCAUGAUCUUGCUAGUAGAAUAAAUUCAGUUUUAUUUGUGAAUCUGUUUAAUUUCGUGUUUAAUUUGUUAAAUGUAGCAUGAUGUUUGUGAUUAGGAUUGAUUUGAUAAAAAUUAAUAACUAAUAUUAUUAGUUGAUUAAAAAUUUCAUCAAAUCAACCCUACAACCCAAAUUAAACACUAAAAAUUUAACAUUGUUAUCUUUAGGUACCAAAACGUAUAAUUUUACCAAAUACAAGUACCAUAUUUAAAAAAAAAGUAUCAAGCUCACGUACCAAAUAAUAUUUUUAGCCGAGAAAGUUAAAUAAAAACUAAACUCUCUUAUUCGUUUCCUAAUUUAAAAAUCUCGUAUUAUCGUUGACACUGUUAAUAUUAUUUAUUAGUCAAAAUUAAUCAUGUAAUUACAUCAAAAAGUAAAUCAUCGUGAACUUGAUAAGCAAACCUAAUUGGACUAAAAUUUUUAACUUUUAACUUAUAUAUACUAAAUCACAAAUUUUGACCUAAAAAUAAUAUAUUAAAUAAUAAUACAAUAAUUAAUCUCUUAUAAAUUUAUAAUUUAAUUAAAAAAAUUCAGUAGAAAAUAGGAAAGGAAAUAAACGACUACUUUUUUGGAAGAAAAAAAAAACUACUCCCAGCUCACCAAAAAUAAGAAAGGGAAGUCAUGAUUAUGACCACCGACACGGCAAGUUUCUUGUCUUGCAGUAAUAGAAUCUAUUUUUUUUAUAUAUUAAAAAUAAAAUAUUUAAAAUUUUUAUAUAAAAUUAGAGUAAUUUAAUUUUUGAAAACAAAAAUUAGAAUAUGAAUCGAAACCUUAAAUUCUUUGUCGGUCAUAAAUAUACAUUUGAAAAUUAAAAAUUACAAAAAAGUAAAACAGGGUUUUAUUAAUUGUUGACCUAAGUUUAAUACAAGUCAUGAUUCAUGGGCCACAUGGUUGUAGGUAUUUUUAUUUAGUUUAAUAAAAUAUUUUAAAAAAUUAAUCUUAAUUUUUUUUUAAUUUUUAGUUUAAAAUUUAAACCUAACCUUCCCCAGAAAAUGCCUUCUAAAUUUGAUUAUUUAAAUUUUUUUUAUUUUUUCAGUGAAUUUAAUGGACUGCUCUGCCCACAAGUUUUACAUAUGGGUCGGUCCAUUUUUUUAUUUAUUGGAUAAUGAGAAGAUUAGAGUUUUUCUAAAAAAUUUAUAUAAAUUUAACCAAUUUAGUUAUCAAAUAUAAAAUAUAUGAUUAAGCGCACUCGAACCUACAUCCUUUUAUAUUGAUAACAAUAUUAAUACCUGUUGGGUAAAUAACCCUUUAUUAUUUCAACACUAAAACGAAUUGAAAAAUCAAAUCGAGUCAAGUUUGAUUCGAGCUUAACUAUAAUUUUCGAUUUUCAUUAUUACAACAACUAAUUUAAUUUUAGUUACAUCAAUAAAUUUUUACAGUCCAUCUAGAAGUAACAAGAAGUCUAGUAGUUGUUACAUUUAUUUAUGGUAAAAAUUAGAUUUGGUAAUUAAAAAUGGAACAACAACAAUAAUAAUAAAAUAUAUGGGAAAUUGGUCUAAAAAUAGCAACACGUGUGGAGCACAUGGGGAGAAAAUGAGGGUUCCUCAAAACAGCAUAGCUGGCAAUUGCAAAUAUCCCAGUCUCUCUUUUACUCCGCAUUUACAUCAAUGUAUGAUAAGUUAAUGCAUUGAUUUUUCUUACAUUAUCAUAAUUAUUAUUGAAAAUCAAAUACCCAUUUUUAUCAUCCAAUUUAUUGCUCACUUUCCAUUUGCAAUUUAAUCCCCACAAAUCAUAAUGUAUAUUAAUGUCUCUAGUUAAAUUUGGUAUAAUAUGAUUUACAUAAAAACUAAAUCGUAAAAUAAAUAAUAUUUUUUUAAACCCGUAUCGAUUAAGUGUUAGAUAAAUAAUAUAAUGCCGAUUGAGUUUUAGUUCGAUUGACAUAGGCAUUAUUUGAGCAUACUGAAGCACGUUAUAAACUUUCAUAUUCACUCAUUUCACUUUUAAAUGAUAAAUACCGUGCUCGAACAAAAAAUAAUUAUAAACCCUAAAUAAAAAUUAUAAAACAAACAUAAAUAAUAUCGAAAAAACCCAAAAUCGAAACUUUACUUAAAUAGCAAUCGAACUUUCUUAUCACCCGACUCAACAGAUAUAGUAUAUAAUUAUAUCAUAUAUUGUAACAUAUUAUAUUAGUUAAGGCAAAGCUAGUUAAAAAGAACCCAAAAACAGAAAGUGGUUUCCAACCAAUACCAACUCCCUUUCCCCUAAUUUCUAUUUUAUUUUAUUUAUUUUAUUUUCAUUUUCAUUUUCAUUUUCCCCUUCUCUCUCUCUUUAUAAUCUACCCCUCUACACCCUUCACAACUUCAGGGCUCAUCCUCAAAAGAAAAAAAAAAAGGAAAAGAAAAUCAAAGUUAUUUUUCUUUCAAUUGAGCCCUUCAUUUUUCUCUCAGUUUCUUUCUUCCCAAACAACAAAUUUUAAAGAAAAUGCCAACAGAUACAAGCAAGCCCAUGAAAUUAGAACGAUACAAUAGCUAUAUUCGUAAAGUCCAUAGUACGAAGCUGUUGAAUGCUUCAUCUAAAUUUCUAUUUCGUGUUACCCUUCUUAUUGCUUUAGUUUUGAUCUUGUUUUUCACCAUUAAUUACCCUCCACUUUCGGAUAAUACCCACAGUGCACCUCACCAUCACCACCGUCAUAGCUUUCUUUCAACUUCACUGUUCUCCGGUUCUUCCCUCGUUGGUGGUGCGGCGUGGGAGAAACAAGUCCGUCACUCUUCGACUCCACGUAGGGUUAAUGGGUUUUCCGUUUUGGUCACCGGCGCCGCUGGGUUCAUCGGUUCUCACUGUUCACUUGCUUUGAAAAAACGCGGCGAUGGGGUUUUGGGAUUGGAUAAUUUUAACGAUUAUUACGAUCCUUCGUUGAAAAGGGCGAGGCAGAAUUUGUUAAGCAAACACCAAAUUUUCAUCGUCGAAGGGGAUUUGAACGACGGCCCGUUGUUGACGAAGCUGUUCGACGUCGUCCCGUUCACUCAUGUGCUUCACUUAGCGGCACAGGCCGGUGUACGGUACGCCAUGCAAAACCCACAGUCGUACGUUAAGUCGAACAUUGCUGGGUUUGUGAACUUACUUGAAGUAGCCAAAGCGGUGAAUCCACAACCGGCGAUCGUUUGGGCUUCGUCGAGCUCCGUUUAUGGACUCAACACUGAAAACCCAUUCUCCGAACGUGAUAGAACUGACCGUCCGGCGAGUCUUUACGCCGCAACGAAAAAAGCCGGUGAGGAAAUCGCUCAUACUUAUAACCAUAUAUACGGCCUUUCCCUCACCGGACUUAGAUUCUUCACCGUUUAUGGUCCAUGGGGAAGACCCGAUAUGGCUUACUUCUUUUUCACUAAAGAUAUUCUUCAAGGGAAACCCAUUGAUAUCUACAGAACCCAAGAUCAAAAAGCGGUGGCGCGUGACUUCACUUACAUCGACGACGUUGUGAAAGGUUGUUUAGGAGCGUUAGACACGGCGGAAAAAAGCACCGGUAGCGGUGGAAAAAAGAAAGGACCGGCUCAAUUAAGGGUUUACAACUUGGGAAACACUUCCCCUGUUCCCGUCGGCCGAUUAGUCUCGAUUUUAGAAGGAUUACUCAACACAAAAGCCAAGAAACAUGUGGUUACGUUGCCCAGAAAUGGUGAUGUCCCCUACACACAUGCCAAUGUCACGUUAGCUUACAAGGAUUUUGGGUAUAAACCCACCACGGAUUUAUCUUCUGGGUUGAGAAAAUUCGUGAAAUGGUACGUGAAUUACUUUGGGAUUGAAUCGAAACACUCGAAAGAAACCCAACAUUUCGAUGAAUCCAGUUAAGAACAAGCUUUCAUAUUUUCAUUUCCAUGGCUGCUGCCCGGUCCUUUUUAAUUUUUCAUUGUUAUUUAAUGGUUAUAUUGAUGUAAAAAAGAAAACCAAAAAAAAGAAAAGGGAUCAAAAUUGUUGCAAUUCUCGUUCAUGUAGAAUAUAUAAAUUUAUAGAUUUUAUAUAUAGAUUUUGAUGAAAUAUAUAGGAAAUGUGAAGAAAAAAAAAAGGGGGGACACAAUUAUGAAAGGGAGAGAGAAAAGGUUGUAGAUCUGUGGAGAUGAGGUGUAAUAAUUUGGUGGGCUCUGCUUAAGAAAAAGGGCAGGUCUUGACCGUUGAUUUUUCAUAUCAAAAGAAAAGAAUGAACUUGUGAUUGAACAACAAUGAUGACAUAAGAUUCUUUCUUUUUAUGCAUUUCUGUAUUUAUCUUGAGUUUUAUAUCUUAGUCAAGAUUUUAAGUUUUUUGUGUUAUGAAUGUUGUUUUUGUUUUUGGUGAUAGUGGAUUGAAUCUUGGCUUAUUGAUAUUGUUAUCGGUGUAGGAGGAUAUAAUUUGAGUUUGUUGAAGCGCAUUAUCUUCUUAUUUAAGAGUUGAUGAGAAGUUAUCGGUAAUUUUAGAUAUUCUAUUAAAAAGAAUAAAAAUAUUAAAAAAAAGUUAAACAUUAAUUUAGUAACGAUAGGUUCGAAUUUUAGAGAUCAUGAUAUUGUUAAGAGAAACAACUAUAAUUUUAAGCAUAGACCGUAAAGUAGACAUAUAAAAUACUUAAAAAAAAACAAUUGUAAUAAAAAGUAAGAAUCGAUUGAAUUGCUUGAACUAGAGGGAUUCGGACUCAAAUAGAAAUAAAUUAGUCUAGCCUUUCUCGGAGUAAUGAUACUCAAUGAAACGUAACAAAACCCAAACCCCGCACGAAAUGGAGGGUUUAUGUAAUCUUUAUAUUCUUCCGUGUUUAGAUAUUCUUUUAUUUAAUAAUAGAGUUCAAACUGUUCGAUGAAUUUUAAAUUUAUUUAAUUUUUAAAAGGGAAAGAAAAGGCGAGAUGUUAUUUUUUGAAUCUUAUAUAUUUAUUUUUAAAAAAUUAUUAUACAUUAUGCAGUAAACCCUAAAAUAAUUAUGCGGGAUGUUUCUUUUAUGUCUAUAUGUCGAAAUCUACAUCAAACGUAUUAGAAAUAACUAAUCAAUACCAAACAUUACAAUACGGGAAUAUUAUAGAUGUAUCCAACACUCAUAAAAGAUAUUCAAGUUUUAAUUAUUAGGAUAAGUUAAGAUCGGAUCAAAAUAGAGUAUACCAACAAUAAAUCCGCGAUGAAUUUAACAAUAUUUACUCCAAUUGGGUCCAAUUUCUAAAGAUUACAUAUUUGGAUUAAAUACAUGAAAAAGAUAUUCAGCCCCAAAAGGAAGAAAAAUUGAAGGAUGAUAAAGUUGAUUUAAUUGAUUAAUUAAAUUUUCCAAAAGACAAUAAUUGGGUGAACUUUCCAGGGUAGAAGACUUGGGAACCAAGCUUUUUCUCUUUUCUUACCUAAUAAAUUUUAAUUAAUUAAUUAAUUAAUUAGUUAAUAGACAACGAAAAGACCCCCGCUGUCUUUUUUUUCUUUUUUGUCUCUCGUAUUAUUAUUGAUCCCGUAUUUUGGAUACGACAUUAGAUUUUGGCAACCAUGCUUUUGAUCGUGUUAGUGAAGGCUAACAUAUUGAGAAUUUGUAUUACAUUUUUUUGAGAUAAAUUAAAUUUUUUUAUGUUAUAUUAAAGCGUAAAUUGAUUGUUAUACAUCAAUAUGAGGUAAACAUGGCAUGUCACAUGUUAUUAUCUAGUUAUUCCGUCAAUUACGUUAGUUUUUAACGGUACAAAAUGAUUAAAUUUUUAACAAAAAAAAGACCAAUUUACUUUUAAGUUUUAAUAUAACGUAUAAAGACUAAUUUACUCUUUUUCUGAAUAGAAAAGACCUCUAUAAUACUUUCACUAAAACUUAAACAUUCUCGAAGAUAAAUGUAAUAGACUCGAGUCGAAUUCAAAUAGUAAUAAGCUUAAAUCAAAAUUAACUCCUCGAUAUUCGAUACAAGCUCGAUUAAAUCGGUUUAUAAAUUUUUAGCACCGAAAUUCCAUCGAUUUUAAUUGGUGUAAAUGAAAACAUAUCAUCAAUCACAUGUUUUGAUUUAAUUAAGAUUUUAGCAAAUCAGAUAAAUCCAAUUUUUAUUUUAAGAUCUAAAUUUAUUAUUGUCUUAAAUUCACUAAUAUAAAUUUACUAUCAAUUAUUAUUAAUAGGUGAAUUAUCAACCAAAUGGUUUAAUCACGUGUAUCUCAUGUAUUUAAGAACACAAAUAAUGAGAAUUAUUAUUUAUUAUUAAUAAUAAUUCACAGCACAGUUUAUGUAGAUUUUUUUCUUUCUUUUGAGGGACCAUAAAUUAAAGUUGAAGCAACCUUUAAGGACUACACAAACAUGAGUUGUUUUAAAGCAAAAAAACAGAACAUAUUUUGUUGUGUUAAACCCCAAAGGAUUGCUUGUAAUUUACUUUUGUUUUAUUAAUUAAUUCAUUCGUUUAUUCCAUUAAUUAGUUGUAAAGUUGAAUUUGUGACAGUAAAAUACAUUAUAUUCAAAGAUUUUGAGAAUCUACACUGAGAUUUGAGUUUGAAUGUUGAAAAUGAAUAUAUAUUGAGAAUCAAAUUUAUUUUAAUGAAAAAAAAAAAAGUAAGUGUUCGGGUUUGAAUAUUAAGAAAGCGAAAAUAGUAUUCUCUAUUUACAAUUUUUUUUUUUAUUUUCGGCUCACGAUCUUCAAAAUAUAAAGACUACAUCGAAAAAAUGAUACUACUCACCAUCAAGCACCCUGAACAUUCUUCGUAAUCGAGGACAAAACCUUGAAGACAUGAACAUGGAAUCUGAAUGAUAUUUUCCAUUAAUAAACAAAAUAUUUCAUUUACAAAAUUAUAAAAACUUCAAAAAUACCAUUUGCAAAAUUAAAUAAUGUUUGAUUGUAAUAUUAUUUUUUACGCAUGUAUUAUUUUGAAUAUUCUCAUUUUUUACGAGAGUUAUCGCGCAUUUUUUUAAAUUUCAAAUUUACAUUUGUAUUAAUUAUUCCUUAUCUUAUGUCAAACCAUUUGUAAUACAUAGAUAAUAAAUAAGCUUUUUCUUCUUGUGAUUACACUUUUAAAAUAUAAAUGUUAACUAUAUUUCAAUUCGAAAUUAUUUGAUUUCAUUUAAUAAUACAAAAACUAAUUUGAUCAAAUCCCUAAAAUAAAGGGACACUUAAAGUACAUUCACCAAAAAUAAAGCUUCGAUAAUUUAGUUAUAGUUUGAAGACAAAUUAUAUAUCAAUAUAUUUACAAUCGCAUGAGCCCUGAAAUGUCAGUGAACAUCCAUUGUAAAAAGGACAUUCCCCAUAGUUGGUCGAAUACUCAUUAGCACUUUCAUGUGCUCGUCUUUCAUGAGUCGUGCUCGUGCUCACAUCACACCAUCAGAAUACGGGACAGUUAGCCCUAUUUUUAUGUGUAUAUAUAUAGUAGAACAUGCAUUGCCAAUAACUCUCGGAAUGUGAAAUACAUAGUAGAACAGGUAUUUCUUCACAUUUGGCAAAAACUGUAUUUCAUCCGAGGAAAAGAAUCUCCCUUCGAUCAAUAAAAGGGUAAGUUGAUUCGACUUGAAAUUCGAAGCUCAAAAAUCAAGAUCAAUAGGGUAUGAAUCUCAGCAAAUGAAAGAGAUAAAAAACUCACUAAAACUAGGCUGUGACCUGUGAUCUUACCUUUAGUCGUGUCUGCAUUUACCUUAUACUGAAAGCAAACGCCAUGAAAUUCCCCUGCAACGAAAGUAAAGAUACAUGCAAUGAAGAGCAUGUUAGAAUCGAACCAAGCAAUGUUGAAACUAGAAAAGCAAAGCUUACCUUGCCAAACAUAGAUAAUGUGUUGGGUAAAAACAUACAAACAAUUGGCAAAACUAAACCUUAUAAAAUAAGUUAUAAAGUAGUUGCAUAAGUUCAGCAAAUCCUUGAAACCAAAUGAACACAUUCUCAAAACUAAAUGCAUAUUAGCUAUGGACGCAUGUCCACGGACAGAUAAUAAUACUGGAGCCUAGAAACUUGAAUCUUCUCUGGAUCCACCACCAAAGCCUCUACUGCCACCGAAACCACCAUUGUUGCCAAAUGAACGAGGGCCGCUAGGUCUUUCAUUGGCAUAACUUACUCGAAUAUUUCUCCCUUGGAGUUCCUGAAAUUUUCAGUACAAAACGGUCAAUCUGUAGUUCAAAAGAAACAUGUUCUGCAUAUAAGUAAUUGUUUGUUUUCCUCACUUGUCCAUCCAUGGCUGACAAGGCAUUGCUGGCAGAUUCAUCGUCAGCAAAGUUAACAAAACCGAAGCCCCUGGACCUCCCAGUGUCUCUAUCGGCGAUAACCCGAGCUGAUAAUUGUAAAAGACAGAAUGAGAACAAGAAUAGAUACCAUCCUCAAUACCAUAAAAACUGUAAUGAAUUAUCAUUUAACAAUUUAAAAUCUCACCUUCAGUAACGUCACCGAAUCCAGAGAAUGCUUCCCUGAGACUUUGGUCAUCAGUUCCAUAUGAAAGACCUAAGAACCACAGAUUCAAUUCAAGUCAAAUACACAUUACAUGAUGAACAUCUAAUUUCUGACCACCAAUUGAACAUGUCUAAAUACCUCCAAUGAAAAGCUUCUUGGUUGAUGUCGACAUGCAACGAAGUGAAUUAAGCAUCGAAGAUAUCAUUGGGGUUUGCCCAUUUUGCCUAAAAAGGCUUCCAAGUUUGCUAGAGAAUGCCAUUAUAAUGCUUUCACUGUAUCAUUUUUUUUUGCAGCAACAAUAUCAAGCCAAAGGAACAAAAUCAAAACAGCAUGUUAGAUCAAAGCUAGAUAGUUUAAUUAAUAACCAAAACAAAACACACAAUAAAGAAUUACAUAAUGAUAUGAAGUUUCAAAAAUCCCUAAAAAUAAAUCCUAUUAUACUAUAAAUAAAAGGGUUUAUGAUCCCAUUAAAAACUUUAACUUCUCAUAACAUCACUGUUAAAAACAGGGUGAAAUUUUCCAGCUUUCUUCAAUCAUUCCUCUUAUAUGAAAGCAUUUACACCUCAUUAAUUUUUUUUUAACAUGCUUCAUACAUCAUAUGAACAAGAACAAUAUCAUAUAUAAGAAUUUUUCCACGAAGUCAUAGAACAAAGAAACAUGCAACAUAAACAUAAAUGAAAACAUAGAUAAAAUCAACAGAACAAGAUAAAAUUAACUAAAAAAGCUGAAACAUCAAAACAAAUCAGAACGAUAAACCCAGAAUGAAAUCAUCAUCUUAAGGAAAAUUUAGUAAACGGGUAAGUAUAAUUAGACCCAUAUCAUAAAAAAAAGCAAUGAUCUUUACCUUGAAGGGGAAGAAUAACAAGGAAAAUUAUGAGAGAGACACAGAGAUUUAAGGAAGCGGCUAGGGGUUUUGAAACAAACGAGAGAGAGUAAGCAAACAGCUAGGGUUUAAGAGUUAGACCCUCACGAAAUAUCUUUUUAAGCUAUUUUAAAGUCGGGCUCGUUUUUAGUAAAUAAUGGGUAAAUUCAUCCAAAUGCCACUUAACUAUUAUUAAGUUUAUGUUUUGAUCACUAAACUUUGAAAAAUUAAAAAAUGGUUACUGAAGUAUCUGAAUUUUUACAUUUAAGUUACUAGGUUGUUAAAAUCUUUGUUGUACGACAUUUUUUGUUUGCAUUACGCCAAUUGAAAACUCUUCUUUCCCUUCACUUCUAUAGUUUUUUUUCAUCAAACAACUUUCUUAUCUGAUUUUUUACACUUAUUGUUACAUCAACUUGGAUUUAAGGUAUGUUCUUCUACAUGUCGAUGGUUAUUGACCCACUGUACCGAUCAUUAAAUCCUAGCUUGGAGCUUGCUAGCUAAACUUUUUUUUUUAAAAACUUAACAGCUUAGUGACUUAAACAAAAACCUUUAAAUAGUUUAUUGACCAUUUUGUAAUUUUUUAAAAUUUAGUGAUCAAAACAUAAACUUAUUAAUAGUUCAGUAACAUUAAAUAGAAUUUACCUAAAAAAUAUUACAACUUUUCCAAUCAUUAUAAGGUAAACUACAUGAUUAAGUUUACGUUUUGAUCCAAUUAAUGCAAUUUGGUCAUGAUAUUGGUCAUUGCGUCAUUACACAUUAAGAGUGACGGAAAUCACUCGUCUUUCAUGCUAAGUAAUUUAGAUAUUUUUAUGUUUAUAUGGGUUUAAACCAAUACUGAGUCAUCUAAAGUUAUCAAUCUUUAUUUCAUCAUCCUCACUUCUACAAAAUAUUUUUAGUAAAAAUAAUGAAAAUAAUUUCUUUAUUAUUUUCUAGUUUCCACAUUUUUAUUUUUUAAAAAUAUUAAAAUUUUUAACAAAAAUAUAUUUUCUUCAAUAUUUUCCACUUUCUAAAAUCAAACAAAAUCUAGAUAAAUCAAAUGAUAGCAAAAAGAAAAGAAGAAGAAGAAGAAGAAGUAGUUAAAUCCCUUUACUUCCACUUUGCUUAAAAGAAAAAUGCUAUCCAAACAAGAGAAAAGAGGUUGCUUCUCUUACUCGUUAUUUUCUUUUGUUUUUGGUUAAUUAAAAAAGUAUGAAAAAACAGUAGGAUGAUUACAAGUAAUAGUACCGAGAAUUACUACUAGGAAAAUAAAUUAAAGAUCAUUGGGCCAUGCGAGUUCCCUAUAAUAAUUAUGACCCAUACCUCUAGCUAAUUUAGCUCUUAAUACAGGAUCGUUCAAGUCAUGUUUUUUUUGUUAUUAGCAUAGGUGAAUUUUUCUAGAUCCAUCCCUCAAAGGAACCAGACAUGAUAUUUUUCAUCAUCCGGCUCAAGCAAAAGUCAAUCGAAUCAAAUGGAUACAAACGAAUACCUAUAAAAUAAAUCUAUAUUCUAUAUGUUUAAAAUAAAUCUAUAUGUUAUCCCUACAUAUAUGAACGGUUCUAUAUGUAAAAAAAAAGUUACCCGAUUCCAUUUUACGGAGUUGCAAUUAUCCAUUCCGAGAAAUUUUAUCUUUACAGGUAAAUGCUCAAUACCUAAAUAGACAUACAAAGUCAAUCGUAAUCAAGUGUUAUAAUUAUAUUAGUUAUUGUUUAAAGUUCUGACAAAAACAAAUUCAGUGACCCAUAAAUAAUUACAUUAGAAUACGGAGUUAAAACUUAUAUGUAAAUAAAAAUAAUAUAGAUAAUUACUUCUACUUUACAUUUUUCACUUUAGUAUUAUUAUUAACUACAGCUAAAAACUAACUGAAAAUUGUACACUAAGCUUCCUGAAGGCUAUCAGAUGACAGUCUGAAGCUUUCUGUAUUUCAAAAUAUUUUGAAACUAGACUUGUUGGGACUCAUCGACCAAGACGAGCCCUCCAAAAAUUGGCGUAUGCCGCUUAGAACGGCGAGCACACGGUAUUCUUUAGUAAAAGGCGAAAGAAUAGUUCGCUCUGUGCUCACCGCACGGCUCCGUGAUCAUUCCUGGUGUAUUGGCGUUAGUUUAUAUACCUGAAGUUGGAGUGUUGGCCUAUGUUUGUUAUCGAUAUGGGAUACAGCUGCAAUAAAGUACGAUUUUAUCUUUAUUUCUCAGGACUUGAAAUCGAAAAGGGACCACGAGUAAAAUUUGCUAUUUAAUUAUCAUAUAUUAUCAGUACAAAUAAAUUAUUUGAAUAAAAUAUUUGUAAAUAUUUAACUCAAAAUCAUUUAGUCUAGCUCAUAAUAUAUUUUUUUAUUUUUCAAAAUUUUAAUUUAAUAUUUAGUUAUUACAUAUUUGCAUAAUUUUUUAAACUUUUACAGGACUUAUAUUUAAUUAAUUUAAUUAUUAUAUUUUAUAUUCUACUAAUUUAAAUUAUAUUUAUAAAAUUACGAAUUAAUUUAAAACAUGUAAUUAUUUGUUUGAUGGGAAAAAAAAAACACAUUAAAAAUGUAUAUAAGAAAAACAUGAUGUUUUUGAGUGUUCGGUCAUUUGCAGAGGGAACAAUUGUUGGGUUCCAAAGAAAUUGGAGGAUUUUGGGUUUUGCCCAUCUUGGCUAAACAUAAGGCAAACGCCUAUGCAAAGCCCCCCAUUGGGCCCUUAUGGCCCCUUUGGCCAUUAUAUCAAUAAUUAUUAUAUAAAAAAUAAUUAAGGGUAGAUUGAUUGCAUUUCGAUUUCUCUACUAAAAAUAUAUAUAUUUCGAGAGGUGUAAAUUAAUUUAUCUAUUAAAUUUUUCUGUAAAAUGAUGACAUGAUACGUUAAAUUUAUGUUAAAAAUUAUUUUUUUAUGGUUAAAUUAUAAAAAUGGUUUCAACUAUAUUUUUCAAUUUAGUCACUAAAAUUUUCGAAAUUAAAUAUUUUAGUCAUUUUGAGUUAAUGUAAACUUUUUUGAUUGGUUUAGUAACAAAAUUAGCACUGUUAUGUUUACACAUUCUAUUAAUUUGAUCCUAAAUGUAAAAAAAUAACAAAUUUAACCCUUAAUGUUUUCAAGAUUUGUCAUUUUAGUUCUAAUUUUAAAAAAUUCUAUAAAUUUGGCCCUCAGUAUUUACAAAAUCUUUCAAUUAGUUCUAACUCUAAAAAUUUUAAAAAUUAAAAAAUAUAUUUUUAGCCUUUUUUAUAACACAUCGACUAACCCAUGUCAGAUAUUAAAAUGAGAAAAAGAGUACUCUCUUUCAAGUCACUUGUAAUAAUUUCUUUUAUUGUAAUUUAGGCCUCACACCGGAUCAAACCAAUUGAUCUGAAACCUAUCAAGAAUAAUUGGUUGCAUUACUAUCCAAACAGAUAAUAUUAUUUUUAUUUUUAUUUUUAUGUUUUAUCCUAACUUUUUAAAUUUCUUUUUAGACAAUAUUUAAUUAGAAAAAAGAUAAGCUUAAAUUAAUAUUCUUGUUUGGCAAUGUCCAAUAUAAUUUUGUUGUCAACCUUAAAAUUUUGGUAAUCGAAUUCAACUCCUAAAAAUUAUUUUCAGUGAAAUAAAUACACAAUAAAAUUAAAAAAGAAAAAAAAGACAAACAAAUGUACAUAUAUAAUAUGUAAUAUUAAAUUAUUAAACGUUAUAUUUAAGUGAUCAAUAAUUAUAAUAAGUGGCGAAAUUAGGAGGGGCUCGGCCUUGUCUAAAAUGAAUUUUUUUUUCAUAUAGACCUUUUAAAAUUUUAAAAAAUUUAAAUUAAUAAAGGUAAAAUUACAUUUUGCCCCUCUAAAAAUAAAAAAUUAAUUUAAUUCUUUAAAAAUUAUAAAGAUAUUAUCUAUUAAAAUGGUGAUAUUGUAUUUUUUUAUCGUAAAAAUUACAACUUAAUUUCAACUCCCUAAAAUAUUUUCUGAUUUCGCCCCUAAUUAUAAUAUCAUAUAAAUAAAAAGCUAUAUAGUCAUGUUUAUUUUCGAUUUAUUGACUUUGUUAAUUAUUUAGCUUGACUUUAUAAUUGAAAUAAUUUAAUUAAAAAAGAGAAAAAAAAAUUGGAGGGGUGCAAUGGUAAAAGCAAAACCACAUGGGGGGAGAGUCUUGAGAUUCAAUCAUCGAACAUUUUCUUAUUUUUUUGCUUUAAUAUUCUCUUUUUAUAUUCAAUGAGAAAUGAUAGGGUUACAGGUGUAAUAAACAUAUGGAUGAACUCAUAGGCUGGGGUGUUGCCACGUGGUGAUUAUCCACUACUUAAAAAGAAAAUGGCUUUCCUUGCUGUAACUAAACUGACGGGUGAAGGAAGGAUUUGAUACAAAACCUCUCUUAUAAUACAUAUUUUAUAUUUAUUAAUAUUUUAUUUAGUUUAAAUUUUAAUUUAAUUUAGUUGAUAUUUAUAAAUAGUAUAUUUUAAAUCUAAUGUAUUGUUUAUAUUUUUCGAGCUUAUUAUUUUUCUCAAAUUUUAAAUAAAUAUUUAAAUUUAUAUAAAUAAAUCGAUCUAUUAACAAAUCCAUUCUCAGCAUUGCAUAAUUGUUGUUUUAGUCGAGUUCAAUUUUGAUUGUAAGAUUUCAAUAGAUGGGUUGCAAAUUUAUCAUUUUAUUAGUAAAUUAACGUUUUCAACAUCGGAUUAAUUAUUAAACUAGUUUUAUUGAUUCUCUGUUAGAUUGAUUUAAUAAAAUAAAUUGCUUUUAAAAAUUAAAAAUUAAUAUUAAUAUUAAAAAAAAUCAAUCGACUAUCCACUAUUCACAUGUCAAGUAAAAAGUAUUUAUAAGAUGUUUCGAGAUUAAUUCAAAUUAAUUCUUCUACCAUUAAAUUGAUCAAUUUAAUAAGGUUCAAUAUUAAUUAAUUGUAAUAUAUAAUUUAUUGAACCAACUCAAACUUAAUCCAUCCGAAUUAAAAAAAGUUAAAAUAUUAUCAAAUUACAAUUUAAUUUAAUUCGUAUUAUAUAAAUUUUGAUAUAUAUAUAUAUUUGGAUAAAAAGAUUUCUUCACCCCCUCUUAAUUUCAAAAUUGAAAAAAUUGAUUUCUUUAAAAAAAUCGAAACAAUUUAAUUUUGCCAAAUUUGAAAGAGAGUAACUAAGCAUAUUUAAUCACGAUAUUAAUAAUUUAAUAUAGUUCAUCAAUUAUACAUAAUUUUAAUUGGAGUAACAACAAGUUUAGUCCUUAAUAUUUACAUGUUUUGUCAAUUUAGUCAUGACUCUUAAAAAAUUAAAAAAAAUAACCUCAAUAUUUACAAAAAUAUUGCCAGUUAAAUUCAUUAAACCAAAAUAAUAUUGAGAGCUCAAAAUUAUGUGUAAUUAAUAAAAAAAUUAACAUUAAGCUUAAUUACCCUUUAUUUUUGAAAUUAAUAAAAAUUAAAUUACUCCCAUUUUUUUUAGGACUGAUUUUUUUUUUUUUACAAAAUAUUUGGGCCUUUUGUAGCUUUCUUCGUCGGCCUCUCUUAAAUUAAUUAAUUAAAAAUUGUUUUUGUUUGGAUUUGAUUUUCUUGUAAGAUUUUCUGUCUCGCGUCGAACCUCCGAAAAUACAAAUUAAUAAUAAGGCCCUCUUCUUUCAAAGAAGAGCUCUUUUAUAAUUUUCCUUUAUUUUCUCUCAAAACACCCAGCACUUCAAUACCCAAAAAAUUAAGGAAAAAAAAACCCACAAAAAAGAAAAGAAAAUCAUUUAACAGGUAGAAAAAAAAACUGGGAUUAAACUUUACUUACUUCUUCUACUUAUCUCUUUAAUUUGUAUUUUUUAUAAUUAAUUUUUUAUUAAUUCAAGAGCAAAAAAAGAAAAAAAAAAAAGAAAUAGAAAGGAUCUUGUUCCUUCCUACAAUGCCCAAUUUGUUGCGGGCAAGGUAAUAAUCUUAACCUUUCCUCAUUACCCUUCAAAUUCCAUUUUUUGUUUUUUUUAAAAGCUGAUUUUUUGGCUUUGAAUCAAAGAUUUUUUUUUUUUUUUUGGCUUUUUGAUCGAUAUCCAUUUACUAUUAAGGUACUUAGAAAAAGUAAGUUUCUUUCUUUAAAAACCCUUUUUAGGGUUUUUUUUUAAUUUGAUGGUUAGAGAAAAUUGGGGUUUUCUUAAUGUUUUUUCAAUUUUAAUUUAAUGGAUACUUGAUGUUAUCUCAGCUGAAGUUUUUGUUUGAUUGAUUUUUUUUUUGUAGGGUUUUCAUCCGGAUCAACAAAUUGGGGGGAAUUUCCCAAAUUGGGAACUGAUUAGGGUUCUGAUUAGAGUAUAAAUGAGCUCAACCUCUCGUUUUUGUAGUAUCGGAUUGAAGAGCUGUUUGUUUCGAGGUUUAAGUUAUUAAAACAGAUUGCUUAAAGGGAAAUGGUGAUUGAAAAGCUUUUGGACAUGGAAGAAGAUUGCUUUCGUAUAUAAUUGUGUAGAUAGUGAUUCAAAAGCUUGAAGAUUUAGUUGUUUUAGAGAAAUAGGGUAUUUGGGUUUUCAGUAAAAUUUUUAUGUGUUUGAUCUCAAUUUGGGGAUGGUUUUGGCAUUGGAUUAUAUUAUUGGGACAAGGAGGUGAUGAUUCUUUAUUGUGCUGCAGAUAACAGUGAGGGUCAGAUUGUACUGGACCAUUUUUGUUUCUUGAAGAACCAUUUGGUAUACCAUAGUUUUUGAGCUAGAAUUCUUGAUCAAAACAGCAUUUCUUUAAGUUAUAUUUCUAUUUGGGGCAUUAUUGAAGUAGCUUAGGGUAAAGCACCAGUAGGGUUUAGCAGUGAUUGGAGACUUGCUGUGGUGAUUUUAUUAUUUGAAGUGAUUCAGUCAUAGAUAGUUGACUUGGAGUUACAUUUGAGGUUAGGGAGAUUAAGGAGCUUGGUGGGUUUAGGAACUCUUUUUGAGCUAUUAAGAGUGACAGGAGUUUCAUGGAGGAACACUGAAGCUGGAAAUGUAUGCAGGGAUAUGGUGCAUGGAUAGGAGCAUAGUUACUUGUUGUUCCUUUUCCUGGACAUUGCUAUCGGAAGAUAAUCCAAGUGUUUUUGCGCUCAAAAGGCAUUCUUGUUUCGUGUUCUAAACUUCUGUGAAAUGUCGCGUUGCUUUCCUUUCCCACCACCAGGAUAUGAAAAGAAGGCUAGGACCGAUGACGUGGACUUGCUAAAUAAGGUUAACACCGCUUACUUACAUUAUGUAACAUUUUUAUGAUAGAAUUAGCAUUCAUUAGUAUCAUGAGAACAAAUUCCCUGAUCUGAAUUCGACGGUAACAUUUCCAAGUGAUGUUAUAAGGUUUCUUCUAUCUUGUCUCGAUGUAUAUUAUGUAAAUAUAGUGUUCUGUGAUUUUAUUCUUAUUGAUGAUUCAAUAAUGCCUUGCCUUGCUGAAUGAAGAAUUUUUAUAAUUUCAGAUUAGGUUGAUGGGCUGUAUGUUAUGAACUUAUAGCAACUGAAUCAUAUGGGAAUAAAUAGUUAAACUGCAGGCUUAUUUAAAAUGGUAUACUGGGAUUUCUUGUACUAAUUUGUAUACUCACCAUUAGGCACUAGCUGUGAUAUUUAUGAUUGAAUGGAAAUCUCAAGGACUAGUUAGCAUCUCAAUAUCUUAAUUAAUGGCUGAAUGAACAUCUCUAGCUGUGAUAUUUAUGACUGAAUGAACUCUAUUUAGUCUUGAAAUGUAUUCUAUGAAGUCCCAUUUUUUGCCUUAACCAAGUGAAUGCGUGAUUCUAGAGAAAACUGUGUGUUAGACUUAAUAGAGUAACCAUUCUGGUCAGUGCAUGAAAAGUCCUUACUCCUAUCUUUCACAAGAAGGCACCUAUUUCUCUAAAGGAAACAAAAAGAUAAGGCAAGAGUCCCUGGAUCACUGCAGCGAGAAUAAAACAUUUUAUUGAAGUGAUUAUUUAAGCAUAGUUAAUUGGGGGAUAUUUAUGUUGACCAUGACUAUUUGUUGCUUUACUGCAUAAUUUGAGAGGAAGAGUAUUUUCACAUUUGACAUCAAAUAUGUAGAUGAAAGCUGUCUAGAAUUGCAAGUGAAUCUGCAAUUAAGAAAAUGAUGUUUUUUGGUGUGUUUUUCAUGUUUUUCUUUCUCGUGUUUUAGAACACUUUACGUUAGUUUUGUGCCCAUUCAUAAUUUUCUUUCCCCUAUCCCUCUGGCUUGGGUUAUUGUGUGCUGGUGUUGAGAGACUAGAGUCAGUAGAUUAUAUUUCCUUAGUGUAUACAAACUGUUCAGAGCAGAAGCAGCUUCCCCCCUCCUACCCCCCACCUGAAAAGGCAAAUCUAUUCCUCUAAGCCUUCAAGUACAAUGCAUGUAUAUAUGUUAACAAUCAAUGGUGUCUGAAAGUUGAAUGGGACAAUGUGUGUGACAAGUAUAUUGCGCCUUGAGAAUUUCUUGUUUAAAGGAUGGAAUUUCAAGUGAAUAGAUCUUCUCUAGUACUUUGGUCUUGAAAGUGUCCAGGGAUGGUAAUGCUAAUCUCUCUCUGUUUGUUCUCAAUCUCUUCAUUACUAGGAUGUUUUUAAAUGUCAAUGAAAUCCACCUUGCUUUGGUGGCGUAGUGCAUAUCUCCUUUCUAUCAUCUAUUUUGUACUAAUGCCAUGAAGGCUGUGGUAUUACCUGAGUUCCUAUUUCUUAACAGCCUUGUUCUACUGCUUGUAUAUCCACAAAUUUAGGUUGACAACUGCUCCGUGGUCACCCUAUGCACCCAAAAUCUAGAAGAGAUUUUUGGAACAUUUUGGUGUACAGGCAGUACUUUAUGGAUUUGAAUAUCAUUUUCCAUGCUCAAACUAGUAGAAGUUGCUAUUUUUUCCUAGUUGUUUUUGCAUGGUUAAGCUCUUUGGACAAAAACUGAUUUUAUUCAUUAUGUAGUAUGUUAUGUGACGGGUAUUUUGUCUGUGAUUUAAAGUUUGGUAUUUCAUAAUUGUUAUAGCAUAUGACGUUUUAUGGUAGAGGUUUGUGGAACUUAACAAUCUAUUCUAGCUAGUGCCGUCUGUUUGCUGAUUCGUUAUAUUGGUGAAUGAUGGUGGUUCAACCUUGUCUCCUUUAAUUCCCUUCUGUCGUGAUUUUUCAGGAUAGAAUGCAUAGAUUAUCUUCUGCACUAAGCUGAUUUGUUAUAUUGGUGAAUGAUGGUGGUUCAACCUUGUCUCCUUUAAUUCCCUUCUGUCGUGAUUUUCAGGAUAGAAUGCAUAGAUUAUCUUCUGGACUAACUUUUAACUAAUCCUGUCUAUAAUUUCUUGAUGUACAAUUGGUGUGUAAUUUGUUGACUGAGGUAUUUUCUCAGUUGGUAUGCUUUAUUCGGUAUUAAUUGUAACUUGGUGCUAUUGGAUCUUUUAGUGUUACUUUCAACUUUUUAGGCUUACUGAAGAUAUGUUUGGUUGUUUCCGAGUUACGUAAAUGUUCUUUUGCAUUGGAUUUGUGAGACUAUGUUUUUCAAACAUCGUUCUCAAUUUUCAGGAGAAGCAAAAAGAGAAGUCACAUAAGAAGGAGAAGAAGGAGAAGAGAGAAAAGAAAGAAAAAAAGGAGAAAGAUAGAAGCGAUGGAAAGCAUAAGGAUAAGAAAGACAAAAAGGAAAAACACAAAGACAAAGACAAAAAGAAGGAAAAGAGUCGAGAUAAAGAAAAAGAGAGGGAAAGAAGUAAUAACUCGGAGGAAAAGAAGUUUCCUGGUCAACCUGAUGGUCAAAAUGGGGAGAAAACCUCAGAUGAGAAGAAAUUUCUGGAAAAACCUGAAGGUCACAGUGGGGAGAAGUUUAUCCAGAAAGAGAAGGGCAGGGAUAAAGAUCGAAGCAGUUUUUCAAGUGAGAAGAACUUUGCUGGGCACAUUUCAAGUUUUAACCGGGAGAAGAUCGGCCAGAAUAGUCAUCCGGCUCAAGGUUUUAGGGAUUCUAAAUUUGUGCAGGAGUUGGCGGGGAGAGUCAGAGAUGAAGGUGCUGGAGCUGCAAGCCAAUUGGCAGAUAAGUCUAUGGGUACUAACCGGAAAAGAGAUGAGGGAAUGGUCGGGUUUGUGGCUAAGACUGCCCACAAACCGGCUGAAGAGAAAGAAAAGUCCAAGAGAAGUGAUCAUAGGAGGUUCGAUGUGCAAGGGAUCAAGGAGGAGACCAGAGCUGGUGGAAAUGCUAUGGUUCCGAACCUUGCUGGGGCAGUUAAAGCUAAAGUUGAAGGGAUCCCCAAACAAGUGGAGAAUAAUACCGAGAAGCGAGGGGAGGGGAAAGAAAAGGUUAAAGAAAAAGAAGGUGAUAAUAAAACCAAGGAUAGGCGCAAAGAUAAAGACAGAGAGAAGAAAAGUCACGGCAAAGAUAAGGAUAGGGACAAAGCGAAGGAGGAGAAGGCGAAGGCGAAGGCGAAAGGUGAACAUAGGAAUUUGGAGCUGGAUAACUUAAAAGGAAGCAACAAAGAUGGCCCUGGGGGUAACAUUAAUCUGAAAACAUCUCAUCCUUCCAAGGAUGGAAACAAGGGUGUUGUUGCUGAGGAAAAUCUCCGCAAGCGGAAGGACUUGGAGAAAAAUGGAUUUUUUCAUGGUGAGUUUUAUACCAUGAUUGUAUAUACAAUCCCGCUGAUCACUUGAAACUUUUUUGGUGUUAGUUUAGGUAGGUGAUCACUUGAAACUUUGGUGUCUUUUAUCUGUUAAGAAAACCUGUCCAUAAAAUCGAGCAAUUGCUUUCAUGGCAAUAAUUUAUCAAAUUUUUUGUUAGCAGGGGCUAGAAUUGGAAAGCUCUAUAAUCAUCUUGGUAACAAGUUCCACUUUCUUUUUUGCUUUUUUCUUACAGUUGAUGACAUUAAACCCAAUAAGUUGCCCAAAAGUUCUUCCUCUCAACCGUUGACGGGCAAUGGAAGGACAUUGGAACCUUGUCAAGCUCCCAUUCCACUUACUUUAGAUAGCAAGGGGGCAGGAACCAGUCUUAAGGUUGAUAAUAAAGAACGCAAGGUGAAUGGCAUCAUUGAAGCUCAGCUGUUAUCUGUCUCCCCACCAAAGCAAUUAUCAUCAAGUGCACAAGCUAGUCAAAUUGAUGAAGUGUCUAUCAGACCGCCCCAUCCGGACUUGAAGUACUUGAGCCAGGUACUUUCAGUGCCCAAAAUGGAACAAUGGUCUGAUUUUGAUGACCAAUCAUGGCUAUUUCACAGUAUUGAAUCUCAAUCAAAGAAACCCAAGGUGGGAUUUUCAGAGAUUGACGAGCCACCACAAGUAUGGGCCGAGGCUCUGCAGAUAGAGUCGGCUGAUGUUUGUGCUCUCCCGUACGUUAUUCCAUAUUGAUUUAUCUUUAUUUAGUGAGCACAUGGUUAACCCUCCUACACUGCAGCAGGGUUUUGCCCUUGUUGGGGGUGGAUUCUUUGGUUUUAUUCAGCAUUCUUUUGUUGUCAAACUCUAGUGUUGCAGUGAAUGUUUUCGAACAACUGACUGCCAUAUUGAUCUGCCACGGCAACCAUCACGUUGGUCCAUCACGUCAUUCCACUGCUGGAAGUGUAGGGUGCAUAUCUGCGUCCUGGUACCAAGCUACUAAUUCAUUUCAAAGCACACAAACCGAUGAGAGCAACCGAAUGACUGAAGGGUGCCUUAAGAGAAGGUAAUGUAUAAAGCUUGUGCAUAUUCUUAUUUGAAUUGCUUAAAGCUGAGAUGGUCCUUUCUAAUUGAGAUUGUGAGAGAAACUAGCUGUGGUCUUUGCAAUUCCACUGCAAUUUUGAUUUGUAACAUAGAACUCUUAUAUUUACAAUAAAUGUAAGAUAGAGGGAAAAGAAGUAGUGGCAUUCAUUUAUUCACCUCUCCUGUAAGUGUUGUUCAUAUUACCAUUUUGCUUUUUGUAUACAGUUAUAGGUUUUUUCGAUCAGAUUUGAGUCUCACGAAGCUGUCUUGGUCUUGAAAUUAACCAAACCAUUAUUCUGUCUGAAACAUCCUGUUAGUUCUCAUAACCGUCUUAUAUUCAAUCCUCUGCCAGUGUCUGGAUUCUUCAUGCUUGUAAGCUACGUUAUUCCGACUCUUCUCAUUUUUCUCAAAGUAAUCGUGUCCAGACAUGGAUGUGAGGAUAUGACCGUCAAACAUCUUCAUAUACAAAGGGAACUUAGAAAUAUCUGGUUUUACCCAUAUUAGAAUAUAGAUCAGACCAGUUGAUUCAAUUGGGAACUUUUAGGUCAAGUAGUUUGACUGUAUUGAUUUAAUCGAAGAUUUUAAGAACUGGUGAAAACUGGAAACCGGAAAUCAGAUGACCCGGAAAAGCUACGGUGAACUCAAAAUUUGUGUAUUUUUAAAGAACUUAGGGUGCGUUUGGUUCGCUGUAUUGGAUUAGAGGUGUAUUGGAUUAGAGGUGUAUUGGGAUUAGAGGUGUAUUGGAUUAGAGGUGUAAUAGCUAAUCCACUGUUUGGUUGAAUGUAAUGGAAUAGAGGCGUAAUAGUAAUCUUGUGUUUGGUUGAAUGGAAUAGAGGUGUAAUAGCAUAAUGGAAAAAACUAAAAUGACUAGAAUACCCUUAGCAUAAAAUUGUUUUGGUAAAUGAUUAUUGUUAUUGUUAUUUAAAUUUUAAUAAGAUUAUUAUUAUCAGUAAUAAAUAUUUUAAUCAUAUUUAAACAUAAUUAUAAUUAAAUAUAUUUUAAUUAAAAUAUAUAAUUUAAUAAAAUUCUUAUAAUUAGCAGAAAAUUGUUUUGGUAAAUGAUUAUUGUUAAUGUUAUUUAAAUUUUAAUAAGAUUAUUAUUAUCAGUAAUAAAUAUCUUAAUCAUAUUUAAACAUAAUUAUUAUUAAAUAUAUUUUAAUUAAAAUAUAUAAUUUAAUAAAAUUCUUAUAAUUAGCAGAAAUUUGUUAUUGUUAUUUAAAUUUUAAUAAGAUUAUUAAUAUCAAUAAUAAAUAAUUUAAUCAUAUUUAAACAUAAUUAUUAUUAAAUACAUUAUAAUUUUGGUAUAUAAUUUAAUAAAAUUCUUAAUAAUUCAUAUUCUUAUAUGAAUUUACUCAAAUCAUAAUAUAAUGAAAAUUUGAAAUAAUUAAUAUUAAAUAUAUUUUAAUUAAAAUAUAUGAUUUAAUACAAUUUAAAAUAAUUAUUAUUAAAUAUAAUUUCAUAAAAUGUUCUUAUGAAUUUACUAAAAUAAAAAUAUAACUUGAGAAUUAUUUUCUGCAUAAACAUAAUUAACUUAUACUAAGAAAAAGUUAGAUGAAAAUGAAAUUAUACAUCAUAAUCCAUAUGUUAUAUAGUUUUACAACAUCAAAAAGUUUGAACAUUGAUAUUUAAUGGUGAGAAAGAAAUCUUUUGACCCAUUCCAAUCGGGCAACGGAAGGUAAACUAAAGAAAACGAUNNNNNNNNNNNNNNNNNNNNNNNNNNNNNNNNNNNNNNNNNNNNNNNNNNNNNNNNNNNNNNNNNNNNNNNNNNNNNNNNNNNNNNNNNNNNNNNNNNNNUUGAAGCUUUUUCUUCCAUAUUCUCUUCUGACUUGUGCUGAACUACCACCUCGGAGGCAAUACUCCUACUGAUUUUAUCGCCAACGGCCUGGAUUUUUUCCCCCAACAAGGUGGCAGCCUCCUCAAAUGAAGAAUACACAUCAUCACGAGCAUUAGAUUUCUUCUUUCUCUUGUUUGAAGAUGAGGAACCCCCUUGGUCUCUAUCUCCUCGCGAAUCCGUACCAGAAACAUCCAUGUCGUCUAAAGAGACGUCAGCUUCGCAGUCAUAGAAUGUGUUUCUCUCUUCAUUCAUAUCUGUAGUACGUUCAUCCUCAGCAUGUAUUUCUUCAAGAACAUCAGCAGCUGUUUGAGCGUCUUUCCCAGUCGCCCGAUCUCUUGCGUAUAUGGCAGUAAGCUGGUUGUAGUAAGGGAAAGAACGAUGUCUGAACUGAGAGGCUUCUUUGUGACUCUAAAAAAAACGAGGAAAUCAUAUUAGUCCAUGUGUUUUGUAAAAAAACAAAUUAAUACUUGAAAUACAUUUUACCUUAACAUAGGAUUCCCAAACAGCAUCUUCAGCAACAACGAGCUGCCUAUGCUCGUCCCAACCAAAACCGCUGUUGUUCUGACCAUUAAGCAUGUCGUAGACGACUGACCAUUCCCUUUUUAGGCACCUAAUCCGAGAUUCAAUAUUUGGUCUCGCCUUCAACAUUGCUCUUGGUAAAGCCUUUUCUAGCAUUUUCUCUAGCUCGUUCAAAUAACCGGCUUUGAACCCGGUAUCAGCAUUAAAUGUUCCUACAUUGUGCAAAUCCACCAUGCAAGAAAUCAAGGCUGCAUCCUCUUCUGGAACCCAUUUUCUUUUGCUUCCUCGAGAAGCUUGAGAAGAAGCACCNNNNNNNNNNNNNNNNNNNNNNNNNNNNNNNNNNNNNNNNNNNNNNNNNNNNNNNNNNNNNNNNNNNNNNNNNNNNNNNNNNNNNNNNNNNNNNNNNNNNNNNNNNNNNNNNNNNNNNNNNNNNNNNNNNNNNNNNNNNNNNNNNNNNNNNNNNNNNNNNNNNNNNNNNNNNNNNNNNNNNNNNNNNNNNNNNNNNNNNNNNNNNNNNNNNNNNNNNNNNNNNNNNNNNNNNNNNNNNNNNNNNNNNNNNNNNNNNNNNNNNNNNNNNNNNNNNNNNNNNNNNNNNNNNNNNNNNNNNNNNNNNNNNNNNNNNNNNNNNNNNNNNNNNNNNNNNNNNNNNNNNNNNNNNNNNNNNNNNNNNNNNNNNNNNNNNNNNNNNNNNNNNNNNNNNNNNNNNNNNNNNNNNNNNNNNNNNNNNNNNNNNNNNNNNNNNNNNNNNNNNNNNNNNNNNNNNNNNNNNNNNNNNNNNNNNNNNNNNNNNNNNNNNNNNNNNNNNNNNNNNNNNNNNNNNNNNNNNNNNNNNNNNNNNNNNNNNNNNNNNNNNNNNNNNNNNNNNNNNNNNNNNNNNNNNNNNNNNNNNNNNNNNNNNNNNNNNNNNNNNNNNNNNNNNNNNNNNNNNNNNNNNNNNNNNNNNNNNNNNNNNNNNNNNNNNNNNNNNNNNNNNNNNNNNNNNNNNNNNNNNNNNNNNNNNNNCUCACAAUUUGUGUAUCCAGCAUCAACUAGAUAAUAACAACCUAUAAAAUAAAUUGGCUAAAAAAUGAUUAAUUCAGCAAACAAAGUUUGAUCUUAAUGAAUAAUUCAAAUUCCUCUAACUAUACAUUGUACCAUGAGGAACUUUUAGUACCAUGAGGAAUCCUUGUUCAUUUAGUGAAACAAAGUUGUUUUAUGUUUUGGUUUCUUUCUCCCAAUCUUGAUGCUUAUAAAGUUGUAGAAAACGAAAAUUUUAAAGUGAGAUAUCAUGUGCAGUUCAGUAGUGGUUUUAUUUUUUGUUCAGACUUCAGAGGGUUCAUGUGAUUAGGCAGGUUAUUUUUGACUAAUUUUGUUGUUUGUUUGUCUUCCUGAGAUAAAAGUGACUAGUUUUAUAUUUCAAAACAACCAUAAUUGAGCAAGCACUAAAGGAUAGAAAGGAAGUAGAGGGUGAAAAUGUUGCUUAGGAGGUAGAAAUCUAGAAAGAAGAGAACUAAAACACCACAAAAACCUGCUAGUAGGAAAAUGAAACAGCGAGCUAGCAUGUAAGCUAUAUAUAAAACUGUGAAAAGGCUAAACUUAUAUUUAUGAACCAUAACAAUCCAAUCUCCAUCAAUGAAACUAACUGUAGUAAAUGAAUAUUCAUAAAAUUUAAUCCUACUACAGUUGCUAGCUUAACUACUCUUGAACAAUAAACACCAAACAGGUCCAAACCCCAGCAUUAACAAGCACAAAAAAAUAUAUUAUAGAGGGAACAAAUGCCCAUGGAAAGGGUAAAGAAACCUCAUAAAGCCAUCAAGCAAACAACUCGCAACAAGAACCAUUAAUAAAUGGUACAAAUUAACUACCAAAAUUGAACAACAUUUUCCCAGAAAUUUUCCAAGAUGGAUUCUUUAAGAUGUCAUUUGUGCGAAUGAAUUGACUAAAGAAAUGAAUAGCAAACAUGGUAUUUAGCAUUGUUGAUUUUUCAUGAUUUUGGCGAGAAUGAUCUUUCUGUGGAACUUGUAGGUUCAUACAAGUAGAACAAGUCUUGGGGUAUAUAUUGAUUUUGAGAUUGUUGAAUCGAGUACUGAAGAGUUUAGGAGCAACACAACUUGAGAUGAAGAAUGAAUGAAGAAAAAUAGCAAAUGUCCCAAUGACAGAUGAAAGCAAAGACAAAUAUAGGGUAGAGGGGAAUAGAUCACCAGCCAAAUGAAGCACAUCCAAAUGGCGGUAAAAGUAUAAGGAGGCCCUGCAAUAGGAAUCAAAUUGUAUUUUAAAUUAUUCAUUGUCCAUUAGAUCAAAGAACAAAUUAAUCCUUUCUAUUAAAAAUUUCAUUCAUUUGUACUCUUAAAAACUAGCAUAACUAAUAGAAUAAUGUGACACGUGGCAUCUACCUCAUACUAAGGUAUGAAGACUAAAGAAUGACCAGUUUGCUCUUUGAUGUAAUGUACAAAUAUUAAUUUACCUAUUUUUAGUAAAAGAAACAAAAUACAAUCUGAUUACUAAUAGAGGAGCCAGUGUCAAUUUCAAAAAAAGCAAAAGAGUCAAUGAUCAUACCAAACUGAAAUCACAUAUCCAGCACAUCAUCAAUCUCCCCUAACAGCAAACAACCAUUGCAGUUUCAUAACUAUAUUCAAGUAAAUAAACUAACGAGUGAGGCGAUAAGAUCGGACUGUGUAGUCGAAAUUGCCAAUAGCUCAUGUGAAAACAAUCUAGUCUCAAAUACCACAAAGAAAACUGCAAUGAAAAGCAUACACAACUCUGUUCAAAUUCUUCACAAAAAACCUGUUUAUCAAUUAUUGACCAUAGUGGUUAACAAUUUAGAUCAAACAUACAUAAUGUGGAAUGAAUUUAGAACAAACAGAAUCCGGCAAACAUUUCACUCGGAACUGAUUGAUGAUAUAAUUGAAUUAUUGAAUCCAAUCAUAGAGAACUAUUUACCUAAUGAACUAAUCCUACUACAGCUGCUAGCUUAACUACUCUUGAACAAUAAACACCAAACAGGUCCAAACCCCAGCAUUAACAAGCACAAAAAAAAUAUUAUAGAGGGAACAAAUGCCCAUGGAAAGGGUAAAGAAACCUCAUAAAGCCAUCAAGCAAACAACUCGCAACAAGAACCAUUAAUAAAUGGUACAAAUUAACUACCAAAAUUGAACAACAUUUUCCCAGAUAUUUACUCAAGCCCACAUUUAUUUAGACCAAACAAUAUAACUUUAUAUAGGACGCAAUAGAGAUGGAGAGAACCUGAAGGUUAUGGGAUUUGAUAUAGCUCCAGAUAUGCUUAAAAGCAUCGGAACGGGAAGCCUCUGGGGCUCCAAGGAAUCGAGCCAAAGUAGGAGAAACAGGGGUAAGUUUAAAAAUCCCAGAGGGUCGAGUGGUAGUUCGAGGAGUAGCUGGUUUUUCAGUCUUGGGUUUUGAAGCAAUUUACAUUGCUAAUUAAAACAGAGAAAACGAGACAAUUUACAUUGCAAUCGAGUUCCAAUUUCCACCAGCAACAAAAACCUUUAAGAAAUAGAAAUCUACUCGGAACUUAAGCUAAUUAAAAUACAGGAAUCCAUAUAAAUUUGAGAGCAAAAGAGAGUUAGAAAUAUGAAUUUACCUUUCCAGUUGCAGUAAACUCCGAAAAUAAAAGGUUGAGAAGGCCAAGCGUCGAUUCUAUUGUAAUCUUCAGCAAAAGAAAGACAGAAGGAAGAAACAGAAGACGGAAAGGGGAAGCAUGAGGGUAAAACAGGGUCUAAAACUCAAGCAGCACCUAAUCUGAGAAAGAGGAACGUAAUAGAAAUCGGUGGAUUUUGGGGAUUAGGGGUGUAAUGUAAUAGACGGGUAUUAGCCAAUACCCUGAACCAAACAGAGGAUUGAAGUGGGAUUAAAUAGGGCCCACCGAUUAGGGGUGUAUUGGCUUAGCCAAUACACCAAACCAAACAAGCUCUUAAAGUUAUGGGGCUUAUUAAGAUUAAAUACGAGCAAUGCUGUUGCCUGUUGCCUGCUUGAAGUACGGUAACGGUAUUUAUAAUCUUUACUUCUGUUUAAUGCAUUUACGGAUAAUAUUAUUAAUUUCAUCAGCUCACUGAUCUUGUUCUUCACACUUCCAUUCGUAUUUGUGAUUGAAUCUGAAACCCUGAUCGGUUUAACCUUUGUUUCAAAUUUUUUUACUCAUCAUUGUAAUUUGAUGGAAAGAAUGAUUAUACCAUAUACUGUGAUCAUUUGUUAAAAAACAAAGCGUAAAAUGAAAAAUCACAAAGAGGCUUCAACUUCAAGACCAAAAUAUGAGCAAAGUAAAAUUUAAGACGAGCAAGUCAAACUCUGAUAGAUUUUAUGUACAUAUUGGAAGACAAGUUCUAAAAUUAGCACUGGAAGUCAUAUAUUUGAGCAAUGCUAUAUAUAUACAAGAGAAAGCCAAAAAAGCUAGCAGAAGGCGUUUCAUGUUUUGUAUGAACAGAGGUUGAAAGGGAAAUUCUGUUUUAUAGUUCUUUAGAUAAUUCUUCCCUUUGCCUACGCAUUCGAGCUCCCCAUGACAUGUUUCCUCCGGCAUCCCUGUUCAUGCUUCUUCUCUUCAGCUCUGAUAGCUGAGAUUGCCAUCGAUUUUUCCACUCACUCCGAUCUUCUAGGUCCUGGUUGUGAAGAAAAUGUAAGAAUUUAAAGCGAAAACGUAAUGGAUUCUCUCAACGGACCAGAAAAUACGACAUCUGACAGUAACGCAGGAAUGUCGAAAGACUCUAAACAGUUAUGCGUAUUUGUCAGCCCUGAAACAAAUUAUUACAGGCUAGAAGGAAAGCAACUUUCAUCAGAAAACAAUCCAAAAGUAGAAGGUUCAGAAGAAGAUAACAAAAGCUUAAGACUUGCCGAAUAUCAUAUAGUAUAAUUAAGGGACCAGACAAAACUUAAGGACUUCAUCAUUAGCGGUAUUUAGUCACAACAAGCAAAUCCUACUUGCAAGGAAAGCAACAAAUGAGGUCUCUCUGCUUUGCUUUAAUAACCAUGGCAAUUUGAGGGAGUAUGGCAGGUGCCCAUGUUUAAACCCGAGAGUUUUAAAGCAUACACGUGUGGCAAUCACAUCUUGCUCAUAUGAAAUCUAUCAAAGUUAAGGAAAUGUUUGAAAAUGAUGCAUCAAGAAACAACUAAUAAGUUCCAAAGCAAAGGAGAAGGACUAGUUAACCAUCAUUAACAUUUGCAAAGACAAGGGAGCUAGCAAAGGCAGUUUCAUCGUAUUGCAAAGUAUAUGAAAACUCCAGGUAACUUAUAAACGGAAGUCGAACUAACAGCUUAGACUCAAAGACAAAAUGAACACAUUAAACACUAUAAGUGUCCAUUAAUUUUGCAGAAAAUGACUUCUAGAAACGAUGUCCUCGUUUACUAGUAUUUCUUUCACGAGAGACAACUUGGUCAAUGAAAAAUUAACCCAUUCUUCCGGAAAAUGUCUUAAGCUUUAAGCACUAUAGAUCCCCUACGAAUUGAGUUCGAUCCCACUUUAAAGCAAAGCAUAAAAAAGAAAUCCUAAGUAUUGUUCAAUUCUGUUUAUAUCAAUAGAAAUUUGCAGAAAAAACAACCACCGACAAAAGUUAUAUUAAACUGGAUGACCCAACAAAUAGACUAUCAAUUUUCUGAAAAAAAAAAGUAGAAUUUUCAUAAACCAAUUUUCUAAAAGAUGUACCUAGUCUACACUUCAAUACCCUUGAAGCUUUAGCAAAUACAAUAAUUUUUUCUAUGUUCUAAUUAUAUUGGAAAGGACCAAGUUUCCAUAUGUUUCUCUCAAUUUCAACAGACAAAAUAUACUAAAUUUCAACCAAUCCCAACUACAAUAUAAAUUGAAAAGUUUGUCAAACCAUCAAUCCAAUACCCUAAAUAGACAUCAAAAUUAUUACAAUUUGAAAUUCCAACUUAAAAGCUACCAAAGUUCAAAUCUUGGAGAAAGAAAUUAGAUUCAUGGAAUAGAACCAAAAAAGUUUGAAAAUUCCCAUAAUAAAAAGUGAAAAGAAAAAUAAUUGGUCAAAAACCUAUUUCAAGAGCAAAACAAAUAAAACCCAGAUAUGAAAUGCUCCCAAAAACAUUAAAAAAAACCCAAAGUUAGAAUUAAUAAGAAAAAUAGAAUAGAAUAUAAAAGAAGAAUACCUCAUCGUAUUGAUAACGUCGUCUAGCAGAGAAAGCAAGGUGAAUCCCCAAAGCUAAAUCCUUAUCAUACAAAGCCCUCGUCCUUGGAUCCGACAAAGUCUCAUAAGCUUCCUGGACCCGUAUAAAGCGCUCCGUAUACUCCUCGACCCGAUCCGGCGGCGAAACAUCCGGGUGGUACUUCCUUGCUAGCUGCUUAUACGCUUGUUUUAUCUCCAACGAAGUACCCGUUUCUGAUAUCCCCAGUAACUCAUAAAAACUCAUCUCUUUCCUCGCUUCAUCGAUUUUCGCCUUGAUUUUGAACGACCCAAAUUUAAUCCGGGUCGGUUGGAACGUUCUACGUAACUUGAGGAAGGAAGUUUCCGGCGAAAAGAAUCGGGCGUCUGUCCCCGGUAUCGCUGUCAAUCCAUAACUGCAACGCAUCUUGGGGGGGGGAAUUGGAAAGGAUUUCUUAGCCAAUUAUGAGGGAAAUUUGUUCAUUAGUUAAGUUUUGCAAAAAUUGAGAUGAAAUUUAGAAGCAAAAAUGGCAAUAAAUUAUGAGAAAAAGGGAGAAAUUAUUGGUUGUGUGGAGAGGGAAGGAAGAAAGGGAGAUUAGGAAGGGAAAGUGAUAUUUUGUGGGGGAUGAAAGUGAAAGGAUAAUUUGUUUGGAAGGUUUUGAAGACACGUGUCCCUUCUAAACUCGAAACCUUUAUUAAGCUUUGUUAUAUUUACCUUUCUAAUUACGAAAUUGAUAUGAACUUCAUCAAUGAAUCUUAACUCGAUUGUCAUAAAUAAAAAAUAUGAAUUCAAGUGUAUUAAAAUAUAUUAUUUUAAUAAAAGAUUAAGGAAACUUUUAAAUAUUAUAUAAAAAAAUUAGAUAUGAUAAGAAUAAAAAAUUUUCAAAUUCUUUUUAAUAUUACGUAAACAUAACAAACUAACAUAGUAUUAUGUAUAUAUUCUAUGUUUGAUAGGAGCAUUAUUUGUUCAUCACGUUUUUUGAGUUAACAAUAAAUUAAUUUCAAUUAGUAAUUUUCAACCACUCACUCGAUUUGUUUUGGGAGAAGAGAAAAGUUUUUUUCUUCUUAUUUUGUAGAGGUCAUAUUUUUAUACGAGUUUUUACUUAUUUUUUCAGUUUUAAGUUUAAAUUUAUAGUAAUUAUUCUUUAUUUUAUGUCUAAUUAUUAUAGCAUAUAAUUAAUAAAUAAUAAUUUUCUUCAUCUUAUUAUUUAGUAACUGAACAAGAUAAUAACGACAAUUGGAUUAGAAUUAAAAUUUUAAAUUUUAGAAAUUAAAAAAAUAUCAAAUUAAAAUACAAAGAUUAUAUUGAAUUUGAAUUAUAUAAAUUAUAUGGAUAUGUUUAGCAAAAAAAAUUACUCAACAAAAUGGGAAUGAAAAAUAAAUAAAUAGUCAAAUAUUGAAAAUAGUCUUAGACUAAAAUAAAUAAAUAAAUAAAUAAAGUAAACUUAACAUGUUUUUGUUAAGUGACAAAAUAACUUUUAUUUAUCUAUCAUUUUCAAUAUUUUUAUUGAGAAAUCCAAUUAAGUAGUUUUUAUCCUAAACAUGUUUAGAAAAGUAAAUUAUUGAAAAGAUGAAUUUUCAAUUAGUUAAAUGUUUUUAUUGACUAGUCAAAUAAACCCUAAAUCUAUAUAUAUAAUUAAUAUAAUUAACAUAUUGUUUAUACUUUAAAGGAAAUUUGGGAAUUGUUUCAUUUUAUAAAAAUAUAAUGAUUUAUUUGACCCUUUAAUUUUAUAAAAAAUAAUAUUUAAUUUUUCGUUUUUUAAUUUUUAAACUUAUUUUUUUAUCAAAUCAUCCUAAAAUAGAUGGAAAAUUAAUAUUUUUAACUUUGCUGACUAGACAUACACAUGGAUUAUCAAGUGGAUGUCAACAUUUAAUUAAUUUUAAAAAUUCAAAUAUAUAUAAUAUUUUUUAAAAUUGAAAAUCAUCAAAAUUAUUAAUAAAGUAUAAAAAUUAUAAAAAAAUAUUGUUUUAAUAUUCUAAAAAUUAAUUAAAUGCCACGUGUAUACCACACCAAUAAAAACACAAAUUAAAAAAAAAAGACGAAAAGAUGAAUGAAGUGUUAAAAUAAGUGAUUUAAAAUUAGAGGGAGACUUUAAUCACUGUCUGAGAAAAUACUCACAUUUUGAGGCAGAACUUUAGGAUAUUCUAGACGGACUCGUCAUAUUAUUAAAUAAAGGAUACAAAUGAUCCACAAGUUAGACUGAUAAUCUAGAGGUGCUUAAAGCUUUGACUAUGAAAGAGAUGAUGGACUCCAGAAUUACUUUACUCAAAAAGAUUCAAAGACUUAUGCUUUCUGAAGGACAUCGGAAAGUAAGGUGCACAAAUAUUGCAUUUUAAAUGCAAAUCAAUUGGCAAAGACUAACUUUACUUAAUAGACAAGCUUACAAAUCCUUGAAGUGCCUCCUAAUAUAGUGUCUUCGGUUCUUCGACAAGACAAAGCAUUUAGUAUUUCUUAAUAAUUGAUUUGAUAUUAUUUUAUUUUAUUUUUCAAAAUAAAAAAUAGAGGGAGAAGUUUGGUUUGUAUAAAUCCUAACCCCUAACCACGUGACAUCUCAGAACCGUUACUUUCAAGUCUAAUCAUAAAAUCAUUUACUCUGGAGUUUGGUUUUAUCUAUUUUCUCAAAAAAAUUGCAAUACCAUUUGAGAAAUGUCCAAAUCAACUUUUCAAAAUUUCCACAUCAUGUCACGUAACCCAUCAAUUCUCUUCAAUUUCAUUUGUUCUUUUUUUCUAUAAUAUAGUUUUAUAUAUUAUGGUUGAGUCAAUUGUUAAAUUUUUAGAUUUAUUAUUAAGUUUAAUUUACAAUCCUGCAAAUUUUUAAAAAUUCAAUUAAUUCGCUUUUUUUUUUUACCUUACACAAAAACUUAUCAAUUUCAACCCAAUCUCCCUUUUUUUAUUUUUUUCCUUUUUAACUUGCUCAUUAUAUUUUAUCCUUUAAUCAAUUAAGUCUUAACUCGAUUAGUAUAAACAUUAUUACUAGUACAGGAAAACACAUUAUCCUCAUAUUUAAAUAUUAAGAAGAGAUUAUGAAUAAAAAAAUUUCUAUAACUUUUCUGACUUGGACUGUAAUUAUUUUUAAUUUUUAAAUUUUAAUUAAAGGCAUGCAAAUGAUUUUCUAAUCCUAGUUGUAAUAUAAAAAAACUCCUACCCUAGUAUAUAUUCAGUGACUAUCCUUUAAACAUUGUAAUAUAUAUUUGGGACAAAACAACAUUUAUUAAUUUUUUAUUGACUUGAUAGCCUUUUUUUCUUAAAAUUAUAUUAUUUACAUAGACAAAUAUUAUGUUUCAAAAAUUUUGGGACUCAAAUGAAAAAAAGGGAACUGAAAUAGAACCAAAAAGAAAAAUGUUUGGUAGAGACUUAAAGAGAAUUGACCCAUUUAUCCUAUAAUGCAUAAAUGAUAAUGAUAAUGAUUUCAAAUUAGGAGCUAAAUUACAGAUUAAUUAAGAAUUUGUAGUUAACAACAAAGAACACAGCUAAAUAAAGAAUACAAAAAUUAUGAAGUACAGUGUGACAUCCAAUUAGGGUUUAGAGAAUUAGGUUAAAAAAUUAUCUUAAAUGCAGCAUCGUUUUGAUGUCUGCUUCAUCGCAUUCCACACAUGUUCCCAGAUAUCCUCUAAAGGCCAUCCAAACACGUUUAAAAAAAUAACUAAAAUAUUGCUUUGACUCUUCAUUUUUCUUGAAAUAUACCCUCUAAACUCUCCAAACCAUGAAAAUGAAAAAAUUGAACAGUCAUGUUAGAAAAAUAUUAGUAUCAAUCACGCACACAUGAAUCCAAGUAAAUAUAGUGCUGCAUGCUAACUCAACAAUUUCCAGUGUUUGACAUCAAGGCUGCGCUCUUAUACCACCAUAUCCAUGCCUCCUAGAACAAAAAUACAAGCCAAAAAAAAGGGGGUGGGAGAGGAAAAAGAAAAAAAAAAUCUGGAAAGAAGGGGGAAAAGAAAAAAAGAAAAAGAAAGAGGAAGACCGAAGACGAUAAAAAAUGGGUGAGAUUUCGACAAUACCAUCACAGGCCUAAUAGAAAUCAACCAUAACAAAUCAUCAGCUGUCUACCAAUUCCAAAUUAAAACAAAAAUGACUAAAAUAAUAAUAAUAAUAAUAAAAUCCCUUGAGUGUCAUCACUUUAUCUAUGCAAGUCCCUAUACUUUUGUUACACUCAAAUAAACCCCUACCCUUUAUACCUUUCAUUUGAAAUAAAAAUCUUUAAUCAGGUACAAAUCAAAAGAUAAAAAAACUAAUUUGGGACUUGCUUAAGAAAAGUGAAAUGGUUCAGGAUUAAUUUUUUUAAUCUUUUAGCCAACAAAAAUUUCACUCUCAAGUAAGUCUCAACUACAAGCUAAACCCCAAAGGAAAGGCCAUGUAAUGUUUCAAUUCUAAAAUAGGAAACCUGGAAAUGGUUGACAUUAAUUUUUCCAGGAGACAACCAUGCAACAAAGUAGAAUGUAAUGAUUUCAAAUUUCUUCCUUGAUCAAAUAGAGUUUGAGGGAGCAAUUGCAUCAAACUACCACAGCCAGAGCAGUACUAUGUAGGCCACAAAUGGAAGCAAAUCCAACUGAACAAGUACUACCAUAUACAGAACUGAGACAAGCAGUAUCAUGAAAGAUUACCUGUGAAUAAACCACGAAAUUAUUUUUAUGAUCAACCAAUCUGGCUAUGGGGCUCAAAUAUAGACGCUAUUCAUCCCCGCGGAGUCUGGUUACACAGGACCUUAAAGUAGCUUUGGAAAAGAAUUUUCCUUGGAAAUGACGAAAAAAGGGAAAAAAAAAGGGAAAAAAAAGGAGGAAAAAGAAAGAAAAAAAAUACAAGCAAAGUGAAAAGAUAGAACCAAGCCCAAAACGCAGCAGUCACCUAAUUUGAAUCAAUCAACACUAAAGAAAUUUAAUCAAAAUAUAUAUCUUAUAGCAUUAGCUCUCUGCCACAAAGCAACUGCAUACCUUCACAUAGAUAAAGUUAAAAAUCAACCCUCCAAACUGAUCACUGACAGGUCCAACAGGAACACCGUGAAUAAACCUGCAUGAGUUGGGAUAUAACAGGCUGUCUAGACCAUCAAAGGCAAAUAAAACAGGUCCUAUGAUCAAGCACAUCAAUCAAAGGCCAAGAGUCGUAGGACAUCAAUACGGCUAGAAGACAAAAACGAUCGAGGAAGAUAAGCAUGCGUUGGAAUUUAAAGAUGUACGCACGAAGAACACUUUGCUAAUACAUACAUAAACAUAAAUAGAGGCAGAAAGGAUAGAUCUAAACAAAGAUGCAAACUUUCAAGUAAACACUUCAUAAAUUACAGUUCAUAAGUAGAGAUAAUGGUCCAACAUACAUCUAGCAGUAAAAGAGCCCUGCUACAAACAUUGCAUGGUUGAUUGCAGAAGAAAGCAGAACACUGCUUGAAAUACUUUAUCCAUUGUAAAUGUGAGCUCAAAGACUUCAAUGCCAAUCUGUUCCACAUGCCUGCAAAGGAUAAAAGAGCACAAUGGCGUACAUUUAUGAAGAAACAACAAUUGUCUGAAAAAUCCAAACACCAAAAGAAACACUAAGCAAUGUCUUAAGUGAACUGCUGUUCAUAUAGGAGCCAAAAGCUCUCAUAGAUCUUAAUAGCUUGUUCAUAUCUGAACAAGCUUGAAUUGAUCAAAGGGUAAAGUGGAGACUGAGUCAGACAGCUUGGAACAGCUUUAGUCUAAAAAAUCCCCAAGGUUCAGUAACACAUUAAGCCCACGGCUCAUUUCUGACGAGGAGAAAUGGAUUGAUCUCCUGACCCUGCAAAUAAAAACAUUAAUCACCAACCGUACAACUUUAUUAGUGUUAUUUCAUUUUUGGUGAUUUUUGACAUUACCAUUACUACCAAGCCACUGCUUACUACUUGAUCUUUCAAGUCUGUCUGGUUCAUCUGCAUUCAAUUUGCUAUUUGGUGAGUACCCUUCAUCACUGUCAAAUAUUGGUAAAUAUUUGCUUCUCAGCUCCUGAUCAUCAUUCACUGAAACUUUCGUGUCAUAAGCCUCCUCUUUUGAAACCAGCAUUCCAUCAUCCCCUGUAUUUUUCAAAUAAUUAAAAACGGAAGUAAGCAGAGCCCAUUACCAUAUCCAGUCUUUCCUAUUGUUUUGCCAAAAUGUGAACUUUUAUUGUUACGAUCUAAACAAUACUUACCUUCAGCUGACUUUGGCCUUGAAUGCCUUCUGUGCCUCGAAUCAUUGUCUUCAGAACUUCUUGGUGAAGACCUGCUUCCUCUAGGAGGCUGAGCUUCAGCAGAUGCUAAAUGCUUUUUGUCAUGACGUUUUGAUCUUUCAUCUACUUUAUCAAUGGAUCGAUGUUUUCCCUCAGUAGACUUUGACCUAGAGCGCCGUCGGUGUUUUAAUCUAUUUUCAUCUGAAUUUCUGGGGGACCUCCUGCUUCCUCUGUGAUGCUUGCCAUCAAAAGAUCUUGACCUUGACCUCUUUCUAUCCCGAUGCUUGCCAUCAGCAGAUCUUGACCUCGACCGCCUUCUAUCCCGAUGCUUAGAUUUCUUAUCUCUGAUUCUCUCACUCCUCUCUUUGGUGUAAUGCCUACCUUCAGCAGAUCCUGAUCGUGAUCGCCUUCUAUCGCCAUGUCUCAAUUCAUCAUUUCUCACUUCAUCAAUUUUACUGCCGGAGCGAACCUUGCCUUCUACAGAAAUUGAUCUGGACUGCCUUCUGUGUUUUGAAUUGUUUUCAUCUGAACUUGCAGAAGAAGACCUGCUUCUUCUUUGAGGUCUACCUUCUGAAGAUAAUGACCUGGAUCGCCUUCUACUGCGGUGCUUUGUUUUUUCAUCUGGGGUCUCAUUCUUUUUGUUAUCCGAAUCAACAGACUUUGACCUAGAGCGCUUUCUAUAUUUCAAUUUCCUUUCAUCAUCAUUCUUUGGGGAUGACCUAUUUCUUCUGUGAUGCCUUGGUGAUGUUGAACCUGGAUGGGAUGAUUUCCUAAGCUUAGGUGAACUUUCUCUACUAUGUUUAGGGGAGUCAGAAUCUACAGGAGUUAAUUUUCUAGUUCGAGGACUAAUACUCCUAUUUCUCCUCGAAAUAGAUGAAUGACGAUCACGCGAUCUCUCCAAAUCUCGUCUGCCACUCCUGUCAUUGUCAUCUCUAUCUCUAUAUGAACGUCGUUCACUUUCAUAUCUUGAACGAUGAUGAGAUCGCACAGGUGAUCUGGACCUACGGUCUCGUUGGAAACGGGGCAGAGGUGAAUAAGAGCGAGACCUCCUCCUUCGCCUAUAACUGAUAGGUGAUCUUGACUUUGACCUUGACUUUCGCCUAUAAAUGAUCGGUGAUCUUGACUUGGACCUUGAUCUUCGCCGAUAACUAAUUGGUGAUCUAGUCUUUGAUCUUGAUCUUCUCCGAUAACUAAGGGGUGAUUUUGAUUUGGAUCUUGACCUUGCACGAGAAGGGGAUGGUGACCUAUAAACAGGAGUUAUAAAUUAGUAUAACUCUGAUUUAUCAUUAUGGAAAUUGAAACCUAGGAACAUACAGACAAACAAGGGAAGACUUUGAUUUUUUGAUUCCCAAUAUGUAAAAUAUCAUCUGUAAGACAACGAAGAUUUAAAAACAUGAGAGAAUCAGUGCAAAAAAGACAUGUGCUACUCAUGAUAAAAUACACAUCAUAAACAGUAUUGAUUGGAAAACAAUGCUGCAGACAGCAACCUAUUGUAUACCCAUAAACCAAAAGGACCAACAUAUAGAUACUCCAAACAUGCUAAGCAGUGACAUUCUGCUUGCAAAUCACUUAAUCCCAUGCAACUUUAUAAUAACAGCUUUUAGGCAAACAUAGGAGAACACAAGUAACUCCAUAUUCUUUAACAAUAUUAAGCCUUAAGAAACAAUACAUGCUUGCGGGGAAAUAAACUUGUCCUGAUGAGGAGACAUACCUAGACUUACUCUUGGUUUCCUUCUCUUCAGUAACAAGUCCAUCAGCUUUUAGCUUCCUACUUAUUUCUGCAGCUCUUGCUGCAGCUAAUUCUGUUGCAGACUUCAUGCUUGCAGCUCGGUUAGCUGCCUGCUGAGCAGUCAAUGUUUGUUGCAUAAGCAAAGCCUGUUGGAAUUGCAUCUGUUGCAUGGCAACAGCUUGCUGCAUCAUCAAAGGUAGAGAUGAAGAAGUCAAGGAUGAAAUAGCAGGUUUCGGAGGAAGUGUUUUGGCCAUUUCCACAUUUAAUGGUCGACCACCAAUAUCCAUAUUGUUCAAUGCCAAAGCAGCCGUUGCUUCCUCUGGUUUUGAAUAUUCUAUGUAUGCAAAAUGCUUUGAAUCAGUGAUUGUACACUCAACAACUGUACCACAGAAGCUAAAAAGCUGCUUCAACUGUUCCACUGUGAGAAGUGGGUUAAGAUUGCUAACUUGUAGGGUUUUUUUCAAUGCAUCAGCCUUUGCAGCUUUGUCAGGAGAGUCUGACAAGGAGCAGAUAACUGUGAGGUUGGACACUUAGCUAAAAAGGAAAUAUAUAGGACUUGGAAAGUAAAUUAAAGAAACGACAGUAGUGGAAAGCAAGAUAGUAUAAACAGUACCAGAUGAAUCUUUGGUUGACUGAGUUUGUGAUUGCACCUGAGCAGCAUGAGCUUGAAGGGCCUGAGCAGCAACAAUAGCCUGAGCAGCAGCCAUUGCAGCUGCAGAAGGUGCCAUAGGAACCUGACUGAGAGUUCCCAUGCUGGUUGUUGCUGCCAAAGCAGUCAUCAGCAAAUUGUGGGGAGGAUGGUUCAAUUUGCAAUCAGUUUUAGCACAACGGCCAUUGAGGUAUUCUCGACAAACUUCCCCAAGAGAUGCCCCCAUUCCUGGUAAAAUAGCACCACCUGAAGCACCAGAAACAAUGCCUGGGAUCAUACCCAACAAGCCGGGGAAAGCUCCAGAAACAGAUCCUGUGUAGUUUGGCAUGUUGGGCAUUGUUUGAUUUACUAGAUUUGGAUAUGUGGAUGCAGGCGCCACCCCUAGUACAGCUCCAGUAGAAGUACCUGCAUUACAACAAAUUCAACAUCUGCACCAUGAGCGCUAAGAAUGCAAUCAAAAGCUAUGCCCGAAAGUGAAGUCAAACAUCUCAACACUAAGCAAUAACAGAAAUUCUACAGCAAGUUAGAUGGCAGUGGGCAAAAUUAUAUGAAGGUGAAUCACAUCAGGAACUUUUCUCAUUCCAAAUUGUGAGACUUCUUCACAACGAACAAGGUAAAUAAUACUAUUUCAACUACUUGGACAUUAAGAAAUUUACAUUAUAUAGGACAAUCAAAUAGGGUUAACGAAUAUAGAAAAAUCUACAUGACAAGUGAUAGCAAAAGAUACAACUAAAAAUGAAUAGACGUAGCCUUAACAAUGUUACCUGCACUAAAGAACACUGGGAAUGGGCUGCCCAUGAUGGGUUUCCCAUUGCACUCAAUGUUCACCAUAUAGUUCCCUCUCUUGGGCACCACAUAAGUCACCGUGUAAGUCCCAUCUCCCAUAUCCUUCACAAUGCCCUCCUGUUCCGCACCCCCAACACCCACACCUGGCGAAACUUUCACCUUAAUCUGCGCACCUCCAAUCUGCACUUUCCUCCCAUCUGCAUCCUUUGUUACCACCAUAAAGGUGGAUGCUGCGCAUGCUGUGCCACCAGCUAUUCCUGGUCCUGCUGCCAUGCACUUAGCAGGAUCCACAGGUCCAACCGGUUUGUCCACCAAGUCAUUGGUGUCCUCAGACUCACUAUCCGAUGAAGCUGCCACCACCUCCUUGUUACGGCCCUUAUCAACAUCUUUGAAUGUGGCUUCGAAAGCCGCUUUAGCAGCAGCAGCUUUUUCAGCCUCACUUUUCAGCUUGGCCUCUUCAGCUUGUUUCAUCCAUAUAGGCUUUGGAGCAGCUGAGGUCCGAUCCGCCAUCAAAUUUUAAAAAAACCUAAAGAUCUAAAAGUCAAAAAAAUAAAAUUAGCAAUUACCCAAAUUCUAAAAUCUAAAAAUACCAAUUCCACUUCAAUUAUUGGAAAAAAAAAAAGCGAUCUGAUGUACUUCAAUAAUCCUAGAAAACUCCAAAACUAAAAACUAUACCAAUUUCAAUUUGCAAUUCGAAUGCAACCCUAGAAAGAGAACCUACCGAAUAGGUGAAGCAAAACCUUAAAUUCGAAGCUAAAAAGGGAGAGAAAUACGUUAAAAUUAAGCAUUUGAGAUUCCAUUUUUCAUAAUUUGAUAACUUUUGGAGUCCCUUAGGCUAUGUUUGGAUGCAAAGAAAAUUAAGGAAAAUGUAAGAAAAUAUAUAUAAAAAGAAGAAGGAAAGGGGCAUUACCUUAUGCUGCAAUUUUGGGAUCCGACGGCGAAAUCGGGCGGAUAACGAAUAUGUGUACAUAUAUAGGGCUGAAAGCGAUGUGAUGGGGGCAAAAGCGGGAUUUAAUUAUAAACCUUUCGAAUAAACAAAAAAAUUUGGUCAAAUUUUGGCUUGGGUCCGUCUAUUAUGUAAACAUUUGGCUUGAUUAUUUGCUUAUGUAAAAUUAUAAAGUAAAAAUUUAAAAAUGAAAAUAUACUCUAGGUUCUCAUAACUCAUGCAUUGUUUGUAUUGUUAGAUUAAAUAAAUCAUCAAAAACCUAUCAAAUAAAAUAAAAAAUUGAUUCAAUCAGUUUUUAGCCUAGUUCAACUGACCCAUACCAAUUCACAGGUCAACCAGUUUGAUGCCUCUUUAGACCGAUGUUCUAGUCAGUCCAGUCAAAUUUAAACAAUCAUGACUUUAAAUUUCUACACUUUUUAUAUAUGAAAUUUAGUGCAAAUUAUGUUAAAAAUUAAAAUGUAAAAAUUAAAUCUCAAAUUUAAACGUAUCAAAAAUACCAUAACCGAAAAUGAUCCAUUUUUUCAUAAAAUGCAGAAAUAAAAGGAGCUUAUGGGAAUGUGUCAUGUCAACCUUCCUUUAAUAACUGAAUUAACUAACACAUUUAGAUUUAUUGGUUUGAUUAAAUCGAUUUAAGAUCCAAAUAAAUGUUAAGUCAAUCGAUUGUCGAUUAAUGAAUUCUAUAAUCGAAUAGAAUGAUUUAACCAAAUUUAAUUCAUAUUAUUUCUAGUUAUUUUAAAUAUGUAAUAAUAUAUAAUAUAAUUUAAAUUAAUUCAACCUAAUUAUUCGACUAAAAAAAUAAAAGUCAUUUGGGCGAAUAUAAGAUUAAUUUAAUUAGAUCGAUAAGUGAUUGAUUAAUUGAUUAUAUUUAAAGCUGGUGAGUUAAAUCGAUUAAAUUAUAAAAGGUGAUUGAAUUAUACAAAAAAUCUUAAUGACGUGGACAAGCUCUUUUUGUGUGUGUGAAUUAUAAUAACAGAGCAAAACCCGAACAAUAAAUGCAACUAGUGGAAUUCGAACUCAGACCACACCUGAGAUAGUAAACACCCUUGACAAUUAGACCAUCACAUGAGGUCCAAAUAAGCUCUUUUUUAAUUCCUUAUGUUAGCAUAAAUUUUAUUUUGUUGGAAGUGGUGUUUUCAGAAAAAUUUGUCAUUAAGUUAAUUGAAAUAGUUAACGAAUAAUUAUUUAAACUAAUUAAUGAUAUUUUAAAAAUAAAUUGAAUAGAUUAUGCUAAAUUAAAAUCCAAAAUUUAAAUUUUAAAUUUGAGUAUAAUAAAAGGAUAAAAAAUAAAUGAAAGGAGGAUCAAUGGAUUAUUCACGUAAGGAUUAAAAUUUUCAAAAUAGUCAUAUAAAUACUGCUUAAAUAAAAGGCUUCUCAAAUACUGUAUAUCAUGUUUCAAAUUAUAUUUUUUUUCUUUUCAUUUUAAUCAAUAUCUAAUUCAACUAUCACGUGUUUUAUUUUAAACACGUCAACAUUCACCUAAUUUUUACUACAAACCAGGUUAAAAGUUAGUAAAAAGCCCUUUUUUGAACAUUUCUGUCAAAAUCGAACCCUUAUAUGACUAUUUUGAAAGAUUUGGUUUUUAUAUGAGUAAUUCCUAAAAAGUUGAGCCCUAAUUUAAACAUUUAGAUUUUUUUUUUUACCUCAAUUAGGUGGAAAAACUAGGGAUUUUAGUUUCCUUUAAAACGCAAAAUGCCUUUUUUAUCCUAUUAACAUUUGACCUAAGUUAUUUUAUACAAAAAGAAUAUAAUUAAAAAAUUUUAUUAUAACCAAUCAAUUUAUUGAUUAUGUCCAAAUAUAGAGAGAUAAAGAGGUCAUUCUAUUAGAGUUUAUGUCCAAAAAAGAUGAUAUAAUUCGAGUUUAUAAAUACCUCGCAUCAAUUAGAAAUAAAGAAAUAUUUUUACCUUGUUAUGAUCCAUAAAACUAACAACAAGGACUAAAAGGGGUGAAAAGUUAUUGGAGGAGCCUUGGCUCUCAAAAUUUUAGAAAAUUUCUAUUAAACCCUUUGAAAUUCUUUGAAAUUUCAAUUAAAUUCUCAAAUUCAUUAAAAACUUUAAUUAGGUCCUUGAAACGUUUCAAAAAUUUUAAUUAGACCCUUUAAUAUUUUUGAAAAUAUUCAUUAGUCCUCGCAAAAAUAUUAAACCUUAUUAUUUUUGAAAAUUCAUAUUAAAUCCUAAAAUUUUUAAAAUUUUAAGUGAACUCCCAAAAUUUAGUGGCACAUUAUACUACCAAGGACUACUGUGGAUAAAUUAAAAGGUUGGUACCACACUGUGCCUUCUAACUUUUUCAAUAUAUUUAGUCAAAAUACCUAAUUACACUGAAAAAAAAAAAGAUCAUGUUGAAAUGAGGGAUCACUUAUUAGAACUAAGGGGCUUCAAGCACAACAUGAUUCUUAACAAGAAGUUUGAAUUGGUCAAUUAAGAGAGCUAAGGGCAAGUCCCUAACCUCUACAAUCUCUAUGAGGCUUUUAAAGCUUUUAAGGUUUCACGUGUCUGUUUUAUAUUUCAAAAAAAUUAAUCUCUUUAGAGUUCAUGGCUGCUUUUAAUAGUAUUAUUCCACGUUUUUAACUAGAGUUCUUUCACUGAAAGUGUAAUGUACUUAUUGGUAAGAUUACCAUUUUUACUAAAUAGUCUAACGAGACAACUGUAUAUUUUUGGGUAAGUUUGUAACCAUUGCCAUCUUGUAGUUCGAGAUUGGCUCGAUGAUUUGAAAAAUUCAUUGAUUUUACUUUAGACAUGAAUUUUUUUUUUAAGAUUUAAUGAUUUUUCUAGUUUAGUUUUUGUAUUUUUUAGAUUUUCAAAAUUUAAUCCGUUCGUUUGUUUUUACUUUUAAGAAUUUAGUCAUGUAAUUGUCUAAUUUAAAACAUAAAGUGCAUUUAAUAACAUUAUUAAUUGAUGUUUGUUAUAUGUAAUAUAUGGUAAGUUCUUAUUCGGAAAUUAAAGCUGAAUUAAUAAAAGAUAUUCAAAUUUAAUGAAAGCUAAUUAAUUAGGUUAUCAAUUAGACUUUAUUUUUUAAAUCAAAUAAGUAGAAGUUUUAAAUUCUAAAAUUAAAAGUAGAAAAAUUAAAUUUUAAAGCCUCAAAGAGUACAUGAACUAAGAGCAUAAUUAAACUAUUUUUUAAGGGUAAAUUAUCAAGAUAAUUAUUUUUGUUUGUCUCAAGUUACAUUUUAGUCAUUUAUGUUUGAAAUGUUACAUUUUAGUCACUUACAUUAUCAUGUUGUAACAUUUUAGUCACUAAGCCAUUAAUUGUUGUUAACGGUGUAAUAAUAAGUUGACGUGGCACGUUAAAUAAUCGUUUCAAAUAAAAAUUUUAGCUUAAAUUCUACAAUUGGUCCCUAUAUUUUUUUAAUUUUGAGCAAUUUAGUUUUCUUCUUUUAUGUUCUUUUAACUUUCUUUCUUUUUUUCAUUCUCUUCUGUUUCUUCCUCUGUUUUCCUCCCUUCUUCAUUUCUUUUAAUGUAGUUCUUCUAUAUUUUCCAUUUGUUAAAACAAGUUCACAAGCUCGCCUCACUCAGAAAAAGAAAUUGUUCAAAAAAAAACAAAAGUACAGGGACUAGUUUUAACAAAUGGAAUACAUAGUAAACAUACGUUAAAAGAAAUGGAGAAGGGAAAAAAAUAGAGGAAGAAGCAAACGAGAAUGGAAAAUAAAGAAAAAAAACGUUAAAAGAACAUAAAAGAAAAAAAUUAAAUUGCUCCAAACGAAAAAAAUGAGGACCGAUUGUAUAAAUUAACUUAAAAUUUUUGUUUGAAAUGAUGAUUUAACAUGACACGUCAGCUUACCGUUACACCGUUAACGGUAAUUAAUGGCUUAGUAACUAAAAUAUUACAAUGCGAUAACGUAAGUGACUAAAAUGUAACAUUUCAAAUAUAAGUGACUAAAAUGUAACUUGAGGUAAACAAAAGUGACUAUUUCGGUAGUUUAUCCUUUUUUAACAUUAUCUCUUAUUAAAAAAGCUAUUGUUUUUAGAAUCGGACUGAAGCGAUUAGACCAUGAACUAUUCAGGGGUAUCAGACUAGAGUUGAUGGUUGAAUCGUGAUAAAAAAAUCGAUUGAACUGAUUUUUUUUAUUUUUAUUUUUUAUUAAUUUUAAAAUAAUUUAUUAAAUUAAACCAAAAAAAUUAAGCAAACUGAUUGAACUGAAAACUAGUGGCCUGAUUUGUUCUAUCAUCGGUCCCGAUUUUGAAAACAUUGUAAAAAAACAAAAGAAUUAGCAAAAUGAUGAAAAAUGAAGGACUAUAAGUGAAAAAAAGAGAUUAACGCGGGAUUCGGAGGCGAUAUAAAGUAGUAGUUUGUUUCUACAACGAUUGUGUAAACCUAAGUAACGAACUUAGCUUAUUUUACAACUCUUUUUCUCUAUGCAAUUCCUUUUCUUUUCAAAGAAAAGAAUAUAUUUUUCAAGAAAUUCACUAUUUUUAUUUUUUUUUCUCUUCAAAUUCUUGAUUGUUAUUAUGAUAUGAAUCUCUAGUUUUCUCUCUUUUUUUUUUUUUUAAUUUUGCAGUGUGCCAAGAAAAAAAUUGAAUAAAAGGUAUAUAUAAGUUAAAAGAAUCAUGCUUUUUGAAAGUGUUUUUUUUUUUCCAGAAUUGUUUAGUGAUAUUUUGAUUUGAUUUGGGUAUAGGAAUAUCUGGAUUGAAAAUCUUGGCCCUGCGAAAGAAGAUUUAAGUCUCUUUUUUUUUUUUGGUACGAAAGAUGAACGGAAUGUCAAUGGACAAUUUUCGUGGCCUCAUUUUGGCUGUUUCAUCGAGCGUUUUUAUUGGAUCUAGCUUUAUUAUCAAGAAACAGGGUCUUAAGAAAGCUGGAGCAUCGGGACCAAGAGCCGGUUUCUUUCUUUGCUUUCUCUUUGAAUUUUUGUUGAUUUUAAUUUUGUUAAAGUAUUUGAAUUAGAGUCUAAUUUCAAGUGUUUUUUUAAUGGAUAUUUGAAAAUUUUGAUAUUAGGGCAAGGAGGACACUCUUAUUUGUAUGAACCUUGGUGGUGGGCUGGAAUGAUAACCAGUUAGUUCAACAAUCCACUUCUAAUUUUGUUGAUUUCUUAUCAUUUUUGUUUCUUUGUUUUUAAGUUGUGAAUUGUAAUUGAUGAGAAUUAGUUGGAAUGUCGGAAGAAAUGAAGUUUUGAGAUUAAGGAGGUCCUUUGUUUGUAGGAUAAAUUGUUAACGGAUUUGUGAUCAAUAUGACUAUGUUCAGUUUUUUUAUGGUUUUCGAUAUACAUGUAUGGAUAUGGGUGAGACAUGUCUGUCACUGUCGUCCAUUGGUACUUCAAUGAAAGCAAAAGUCGAAAUAAUGUAGACAAUGACAUGCUUUGUAGCUGCCUUUGUUGGAAAUUCGCACCAAUUUUUUUAUAUUCUCUCAAUUAUUCGUGUUCGGUAUUUGUGUUUAACACCCGAAUAGUUGUAUAGAUAUACAUGUAUGAUCAACAAUACUUAAGUUGUAUUAAUGCUAAUAUCCAACACUUUUCUUCAAGUCUAAGUAACAUACAUCUUGUCCUUUCAAGUGAAUAACCAAAUUGAAGGAAAAGAAUCUGUUUGCUUUUAGAUGUGUUUUGAAGUGAUGUAUAAUAGGAGAAUUUUACUUGAACGAUAAUACCAAAUCUGCAAAAAAAUGUUACAAGGCAGAGGGAAAAUUAGCAAUGAAUCUUUCUUCAGUUUUCAAGGAAUUUAUCAUCAAAGCAAAUCUGUAUGCAAUGCCAUAGGGCAGUAGUGUGCCAAAGUAGAUAAUUGUACUAGGUUGUUAUGAUCUUAUUUUACUCAGACUCGGGUGUGAGUGUUGGGUAUGAGAUUGGUAUGUUGAAAAAUUUGAAGCUUUUUUGUGUAUUUGAAGGGUUAUGUCCCUUAUCUUUAUCUAGAUAUGUCUUGGACAAGAUGGUCAAACACACAUGCUUAAAAAAAUGAAGAGUCUGAACAACGUUAGUUAUGGCCUUUAAUACUGCAUGUUUACUUACUGUAGCAUCUUUUUUUCCUUACUGCCAGAUAUAACUGCUUGAGUUAAGUUAAUGUGCUUUAAUUUUAUAGUGAUAAUCGGGGAGAUAGCUAAUUUCGCUGCUUAUGCGUAUGCUCCUGCAAUUCUUGUAACACCAUUGGGAGCCUUAAGUAUUAUUUUCAGGUAUGUAUUAAGUUCCAUUUUUGUUAAAAAUAUGAGAAUCAUUUAACAACCCAGUUGCGUUCAUGCUCAUAUAAGAAAUGGUGUUUAUAAGCUUACAUCUUUUUCUAUGUUGCUCUUACUCGUUUUCUUGAAGGACUCAUGUCUAACAUUUGUGUUCAACACAUUUGGACAAGAUACAGGGAUGUGACCUUCUAGAUACAUUUAAAGAUUUGAAAAAACUUUAAUAGACCCAUGUUGGAUAAUUCUUGCCUCCAACAUUCACACUCAAGUUCGAGUAACAUAGCAUAUUUAUUUAUGAAGGCACGUGGAGAAACAUGUUUGCCAUUGAUGGAUGGGAUUGGCCUGUAGAUUUGACUAAUUUUAUGAAGAAAACAUUAUUAUGCAGUGCAGUGCUAGCACAUUUUAUUUUGAAAGAGAGAUUGCACAUCUUUGGUAUGCUUGGAUGUGCUCUUUGCGUAGUUGGCUCUACAACCAUUGUCUUACAUGCUCCCAAGGAGAGACAUAUUGAAUCUGUGAAACAAGUAUGGCAUCUUGCAACUGAGCCAGGUAUGUAAGAACAUUCCAAUAUAGCUACUUAUUUUUUAAGAUUUACUUUAAAAUAACGUAAGUUGUUUUGAGUUUUUAUUUUUCUUGAAGGAUCUGUGUCCAACACUUAUGUUGAACUAAUAUAUGCAUUUUUGCGUUGACAGGAUUUCUUGUAUACUUUUGGGUUGCUUUGGCUGUGGUAGCAGUGAUUAUUUUUCAUUAUGUUCCACGCUAUGGCCAAACCCAUUUGGUAGUUUAUAUCGGAAUCUGCUCUCUUAUGGGAUCUCUUACGGUUUGUUGAUUACUUUUAAGGCUUCUUCCUCUUUCUCUUUCUCUUCUUCUUCUUUUAUUUUUAUUUUUAUUUAUAUUAUAUUUAUUCUUCAAUUUUUUGAAGAUCUUCAUCUGACACACUUCAGGAUAUCAUUAUGAGGAUAUGAAUCUUCAAAGAUUCUUUAAAUGCAUGAAAAGUUUAGAAAAAAAAUGAAUAUAUCUGUAUCGAAUACAUAUCCAUAUUCAACUUGCAUUCCAAUACAUUUGUUUUAACAACCAUCUUUUCGUUCUCAUAGGUAAUGGGUGUUAAAGCAGUAGGAAUCGCGCUGAAGCUGUCGUUUGGAGGAGUGAAUCAGUUUAAAUACUUCGAAACAUGGAUUUUCACAAUAAUUGUGAUCUUUUGCUGUCUUCUGCAAAUAAAUUACUUGAACAAGGUGAGUGAUGAGACUUAGAUUUCAUUACCCUUUGUCAAUCUGCAUACUUAUGUAUUGGUUUAGUUUGUGUCACUCGAAUUUUGUUUGAAUGUUGAAUACAGGCAUAUUAGACAUGGAGGUUUUUAUUUUUUAACUGUUUUCCAUGUAUUUAAAGGAUUUUAUUCCCAUACACGAGUCUAGAUAUAUAUAUGUAUAUGUGUGUGUGUAUGACAUGAGUAUUUUAAUGAAACUGAAAGUUGAAAUACGUAAAUUAAGUGCUUUACAAGUUUUGGCACUACGAGUAAUUUGGACAUCAACAUUGUUAGUUACUCGUUAUUAAGUCGUUUAUAGGAUAAAAAAGCAUAAAUGUGUUUUUUUUAAAAUAAUUUCUUUCAACCUUAUUUUCUUAAUUUAAUGUGAUGAUUGACUCUAAAUUUAUGUUAUUGUUGUUAUUCUUGAUGGUACUGAAAGCUCAAAAUUUUGCAGGCUUUAGACACCUUUAAUACUGCUGUUGUGUGUCCUGUUUACUAUGUCAUGUUCACAACAUUCACCAUUAUUGCCAGCAUUAUCAUGUUUAAGGUAAGGUUUUUUUUUUUUUUACAGCCUUAAUCCACUUAUAUAUUGGUAGGGAGGGCGAGUGAAUUGAUCUUUUAACCAACAAUAUAUUUUUUUUUUUUUACUUUUGAGCUUAACUCUCCUUCUCAUGGAGAUAUGUUUGACCACUUUCAUGAACAUCACAAACACAUUUUGUUAGUUUAUAUGAAUAAACGUGAGCACAAAUAGACCAAAAAAUAAACCAACUGAUCAAACUUGAUUCCUAUACAAUCCUACUUACAAAAAUCUUGUGUUUUUGUAUAUAAUAAUGCAUUCUUUUCUUUUUUGUUUUCUUGAAGGAUUGGAAUUCACAAGGCGGGACAGAGAUUACAACAGAAUUAUGUGGAUUUAUUACAAUUUUAUCAGGCACAUUUCUCCUUCACAAAACCAAAGAUAUGGGAAAAAGUUCCAGUGGCAGACUCCCUGUUUAUUCAUCUCCUGAAUCAAAUACAGUUGCCGAAUCUAGAUAGUUAGCCCUACAGGUUUGGAAUUCGUAUUUGGAUUCUAAUCCUUAGUUUUCUUGCAUUUAGUUUCGUACAAGAAAGAUAAAAAAAGAAAAAAGAAAAAAAAGAGAAACAAAACUAGAAUUAGGAUGGUUUUUUUUUUUAAUUUGAGGUUUUUGGACAUUUUCUAUGUGAAAAGUUGCUACUAAAAUGUUUAAGAAAUAGGUUUUUCUUAGUUUCCUUCUGUUUUUUUAUUUGUUACUUUUUUUCAUAAUAUGUUUGAGUUUGAUAUUCAAUCAUUAGAAUUAAAAAUCCAAUUGUCUACUAGUAAAUCAAAUAAUUGUUUUUUUUAGUGUUAUUUUUGAGCUCUUAUGUAUUUGUAUUUGACCGUUUAUAGUGUUGACUGGUCAAAAUUAUAGGGUAUAUAAAAAAUAUUAUGGUGUGAAAUUGUUUGAUUUAAAUUAAAAAAUUAAGCAUGUCAAAUUAAAAUUUUGUUAUAGUAUAAUUAAUAUUUGAAAUCAUAAAUAUUUGAAAACUGUUUCAAAGCAAAAUAAUAAAAGAAAUUAUUAUAGUUUUUACAUAAUAUAAAUUUUAGAAUUUUUAUGAAUAUUUUGAUUUUAAAAAUUAUUUUAAUUUUUUUUGUAAUUUUUGUUGAGAGAUUAAUUUGUUAAUUUUUAAAAUUGAUAGGAAUCAAAGGAGUAUAUAUCAAUCUGUUGUUUGAAUUAUUCGAGUUAUUUAAAUUAUAAAAUUCAACUCGAAUCUCGAAUUAUAAAUAUUUUUAAUAAUAUAAAACAUAAAAAAUAUUAAAAUUAAAUAAAAAUUAAAUAAUAAUAUAGAAAUGAAAAUAUUUCUCACGCUCUAAGAAAGUUUGAAAGCUAAAACUUAAAUAUGUUUCUUUCAAAAGUAAAAAAAAAAAAUAUAUUCUAUCAUCAAAAUUUCCACUCAUUGUGUCCAUCAAUCUAGAAUGUGACUUGACUUGUACACAUUGGUUGAACGAUGUUUUUGUACAAUAAAAACUUGGACAUUUGCAAUUGCAUGCAAUGCCAAAGACUUAAGACUUAAAAGGCCUAUAAUAUUUCAUACUAUCAUUUUUUUUUUGGUCCUAAAUUAAGGAUUUUAAAAAUUUCAAAUUAAAACGUUACUCAUAAUAUGAGAACUUAAUGAAAACAUUGUAAAGUUUAGGGGUCAAUUUAAAAUUUGAUGUAUAAUUUUGAGAUGUAGGGUGAAUUAAACAUUUGAUAAAUCAUUACAUAUUUACAAGUUGGAUACUCAUUAACAAAUUGAUUUUAUAUUAUAAGUUAAAAUUUAUAUUUUUGUGCUAAAAAGUCGAUACCUAAAAUAUAUAAUUUAAACUCAAAAUAUCAAUUGAAUUGUCAUCUUUGCUCAUUCUAUGCGUAGUAAUGGUUCUAAUAUGGUUUAAAGUGCUAUGGUUUAGUCUUUUUUAAUGACUUAGAUUUAGACGAUUAUUUUUAUAGAAUAUAGAGUGGGUGAGAAAACUACAGCCUUGACAUUAAUAGGUUAAUAAGAUCGAUAAAAUAUUAAAAUCUUCUCCAAAAUUAAAAUUAACAAAAAAAGACAAAUUAAGUGUGAAUUUAACAACUCAUUUCUAAUACUAACAAUAAAUAAUUUAUGCAUCAUCACUAACAGCUUUAAAUAAUACAUUAUUAUCCCUUGCUGGAAAAGGUUGACCAAAAAGACUUAACCAAAGUGGUGGAACAGUAUUUUGAUGGAGUCUUGAUUUGGCAAAAUGACUUGGAAAUUGCAUGCAAUGCCAAUCACUCAUAAACAUUGUUCUAUGGAAACUACACAUUUGUGUAUAAAUAUGUUGUAUGCCAGACACAUUCCUCCUUCACACCCACCCAACAUGAACACUCUUCAUUCCCUUAUUUCUCCACUCUUUCUCUUGUCAUGCUUCCUUCCUCUUCUCUUGUCCUUUUCAUCUCCUCAAACUCAUUUCCCAAUGCAAUGCCUUGAUGACCAGAGAUCUCCUCUGCUGCAAUUCCAACAUAAUCUUUACUAUGCCCCUAAUUUUACUUUCUCUUCCAAAUUUGAGCUUUGGGAUCCCAACACUGAUUGUUGCUCCUGGAAAGGAGUCACUUGUGAUGCUUAUGGUCAUGUCGUUGGCAUUGAUCUUAGUUACAAAAACCUUUCAGGCAGCUUUCACCCCAUAUUCAAUCUCCAUCGUCUUCAACGCCUUAAUCUUGCUGGAAACAACUUUAAUACCACUCUGUUUUCCUAUGGGUUUGAUAAACUCCAAAAUCUAACUCAUCUCAACCUUUCAAGCUCAUGUUUCCAUGGCCAAAUUCCAAUGAAGAUCUCACAACUGACAAGGUUAGUCUCUCUGAACCUAUCUUUUCAAGAUGAUUGCUAUUGGAGAAAUGGUUACGAUUAUAAUUCAGCUACUUUAAAAUUGGAGAAACCAAACUUCAAGACAUUUAUCAAGAAUUUGAAGUUUCUCAUGGAGCUUUAUUUGGAUGGUGUCGACAUUUCAACUUAAAGUACUAAAUGGUGUGAAACCACAUCUCUUGUACUUCCAAACCUGCAUGUGUUGAGUCUGUCAAGCUGUGGUUUGAAAGGUCCAUUAUGUUCCUCACUCUCAAGACUCUCUUUUCUUUCCAAACUUAUCCUUGAUGGGAACACAAUCUCUUAUUUACCUCCCAAUUUCCAGCAAGCAAUGCUUUACAUAGUUUGUCUCUUUCUUAUACAAAUUUCAGUGGAAAACUACCUGAAUCGAUUGGUAAUCUUAAGUUCCUGACAAAUUUUGAGCUUUAUGAUUGCAAUUUUUUUGGACCCAUUCCAUCGUCAAUUGCAAAUCUUAGUCACCUGGUGAACUUGGAUCUAAGUUCAAACAAGCUUUCUGGAUCAAUACAUUCUUCUUUAUUUACUCUUCCAUCGUUGAAGAUCUUGUAUCUUGAAGAGAAUCAAUUGGUUGGGAAAAUUGAUGAGUUCCCCAAUGCAUCUUCUUCUUUGAUUCAAGUAUUAUAUAUAGGCAAGAAUUAUUUAACAGGACCAAUCCCGAAGUCAAUCCUUCAACUUCCAAGGCUUGAAGGGCUUUAUAUCGGAGACAAUAGCUUCAGUUCCAUGAAGCUUGACAUGUUUGUCCAACUCAAGAACUUAAAGGGUCUCGACUUAUCCAACGUAAGCUUGUUAAUUGACAGCGACAACAGAAGUCUUACUUUUCCCCAAUUACAGAGCCUAGGGCUAAGCUCAUGCAACCUUACUGAAUUUCCAGAAUUCAUUAAAAGGCAAGACAAGUUGGUUGACUUAGAUCUUUCUAACAAUCAUAUCCAUGGUGUUGUGCCUAAUUGGUUGUGGAAGAGCAGCCUUUCAAGGGUAAACCUUUCUUUCAAUGUGAUUGAUUUUCCAAAACAGCUUCCCUUAAGUGAUGCAAACUUCUCUUUCCCAAUGUUGAUGGAAUUUUAUCUGGAAUCUUGUAACAUAAGCUCAUUUCCAGAGUUCUUAAAGAGUCAAAAAAAUUUAGAAGAAUUCGACGCAUCUUCUAACAAUUUGAGUGGCCCAAUUCCAAAUUGGUUAUGUAAUAUGAGUCAACUUUACAGUUUCGAUGCAUCUUAUAAUAAUUUGAGUGGCUCAAUUCCAAAUUGCUUGGACAAUAUGAGUCAACUUGUCAGUUUCGAUGUAUCUUAUAACAAUUUGAGUGGCCCAAUUCCCAAUUGCUUCGGCAAAAUGAAUGCUCUCUUUUUCUUGAAUCUGCAAGGAAAUAACUUCAGUGGAAUGUUACCAAAAUUUUCAAAAGCAACCCAACUAAACUUUCUCAAAGUUAGUGAGAAUAGAUUGGAAGGGAAGUUGCCCAGAUCACUAGCGGAAUGCACUCAGCUUGUAGUUUUGGACGUGGGAAAAAACAUGAUGAAUGAUACUUUCCCUUUUUGGUUGGGGAAAUUGCCUGCGCUAGAGGUUCUCAUUUUGCGGGAAAACAAAUUUUAUGGUCAAAUUAAACAUUUCAAACAUAAAUUUGUUUUCCCAACUUUGGAUGUGUUGGACAUUGCUUCAAAUCAGUUUUCUGGUGAACUAUCUAUUGAUUUCCUUCGAGCCACUCGACUAAGGUCACUCAAAACAGGUGGGAAUAAAUUGAAAGGGAAGCUGUCGAGAUCAUUAGCCAAUUGCACAGCACUUGAGGUUCUGGACCUUGGAAAUAAUAUGGUUCAUGAUACAUUCCCAUUUUGGUUAGAGAAGCUGCCUUCCUUGAAGGUUCUUGUUUUGCGAGCAAACAGAUUCUACGGCACAAUUACAAAAUUUGACACGAAACAUGGGUUUCCAAAGCUACGCAUAUUGGACAUUGCUUCCAACAAAUUUUCAGGUGACUUGUCCAUUGAAUUUUUGCAAAGUUUGAAGGCAAUGGCGAAGAUGACUAAUGACGAAAAGGCUAAGCUGGAUUAUAUCGGAGAGAAUUAUUAUCAAGACUCUGUGACAAUUGUUAACAAAGGGAUUGAAAUGUUGUACCAAAAAGUCUUGACAAUUCUUACUUGUCUUGACCUUUCCAACAAUAGUUUCCAUGGGAGAAUACCAGAAGAGAUACAAAUGCUGAGGUCACUCAGAGUGAUGAACUUAUCCAACAAUGGCUUUUCUGAUGAAAUCCCAUUAGCAUUUGAAAAUCUAAAAGAUAUUGAAUCUUUGGAUCUCUCACAGAAUGAGCUUUCAGGGAAGAUUCCUGCACAACUUACAAGUUUAACUUUCUUAGCGGCAUUGAACUUGUCUUACAACCAACUCGAAGGGAGCAUACCAUAAAGCAACCAAUUCAUUACAUUUACAAAUGAUUCCUACCGUGGGAACCCAAAAUUGUGUGGGCUGCCAUUGUCAAGGAAAUGCAAUGAAGUCGGUCUUCCAGUGGCACCACCUCCACGGGGAGAUGAAGAAUCAUGGUUAUAUGCUAUGUCUACUUGGAAAAUUGCGUUGAUAGGUUAUGCUAGUGGAUUAGUCGUUGGGCUAUGUAUCGGAUAUACAGUGCUGAAUGAGUUGGGAAACAAAUGGGUUGACAAGUUCAAAAAGUGUGGGAAAAGAAAUAGAAGAAGAUGUAGGUGACUCCAUCAGAAUUCUUGCUUCAAAAUUAGGUGCUAAGCAUUUGUCUUCCUAAUUUGAAUAGAUAGUUGUUGAUAUAUAUAUAUAUAUAUAUAGGUUUUCAUAACCUCAUUUUUUGCUGUCUUUACCAAGUUCACUAUCAUAUCGUGUAGUCUUCCAUGAGUACAAAUAAGUGUUCAUUCAUUUUGGAUCCAGGUCCAUGUGGAUUUGGGGGAUGCAAUGUUUCACUGCUACUGAAUUUCCAUGCUAAUAAUGAUAUUAUAAACAAGGAAAUGGCUGGCCAAGCUUUCUUUUAUAUGCAAUUUACUUUUUCUUCAAUUUUUUUAUCUUCAGAAUAUUUGUACAGCUGAGGAGAUUUGAUGGCAUGAUGUUGAUGAAAGCCAUAUCUGAUGGAUAUUGGACUGAUUGUGUAAAGAGACGCAGAUGCUACUACUCCCAUCCUUAGCUCUUCCAAACAGACAUCAGGUUUAUAUUUUAUGAAUCACGUGUUGGGCUUUAGGACCGGGUGUAAAGGGUGGACCUGUUGGUCCGGGUUUUAGUUCAGUCGGACACUUAUUUUUAUACUAGUUUAUUUAUCCUUUCAAUGAUAGUUUUAUUAAUUUCAAAAAACUUUUGAAAUUGAAAUUAAUUUUUUCAAAGAAUAGAAAAAUUGUUAAUAAUAUAAGACAUCUCGUCAGUCUCAUUUGUCUUUGAUAAUUUCAAUUAAAUCUAAAGAAAUUUUAAUGUGAAAAUAUGUUUCUUUCAAAGAAAUUACCAAGAAGAGAAAAACUGUAAACAUUGUAUCAUCAAAAUUUCCACUACUGAUGCCCAUCAAUCCAUCUCAACUACCUAAGAAACUUGCUAAACAUUGUUUUCAUGGGGUAAAAAAAGAUUUAGACAUUUGCAUGCAGUGCCAAAAGGCUAAGAAUAAGUCCAAUAAUAUCUCAUUCCAUAAUUCUCUAUUGAUCCAUACACUUUAAGUUCAUUAAUGAAAAGUCAUCAAAGUAGUGAGAAAAUUUAGUCUUUGAGCCAUCACUCUCUCUCAGUCAGCUAAAAAAUAUCACCACAAUUCCAUUUUUUUUAAUUAAUUGACUAAAAUAAAAUUAGUGGUACAACAUUAUUUUCAUGCAGUAGUGAUCGGGCUUAGUCCAAAAUUAAAAAUAAUGUAUGGAAAGUAUGGAAACAAUCCUCCUUCACAGCCACCAAACAUGAAAGCCAUACCUGAUGGACAUUGUACUGGAAAGAGACACAGCUGCUGCUUCUACUCCCAUCUUUUGCUGGCACAUUGGGUUUUUAUUUUAUCAAACACAUGUUGGGUUUUAGUACAGCCUCGCACUUAUUUUGUACCAAUCUGUUUCGCAGAAAUUGUGUGGUCAUCAUAAUUGUCACUCCAUAUUCCCAUCAAUCCAUCUCAACCAGCUAACACAAAAGCUUUAUUUUUGUGUAUAUAAUGACUUGACUUAAACAAAGUGGUAAACCAUUGUUUUCAUAUAGUAAGGAUCGUACUUGUAGCGUUGACCUUCAUUUUCAGAUUCUAUUGUAAUUUUAUGCUAACAUUUAGGAAUGCAGGACAUGGAAUGUCCAGUCAGGAGGUACGUUAUGUUUGAAGAAAAUGGUAAUAGUUUCUUAUGACUGUGACAUGCCAAUUCUGCCCGGCCCACAAAUUAAACCCAAAUAAAUAAAAAUCUAAUAUAAGUCCAAGUCCAUUACAGAAAAAAAAUCAGACCCAAAUUUACAAGGCCUUAAAGCCAAAAAAUUUUAAAAAAGUCUAUGAUCAUAAAUCUUAACAAAAGAAUGAUUUUACUAUAAAAAAAAUUUCAGGAUUAUAGGACUUUAUCAUCAAUGUAACUAUUUUUAAUGUGGUUAUAGGAGAGGGUGUGGCUGAAUUAUCAUUAGCUAAUCAUGGUCAAGCCAUAGUUGCAGAAAUGGGACCUGAAUAAUGUGCAACCAUGGGUUGUCUUUCCUGUGGAUCAUACAGCCUUGCAAUUCCUUAAUUUAACCAGCAGGAGUGGUGACACAGUUCAUUCUCUGCGUGGUGAUGACUCCAACAAGGUUUUAUGUUAUUAUUGCUACUAUUUUGUCUUUUUAAUAAUUUAGAUAUAAGAAAAUUUUCAUAUAUAUAUAGAAAAAGGAUGAGACAGAAAGACUAAAAUAUUGGCAUCAAUAAGAACACUAAGACCAAUAAAAUCUCAUAUUUCAAAAUUAGAAUUGAAAAAAAAAUAUAUAAAAAAUUGAAGAUGCAAAAGUAAAUUAAGUGUGAAUUGAAAACCUUAAUGCUAAGACUAAGAAUAAAUAAUUCAUCCAUUAAGACUAAUAGCUUCAUCAUCAUUCUUUGCUGUGAUAUGACUCUGGCUUGAAUUUAAAGAAGCAAAUAUGAAGUACUCAUAAUGCGAGAGAAAAUUACUUAGCUAAGAGAAGAAAUCAUUUACUUUAACCAAACUAUCCCCGGUAGAAAUAAAAGCCAAACGAAUUAAAUUCAUUCAAAACAAAAAUUGUAGGGAUUAGUUUUAUAAUUUUACUUAAAUUUUCAUUUCAACAGCAGGACGUGGGUUUGAGUACGUUGAAGUGCAUUAUCCUCCUAUUUAUGGGUUGGAGAGAGACUAUGCGUAAUUUUAGGCAUUGUAUCAAAAUAACAGAUUUAAUCAUAACCUAUAAUGUGAAAAGUUGCUACUAAAAAGUUUAAAAAAUAGAAUUUUUAGUUUCCUUUUGUUUAUUUAUUACUAUUUUUCAUAAUAUCUUUUAUGUAUAUUUAAAGUGUUUUGGGUUUGAUUUUUAAUCAUUAUAAUCAAAAACCCAGUUUUGUACUAAUAAAUCACGCCAUUGUUAAUUUUUAGUGUUAUUUUUGAGGUAUUAUAUAUUUGUAUUUGACCUAUGUUUAUAACGGUGAUCAGACCCGUUUUUGAUAUUUUUGAGACCCUAGGCGAAAUAAUAAAUCAGGGUCUUGUUUAAAAAAUUAUUAAAUGUAAUACAAAAAAAAUAAAAAAAUGAGCCCUUUUUAUUUUAUAUUUUUUCUGCCUGUUAUAAAUCAAAAGACUAAAAAAGUUAAAAAAAAUUUUCACUUUAAAAAUUAAAAAAAAGAAACUUUUUGAGCUCUAGACGGCUACAAUCUGAAACUACCCUAAAGUCGGGCCGACUCCAACAAAUUCUAAUCAAAUCUCAAGCUCCAAAAUUGGAAUUAACAAAUGGAAAAACAAAAAGACAUUGGUAAAGCAAAAUAAGUGUGAAACAUGAAGAAAUUGAUAUGAAGACUAAGAAGAGAGUAUGAAAAAUUUGAAAAUUGUAAAUUAGGAUGACUUUAAAAUAUGGGGAAGAUUCAUGGGUUUGAAAUCAAUGAUUUUGCAGUUAAUUUCUCUUUGUUGAUUUGGUGGAUGUUUCCCACUACUUUUGCUUUUAAUGGUUCCCAUUAUAUACUUGGAAAUUGGAAUUACUUUUGCCACUCAUUUCUCAUGUUUGUUUGGCCAAUAAAAGAUUAUUUGCAUAAAGAUUAUUUUGAAUUUUUUGAAAAUUAUUUUAAAUUAGAUUGUAAUUUGUGUUGAGAGAGAUCAAUUUGUUAAAUUUUAAAAUUAACAGGGACCAAAGGAGCAUGUACACCAAUUUAUUGUUUGAAUUAUUUGAGUUAUUUAAAUUAUAAAAUUCAACUCGAAACUUAAAUUAUAAAUAUUUUUAAUAUUAUAAAACAUAAAAACAUUAAAAUUAAAUAAUAAUAUAGAAAUGGAAUUUUUUUCUCCAAAUUUCUCAUCCAAAUACAGUCUAAGAAAGCUUGAAAGCUGAAAUUUAAAAAUAUUAUUAUCUUAACUCGAUUUAAAAUUUUUUUGAGUCAAGUCGAGUGCAAAGAAAUUAGAGUUGAAUUGAAUCAAGUGAAAUUGUUUGAGUUAAACUAAAAAUUUUAAUAUGUCAAAUUGAAAUAUUUUUAUGGUAUUAAUUUUAUGUUAGAGCCCAUAAAUUUGAAACCAUAUAUAUAUUUGAAAACUUUUGUUGAGAGAGAUCAAUUUGUUAAUUUUUAAAAUUGACAGGGACCAAAGGGGCAUGUACACCAAUUUAUUGUUUGAAGUAUUCGAGUUACUCAAAUUGUAAAAUUCAACUCUAAACUUGAAUUAUAAAAAUAUUUAAUACUAUAAAACAUAAAAAAUACUAAAAUUAAAUAAUACUAUAAAAAUGAAUUUUUUUCUUCAAAUUUCUCAUCCAAAUAUAGUCUAGAAAAGUUUUAAAGAUGAAAUUUAAAUAUGUUUGUUUCAAAAGUGGAAAAUUCUAUAUAUUGUAUCAUCAAAAUUUUCACUUAUUGUGUCCAUCAAUCCAGUUAAGACUUAACUUGUACACAUUUCUUUGAUAAAUUAUAACAUAUUUACAAAUUCGAUACUCAUUAACAAAUUGAUAUUAUAUUUUAAGUUAAAUUAUUUUAAAUUAUUUUGUAAUUUUUGUUGAGAGAGAUCAAUUAAUUUUUAAAAUUAACAGGGACUAAAGGAGAAUGUACAUCAAUUUGUUGUUUGAAUUAUUGGAGUUUUUCAUUAUGAAAUUCAACUCGAAGCUCGAAUUGUAAACAUUUUUAAUAAAUAUAAAACAUAAAAAAUAUUAAAAUUAAAUAAUAAUUAAAUAAUAAUAUAGAAAUGAAAAUAUUUCUCCAAAUUUCUCACCCAUAUACGCUCUAAGGAAGUUUUAAAGCUGAAAUUUAAAUAUGUUUCUUUCAAAAGUGAAAAUUCUCUAUAUUUUAUUAUAAAAAAUUUCACUCAUUGUGUCCAUCAAUCUAUAAUGUGACUUGACUCGUACACAAUGGUUGAACAUUGUUUUUGUGCAAUAAAAACUUAGGCAUUUGCAUGCAAUGCUAAAGACCUAAGAAUUAAAAGUCCUAUAAUAUUUCUAACUAUCAUUUUUUCUGGUUCAAAAUUAAAAGUAUUAAAAAUUUCAAAUUAAAACGUUAUGAAUUUAAUUAGAACAUCAUGAAGUUUAGGGAUCAAUUUAAAAUUCUAUGUAUAAUUUUGAGAUGUAAUGUGAAUUAACCCUUUGAUAAAUCAUAACAUAUUUACAAGUUGGAUACUCAUUAGCAAAUUGAUUUUAUAUUAUAAAUUAAAUUUUAUUUUUUUGGUGAUAUAACAAAAUUUACUUAAAAAAUUAAAUGAUGUAGAAAUAAUUAUAUAUAAAAUAAAAAAUGAUAAAAUAUACCUGAGUUUAAAAUAAUUAAAACUAAAAUAUUUGCAACAUCGAUUUUUAUUCCUAAAAAGUUCAUACCUAAAAUAUAUAAUUUAAACUUAAAAUAUCAGUUGAAUUAUUAUCUUUGUUCAUUCUAUGCGUAAAAAUAGUUUUAAUAGAAUUUAAAGUACAUUAUUAUUGCUAUAAUUUUGUCUUUUUAAUGACUUCGAUUUAGUAAAGAGUGGGCAAGACAACUAAAACCUUGGCAUUAAUAAGAAAAAUGAGAUGAAUAAAAUAUUAAAAUCUCAUUCUUCAAAAUUAAAAUUAACAAAAAAAAGAAAGACUAAGUGUGAAUUUAGCAACUUAAUUCUAAUACUAACAAUAAAUAAUUUAUGCAUCAUGACUAACAGCUUUAAAUAAUAAAUUAUUAUCCCUUGCUUUAAUAUGUUGGAAAAAAUUGACCAAAAAGACUUAACUAAAGUAGUGGAACAUUCUUUUGAUGCAGUAUUGAUUGGGCAAAAAGACUUGGAAAUUGCAUGCUAUGCCAAACAUGAAAACUACACAUUUGUGUAUAAAUAAGUUGUAUGCCAAACAAAAUCCUCCUUCACACCCACCCAACAUGAACACUCUUCAUUCCCUUUUUUCUUCACUCUUUCUCUUCUCAUGCUUCCUUCCUCUUCUCUCGUCUUUUUCACCUCCUCAAACUCAUCUCCCAAUGCAAUGCCUUGAUGACCGGAGAUCUCCUCUGCUGCAAUUGCAACAUCAUCUUUACUAUGCCCCCCAUUUUACUUUCUCUUCAAAAUUUGACCUCUGGGAUGUCAACACUGAUUGUUGUUCUUGGGAAGGAGUCACUUGUGAUGCUUAUGGUCAUGUCGUUGGCAUUGAUCUUAGUUACAAAAACCUUUCAGGCAGCUUCCACUCCAUAUUCGAUCUCCAUCAUCUUCAACACCUUAAUCUUGCUGGAAACAACUUUAAUGCCACUCUGUUUUCCCAUGGGUUUGAUAAACUCCAAAAUCUAACUCAUCUCAACCUUUCACGCUCAUGUUUCCAUGGCCAAAUUCCAAUGAACAUCUCACACCUAAAAAGGUUAGUCUCUCUGAACCUAUCUUAUCAAGAUGAUUGCUAUUGGAGAAAUGGUUACAAUUAUAAUUCAGCUACUUUAAAAUUGGAGAAACCAAACUUCAAGACAUUUAUCAAGAAUUUGAAGUUCCUCACGGAGCUUUAUUUGGAUGGUGUCGACAUUUCAACUCAAGGUACUAAAUGGUGUGAAACCACAUAUCUUGUACUUCCAAACCUGCAUGUGUUGAGUCUGUCAAGCUGUAGUUUGAAAGGUCCAUUAUGUUCUUCACUCUCAAGACUCUCCUUUCUUUCCAAACUUAUCCUUGAUUGGAACCCAAUCUCUUAUUUACCUCCCAAUUUCUUGGAAAUUUCCUCUCGUUUGGUUUCUCUCAGUUUGAGGAACUGCAAUUUGAGUGGCCAUUUUCCAACCGAAAUUCUCUUAUUGCCAAAAAUUCAAAGCAUUGACAUUUCAUUUAAUCCUCAACUUAUGGGUCAGUUGCCAGAAUUUCCAGCAAACAAUGCUUUACAGAGUUUGUCACUUUAUGACACAAAUUUCAGUGGAAAACUACCUGAAUCGAUUGGUAAUCUUAAGUUCCUGACAAAUUUAGAGCUUUCUUAUUGCAAUUUUUUUGGACCCAUUCCAUCGUCAAUUGCAAAUCUUAGUCACCUGGUGAACUUGGAUCUAAGUUCAAACAAGCUUUCUGGAUCAAUACAUUCUUCUUUAUUUACUCUUCCAUCGUUGAGGAUCUUGUAUCUUGGAGAAAAUCAAUUGGUUGGGAAAAUUGAUGAGUUCCCCAAUGUAUCUUCUUCUUUGAUUCAAGAAUUAUAUAUAGGCAAUAAUUAUUUAAAAGGAACAAUCCCAAAGUCAAUCCUUCUACUUCCAAGGCUUGAAUGGCUUUAUAUCGAAAGCAAUAACUUCAGUUCCAUGAAGCUUGACAUGUUUGUCCAACUUAAGAACUUAAAGGGUCUCGAAUUAUCCAACGUAAGCUUGUUAAUUGAAAGCGACAACAGAAGUCUUACUUUUCCCCAAUUAGAGAGCCUAAGGCUAAGGUCAUGCAACCUUACUGAAUUUCCAGAAUUCAUUAAAAGGCAAGACAAGUUGUUUGACUUAGAUCUUUCUAACAAUCAUAUCCAUGGUGUUGUGCCUAAUUGGUUGUGGAAGAGCAGUCUUUCAUCCUUACACCUUUCUUUCAAUGUGAUUGAUUUUCCAAAACAGCUUCCCUUAAAUGAUGCAAACUUCUCAUUUCCAAUGUUGACAGAAUUGUAUUUGAGAUCCUGUAACAUAAGUGCGUUUUUAGAGUUCUUAAAGAGUCAAGAAAAUUUAGAAGAACUCGACCUUUCAAAUAAUAAAAUAAGUGGUGCAAUACCAAACCGGGUGUGGAAGAAAAGUUUGCGGUAUCUGUUUCUUGCUAAUAACCAUCUCUCAUCUUUGGACCAACUUUUACCCAAUCAGAGUUCAACUUCUUCACAAACCUCCUUGACUAGACCUAUUUGCAAUUUGAGUCAACUUAGAAAUUUCAAUGCAUCUCAUAACAAUUUGAGCGGCACGAUUCCAAAUUGGUUAGGCAAAAUGACUGAUCUCUAUUUGUUGGAUCUGCAAGGAAAUAACUUCAGUAGAAUGUUACCAAAAUUUUCAAAAGCAACGUAACUACAAAUUCUCAAAAUUAGUGAGAAUAUAUUGGAAGGGAAGUUUCCCCGAUCAUUAGCUGAAUGCACUCAGCUUGAAGUUUUGGACGUGGGAAACAACAAGAUGAAUGAUACAUUCCCUUUUUGGUUGGAGAAAUUGCCUUACUUGACGGUUCUAAUAUUGCGGGAAAACAGAUUUUAUGGUCAAAUUAAACAUUUCAAACAUAAAUCUGUUUUCCCAACUUUGGAUGUAUUGGACAUUGCUUCAAACCAGGUUUCUGGUGAACUAUCCAUUGAUUUCCUUCAACCCACUCGACUAAGGUCACUCAAAAUAGGUGGGAAUAAAUUGGAAGGGAAGCUGUCGAGAUCAUUAGCGAAUUGCACAGCACUUGAGGUUCUGGACCUUGGAAAUAAUUUUGCACAGAUUCUAUGGCACAAUUUCAAAAAUCGACACGGAACGUGGGUUUCCAAAGCUACGCAUAUUGGACAUUGCUUCCAACAAUUUUUCAGGUGACUUGUCCAUUGAAUUUUUGCAAAGUUUGAAGGCAAUGGCGAAGAUGACUAAUGACGAAAAGGCUAAGCUGGAUUAUAUCGGAGAGAAUUAUUAUCAAGACUCUGUGACAAUUGUUAACAAAGGGAUUGAAAUGUUCUACCAAAAGGUCUUGACAAUUCUUACUUGUCUUGACCUUUCCAGCAAUAGUUUACAUGGGAGAAUACCAGAAGAGAUACAAAUGCUGAGGUCACUCAGAGUGAUGAACUUAUCCAACAAUGGCUUUUCUGGUGAAAUCCCAUUAGCACUUGAAAAUCUAAAAGAUCUUGAAUCUUUGGAUCUCUCACAGAAUGAGCUGUCAGGGAAGAUUCCUGCACAACUUACAAGUUUAACUUUCUUAGCGGCAUUGAACUUAUCAUACAACCAACUUGAAGGGAGCAUACCACAAAGCAACCAAUUCAUUACAUUUACAAAUGAUUCCUACCGUGGGAACCCGAAAUUGUGUGGGUUACCAUUGUCCACUAAAUGCAAUGAGGUUGGUUUUCCAAUGCCACCAGCUCCAGGGGAAGAUGAAGAUUCAUGGUUAUAUGCUCUGUCUACUUGAAAAAUUGCGUUGAUAGGUUAUGCUAGUGGAUUAUUCGUUGGGCUAUGUAUUGGAUAUACAGUGCUGAAUGAGUUGGGAAACAAAUGGGUUUACAAGUUCAGUAAGUGUGGGAAAAGAAAUAGAAGAAGAUGUAGGUGACUCCAUUAGAAUUCUUACUUCAAAAUUAGCUGGUAAGCAUUUGUCUUUCUAAUUUGAACAGGUAGUUGUUGAUAUAUAUAUAUAUAUAGGUUUUCAUAACCUCAUUUUUUUGCUGUCUUUACCAAGUUCACUAUCUUAUGGUACUUGUAAUUUUAUGUUUCCAUUGAGCAAUGCAGGAGGUACUUGAAGCAGGGCAUGGAAUGUACAGUUGUGAGGCUCAUGAAGAAUGUAGGGCAAUGAUCCUAACAAGAUCAAUCCACUGGUUUGUAAUUUUGCUUUAUAUGCACUUUUUUCCUUUUGUAGUUUUCCAUGAGUAUAAAUAAGUGUUUAUUCAUUUUGCAUCCGGGUCCCUGUGGAUUUGGGGGAUGCAAUGUUUCACUGCUACUCAAUUUCCUUGUUUAUAACCAUGCUAAUAAUGAUAUUAUAAACAAGGAAAUGGCUGCCCAAGCUUUGUUUUAUAUGCAAUUUACUUUUACUCUAAUUGUUUUAUCUUCAGAAUAUUUGUACAGCUGAGGAGAUUUGAUGGCAUGAUGUUGAUGAAAGCCUUAUCUAUAGACAUUGGACUGAUUGUGUAAAGAGAAGCAGAUGCUGCUACUCCCAUCCUUUGCUCUUCCAAACAGACAUUAGCUUUAUAAUUGAUCAAUCACGUGCUGGGCUUUAGGAUCGAGUGUAAAGGGUGGACCAAUUAGUCUGGGUUUUAGUUCUGCCCGACACUUAUUUUUAUACUAGUUUAUUUUUCCUUUCAAUGUUAGUUUUAUUAAUUUAAAAAAUAUAGUUGAAUUAAGUAAUAAUAUGAUAAAAUAAUAAAAAUAAUUAAUUGAAUGAAAUAAAUUAUGUCUUAAAAUCUAGUAUGCUUUCCAAUGUUAGCCAAAGGCCAACAAUAUCUCACACUAAUAUUUUAUUUGUUAGUCCAAAAUUAAAAAUUUCAAAUUAGAAUGUUAUUUAUAGUUUAAGGACUUAAUUAAAUUUUUAAAAAAAAUUUAAAGAUCAAUUUAAAAUUUAAUCUAUAAUUUAAGGAAUUAACCCUUUGGUAAAUCCUAACAUAUUCAUAAGUUCCAUACUCAUUAAUAAAUUUGUACUAAAAAUGCUGAUUUGGAUGUAUACAAAAGUCAAUUAUGAUAAAAAUGAAAAUAUAUGAAAGAAAUGAUGGCUUAUAAUGUGGUGUGCUUUAAUUGGAUUUAAAUUUUUCCAAGAGGAAAAUAGUUGAAAAUCAGGAGCAAGAAUCUGAUUUGUUAUUCUUCUAUUAGAAAGGGAUAAAGAUGACAUAAAAUCACAGUUUCAUACAAUCUAUUCUCUUUAUUCAAAUAUUUAUUUGCAAGAAAUAAAAAUUAUAUGUUGUUUAAUCUAAUAGUGUUUUAAUUGGUUUGAUAAACUUUGAAAAAAAAUUUUGAAAUUGAAAUUAAUUUUUUCAAAGAAUUGAAAAAUUCUUAAUUAUAUAAGACAUCUCGUCAGUGUCAUUUGUCUUUGAUAAUUUCAAUUAAAUCUAAAGAAAUUUUAAUGUGGAAAUAUGUUAAGAAAUUGCUAAGAAGAAGAAAACUGUAAACAUUAUAUCAUCAAAAUUUCCAUUACUUGUGCCCAUCAAUCCAUCUCAACUACCUAAAAAACUUGCUAAACAUUGUUUUCAUGGGUAAAAAAGAUUUAGGCAUUUGCAUGCAGUGUUAAAAGGCUAAGACUAAGGGCUCCUUUGGAUGCCAACGCACAACAGUGCCUUGAAUUUUUUCUCCUUUAUUAUCUAUCUCACUGCACUGGACUGAACUCUGGACAGCCUUUGGAUGUGUUGGCUUCCAGCACAGUGAAGAAUUUCUACUACACUGGACAGCCUUAAGUUGACUUUAGCAACUUCUUUUCCUCUUUUACCCAUAUAUUCUUCGGUUGCAUUCUUCAGGUUUUUUUUUAUGUUUGGUUACCCUUCUUCUCCCCUUUCCCCUUCACUUUCCCCUUCCCCUUGGGUUGCAAAUCAGUUUGGUCAAGCACCUCUUCCGAUUCCUCCUUCAUCCAGGUAAGGCUCCUUCUCCUUCUUCCGUUCUUCAUUCCUUUUUCAGAUCGUUGAAAUCAAGGAGAAAUCCGAAGACCUACAUGCUCUAAUAAGGUAUUCCAUUAAAAACUAAUAGCUUUUAUUUAUCAAUUUUUAAAUGUGCAUGCAUAUAAUUAUUUGAAGAAAAAAAUCGUUCGUUGUGGAAAUUCUUAUAUGAGGUUUUUUUUCUUCUACUGAAUUUCUAGGUUUUGUUGGAAUCCUUGAAAAAUAUAUAUUUCGUUGUCAGAUCGUGAUGACAUUGACUAGAUUGGUUGUCUUUGGAUUACAUUAAUGACCUUUCGAUUGCAAAAAGAAGUGUUGGGUCGAUCUUGCUUUUGACCAAUGAUGAGGGUUUAGUGAAUAUCAGAAUUAUGGAAUCAAUUUAUGUUUUUUUUAUAAUUUUAAUUGUUUGCAAUGAUAAUUGUUCAAGUGGAAAAUAGUAUUUAUUUUCAGCUUUGUGGUGGGUGGUUGUACUUAAGAUUGAGAAUGAAAUUAUCGAAUUAUAGUCAAUUGAAAUCCGCUGUGCCUUUUUUUAAUAUCAUGGUAAUCAUUUCAUUUUUUUUUCUGUAUGUGAUAUAAUGUAAGCUUCAACAUUUGUUCAAUCCAAUAGCAGUUUGUUCAAAAUAGGAACAUGAAACAUUCUCUUGUUUUUAGUGACUUCUGGGCCUUCUUCAUUCUUCUUAGUGGUUCCUUGGUUGCUUCAUAUGGUUCUCUCUCCCUGUCUACAUUUGGUUUGACUAUUCAAAACAUUCUAAUGGGAUUUUCAGAAAACUUAAGUGGGUUCUUUUUCUUUUUAUUGCUGCAUAUGGGCCUUUAUAUGAUUUUACUGCUUACACAGAGGUAAAACAGUUUGAGAAUAGAUCAUUUAUCUAUUGACUAUAUCAUGAAUAUGUAGUCUGAAGUUAUUUGAUUCACCGCAAUGUCCAUAAUAAUUGUUGAUGAUGUUGUUGGUUUGCAGUGUAAAGCACAGCCAGAGGAGACACUGUACCAAGGAGGGAUUCUGAAAGAUGAGCCUCCCAUUAUGAGACCUGCCAUUUUUGGCGAAACUGCAACUGGUUUUUACACUCCAGGUUUUCUCUUGAAGAAUCUCACGGUGGGCAAUUUUUACUGUUUCUACAGUUAAGUUCUCCAUCCAUAUGAAUUUCGGAUACAAAUAUUAAAACACAAAUACUUUAAAAAAAGAAUAAACAAGUUCAUCGACAUAGGUGAACCCUUAAUGUACCUGUUACUGACUUACUGGCAUGUCACACUGUAUCACCCGUGGCCCAACAAGUGGCAAUGUUUAUGGUUUGGGUUUAUCAAAUAAAGUGGCAACCGACAUAUGCAAAUGCUAGAUAUGGCCCCAAUUCAGGAACAUCCCCCUAUUGUAGAGGCAAUUGACAUUUUAACAUAGACAAAAACUUUUACUAUGAAUAUCAGACAAAUUAUAUUUUGAAACAUUACAGGAUUGGCUUACUCUGUUUGGUGCAAUUACUGCUUGGAUCAAAAUACAAAGUGCAAAUUCAGCUCUCAUUAGGGCAAGCUUGAAGACAGAAAACAGAACAUAUAAUUGUAUAGGGACUGUUUUGGCUAAGAAUGGUUGCUGGUCAUUUCUCAAAGGUGGAUUUGUUCUUGAUUCACCUUCAAAUUUAGCUUUACUGCUAUUCCAGGUGAACCUGUUUUCAAAUCAAUAUAAAUUUAGGCUUUUAUAUGUGAAAACAAUUGAGCAUUAGAUUAUUAAUGCUGUCACUAAUUUUUGCUUCUAAGAACCCUUUUUUUUUCUAAUGUCCUGGAUAUGCAGAACUCAGAUGAUAAAGACAUUGAUAUAACAAUUGAUAGUUCCUCGUUACAGCCAUUUACAGAUCAAGAAUGGAGGUUCAAUCAGCAAUUCAUGAUUAACACUGUAAUUACUAUUGACACACUUUGUGAAAUGAUAUUUCAACAAUGGUAAUGUUCAAUAUCUUAACAAAAUUACUUACUGUCUAGUAAAGGAAGCGUGCUGUAACAAUACAUGUCUCAGAUCAACAAGGUAAUAGGUUGCAAGGAGCAGCAAUAACUAUAAACCAAGUCUCAAAGGAUUUCCCAUUUGGUUCUGCAAUAGCACACACCAUUCUUGGGAAUUUGCCCUAUUAGGUAUGUGUUCAUAUUCAUUUCUUAAUACUUAUCGGACAAUGCUAGCUAAUUGAUCUUGUUUUUUUUUGUCUUCCAGAACUGGUUUGUUGAACGAUUCAAUGCAGCAGUGUUUGAAAAUGAACUGAAAUGGUAUGCAACAGAACCAGAUCAAGGGAAGACCAACUACACCUUAGCUGACCAAAUGCUGGAGUUUGUUAGAGCUCACCAAAUAAUAGCCAGGGGCCACAACAUAUUCUGGGAAGACCCCAAGUACACGCCUAGAUGAGUGAAAUUACUUGUCUUCUGCUAGAUUAAAAUGUUUUUAAUAUCCUUUCUGUAGGCAAUUUGAUUAAGGUCAAAUGAGCUAAAAUUGGAGAGGCAAUUGGAGAACUCACAGGCUGAAAUUUCUUCUUUCAAGUAUGCUUUUUUAGGUCUAAUUAUGAAAUUUGUCCCUUUAUUUUACAGCAUCUGAGAAGUUAGUCCCUCUGAUUUGUCAGAAUGGUCCUCAUAUUUUAUGAACACUAAGAAAUUAAUCCAAUUGAGUAACAUUGUUAAACCUUCUUGUUAAACUGAGCUGUUCAGGAACUUAUGUGCUAGGAAUUAGUAAAAACCAGCAGUAGCAUAUUUAUGGUACAAAAAAAUUGACCUAUAUUCAACUUAGAUUACUAUUGAAGUUUUGAGUAUAGUUUUGGCACAGCAUGCAACAUGUUAAUUUUGCACCAUGCAUCUGGUGUAAUUAUAUGUUAUUUUCAGUCUUACUAACCUAGAUUAUUUUAACAGUUUGUAUCCUUGGUGCAUCCAUCAGUUAGUGUUGAUUGUUCGAUACUACAUGAUUGCUAUGAAUCAUUUGCAAUGUAUUGCUUUGGAAGAUACCUUGUUGCUUGNNNNNNNNNNNNNNNNNNNNNNNNNNNNNNNNNNNNNNNNNNNNNNNNNNNNNNNNNNNNNNNNNNNNNNNNNNNNNNNNNNNNNNNNNNNNNNNNNNNNCAGCCUUGCACGAUAUUUCAUUUAGUUUACAGUUUCUGUGGUGACAUUGUCUUUGUUAUUUGCUUUGCUUAUGCCCUUGAAUCUGAAUUUUGGACACCCAUAUAUUAUUUUCAAUGUCAUUUCAACACUCUGUUUUUUCAUAUCUUUACUUUUUAAGAAUAUAUAGGUUCUUCUGAUGUCUAACAUACCAUAAUCAUAAUUCCCCUUAAUGCACUAAAAGGAAUAUUGACUACUUUGUUAGUAAGCAAAGUAUAGGAUGUUGUUGAACUUUGGCCUGCAAUGCAAUAGGAAACCAGCAGCAAACCAGCAUGCAGACCAGCAUCCAAGCUGAACCAGAUAAGCAGCAGCAUUUUGUUUAUUUUGUUCAUUUGUAACUUGAUUUAGUUGCAAUGUAAUUUAUACUUAAAGUUAGUAGGAGUAGUUGUUGAUUUAUGUUUGAUGUUAUAGCUGGUAUGUCAGCUACAUUUUGUUUGAAAUUGUAUCUAGGAUUUNNNNNNNNNNNNNNNNNNNNNNNNNNNNNNNNNNNNNNNNNNNNNNNNNNNNNNNNNNNNNNNNNNNNNNNNNNNNNNNNNNNNNNNNNNNNNNNNNNNNAUUAGUUAACUGCCAUAUUUCAUUGUAACAUAAAUGCUUCUCAAGUCAAUGAAAAAGAUCUGAUUUUUGGAAAUCAAAUUCAGUUUUCUUCUUGUUCAAACUUCUUUGCAUUCGUUUUUUUUUCUCCUUAUUUUUAUGCUAAAAAAAACCAACACAUGUAAUCCGGACUACUUAUGUAUAUGGCAUAUUGCUUAUUCAAGUAAUGAAGUUAAUUUUUACAUCAUCCGGGUUACUUGCUUUUGUUUUCUUUCUCUGCUAUCAAAACCCCAACAGAUGUGAUUUUCAACUCUUCCCUUUAGCAUUGAUGACCAGCUCAAGGCUCGACAUUGCACGUUCUACAUGGUGGCCAUAGGCUAUUUCAGUUACUAGCCAACAGUUGGUUUUAGUUUUGAAGUUAUUUGGUGCUAGAAAUGUCUUGCAUUGAGUUAUUGAUGACAAACAUUUGAAAUAACAUGCAUUAAGACGCACAGACAUUGAGAAAAAGGGUAUUGUAAAUAUUUCAUUAAAAAGAUUUGAAAGAAGAAUGAAUAGUAAUAAUUUUUGAAUUUUUCUCUAGUUUUAAUUUAUUUUUAAUUAUUUAUUAUUAAAAAUAAAUAUAAUUGUAAUAAUUUUUAAUCAUUUAUUAAUUUUGUAAUUGUUAAAUGAUUUUAAAAAUUUCUAUUAUAUAUCAUUUUUAAUCUAAUGUCCUUAAAAGUCAUUUUCUAUUUUCACCUCACCGCUACAGCUGCUUUUGAAUCCAAACAUACACUCCACCGCUGUUUCUAAUCUCACUGCUACAAUAUCCAAUCUUACCGCUACAGUAACUAAUCUCACUACCACCGCUGUUUUUAAUCUCACCAGAGCUAAACACACCGCCCAUCCAAACUAAGCCUAAGUCUAAAAAAAAAUAUAAAAAUUGUAUGAAAAGGUUAUAAAAACCAUUUGGACAGAUUGUAAAAGAUAUAAAAGAAACAAAAAAAAAAACUUUCAAAAGGUGAUAUUUUUUCCCUUAUUUAUUUAUUUUGAAUAUAUAUAUAUAUAUAUAUAUAUAUAUAUAAGAACAAAAAAUAAAAAUAAAAACUUUCUUACCUUUUCGGAUGGUGAUCGGCAGAUCUAAGCUCGGGUGGCCGAUAGAGAGAGGAAAGAAAAAAAGGAAAAACUUUCUUACCUUUUCGGACGGCGGCUGCCACGUGGCCAAUGGCCAAAAUCUGGGCUGUGCCCAGAGAGAAUGGGAGAGGAUUUCUAUUUUUAUUUUUGAAAAUAUGGUGAAAUGAUUUUUUUUUGUUUUUUUGUUUUUUACUUAUAUAGGCAGACAAAAUGACGUUGUUUUGGGACUGGCCUCAGACUCUCAAAAUGACGUCGUCUUGAGGUGGACCCAAUCUGAUCCGAUCCAUUCCCUAGGAUUUUUUGUAAAAUGAUCUAUUUUUGCUUUUGGCCCUUUCACUGUUUUGAUGAGUUACAAUGAGGUCCUAUUUCUUUUUUUCUCUUUUAAUUUUACCACGGAAUUUUAAUUUUAUUUCAUUUUAGUCCCCUAAGAAAUGGUGUGCAUAAGGUCAAGGAAUAGUUUCCUAUUCGGUCCCUGUUCUUUUUAGCGUGUUAUUAAUUCUUAUUAGCAUAUUUUGUUAUUUACAAUUUAUACCCCUUAGUUUUAUUUCAAUUUCAAUACGAUCCUUAGUUUAUUUAACUUCAAUUUUUUUACGAACUGUUUCAUUUAUUAUUUUAUUAUUUUAUUACUAUUUAUUUAUUUUCAAUUUUUAAUCAAAUGUUUUAUUGGUAUUCAACUUAUUUAUUUAUUUAUUUACUUAUUGAUUCCUUUGUUUUUAUUUUUAAUUGGCUUGCUUUUUGUAUUUUCCUUUUAUUGUGCAAUAUUUUUUUUUAUUUUUCCUUUAUUAUUGUUAUUAUUCCAUUAUUUAUUUAUUUAUUUAUUACCUUUUAUGUACUUUCAAAAAAAAAAAGAUUAUUUAUUAUUUAUAUUAUCAUUUUCAUUAUUAUUAUUAUUAUUAUUUGUUUAUGCAUAUUAAUAUUAUUAUUGCUAUACUUUUAUAUUUUAUUAUGCAUAUUAUUAUACCGUUAUUAUAAAUUGGUGUUGCAUUAUUACUAUUAUAUUAACAUGAUCUCAGCUACCUACUUAUUAUCAUUUUUACUAUGAACAUUUCGAUUUCUCUUCUCUUUAUUCGUGUAGCCGUUUUAUUUUUAUUUUAGGCCUUAUCAUAUUUUCCCUUAGGUUUAGAUAUAUUUAUUUGUUUCCUCACUAUGGCUCAAUCCCGUAUUGUGUUAAAUAGUGAAUCCAUUUUUUACACGACUUGUAAGAAAUAAUUAAAAUUAAGCCAAUGUUCUGUAUUUGGAAUUUGAGAAGUGAUCCCCUAACUUACGGGGCUCAACUUUCUUGUUAAACCUAGAUUACAAAAUAUUAUUUUAAAAUUAAAACACGUGAGAUUUAAAUAAUAAUUUAAAUAAAGAGCAAGCUUAUUUUUGAAGAUUCGAGAUGUUGUAUCCUAACUUACGGGAUAUGACCUUUAGUUACCUCGAGAUAAGAGGGCCUUUUACAUACAUUUUUGAUUUAUUCAAAUGAUUUUUAAUAACAUAAUGCAAAGUGGGAUCGUGUUUUAAACUCUCUUCAAAUUUUUUAAUUCACGACACUAAGACUUUAAUUAAUCAACUAAGUACCAAUUUUGGGCGUCACGAGAUGCUAAUACUUCCUCAGAAUUCAUUUUUUUUCAAAAUCAGCGGGUAUGCACCACCUUAUUUCUUUUUUAUCUGUGGACAAAGUUAACUAUCAUAUGGUAUUUGGACUUGUAGCUUGUAACAUUGACAUUCGUUUUUCAGUCUAUUCUAAUUUUAUGUUACCAUUUUACAAUGCAGAAGGUACUUAAAACAGAGAGGCUCAAGCAAAAAUCUUUAAUGAAAAUGGUAAAAGUGUCUAACAAAUAUGAGCAUAUUUUUCCUUAAAAUUGUCUUUUCCUUGACAUUGGCUUUAUAUUUUAUCAAACACGUGUUGGGUUUCUUCAUCUAUGGGUUUCCAGCAAAUACCAUAAUUUUUGUUCUUAUCGUCCAUUGCAGCACCUAUAUAUGGGUUUCUUCAUCUUUAAUUCUGGUAAAGAAGACGGGAUUUUUAUAGCUUCAAUUGUUUUAUCAAACCCAUAGUCCUCAUCUUUUACAAUCUUCUUCACCACUCUCCCUAGUUUUGAGUUUUUUAACCUAUUCUAGUAAAUAAUCUUUUAAAUGACCCAUUUUUGUAAAUAAAGUUGGAAAGGGGUCUUUUUUAGUAAAAUGCCCUAUAAAAGCACCUAUAUAAACUAUUUUCAUCAAAAUUUAAUUUCCAAGAAAUUCUCUUUGUUGCCAAAAUUUCAAAGCAUUUGACAUAUUAAGCAAUGAUGAUCAAAAGUAUUUUUGAAUUCCCAAAAUAAUUGGAAAUUUCAUUAUUUAUGAUCAGUCAGUCAACAAACUCUUCAAUCUUAUUUGGUUUGAAAAAAUAGAUAUAUUUUUGAAGUAGUUUUUUGAAAAAAUGAAAAGCGUCCAACACAUCUCAAGCGUCAACAAAUUCAUUUUUCAGUUAAACCAAGAAAGUUUAAAAAGUUCAAUCUUUUUAAAAAUAAAAAUAAAAAAAUUAAAUUUAAACUUAAACUUAAAAAAAAUGAAAACAUAUUUUAACCUUCAACUAUUUGUUAAUUUCCUACUUAUUUCCACAACUUUUGCUUUUGAUUUUGAAUCUAAACAGUGAAAAACAAAGGAGAAAGCAAGAAAGGAAUGAAUAGAAUGAAUUAAAAUAUUUGGUGGUACUCCAUUUUCUCUUUCGAGUUUGAAUAUUAUGGUUUUGGAUAAUAUUUUGACUAUAAUUGGUAGCAGAUAUGGAAGAAAAAUUUAAGACUAAGGCUAAUAAAAUCUCAUAUUAUCCUUUUCUUUGUUAGUCCAAAAAUAUUAAAAAAUUUCAAGUUAAACUAAUUUAAGGAUUUAAUUAAAAUGUUUUAAAAAAUUUCUAUACUUUUGUAAAUAAUGAUUUGAAUAUCGGAAUUAACUAUUAAGUAAAAGAAUAAUGUUGUAUGGAAACUACAAAUUUCAUAAAUAUAAUUUGAACAACAAUAUUAGCAAAAAGGACAACUAAGAAUCCCUGUUAUGAAUCUUAAAAUGUAACGGGCAACUUAUCAUUUGAUGUAGAAUUUUUUAUAAUUAUUUUAUGUCUUUUAAUAUAUUUUUUUAAAUUUUAAAAAUUACAUUUAUCAACUAAUUAAAUUAUAUUCUAUAAUUAAUUUUAAAAAAUCUAUUAAAUAAAUUUUAUAACUUAAAUUUAACACCUAUUUUUAAUAUUUAAUUUUUAACACUUAAUAUUUCAAAACAACUAAAACUCCCAUCAAUAAAACCUCAUACCAUCAUUUAUUUAUUAGUCCAAAACAUAUAUAAUUUCUAAUUAGAAAUUCUUGGAAAAUUAAAAUGCUCCACCACUAUUGGAAUAUUAUUCAUAUAGAAUAAAGAUGGAGAAAAAAAAAAGACCGAAACAUUGAAAUUAAUAUGACUAAUAAAACCAAUAAAAUCUCAUAAUCCCAAAUUAAAAUUAACAAAAUGACAAAAGAAAGAUGUAAAGCAAAUUAAGUGUGAAUGGGACAUAAGACUAGGAAUAAAUGAUUCAUGCUUUAUUACUAAGAGGUUUAAUAUAUAUAAUAAGGGUAAAGUUAGACCAUCAAACCACUCAAAUUUGAUUUCAAUAACAAAAAAAAUUAUUCAACUUUCAACUCAAUCAUUUAAUUUUCAAAAAAUACCAAACCAGUCUUACUAAUUAUUUUUCGUUAUAGAUAUAACGAAAAUGUGACCUGUCAUUUAACUGGCCACGUUGGAGUCAUUGUUGUCAUUUAAUUGACCAUGUUGGAGAGUUUAUUGUCAUUUAAACAACCCCAUUUAAGAACCCUAGCUAGGAAGAAGAAGAAGAAGCCAGUGGCCUCAAAUCCUAAUAAUAAAACAAUAGCAAAAAAAUUAUUACAAGCCCAAAUACAAAAGAGAGGCCCAAUCCUAAUAUUUCAGUAGAAACCCUAGUUGCCCUAGCCUCAUGCUACGCCGCUAGCCGACAUGUCAGCAAAAGCAGCGCCCAAAACCUUUCCCCUUGCACCAAAACGGCAACAGCAACCUCGUUGACUUCCACCGCCUCUGUAAGAAACAAAAAAAGGAAAAAGAAGCAAAAACAAGAAACCGAAAAAACAUAUAUUGUAAUAUUAUUUCGGUUAUAAAAAUUGAUCUUUGUAACACGAAAAGGGAGAUCGAAUACAUCAAAAUAAGAAGACGAAAUUGAAAUACAAAAAAAAUAUUAGAAUAAUCGAAAUAAAAAUACCACAAAGUUCAAAAAGGUAACAUUUUAUUGUUUAUUAUUAUUUUAUUUUGAUUUUUCUCUUUUCAAAACAAAAAAAAAGGGGAAGAAACUUUACCUGUUUUGCGCCAUCGCCGGAGGUGCCCUCCGACUCGAGAAGACUUGGACCCCUUAGGGUCUAUGGAAAGCAUCGUUGGAGAGAGUAGAAGCCGAAAGGUUUCUCCCAUUUUUUACAAAUUUGGCUAAGUUUUCGACGAUUUCGGCUCCAAAUUUGUGAUCUACGCGGAAAAGGAUUUCGGGGCAAUUUCUGGUGAUCUUCAGCCACCGGAGGUGGCAGUCUCCGUCAAUGGUGACCGGCAGCCACAGCGGAGACUUGUUGGCCUCGUGGCCGGACUUGAACCCACUUUAGAGAAAAAAAAAGGAGAAUAAAGUUUUUUUUUUAAAAAAAGAACAGGCUAAAAUGAUUUUUUUAAAAAAAUUUCAACUUAUAUAGACAUAUCAAAACGACGUUGUUUUGGCCUGACUUUAGAAACCCCAAAACGACGUUGUUUUGACAUAUCAAAACCCGUUUUCCCCAUAGGAUCUGCGUGUUUUUGAAGGGAGGGGAUAUUUGCAGCUUUGGUCCUUUCACUUUUUUCAUCUUUUUUAAAACACAAUUUCCAAUAAAAUCUAACCCUAGAUCUAGAAAUAGUUAAAAAAAUCUAUAAAGUCGAGGUUGAUUAACAAAUGAAACAUCGUUAAGGAAACCUAUAACAUUAUUAAGGAAAUUUACAUAUCGAUUGGAAGGUCUUCUUCACCGGGUUAAGCGACGGGAAGUUGGGAGGGGGUGAACAAAUUAGGAAGGAAAAGUUUGGAUCUCUGAUGGUUUUUCUUGUUUCAACAUAUCCAUUUCUUCUCCUCCUCCUCCUCAUCUUUCUCUUCUUUUAGUGUUUUGUUUGAUUCUUAAAAUGGGUUUCCAUUGUGGCAAGUUAACUGGCCACGUCACUUGUCUCGUUAGACUUAUAACGAAAAAUGUUAGUGGGUGAUUGAUUUGUUAGUUUUUAAUAAUGUUAAUGAUCAAUUUGUUAUUUUUUAAAAGUUGAGUGACUAUUUUGUUAUUGAGAUCAAAAUUAAAUGUCUGUUGGUGUAAUUUAUUCUAAUAAUAAUUAAUUAUUAUUAUCCCUUGCUUUAAUAUGUUGAGAAAGUUAAGGGAAAUGUAAAUAAGUUAAAAGAAAGUUAGAAAUUAGUGAGUUUCAUCACUUUAGAAUUUUAAAAGACCGAAAAAGUGAGUGAAAAAGUGCCCACUAUCAAUUUGGAAAUUACUUUCCCCUCAUUUUUUAAUAUUGGUAUGAAUUUCGAUAUUAUAAGUUGUGAUGAUAUUUAAAUUUAAAUAUUCUAAUUAUUAUCUAUAAUAAAUUUGGAAUAGAUGUAAAUAUUAAUCCUUGAAUAUCUGUAUAUCAAAUUAGCUUUGCUUUUGUAAACAAUGGACUCAGAAUUUUGGACUUUUUAAAUUUAAGAUAAUUUUUUUAUUUUAAAUUUGAAUAACAAUAUUAUGAUUUAAUGCACAUAAUAAAGGGUUUAAAAUUUAAAGUAAGGACUCAAGUUGAAAUAUUAUAAGAAAAGUGCCAAACAAUUCCACAAAUUAAAAGCAAAGACUAAGAAUAGUUUAUAUUUUCCUCAAAGCAACCCAUUAUUGACUUUUUUUAGUCGUUAAUUUCAGUGUGUAUCUAUUCAUUUCAUACGCUUUAAGAAGAUUAUUGAAAAUUCACUAAAUUAUGAGAAAAUUUAGUCUUUGAGCCAUCAAUCUAUCUCGAUCAGCUAAGACACUCACCACAAUUCCAUCUUUUCUUUAUGUCAAAACUUAAAUAUGUUCUUUUUCGAAGAAAUUAUGUUAAGUUCCGUCAUCAUAAUUUCCACCCUUGUUUUUAUAAUGACUUGACUUAAAUGAAGUGGGAGACCAUUACAUUCAUAUAGUAAAAAUCAGAAAAAAAGAAAAAGAAAAAGAAAGAUUUGAUGGGUCAUAAAAGUAACUAAAAAUUUGACUAAAGUAAUUGUACCUAUCAAUUAAUAGGAUAGUUAUAGUGAAUAAAGAUAUCAUUUUCACGAAGACUUAAAUUCCUGUCAAAGAAAUAAUAUACUGGUAAAGCUAGGUUGACUUUGAAAUUUCAGUCUAAUUAAAAUCUCUAUUACAUUAACUUGUUCUUUGGAUUCCCUAUUAGAUUUGACUCUAAUUCGGUAGAUUUAUGUCGUCAUAUUUCUAGGAUUGCAUGCAACUUCACUCAACUACGUAAGAUUUACUCUUAAACAUGAUCUAUUCCUCAUUUGAUUUAAACACAUUAAACAUGGAUCAAUAAUUUAGAAAUAUUAAACCAAGAAUUGAGCACACAUAAUUGAAAAUAAGAAACUAAGCGUUUAUUAUGUAAAAUAAAAAUCAAAUGAUAGAAUCCAUCAUAGGGUUCGUCUUUCCUAGGUAUUUAGAAAAUUAGUUCAUGCUCGAAAAUAAAAACAUCCAUGAGAUAGUAUAAUAGAAAGAAAUAAAGAAACUCAUGAUAACUCCUUAGGAAUUCAACUAGGAAUCUUCAAUCUUAACUGAAAUCUUCUUCCAAGACAAGUUCAAUGGUUUUUUUGAGUUUUUUUCUUAAACGGCUUACUCCUCUGUUCUUAUUUCUGUCAUGUAUAAGUCUUAGAAUGCCCAAAAAUCCUAAAAAUCGCAUUUUUCGCAACUGGGUGUGAAAUCCCAUUAAAUCGAUAUAGUCUACCACAUGGCUAUGUGAUAGGCUGUGUGGAAUGGGUCAGCCUUUGUGGCUUCUAUAGCUUGCUCCAAUUUUCACUCAUUUUUCACUUCUUUUGUUCCCAAAUGCUCUAUUAAGCAUAAAAUCAUGAAUCUAAAGGAUUAGGAGCAUAAAAUUCACCAUUAACAUUGAAUAAUCAACCAAAAACGCAUUAAGAACGAGCUUAAAAUAUGUUACUUUUUAACACUUAUCAAGACUUAGAUGUUUGCAUGCAAUGCUAAAUAUUAGCAGCAACCUCAUUGACUUCUACCGCCUUUGCAAGAAACACAGAAAAGAAAAAGAAGCAGAAACAAGCAAUCGAAAAAAACAUAUAUUGUAAUAUUAUUUUAGUUAUAAAAAUCGAUCUUUGUAACUCGAAAAGAGGGAUCGAAUACAUCGAAAUAAAAAAAUGAAAUCGAAAUACAAAAAGAAAUAUUAGAAGAAUCGAAAUAAAAAUACGACAAAGUUCAAAAAGGUAACAUUUUAUUGUUUAUUAUUAUUUUAUUAUUAUUUUUCUCUUUUUGAAACAAAAAAAAGGGGGGAGAAACUUUACCUGUUUUAUGCUGUUGCCGGAGGUCCCCUCCGACUUGAGAAGACUCAGACCCCUUGGGGUCCAUGGAAGGCAUCGUAGAAGGGAGUAGAAAUUGAAAGGUUUUUAUUGUGUUUUUCACAAUUUAAGAAAUAGAAAUACCAAUGGAACAGUGAUUUUGGGUAGAUAAUGGACAGGUACUUGAUGAAAUUAUAACGAAUUACAAGGAAAAUUUGCAGAAAAUAUGAGUUGAGAGAAGAAAGUUACAGACUUAGGGAUGAGAAAAGAACAAAAACGUAUUACUGAAAUCAUGACAUUUUCUGGUAUUUUUCCUCCUUAAAAAAAGGGUAGCUGCAUGAGGGAAGUGUGAACUGUUAUUCCCUUCCACGUGCAACCAGCUGAGGUGUCACUUGACAAAAUCUUUCAGCCAUUUGGGAGCCAUUCUGGGCUGAGUGCUUCCUCUAGUAGCCUGUGUAUUUGCUAUUCCAGUAGCCUGCUGCUGCCUUGGUGGAUCGUUCACAACAUUACCCCCACAUCGAGACAUACCUUGUCCUCAAGGUUGAGAUCAGGAAAUAAUUUCAACAUGUGAGCCUUAUCUUCCCAAGUUGCUUCAUCAACAGAUGAGCCGUCCCAUUGUACCAGCCAUUGCUUAAUCAAGGAAUUAGCUCGCUGAAUAGACCCCGUCUUCAAUAUAGCUGUUGGUUGUAAUAUAAGAGCAGAAGUAGAAUCAAUGAGGUGGAGAGGUGUUACCUGUUGAUCUGGUUGGCCGAGGCAUUUCUUGAGCAAAGAAACAUGGAAUACAGGAUGGAUAUGCGCGGAUUCCAGUAGCUCCAAUUUGUAAGCAACUUCACCAACACGACCAAUUACCUUAUAAGGACCAAAAUAACGUCUACUCAGCUUGUGCUGGCGUUGCAAACGAAUAGAAUGUUGGCGAAACGGUUGGAGUUUGACAUAUACCCAAUCUCCUACGACAAAAGUCACUCACGAUGGCUCCUAUCAGCCAGUAACUUCAUUCGGUUCUGUGCUUACCGUAAAUUCUCCUUUAACACCCGAAGAACUUGAUCACGUUCCACGAGUUGAGCUUCUACCAAAGCAUUACCAGAAGUAUCUCGUACAUAGCGAGCAACAGUAGGAGGAGGGCGACCAUAUGGAACCUCAAAUGGUGUCAUUUUGGUAGCCAUUUGAUAUGCCGUAUUAUACCAAAAUUCAGCCCAUGGCAGCAUGUUUGUCCAAGUCGAGGGGUGAUCCGAAGUAUAGCAGCGAAGAUAUAUUUCAACACAUUUAUUCAAUGCUUCAGUUUGGCCGUCAGAUUGUGGAUGGUAGGCAGUACUCAUACUCAAAGUUGUACCCUAUAAAUGAUGGAUUUCCUUCCAAAAGUCACUGAGAAAUAGAGGGUUGUGGUCUGAAACAAUCUCCACUGGUAUGCCAUGCAAACGAAUAAUCUCCUGAACAAAAACAGCAGCCACUGAGAUGCUAGUAAAAUUAGUGGGCAACCCGAUGAAAUGGCCAUAUUUGGAUAAUCUAUCAAUGACAACAAAGAUAACAAUUUUGCCUUUGGAAGAAGGUAAUGCUAUAAUAAAGUCCAUAGAAAUGCUCUCAAAAACCAAAUUGGGAAUCGGUAAUGGCUACAGCAAUCCACUAGGACUCAAGGAUGAGGCUUUCAUUUGUUGACAAAUUUGGCACUCUUUGACAUAUUGCUUAACAUCUCGACGCAUAGAAGUCCAAAAGAAAUUGGAGGAAAGACGAUGAAAUGUGCGUGUAAUAUCAGAAUGGCCACUGAUGGGAGAUGCAUGAAACUUAUGAAUAAGCUGUAAACGGAUAGGAGAAUCAGCUGGAAUCAUUAGGCAACCCCGAAAUAAUAAUAGGCCAUCAUGGAAACUAAAGUCAGGAAAUUGUGCUGGGCCAGCACACACUCGUUGCUGCAUACCCAAAAGUUCAGGGUGUUGUAAGUUUGCUGCACGAAGAUCAGCAAUAAGAUCAAAUUGCACAGUAGAUAAAGUAAGUAAUUGAGAGGAAGGGAUGCGAGAAAGAGAGUCAGCAGCAACAUUCAACUUCCCAGAGCGAUAGAUAAUGUCAAAGUCGUAACCAAUAAGCUUGCUCAACUAUUUCUGUUGCUCAGGGGUUUGUAUAACUUGAUGCAUGAUAUUCUUAAGUGGUUGUUGAUUAGUGAUAACUGUAAAUCUCCUCCCCAACAAAUAUUACCGCUAUUUCGAAACAGCUUGAGUGACCACAUACAUUUCACGUUGGUACGUCGAGUAUUGUUGCAUGCGAAGACUCAUUUACUAGCUGAAAAAUGCUAUUUGAUGCUUAUCUUGGGACAAAACAGCUCCGAUCCUAGUACCAGAAGCAUCUAUUUCAACUGCAAAAGGUUUCAUGAAGUCCGACAAGGCUAAGACAGGGGAUGAACUUAAAACCUCUUUCAACUUGACAAAAGCAUUGGUAGCAGAUUUUGUCCAAAAAAAUUAUCUUUGCGAAGAAGAUUAGUAAGGGGCUCUGCAAUAGAAGAAAAAUGUCGAACAAAACACCGAUAGUAUCUUGCGAGACCAAGAAACCCGCGAAUCUCCUUAACUGAACGUGGUAAUGGCCAUUUUUGAAUUGCAACAAUUUUAUCCGGAUCGACAGAUACGCCUUGGCUAGAGAUGAUAUGCCUCAAAUAUCCAAUAGAAGUUUGGCCAAAAAUAAAUUUGGAUUGCUUUGCCACUAAUUGAUGUUGCCGUAAAAUCGAGAGCACAAGAUGAAUGUGCUCCAAGUGAGCCUCCCAAGAAGGGCUGUAAAUUAAGAUAUCGUCGAAGAAAACGAGUACAAAAUUCUGCAAGUAAGGUCGAAAAACAUUGUUCAUGAGACUUUGAAAGGAGGAUGGCGCAUUGGACAAGCCAAAUGGCAUUACGAGGAAUUCAUAAUGCCCCUCAUGAGUUCAAAAGGCAGUUUUGUACUCAUCGCCAAUGCGAAUUCGCAGUUGAUGAUAGCCGGCCAACAAAUUUAAUUUAGAGAAAUAAACAGCACCAUAUAACUCAUCAAAAUGUUCAUCAAUGGAUGGAAUAGGAAAUGGAUCAUUGAUGGUAAUGGCAUUUAAGGCUUGAUAGUCAACGCAAAAUCGCCACGUGCCAUCCUUCUUGCGCACAAGUAGUACCGGAGAAGAGAAAGGGCUAGUGCUUGGCCGAAUAAUUCCAUCCUGAAGUAUUUCAGCAACUAAUUUUUCAAUCUCAUACUUUUGAAAAUAUGGAUAACGGUAAGGUUUAACAUUGAUUGGCUCACUGUCAGACAACAAAUGUAUCGCAUGAUCACAUGCACGGAUAGGAGGCAGACCCUGCAGUUUGAGGAACACAUCAGCAAAUGAAGUAACCAGUUGUUCUAAUUCCAAUGGAAGGGGCGUGGAGUUAAUAGGUUGAAAGGAAACCAAUUCCAAAUGAAAAUACUAUGCAAUAGCAUUGAUUUGAUGAAGGCGACGCAACCCAUUAAAUUGUACCGGUUGAACCGAAGAUGAAGCUUCUCCUGUCCAUCGAAUAGAUUGACCGUGAUGCUUGAACUCAAAAAUUGAUGACCCAUAAUCUAUCAUAACUGGUCCAAGAGUGGAUAACCAAGUAACACCGAGGACCAUGUCCCAUCCCUUUAAUGGUAAGACAUAAAAAUCAAUGCAUAUUUCACAGCAUUGAAUUACUAAGGGUACUUGUUUGACAAUACCAGUGCAAACUAAACGCUCGCCACUGCUGACCAAUAUAGAGAAACUAGGAGAGGCAGUUAUUAGAAGAUUCAAAUACGUGGCCACACGGGUUUGCACAAAGUUAUGUGUGCUCCCACCAUCGAACAACACCUGGACUUGCUUGCCACGGACUGUACCCUCAAAUCGAAGAGUAGAAGAAGAGCAACCUCCAGCCAGGGCGUUGUAAGAAAUCGAAGAAUGGAGCUGUAAGUUGGUGUCAGGUGUGGUGGAAUCGAAAUUUAGUAGGUGAAGAUGGCGAUAAAAGUUCAGGCGCGAGAGCAUCAGGUGGCUCGGACUCUUCUUCCAGAAGUAACAGGUGGGAUUUUGCUUUACAUUUGUGUCCCCACUCAUACUUCUCAUCACAAUGAUAACAGAGGCCCUGUGAACGGUAGUGGGCAGCCUCAGUACAAGUAAGGCGGCGAAAUGGAACGCGGUUACCACUAGGUAAGGUUGCAGUGGCUGUUGGGGUGGAAGGAGAAAACACUGAAGGACCAGGAGAUUGUUUGGGAGUUGGUAACAAUGGUUUGGAACCACCCAGGCUAGGCUUAAGUACCCCACGUUCCAGCUGAAUGCGCUGUUCAUGGAGCUGGGCUAGAUGCAUGGCUUCAGACAAGGUGGCUGGUUUAUAGACCAAAACGGAGUGUUUAAUGUCAGCGCGGAGCCCAGAAAUAAAGCAAUGAGUCAAGAACUGGGUCGGAAGAUGCAUCGUGUGAUUUGUAAUGGCUUCAAAUUGAGAGCGAUAAUGAGCCACGGUAGAGUUCUGCUGCAACUUUGCUAAAAUUCCCUCGGGUUCCUCUAGGUCUUGAGAACGAAAUCGCUUCCAGCACGUAAGUUGUCUAUUUCUAUGCAUCCAGUCAUACCAAUCUAAAGCGGCACCGUCAAAAUAAAAUGAAGAAAUAGUUACCCGAUCGUCCAGUUUGAUUUGAUAAAAAUCAAAGUAACGUUCUGCCUGCAUUACCCAAUGUUCAGGAUGGUCGCCGGCAAAUCGAGCCAUCUAUACCGGAGUGGGUUUAUGAUGGCCCAAAGGUGUGAAACCAACAGAAUCCAUCGAAAGAGAAGCACCUGAAGAAUCAACAAUGGAUGUCCCCUUGAGCUUAGCCAAAACGUCCUGAAGAAGAUGCCUCUGAUCUUCCACUGAAGAAGCUAAUAGGUCAAAAUCACGACGCAUCGUCGUUUGAGAAUCGACAAUCGCCUUGAUAUUAUCAUCCAAGACCUUAAGACGAGUUUGAUGUUCACCCAUGGCUGGGGAGGCUCAAUGAAAGCACCAAUGUUGUGUUUUUCACAAUUUAAGAAAUAAAAAUACCAAUGGAACAGUAAUUUUGGGUAGAUAAUGGACAGGUACUUGAUGAAAUUAUAACGAAUUACAAGGAAAAUUUGCAGAAAAUAUGAGUUGAGAGAAGAAAGUUACAGAAUUAGGGAUGGGAAAAGAAUAGAAACAUAGUGCUGAAAUCAUGACAUUUUCUAGUAUUUUUCCUCUUUAAAAAAAAGGGUAGUUGCAUGAGGGAAGUGUCAACCGUUAUUCCUUUCUACGUGCAACCAGCUGAGGUGUCACUUGACAAAAUCCUUCAGCCAUUUGGGAGCUAUUCUAGGCCGAGUGCUUCCUCUAGUAGCCUGUGUAUUUGCUAUUCCAGUAGCCUACUGCUGCCUUGGUGGAUCGUUCACAACAGUUUUUCUUAUUUUUUAGGAUUUUGGCUAAGUUUUCGGUGAUUCUGACUCCAGAUUAGUGAUCUACGUGGAAAAAGAUUUUGGGGAAAUUUUUGGUGAUAUCCGACCACUUGAGGUGACAGUCUCUAUCACUGAUAACCUGUAGCCACUGUGGAGACUUGUUGGCCUCAUGGCCAGACUUGAACCCACUUUAGAGAAAAAAAGAAGAGUAAAGUUUUUUUUUUUAAAAAAACGGGCUAAAAUGAUUUUUUUUUUCAAAAUUUCAACUUAUAUAGACAUACCAAAACAACGUCGUUUUGGCCUGACUUCAGAAAUCCCGAAACGACGUUGUUUUGACUAAUUUUCUUAUGGAUAUGUUUGACUAUUUUAAUGAACAUCGCAGACACAUUUAUUUAGUUUAUAUGAAUAAACGUGAACACAAAUAGACCAAAAAAAAAUAAACUGACGGAUCAAACCUAAUUCAUAUACAAUCCUACUCACAAGGCGGGACAAAGAUUACUACAGAAUUAUGUGGAUUUGUUACAAUUUUAUCAGGCACAUUCCUCCUUCACAAAAACAAAGACAUGGGAAAAAAUUCUAGUGGCAGACUCCCUGUUUAUACAUCUCUUGAACCAAAUACAAUCGCCGAAUCUAGAUAGUUAGCCCUACAGGUUUGGAAUUCGUAUUUGGAUUCUAAUCCAUAGCUUUCUUGCAUUUAGUUUGUAAUAGGCCAAUUUAGCCCGAGCUCACAAAAAAAUAAUAAACCCAAAAUAAUAAAAUAAAGUCCAAGUCCAGUCCAAAAUUGUAUCAUUUGGCCCAAUCAGAAUGACCCAUUACUUGAAAAAGGAUAUGCAAUCUUAGAUAUGAUAUGCAAUCUUAGAAGAUAAGAUUUUGUAAUUUUAGAUAUUUAAUUUAUAGAUACCCUUUAAAUCUUAACCGUUGAUGAAAUUGAUCUAUACCGUUGGAUUUGGGGAGACUCAACUAUAAAUAGAGGCCUCCCCCUUCAUUGUAAAACACUGGAGUUGGGAGCAAUAAUAAAUCUUAAGAGCAUCCACUCAAAUUUAUCCUUCUCUUGCGUUCUUAUUUUCUGUGGCUUGUUCUUAUUUUGUUUUUCGUUCAUCUUCGUUUCUUUUUAAGUUGCUUUCAUUUGAGUUGGAUUUUGGUGGAGGAAUUUCUUUGAAUCUUCAUAUUGUGGGAGUAAGGCUGCUUUAAGCGUUUUUUAACCUUUUUUAAUUAUCUAUUUAAUUGUUUAAUCAUUAAUUAUUCUCUUACUUUUAUUUGUUUAUUUAUCUAUCAACUUUCUUAUUUACAUAUUGUUCAUUCAUUAAACCAUUCUUAUCAUUCUUUUAUUUUUUCAUUAAUUAUAUAUUUUAUUUGUUUUUAAUAUUAUGUCACACAUGUUGUUUAUUUUUUAAAAACUCGUGUUAUAAAUCAUUCAUUUUAAAUUGUUUGAUUAUUUGCCUUAAAUUUUUUUCCAUAUAUUAUCAAUUGCAAUUUAUAUUUUAUACUAUCUAUUUUUUUCCAUAUUUUGGCCCUCAGUUUGGUUUUAUUCUCAUUUUUUUUCCUUUUAAUUCUGUUUUAAAUUCAAUUUAAUCCUCACAAGUUUGAUUUAAUUUGUUUGUGUUUUAUUUAUUUAAGUAUUGAUUAUCAUGUUUUUUCAAAAUUUUGAAUCUGAUGUUAUUUGAAUGUUUAUACUUAUUAUUAUUAAAUUAAUCAUUAAAAUUAUCUAAGUGUAUUGUAUAUUAUUAUUUUAGAUUUAUCAUGUUUUAUUGUUUGUGAUUUAUCAAUAUUAUUAUUUUAUAUUUAUUGUUAACAUUAUUUUAAAUUUAUCAUGUAUAUCUAUUUCAAAUUUAUCAUUAAUAUUUUUAAAUUUAUUGUAUGCUAUUAUUUUGGAUUUAUCACGUAUGAUUAUUCUAGAAUUAUCAUCAAAAUUUUUAAAUUUUAUAUGUAUUAUUAUUUCAAAUUUAUUAUAUAUUAUUUAUUGUAAACUAUCCAAUUCAUUUUAAAUUGUAGAUAUUAUUUGUAUUAAAUUGUACAUUCAUAUAUAUUAUUAUUUUUAACUCAUAUAUAUUGUUUAUUUUAAAAUUUUCAUCCUAUAAUUUAUUGAUUAUUAUUUCUCCUCUUGCCAUUGAUUUCUUUAGUAUAUCUUUUAAAAUUGAUUAUUAAUUCAUUUAAUUUUAAAAUAUUGAUAUUGGUAUUUGUAUAAUGUAUGAUUGAAAUUAUUGUUGCCAUGCAUGUUUAUAUUUGUUUAUUAAUUAUUUGUUAUUCAUUAGUGUGUGAUUUAUUUACAAAUUAUCCUUUUGCGUCGUAUGUUAUCAUUUAAUCACAUUACAUUUUAUUCAAAAGUUUAUAAAACAAGACUCGAUAUUUAAGAUUUUCGAGAAGAUUAUGCCCUAACUUACUGGGCUUCAAUUUUCUCUUUAAAUUCAAAAUAGCCGAGUAUCCCUUUUUUCAAUAAAAUCAUACAAAUUUCUAAUAAAAGUUUAUUCUCAAGAAUUCAAAGGGUUGUGUCCUAACUCACUGGAUGUGACAUUUUGUUAUCUCGAGACGAGUUUUUAAAACAAAAGCAAAUUAUUCAUUCGACCUUAAGACAUUAAAUAAUUAAUUUGGUACCAAUUUUAGGCGUUACGAGGGUGCUAAUCCUUCCUCGUACGUAACUGACUCCCGAACCCAUUUUUUUUAAAACUCGUAGACCAAAAUCGUUUUCAGGUGAUCCAAUCAUAUCCCAAUAAAGGAUUGGUGGCGACUCCAAUUCUCAUUUUUAAGUCGAAACUAAAAGUUUUUUGUUUUCAAAAAGUGGUUUCGACAGCUUGGUGACUCCACUGGGGACCUAAGAGAGUCGAGCCAUAAAUUAAUUAAUUUUUGUCUCAUGGUCGAAAAAUCAAAUUUUGUUUUAAAUUACGUUUUUCCUUCGCAUUCAUUGGUUUUCAUCAUGGCAUACUUGCUUGGUUUAAGUCUGUAAAUUUGUAUUUUGCAUUACAUAAGUUGGUCGAAUUUACCCCUUUAAGUGGGAGUGAGAAGCUAGUCCUUCGUGAGGUUUUCACCUCCGUGCAGGGUAGUGGACCGCUUUCGGAAUAAAUCCGUACCUAUGUCUUCGUGAGAUUUUCAUCUCUGUGCAGCCAUAGGGAAAUGUAUUCCCCUGAACCAAACUCGGUCCAUAUGAGCCUAUAAUGGGUGAGGAUCGAGGAAUCUGCUGGUUCGGGUACCUUUGCUCUAGAAGCCAAAACCUCAUAUAGUGAGCUUUAGAAACUUGCCCUAGGUAGAACUAUACCAAACCUUAGCCAAUUCUUGAAUAGGUGUUUUUAUUAUUUCCUGUUUGUGAUGAAUUAUGUUUUUAUACAUGAUACUAACUAUGGUUGUGUUUUGUUGUGUUUGCAUGGCAUUUUGAUUACAUUGCAUUAUCAUCAUAAAAAAAGGGUGUUGAUUCAAGUUUGAUUACUAAAUUAGAAGGCUUGUCAUGGAAAACGAAUUUCUUGAUAAAGUGGAAGAUAAUAUGGCUGCCCAAAUAUAUUUCAAAAAACAGAACAAAAAAAGUACAUGAUGUUACUUAGUGGCCCAAGGAUUCAAGCAGAUUAUUCAAGAGCUACUGACAUUCUAACUUCCUUAAAAGAGCUGAUUAGUAUUACGAGGAUGGGCAAAUGAUGGAUCGUGACCAGGAUUAAGAAAAAGGAGCUAGUAGUAGCAUCCAUUGGAAAUUUGUGAGAUUUAUCUUGAACAUACGAAUAAAGAAAGAAACCGAUGUUUCUUAGAGUAUAAGGGCGAGGCCGUACAUGCAUCCGUUUUGUGUAAAGAAGUUUGUUUUCUAGUAAAGUCUUCUAAAUGGAAUUGAAUUAGAAUCAACAUCCCUUUUUGCAUUCACUUUAUGCAUUUGCAUUGCAUUACAUCAUAUGCAUUAAAAUCCACUAAAAGGGUCCUAAUUAAUUAAAAUCAUUUUAGUUUAUCUCGAAACCGAUAAAAAAACUUACCAACCAAACCUUGUUAUGGUAUCUGAGCAAAAGACGCCAAUGAAAGAAAGUAUUAAAGAGAUGUUGGGAGGCUUUCAUAAUAAUGCCAUAGACACAGCUGAAAGAGGGACCCUGUUAGUAAUCCGUCCUAACGAAUCUAGAAGCAAGCUAAAUAAUUGGACUGCAGAAGAAAGCCCUGUAGUCUUUAGAGCUUAUUUAGAGUAAUGUUCCGAACAUUCUUGUUGUUUUUAGCCUAAAAAUAAGAGGAAAUCCUUUGUGAAAUAGGCUCAUGUCUGAAUGUUAUUCUAAUAAAACACAUUUUUGCAUUCGCUUUAAGCAAAGUGUUCUUUUAUUCUUUCAUUUGUUUGAAAUUGUCUUCCAAAUCAUUCUUUCAUUACAUUUAUAAUCAUGUUCAUAAAUUUAUAUAUUCUUUGUAUAUUCUUUGGUACCUACCGUAGGUCCACAGAUAUCAAUGACAUGAGUGACACUGCUACAAACUUAGAAUUUCCUUUUGAACGAGACAUGUGUUUAGAGGGAUCGUAUGACUUUGAAGAUGACAUAGAUUGUAGCCUAUCUCCGGACUUGUUGAGGAUGGUGGAACAGGAAGAGAAACAAAUCUUACCUCAGAAGGAGUCAAUAGAAAUUAUGAGUUUGGAAGAGGGAAAAAAGGUGAAUAUUGAAACUGAUAUUAGCACAAAGACGAGACGAGACCUCAUUAAGUUACUCUAAGAAUUUAAAGAUAUCUUCGCAUGGUCAUACCGAGAUAUGCCGGGAUUAAGCACUAACAUCGUAGUGCAUCGCCUUCCUAUAAGAGAGGAUUGCAAGCCAGUACAGUAGAAAAUCUGAAGGAUGAAGCCUGAUAUUGUGCUAAAAAUAAAGGAGGAGGUCAAAAAGUAGUUUGAUGCUGGGUUCUUACAGGUGAUCAAGUACUCUGAAUGGGUAGCCAACAUUGUCUCAGUCCCUAAAAAAGAUGGGAAAGUAAGAAUGUGCGUGGAUUACAGGGAACUGAACAAGGCCAGCCCAAAAGAUAAUUUCCCAUUACCUCAUGUCGACACUCUAGUGGAUAAUACAGCGGGCUAUUCUCUGUUUUCCUUUAUGGAUGGCUUCUCGGGAUACAACCAGAUAAAGAUGCAUCCCGAAGAUAUGGGAAAGACCACAUUCAUCACCCUUUGGGGAACGUUUUGCUAUAAGGUGAUGCCGUUUGGUUUAAAGAACGCUGGGGCAACAUAUCAAAGAGCUAUGGUAGCCUUGUUUCAUGACAUGAUGCAUAAGGAAAUCGAGGUUUAAUUUGACAAUAUGAUUUCCAAAUCUAGAAUAGAAGAGGAACAUGUGCAGGUCCUGAGGAAGCUGUUCUUAAGACUGUUCUUAAGACUGAGGAAAUUCCAGCUCAAGCUUAACCCAACGAAAUGCACUUUCAGAGCUAAGUCAGGAAUGCUAUUGGGUUUUAUAGUCAGUAAAAAAGGGAUCGAGAUUGACCUAGAAAAAGCUAAAGCGAUACGAGAUUUACCUCCACCACGUACUCAGAAGGAAGUUCGAGGUUUCUUAGGGAGAUUGAAUUACAUUGCCCGGUUUAUCUCACAACUAACUGAGAAAUGUGACCCAAUAUUUUGUCUAUUAAAAAAACAUAAUACAGGUGAAUGGGAUGAGGAAUGCCAAGAAGCCUUUAACAGGGCAAAACAAUACUUGUCAAAUACUCCAGUACUGUCACCACCUAGCCCCGAUAGGCCACUGAUACUGUAUUUGACAGUGUUUGACAAUUCCAUGGGAUGUGUGCUGGGCCAACAUGAUGAGACAGGAAAGAAAAAAGGGCAAUAUACUAUAUCAGAUUGUGAAAUGAGAUACUCGCCUAUUGAGAAAUUAUGUUGCGCUUUGAUCUGGACGACUCGGAGACUGAGGCAGUACAUGUUGUACUAUACGACUUGGCUAAUUUCAAAAUUAGAUUCUCUAAAGUAUAUGAUGGAGGCGCCUGUUUUGAAUGGGAGGAUGGCUAGAUGGUAGGUUUUACUUUCUGAAUUUGACAUAGUUUAUGUGAGUCAGAAGGCCGUGAAAGGGAGUGCAAUAGCUGACUUUCUAGCUAGUAAAGCUUUAGAAGAUUACGAGCCCUUGAAUUUUAAUUUUUCGAACGAGGAUUUGAUAUAUGUGGCAACUACUAAAGAAGAUUCCCAAGUGGGUCGCAUUUGGAAGCUAAAUUUUGAUGAAGCCUCGAACCCUGUGGGCAAUAGAAUUGAGGCAGUCUUAAUAUCCCCAGAUGGGAAUCACUAUCCUUUUACUUGCAAGUUGGAUUUUGGUUGCACAAAUAAUAUGGUAGAAUACGAAGCAUGCAUUAUGGGUAUUCGUGCUACUAUAGCGCGUGAUAUCAAAGUACUAGAGGUAUAUGGGGAUUCUACAUUGGUGAUAUACCAACUCAAAGGUGAAUGGGAAACGAGAGAUCCCAAAUUAAUCAGCUAUUGAAUGCUAGUUCUCGAAUUGAUUGAAGAGUUUGAUGAUGUUACUUUCUGCUAUCUCCCACGAGAUGAAAAUCAGAUGGCUGACGCGUUAGCUACUCUAGCCUCCAUGAUUAAAGUGAACAGACAAGAGGACAUGAAGCCUAUCUAGAUGAGCAUCUAUGAAGCCCCAGCUCAGUGUUACAAUAUCAAAAAAGGAAAAAAUAAUGAUAGCCCUUGGUAUCAAGAUAUAUUGUGAUAUGUGAAGAAUUUUGAAUAUCCUGACCAGGCAGCUGAGAAUGAUAAGAGGACUCUGAGAAGAUUAGCCAUUGAUUAUGUCCUAGAUGGAGAUAUCUUAUAUAAAAAGGGAAAGGAUCAGGUACUAUUAAGAUGUGUGGACGCUGUGGAGGCUAAGAAAAUAUUGGAGGAGGUCCAUGAGGGUAUUUGUGGAACACAUGCCAGUGGUUUCACAAUGGCUAGACAGAUUAUGAGAUUCGGAUACUACUAGUCCACCAUAGAAGGAGAUUGCAUUAAUUAUGCUAAGAAGUGCUAUAAAUGCCAAAUUUACAGUGAUAAAGUGCAUGCACCUCCUUCGCCUCUUCAUGUUAUGACUUCUCCAUGGCCUUUCUCCAUGUGGGGUAUGGAUGUCAUUGGGCCAAUAUCACCAAAGGCUUUUAAUGGGCAUCAUUUCAUCUUUGUGGUUAUCGAUUACUUUACUAAGUGGGUGGAAGCUGCUUCAUAUGCUAAUGUCACAAAGUCAGCAGUCAGCAUGUUCUUAAAAAAGGAGAUCAUAUACCGAUAUGGAAUGCCCGAAAGAAUUAUAUCUGACAAUGCAUUGAAUUUGAACAACAGCUCAAUAGCAUAGGUCUGCAGUCAAUUUAAGAUUAAGCACUAUAAUUCGUCACCGUAUCGCCCAAAAAUGAAUGGAGCAGUAGAAGCUGCCAAUAAGAAUAUCAAGAAAAUUAUGGGGAAAAUGGUUGAGACUUGCAAGGACUGGCAUAAGAAACUACCAUUUGCCCUCCUUGCUUAUCGAAUGUCAAUCAAGACUUCCACCGGGGCAACGCCUUUCUCCUUGGUUUAUGGUAUGGAGGCAGUGUUACCUAUUGAAGUCGAAAUCCCUUCUCUCUGGGUGUUGACUGAACCAAAGUUGGAUGAAGUAGAAUGGGUUCAAUCUCGGUAUGAUCAGUUGAACUUAAUAGAGGGAAAAAGAUUGAAAGCUAUUCAACAUGGUUAGAUGUAUCAAAAGUAAAUGAUGCGGGCCUACAACAAAAAGGUUCGUCUAAGAGAAUUCCACGAGGGGGACCUAGUAUUGAAAAAGAUCUUUCCCAUGCAAAGGGAUUUCAGAGGGAACUGGAUGCCAAAUUGAGAAGGUCCAUAUGUUGUAAAUAAGGCUUUUUCCAAAAGGGCUCUAAUCUUGAGGAAGAUGGAUGGCAGAAACUUGCCAAACCCUAUAAACUCAGAUGCAGUCAAGAGGUACUUUACCUAAAAGGAGAAGGAUCAAAGUGAAAACCCGCAAAGGACGCUUUGAGUCCUUAAAAAAAAGAGAAAAGGAGAGGCCAAGGUGAAAACCCGUAAAGGGUGCCUUGAGACCAAAGGGGAUUUGAGUUGAAAACCCGAAAAGGGUAGCUCAGAUUUUGAUCAAGGUGAGACAUGAGGUGAUCAAAGUAACUCAAAAUUUUGAUUGGGGCAUGUGGUGGUUUUGCUAUGCCUGAAUUAAGGAGAAAGGAGGUAUGCGAUGUUUAGGGCAUCGACAGAGUACUGUAGAUCUUCUAAACACAUGUCUUCAGAAAGUUUGUACAAAGAAGCUCAGGCUGCGAUAUCUGGGGCACCUAGCCUUCCUACUAUUUAUAUUGAACUUGUCAUCCCUGGAAUACUUUAUUCUUUGCUAUUCUUGGAAUACUUUAUUCUUUUCAAGAAACUUGUUCUCAAUCAGUUUUUUUAUAUAUUUACAUACUUUUUGACAAUUUAUUCAUUUUGAACUAUCUUAUUCUUAUCCAGUGUUAUAAUCUUUCGCACUCAUGUUGCGUUAGAAUACUGAUUAAUAGACUAAUAAAAAUUUCACAAGGGAAGUUUUGCAUAUUACUCUGGAAGUUUCUAAAUAAUACAGUAAUCUGAAACGGGACUAGUGUUUAGAAUACACCAAGCUUAAAUGUUGAAAUAUCUAGGAAUGAAAAGUCUAAAUUCAGACUAUCCCUUUAGAUAUCCCUUCAGAUUUUGUUGUCAAAAGUAUUAAUUGAACAAAAUGACAAGAUGUCAUGUUGGAGAUAAAGCUUCAAUCACCAAGCAAUAAAAAGGGGUUUUCUUGGAGAAGAGAAUAAUUCAUUGUGUAUAGGCAUGGUGUAGAGAGCCAAAGAGUUUCACAUUCCAUAUCCUUGAAUUGCGAUAAGAGAAGAUUGAGGGAAAACCAGAUUUUUUUCUCUACCCUUGGGUUACAGAAGGAAAAGAUGGUACAAAUUUUGUGUCCCAGUGGAUUGAGCCUUGAAGUUUAUAGUGGGGUAAUCUGAUUAAAUUCUGUUUUGGAUGCUGGCUGAGCAUGAAGGCGUUAUAGCACUUCGGUGAUAAGACCUUAAUAAACUUUAAGCAAUGGCAACAUAAGCGAUAAAGAAGGAUCAUUCUAAAAAAUGACAUUCUGCAUUCAUGCAAACAUCAUUCAUACAUGUCUAGUUAGGAGCAUUUGACUCACUUUGAUCAUGGCAUCCCAAUCAUUAGGCAUAAUUAGGUUCAUGCAGGUCUUGUUCCCUAGAGAAUAGACCAUUGGAAAUAGCAAAUCUUGUCUCCCUAAACAGUAGUGGAGCAGAUCGAGGACAGCAAAUCUUAUAUUCCUAAGAUAGUAAUGAAGCAGAUUCAAGCCACCGGUCCUAUCUCCCUAAGCAGCAGUGGAGUAGGUUGAAUAUUGUAGAUCCUGUCUCCCUAAGCAGUAGUGGAGCAGAUCGAAGACGGCAAAUCUUAUCUUCCUAAGAUAGUAGAGAAGUAGAUUUAAGCCACCGGUCCUAUCUCCCUGAGUAGCAGUGGAGUAGGUUGAAGAUUAUAGACUCUGUCUCCCUAAGCAGUAGCGGAGCAGGUCGAAGACGGUGAAUCUUAUCUUCUUAAGAUAGCAGUGAAGCAAAUUUAAGCCACCAAUCCUAUCUCUCUGAGCAGCAGUGGAGUAGGUUGAAGAUUGUAGAUUCUGUCUCCCUAAGCAGUAGCGGAACAGGUCGAAGACGGUGAAUUUUAUCUUCCCAAGGUGGUAGGAAAGCGAAUUUAAGCCACCAGUCCUAUCUCCCUGAGCAGCAAUGGAGUAGGUUGAAGAAUGUAGAUACUGUUUCCCUAAGCAGUAGUGGAGCAGAUCAUGAAUCUUAUCUUCCCAAGGUAGUAGGGAAGCAGAUUUAAAUCACUAGUCCUAUCUCCCUGAGUAGCGGUGGAGUAGGUUGAAGAUUGCAGAUCAUGUCUCCCUGAGCAGUAGUGGAGCAGAUCUAAGACAGAGAAUUUUAUCUCUUUGGCAUUACAGUGGAACAUAUUAAAGCUACAACAGCGAAUCUUGUUCCCCAGACAUUACAGUUAAAUAGAUUGAAGUUACAACAACAGAUCUUAUUUUCCUAGCAUUGCAAUGGAACAGUUGAAGCUACAAGUCUUAUCCCCAUAAAGUUACAGUGGAGGCAGACAGAAGAUGACGAAUCCUAUCUCCCUGACAUUGCAGUGGAGUGGAUCGAAGUAGCAACUCCUAUACCCUUGAAAAUAGUAGGUCGGAGUGAAGAUACUUACCAAAAGAAGUCAAUACUCGACAAGACCGGGCAAAAUUGGCCUUCUUUAGUCUUUGCUCUAUUCUCAUUACACGACAAUGAGUAAAGAGGGGCAGCUGUAAUAGGUCAAUUUAGCCCGGGCUCACAAAAAAAUAAUAAACCCAAAAUAAUAAAAUAAAGUCCAAGUCCAGUCCAAAAUUGUAUCAUUUGGCCCGAUCAGAAUGACCCAUUACUUGAAAAAGGAUAUGCAGUCUUAGAUAUGAUAUGCAAUCUUAGAUAAGAUAUGCAAUCUUAGAAGAUAAGAUUUUGUAAUCUUAGAUAUUUAAUUUGUAGAUACCCUUUAAAUCUUAGCCGUUGAUGAAAUUGAUCUAUACCGUUGGAUUUGGGGAGACUCAACUAUAAAUAGAGGCCUCCCACUUCAUUGUAAAACACUGGAGUUGGGAGCAAUAAUAAUUCUUAAGAGCAUCCACUCAAAGUUCUUCUUCUCUUGCGUUCUUAUUUUCUGUGGCUUGUUCUUAUUUUGUUUUUCGUUCAUCUUCGUUUCUUUUUAAGUUGCUUUCAUUUGAGUUGGAUUUUGGUGGAGGAAUUUCUUUGAAUCUUCAUAUUGUGGGAGUAAGGCUGAUUUAAACAUUUUUUAACCUUUUUUAAUUAUCUAUUUAAUUGUUUAAUCAUUAAUUAUUCUCUUACUUUUAUUUGUUUAUUUAUCUAUCAACUUUCUUAUUUACAUAUUGUUCAUUCAUUUAACCAUUCUUAUCAUUAUAUUGUUCAUUCAUUUAACCAUUCUUAUCAUUCUUUUAUUUUUUCAUUAAUUAUAUAUUUUAUUUGUUUUUAAUAUUAUGUCACACAUGUUGUUUAUUUUUUAAAAACUCGUGUUAUAAAUCAUUCAUUUUAAAUUGUUUGAUUAUUUGCUUUAAAUUUUUUUCCAUAUAUUAUCAAUUGCAAUUUAUUUUUUAUAAUAUCUAUUUUUUCCAUAUUUUGGCCCUCAGUUUGGUUUUAUUCUCAUUUUUGUCCUUUUAAUUCUGUUUUAAAUUCAAUUUAAUCCUCACUAGUUUGAUUUAAUUUGCUUAUGUUUUAUUUAUUUAAGUAUUUAUUAUUAUGUUUUUUCAAAAUUUUGAAUAUGAUGUUAUUUGAAUGUUUAUACUUAUUAUUAAAUUAAUCAUUAAAAUUAUCUAAGUGUAUUGUAUAUUAUUAUUUUAGAUUUAUCAUGUUUUAUUGUUUGUGAUUUAUCAAUAUUAUUAUUUUAAAUUUAUUGUUAACAUUAUUUUAAAUUUAUCAUGUAUAUCUAUUUCAAAUUUAUCAUUAAUAUUUUUAAAUUUAUUAUAUACUAUUAUUUUGAAUCAAGUUUAAUAUAAUUAUAUUAAUAAUAUAUUUUUAUUUUUAAUAUUAUAAUUUUAUUUUAUUAAUAAAUUUUAAUAAUUUAAUUUAAUUUUAAAUAAUGUUCUCAAUAUAUUAUUAAAAAUAUUGAUAUUGAUAUUUUAAUGAUAAAAAUAUAUAUAAUUUAUAAAUAUUCAAUAAUAAAUAUUUUACAGUAUAAAAUAUGGUUAUUUUAAUUGUCAUUCUUCAAUGGUAUUUUCAAUGCAAUCACAGUCCAUUCUCCACAAUCAACAAGGAAAGAUGUUUUAAAUAGGUUAGACUUCAAAGUCGAGCUUGCAUAUAUUUGGAAUACUAACCUCAUUUAAUGUCUAAAAAAAUUAUAUCAAUAAAUCGCGAACAUCAAAUAUAACGAGUAUAAAAUUGUUGCGAGGAUUAUAGAGGUGACUACUUCUGAUAGGCAACCCAAAAACUUGACUCAACAAAUUUUAAUAUCUAAUCUAUUAUUUGAUUUCUUUUAAAUUUUUAUUUAUUAAAUUUAAAUAUUGAACAUAUUUCAACAUAUGAUUAUUUGUUUUGGACUUUAAUAAUAAUACUUAGACUUAAAAAGACUGAAACAUCAGCAUUAAUAAGAAGAACAAGACUUCAACAAAGUGGUUGAUCAUAGUUUUCAUGCAUUAAUGAUAUCGCAAAAAGACUUCAACAGUUGCAUCUGCACGCAAUGCCCAAGACUAAAGAUUAAGGCCAACAAUAUUUAUAUUUGCUUUUUUAAUGACUUCAACUCAUGCAGUAAUGAGGAGGCAAAAGACUUGAACAUUUGCUUGCAUGACUAAUCUCUCAUACUAUUAGUCAUAGUUUCAACACUUAAUUAGAAUAGUUUAAAGUUUAGAUACUAAUUUAGAUCUGAUUCAUAGUUUGAGGCAAAUCAAUUGAAACAUAUAGAAUAAAGAUGAAGCAAAAAGACGAAAAUAUCAUAAUUAAUAUGACUGAUAGGAUACAAAUAUUUUAAUCAACAGAGUACAAAUUCUGAUAAUUUUUAGAUUUGAAUAUUUUAAUUAUUAUCUAUAAUGAAUUUGGAAUAGCUGUAAAUAUUAAUAUUUGAAUUUACGGUAUUCAAAUUAGUUUUAGUUUUAAUCACUAGAGUUAGGUGAGAUAUAUAGUAAGGAUCUUUCUUACCUUAAUCCGUGGUUGAGGGUUUGAUCCUCGCAUUAAGUAUGAAGCAACUUUAAAGCUCAUGGCAUCUACUCCCUAAAUGGGCUUACAAAAUGCAAAUAUUUACUUACCGACUAGAUCUUGAGAAAUAUAUUUUUUUGGUUUUAUAAAUAAUGGAGUAGAAUUUCGGAAUCAAUUAACUACUUUACUUUUAAAAUUUAAGAUAAAUUCUUUAUUUUAAAUUUGAAUAACAAUACUAUGAUUUAAUCCACAUAAUAAAUGGUUUUAAAUUGAAAGCAAACAUAUGGAGUGAACUUCAAAUAUUAUAAGAAAAGUGCCAAACAUUGUGCAAAUGAAAGCAAUUCCUCAAACCAAACCAUUAUUGACUCUUUUUAGUCUUUAGUUUCAUUGUGUUUCUAUUGAUUUGAUACACUUUGACAAGUUCAUUGAAAAGUCACCAACAAAAUUUAGUCUUUGAGCCAUCAAUCUCUCUCAACCAGUUAAGAAAAUCACCACAAUUCCUUUACUUUUUUAUGAAUUGACUAAAAUGAAUUGGUAGAAACAUUAUUUUCAUGCAGUACUGAUGGGGAUAAGACUAAGAUUAAUAGUAUUUUAUUCUUAUACUAAGACUUAGUCUAAGGCCAACAAUAUAUUUUACUAUUAUUUAGUUAAAAGUUUUUGAAGUUUAGAGAUAAAUUUAGAAUUCAACUUAUAAUUUGGGGUGUUAAAUUUAAUUAAACCCUUUAAUAGAUCACAACAUAUUUAUAAGUUUGGUACUGCUUCAUAAAUUAGGACAUAAAAGCACUAUAUUAAAAUUAAUUUCGUAUAUAAAUUAAUUCUUUUGGGUGUUAUACCAAAUUUAAUUAAAAAAUUUUAAUAGUAAUUUUUAUUAAAAAUUAAAUUAUGUAAGAAUAAUUAUAUAUAAUCUAUAUCUAUAUACCUAUAUAUAAAAAUUGGUUUCUACCUUCUUUCUUUUUACAUGUGGCAUACCCAAUCAUUUUUCCUUUUUUUUUUAAAUUUACAUUUUACAAAAAAAUUAAAAUUAAAAUUUAGUUUCUUUAAUAUGCCUAAAUUUGAGAUUUAAUCUAUACUUUAUUUUUUAACAUAAUUUAGGCACUAUAUUUUUAUAAUGUAAUAGAUUAGUCCUUACACGUGGCACAUCCAACCAUUUUUGUUGUCCUUUCCUUUAUCCUUUUUUUUUAAUUUUACAAUAAAAUGUUAAAUUUCAGUUUCAAUCCCUCUAAUAUGUCUAAAUUUGAGAUUUAAUCUAUAUACUUUAAUCUUUAACAUAAUUUGGGCCCUACAUCUUUAUAAUGUUAUUAAUUAGUCCAAAUUAUUAAUAUGAUUAACUUUUCGGUGAAACAUUACGUGGUUAUUGAUAGUUUGCAUACAUAAGAGUCUUAGAGACUGACACAUUACUUUCCAUUUCUUUUAGGUUUGCAUCGCUUUUUUGUAAGCUAUACUGAAACUUAAUAUUUAAUCUAUAUAUUUAAUUUUUGAUAUAAUUUAGUUCAUCUACUUUUGUAAUGUAAUUAGCUAGUCAAAAUAGUUAAUGUUGUUGGUUAUUUCUAUCAAAAUGCUAAUGUCAAUUUUUCUUAAAAACAAUAUGUUUCUGAUAGGAUUUUUUUUUUAUCGUGGCGAUGUGAAUGAGUGUUUUUAAGAAAAGUCUUUAUAAAAUAUUUUAAAAGUUAUUUUUAUUGUUACAUGACUACCAAUUGAUUUUUUUUUAAUUUCAAAAUAUCACCUCAGAGAAUUUAAUAGAAGAAUUUUAAUGAUAGUAUAAUUGAAUCAAAAAUUUUAAAUUUUAAAAGUAGAAAAUCAUAUUUCUAAAAAUAAAAAUAGAGAAGCGAAAUUCUAAAUGUACAAAAUAGAGAGAAUUAAAAUAUAUUUUAACCUUCAAAUAUUUUACUCUAUAAUUAUAUAUUUUUACUCUAUAAUUCUCACUUCCACUUUAUCUUUGUUAAUUUCCUACUUAUUUCUAUUUUUUCUUUUGCUUAUGAAUCUAAACAGAGAAAAAAAAGGACAAAAAAAAGAAAGAAAUGAAUAGUAUGAAUUAAAAUUUGAGAUUUGAUCCCUAUUAAAAAUUAAAAAUUUAUUGUUUCUAUUUUUUUUAAUUUAAAAAUCAUAGCUAAAUCCUUCUACACGUAAUUUAAAAUUUUUGUGCAUUCAAUCAUCAGAAUUUCCACUCCUUGUGCCCAUCGGUUCAUCUCAAAUCACCUAAGAAACUUGCUAUAAUUUGUUUUUAUAAUGACUUAUACAAAUCGGUUGAACAUUGAUUUCAUGCAGUAGUGGUCCACCAAGAAGACUUAGGGUAAUUUUGGAUAGGUGGUGUAUUUAUUUGCUGUUAGUCUAAAAAUAGCGAUAACGGUAAGAUUAGAUAUUGUAACGAUACUGUAACAUGAGAUAAAAAAUAAGCUAAAUGCAUCGCACCGCACCGCCCAUCCAAAUCCACCCUUAGACAUUAACAUGCAUGCCAAAACAAUUAAGACUAAGGCUAAUAAAAUCUCAUAUUAUCAUUUUUUUUGUUAGUCCAAAAUAAAAAAAAUAUUAAAAAAAUCUAAGUUAGACAAUUAUUGAUAAUUUAAGGACUUAAUUGAAAUAUUUUUAAAAUUUAGAUAUUAAUUUAUAAUUUAAUCCAUUAUUCAGGGGGAAAAGAUCAGAACCUUGGAAUAUUAUUCAUACAGAAUAAAGAUGCAGAAAAAAGAAUGGUCUUCAUUUCUUUCGUUCUUUAUCAUUUUAAUUAACUUUAAGGAAGCUUCAAAGUAAAAAUUUAAAUAUGUUUCUUCCCAAGAAAUUAUAUUAACAACUUAAUGUAAAUAAUGAUUUGAAUAUUGGAAUUAAUUAUUAAGUAAAAUAAUAAUGUUGUAUGGAAACUACAAAUUUAUGUAUAAAUGUGUUGCAUGAAAACCAUCCUCCUUCAUACCCAAUCAACAUGAAGACUCUUCAGUCCAUUGUUUCACUUUUUCUACCUUUCUUCUUUCUCUUCUCAUCCUUUCUUUCUCAAACUCAUCUCCUAAUGCAGUGCCUUAAUAAAUAAGUUGUAUGCCAAACACAAUCCUCCUUCACACCCAUCCAACAUGAACACUUUUCGUUUCCUUAUUUCACUAUUUCUCUUAUCAUGCAUCUUUCCUCUUCUCUUGUCUUUUUUACCUCUUCAAACUAAUCUCCCAAUGCAUUAAUGCCUUGAUGACUAGAUAUCUCCUAUGCUGCAAUUGCAACAUCAUCUUUACUAUGCCCCUAAUUUUCAUUUCUCUUCCAAAUUUGAGCUAUGUGAUGUCAACACUGAUUGUUGUUCUUGGGAAGGAGUCACUUGUGAUGCUUAUGGUCAUGUCGUUGGCAUUGAUGUUAGUUACAAAAACCUUUCUGGUAUCUUCCACUCAAUAUUCGAUCUCCAUCAUCUUCAACACCUGAAUCUUGCUGAAAACAACUUUAAUACCACUUUGCAUUCUUAUGGGUUUGUGUUGAAGUUGGCCUGCAUGCAGCCAAGAAGUAGAGAAGCACCCUGAGCCAUGAAUGUUGCAAUUGAAGAUGGUGCUGUUUUUUUGUUUAGUUUUGUUACUUUAAUUAACAUUUUGUAACUUAGUUAGAUUCAAACCAAGUUGUUAAUGUACUUGAUGUGUUUGUCAAUGUUUUGAGUUGAUAAACCAGCUUCACUAAGUGUGCAAGUUAUGUUUCAUUAGUUUCAAGGUUACUUAGUGGCAGUAGGUAAUGUUUAGGUAACAAUAUGCUUAUUUUUAACUAGCUUAUGUCUGGUAUAUGUAUUGGCAUUGUGCCAUCCUUCAAUGCUAAUGAAAAUUCAUCAAAAUUCAUCAUAAAAUUUCCUUUUCUUGCUUUCUUUUGUCUUUCAAGCCCGAUUCUAUUUUGUUUGCUCAGCAGGUAUCAAGCCUUCAAGCUCAAGAAAUUGCUAACUUCAUUCAUUUCACAUUCUUAGUUCCAACAAUUGGUAUCUAGAGCUCAUCUUCUUAGUGGACCUGUCAUUUUUCAUUCCUCAAAACUAUGUCUUCUUUAGGUUCUCUCCAGCUGCACCACCAGUCUUCAAUGGAGAAUGCUACCACAUUUGGGUAGUAAAGAUGAAAACCUACCUGCAGGCAUUCGACUUAUGGGAAGUGGUUAACUCGGAUGUUGAACCAGCACCUCUAAGAGUCAAUCCCACAGUGGCUUAGAUCAGGCAGCACAUAGAUGAAAGAACUAAGAGACACAAGGCCAUGUCUUGCAUCCAAAACAGUGUGUCUGAUGUGAUUUUCACAAGGAUCAUGGUUUGUGAGUUACCAAUAGGCCUGGGACAGGCUGAAGGAGGAGUUUCAAGGGACUGAAAGAAUGAGACAACAAUAAUUAGUAAUUUGAGAAGGGACUUUGAAAUUUGAAGAUGAAGGAAGAAGAAAUAGUGAAGCAAUAUUCAAAUAGAAUUAUGGUUGUUGUGAACAGUAUCAGAUUGCUCGGGGACCAGUUUAGUGAAGCAAGAAUUAUAGAGAAGGUUAUCUCAACCUUGCCUGAAAGAUAUAAAGCCAAGAUCUCAUCCCUUGAAGACUCGAAAGAUCUGAUUAGCAUCUCGUUGACUAAGUUGAUUAAUGCUCUUUAUGCUUAAAAGCAAAGAAGAGCCAUUAAACAUGAAGAGCAUAAAAAAUGUGCAUUCCAAGCUAAAAGUAGACUUGCCUCGAGCUCCUCUAGCUAUAAAUGGAAGAAGACCUAGAAAGAAUGUCUAGAAGAGAUGGAGUAAGAAAAAGAUAUCCACCUUACCCACAUUGCAAAAGGCUUAGUCAUCAGGGAGAAAACUAUUGGUUCAAGUCUAAUGUGCAGUGCAAAGUCUGCAAAAAGAUGGGCUAUGCUGAGAAAGUUUGCAGAAACAAAGGCAAGUUGAGACAAAACCAACCUCAACAGCCAAGAGCUGAAGCUCAAGUGGCAGAAGAAGGUAGUGACCAAGAAGAGCAAGCUUUUGUUGUUUCAUGCUCGACUGCCAAAAGAAAAGCCACAAAAGAAUGGCUGAUAAACAGUGGUUGCACAAACCACAUGACUCCUAAUGCUGCUAUUUUCAAGACCUUAGAUAGAACCUUCAACACAAGGGUGAAAUUUGACAAUGGACACUUCAUCAAAGUAGAAGGCAAAUUGGAUGUGCUGAUUGACACUCUUACAGGUAUCAAACUUGUUUCAAAUAUCUUGUUUGUGCCUGAAAUUGAUAGAAAUCUGUUUAGUAUGGCUCAGUUACUAGAAAAGGACUAUUCAGUAAAGCUCAAAGGCAAAGAAUGCCUGAUUAGUGAUCCAUGUGGAUCAAAACUAAUGUCAGUGACCAUGGCUGACAGAAGUUUUGUUGUGGACUGGAACAAGGGUUCUGACAGUGCCUAUACAGCUGCUUUGGAUGAACCCAAGCUAUGGCAUAAGAGGCUAGGCCAUGUCAACUACAAGUCACUGCCUCAGCUAACCAAAGAAGACUUGGUUGAAAACUUCUCCAAAUCAGUUAAGAAAGAAGAAGUGUGUGAAGUGUGUCAGCUAGGAAAGUGAGCUAGACUGCCAUUUCCUUUGAACAAGGCUAGGAGAGCCUUUGAAAAAUUGCAACUAGUCCACACUGAUCUGUGUGGCCUUAUGAAGACACAAUCUUUGAAUGAAAAUAGGUAUUUUAUCAUUUUCAUUGAUGACUACUCAAGAUAUUACUGGAUUUACUUCCUAAAGGACAAAUCAGAAGUGGCCUUAGUAUUCUGGAAGUUCAAGGCUGUAGCAGAAACAGAAACAGGUUGCAAGCUAAAGACAUUGAGGUCAGAUAAUGGGACAGAGUAUACCUCAGCUAUGUUUCAGGGCUUUUGUGAUGAAGCAGGUAUCAAGCACCGACUCACCAACACCUACACACCUCAACAGGAUAGUGUUAGUAAAAGAAAGAAUAGAAGCUUGAUGGAUAGGGCAAGAUGUCUAUUGUUUGAGAGAGAUUUUCCCAAAAUCUUGUGGGCUGAGGUAGUUAACACUGCUGUAUAUCUUCAAAAUAAGUUACCAACCAAGGCAUUGGUUCAUAAAACUCUAUUCGAGGCCUGGUUUGGGUUCAAACCAUCAAUUGCUCACCUGAAGGUCUUUGGAUGCAUAUGCUAUGUACAUGUCCCAGCAGUAAAAAGAGAAAAGUUGGCCAAGAAGGCUCAACUUGGCAUGCUGGUGGGCUAUAGCAGUGUCAAGAAAGGCUAUAGGGUCUUGGCCCCAUCAUCCAAUGAAGUUUUCGUGAGCAGAGAUGUAGUAUUUGAUGAGAAGUGAGGUUGGAAAUGGGAUAAAAAUGAACCAGAGACUGCUGCUGAAGACCUAGCGACAAAUCAAGCUGAAGCUGAUCGAAAUUAUCCUGAAAUGGGCAUUGAUGAUGUGCCAGUUAGAGGAACCAAACCAUUGGCUAAAAUAUAUAAGACGACUGAUGUGGCUGCUAUUGAACCAAAUUGUUUUGAAGAGGAUGAAGCUCAACAAGGUUGGAAACAGGCAUGCUUGAUGAAAUGAGCAUGAUUCACAAGAAUAAAACCUGGGAGGUCGUUGCAAGACCAGCCAACAGGAAGGUUAUAGGAGUGAAGUGCGUGUUUCGAGCCAAGCAUAAAGCUGAUGGAACUUUGAACAAGCUGAAAGCAAGAUUGGUAGUGAAGGGAUUCAGUCAAAGGUAUGGCAUUGAUUACCUUGAAACUUUUGCACCUAUGGCCAAGUUUGACACAAUUAGACUGCUGGUUACCUUGGUUGCACUAAAUCAUUGGAAGAUUCAUCAACUCGAUGUAAAAUCUGCCCUCCUCAAUGGUUUUCUUGAUGAGGAGAUAUAUGCUGAACAAUCUGAUGGUUUCAUAAAAAAUUAUAAUAGUUUUUGCAUAAUAUAAAUUUUAGAAUUUUUUAUGAAUAUUUUGAUUUUAAAAAUUAUUUAAUUUUUUUUUGUAAUUUUUGUUGAGAGAUUAAUUUGUUAAUUUUUAAAAUUGACAGGAAUCAAAGAAGUAUAUAUAUCAAUCUGUUGUUCGAAUUAUUUGAGUUAUUUAAAUUAUUAAAUUCAACUCAAAUUUCGAAUUAUUAAUAUUUUAAUAAUAUAAAACAUUAAAAAUAUUAAAAUUAAAUAAAAAUUAAAUAAUAAUAUAGAAAUGAAAAUAUUUCUCACGCUCUAAGAAAGUUUGAAAGCUGAAAUUUAAAUAUGUCUCUUUCAAAAGUGAAAAAUUCUAUAUAUUCUAUCAUCAAAAUUUCCACUCAUUGUGUCCAUUAAUUUAUAAGGUGACUUGACUUGUACACAUUGGUUGAACGUUGUUUUUGUGCAAUAAAAACUUGGACAUUUGCAUGCAAUGCCCAGGACUUAAGAAUUAAAAUACCUAUAAUAUUUCAUACUAUCAUUUUUUCUAGUCCUAAAUUAAAGAUUUUAAAAAUUCCAAAUUAAAACGUAAUUUGAGAACUUAAUUAAAGCAUUGUAAAGUUUAUGUGUCAAUUUAAAAUUUGAUGUAUAAUUUUGCGAUGUGAGGAGAAUUAACCAUUUGAUAAAUCAUUACAUAUUUACAAGUUGGAUACUCAUUAACAAAUUGAUUUUAUAUUAUACGUUAAAAUUUAUAUUUUUGGUGCUAUAACAAAAUUUACUUAAAAAAUUAAAUUGUAAUUUUUUAUUUAAAAAAAUUAAAUGAUGUAGAAAUAAUUAUAUAUAACAUAAAAAUGAUAAAAUUUACCUGAGUUUAAAAUAAUUUAAAGUUAAAAUAUUUGUAACAUGGAUUUUUUUUUCUAAAAAAUCGAUACCUAAAAUAUAUAAUUUAAACUUAAAAUAUCAGUUGAAUUAUCAUCUUUGCUCAUCCUAUGCGUAGUAAUGAUUCCAAUAGGGUUUAAAGUGCUAUAAUUUAGUCUUUUUUAAUGACUUAGAUUUAGACGAUUCUUUAUAGAGAGUAAGGAGUGGGCAAGAAAACUACAACCUUGGCAUUGAUAAGUUAAUGAGAUCGAUAGAAUAUUAAAAUCUCAUUCUUCAAAAUUAAAAUUAACAAAAAAGAAAGACGUAAGGCAAAUUAGGGGUGAAUUUAACAACUUAUUUCUAAUACUAAAAAUAAAUAAUUUAUGCAUAAUCACUAACAGCUUUAAAUAAUACUUGAUGGAGUCUUUAUUUGGCAAAAUGACUUAGAAAUUGCAUGCAAUGCCAAUCACUCAUAAACAUUGUUCUAUGGAAACUACACACUUGUGUAUAAAUAAGUUGUAUGCCAAACACAAUCCUCCUUCACACCCACCCAACAUGAACACUCUUCAUUUCCUUAUUUCACUCUUUCUCUUCUCAUGCUUCCUUCCUCUUCUCUUGUCUUUUUCACCUCCUCAAAACUCAUCUCCCCAUGCAAUGCCUUGAUGACCAGAGAUCUCCUCUGCUGCGAUUGCAACAUCAUCUUUACUAUGCCCCUCAUUUUACUUUCUCUUCCAAAUUUGAGCUUUGGCAACCCAACACUGAUUGUUGCUCUUGGGAAGGAGUCACUUGUGAUGCUUAUGGUCAUGUCGUUGGCAUUGAUCUUAGUUACAAAAACCUCUCAGGUAGCUUUCACCCCAUAUUCAAUCUCCAUCGUCUUCAACGCCUUAAUCUGACUGGAAACAACUUUAAUACCACUCUGUUUUCCUAUGGGUUUGAUAAACUCCAAAAUCUAACUCAUCUCAACCUUUCAAGCUCAUGUUUCCAUGGCCAAAUUCCAGUGGAGUUCUCAUUCUUAAAAAGGUUAGUCUCUCUUGAUCUAUCCAAUCAAUAUUCUUGUUAUUUGAGAUACUACGAAGUUCUCUACCCUGGCUUCUACAACUAUUUUUCAUUGCCUUACGAACUUCAACAGCCUCUUAAAUUAGAGAAUCCAAACUUCAAGACAUUAAUCAAGAAUUUGAGGUUUCUCACAGAGCUUUAUUUGGAUAGUGUGGACAUUUCAACUCAAAGUGCUAAAUGGUGUGAAACCACAUCUCUUGUACUUCCAAACCUGCAUGUGUUGAGUCUGUCAAGCUGUGCUUUGAAAGGUCCAUUAUGUUCUUCACUCCCAAGACUCUCUUUUCAAAACUUAUCCUUGAUUGGAACCCAAUCUCUUAUUUACCUCCCAAUUUCUUGGAAAUUUCCUCUCGUUUGGUUUCUCUCAGUUUGAGGAACUGCAAUUUGAGUGGCCAUUUCCAACUGAAAAUCUCUUAUCGCCAAAAAUGCAAAGCAUUGACAUUUCAGAUAAUGACUUUCUUAAUGGUCAGUUGCCAGAAUUUCCAGCAAACAAUGCUUUACAGAGUUUGUCGCUUUUUUAUACAAAUUUCAGUGGAAAACUACCCCAAUCAAUUGGUAAUCUCAAGUUCUUGACUAAUUUAGAUCUUGAUGGUUGCAACUUUUUUGGACCCAUUCCAUCGUCAAUUGCAAAUCUUAGUCACCUGGUCAACCUAGAUCUAGGAGGGAACAAGCUUUCUGGAUCAAUACAUUCUUCUUUAUUUACUCUUCCAUCGUUGAAGACCUUGUAUCUUGGAGAAAAUCAAUUGGUUGGGAAAAUUGAUGAGUUCCCCAAUGCAUCUUCUUCUUUGAUUGAAGUACUGUAUAUAGGCAAUAAUUAUUUAAGAGGAGCAAUCCCAAAGUCAAUUCUUCAACUUCCAAGGCUUGAAUGGAUUUAUAUCGAAAGCAAUAGCUUUAGUUCCAUGAAGCUUGACAUGUUUGUCCAAGUCAAAAACUUAAGGACUCACUGGCUAAACAAAAUAAGCUUGUUAAUUGAAAGCGACAACAGAAGUCUUACUUUUCCCCAAUUAGAGAGCCUAAGCUUAUGGUCAUGCAACCUUACUGAAUUUCCAGAAUUCAUUAAAAGGCAAGACAAGUUGGUUGACUUAGAUCUUUCUAACAAUCAUAUCCAUGGUGUUGUGCCUAAUUGGUUGUGGAAGAGCAGUCUUUCAUCCCUACACCUUCCUUUCAAUGUGAUUGAUUUUCCAAAACAGCUUCCCUUAAAUGAUUCAAACUUCUCAUUUCCAAUGUUGACAGAAUUGGAUUUGAGAUCCUGUAACAUAAGUGCGUUUCCAGAGUUCUUAAAGAGUCUAGAAAAUAUAAUAUUUCUCGACCUUUCAAAUAAUAAAAUAAGUGGUGCAAUACCAAACUGGGCGUGGAAGAAAAGUUUGCGGUAUCUGUAUCUUGCUAAUAACCAUCUCUCAUCUUUGGACCAACUUUUACCCAAUCAGAGUUCAACUUCUUCACAAACCUCCUUGACUAGACCUAUUUGCAAUUUGAGUCAACUUAGAAAUUUCAAUGCAUCUCAUAACAAUUUGAGCGGCACGAUUCCAAAUUGCUUAGGCGAAAUGAAUGAUCUCCUAUUGUUGGAUCUGCAAGGAAAUAACUUCAGUGGAAUGUUACCAAAAUUUUCAAAAGCAACCCACUUAUAUAUUCUCAAAGUUAGUGAGAAUAGAUUGGAAGGGAAGUAGCCCAGAUCAUUAGCUGAAUGCACUCAGCUUGAAGUUUUAGACGUGGGAAACAACAAGAUGAAGGAGAAAUUGCCUUACUUGACGGUUCUAAUAUUGCGGGAAAACAGAUUUUAUGGUCAAAUUAAACAUAGAUUUGUUUUCCCAACUUUGGAUGUAUUGGACAUUGCUUCAAACCAGUUUUCUGGUGAACUAUCCAUUGAUUUCCUUCAACCCACUCGACUAAGGUCACUCAAAAUAGGUGGGAAUAAAUUAGAAGGGAAGUUGUCGAGAUCAUUAGCCAAUUGUAAAGCACUUGAGGUUCUGGACCUUGGAAAUAAUAUGGUUCAUGAUACAUUCCCAUUUUGGUUAGAGAAGCUGCCUUCCUUGAAGGUUGUCAUUUUGCGAGCAAGCAGAUUCUACGGCACGAUUACAAAAUUCAACACAGAACGUGGGUUUCCAAAGCUACGCAUAUUGGACAUUGCUUCCAACAAUUUUUCAGGCGACUUGUCCAUUGAAUUUUUGCAAAGCUUGAAGGCAAUGAUGCAGUUAACAAAUGAAGACAAAGCUAAGCUGGAUUACAUUGGGGAGAAUUAUUAUCAAGAUUCAGUGACAAUUUUCAACAAAGGGAUUGAGCUGUUUUACGAGAAAAUCUUAACCACUCUUACUUGUCUUGACCUUUCCAACAAUAGUUUCCAUGGGAGAAUACCAGAAGAAAUACAAAUGCUGAGGUCACUCAAAGUGCUAAACUUGUCCUAUAAUAGCUUCUCCGGUGAAAUCCCAGUAGCAGUUCAAAACCUAAAAGAUCUGGAGUCUUUGGAUCUGUCACAGAAUGAGCUAUCAGGGAAGAUUCCUCCACAGCUUGCAACAACUUUCCUAGAGGCACUGAACUUGUCUUACAACCCACUUGAAGGGAGCAUACCGCAAGGCAACCAAUUCAGUACAUUUUCAAAUGAUUCUUAUCGUGGGAAUCCAAAAUUAUACGGUCAACCAUUGUCCAAGAAAUGCAAUGAAGACGGUCUUCCAGUGCCACCGCCUCCAGGGGAAGAGGAACAGUCAUGGUUAUAUGCUAUGUCAACUUGGAAAAUUGUUUUGAUAGGUUAUGGUAGUGGUAUGGUCGCUGGGCUAUGUAUCGGAUAUACAGUGUUGAAUGAGUUGGGAAACAAAUGGGUUGACAAGUUCAAAAAACAUGGGAAAAGAAACAGAAGAAGAUCUAGGUGAUUGUGUCGGAAUUCAUGUAUUAAAGUCAACAGGUAAACAUUUCCUUUUGAAACUAUAGUCUUUAUAUUUUGAAACGAUUGAUGUUACAAACUAAUUUUGGAUCAUACAACACUGCAAUUCCUUAAUUUAAGUAGCAGGAGUGGUUACACAGUGAUUUUGUUUUUCCUAUGCAAUAUUCCUAUAUUUGCAUGCUUAUGAGAAGUUAUAUUCUUGGUGGUUUGACUUGUGUUUCUUAUUUUGUCACAGGGAAAUGACCUCUGUCCUUCUAAGCUUCAAGUCAUUGCAUGUAAUUGGUGGCAAUGAAUCAUUUCAAGUAGAAAACCACGCAAAGUAUGAUAAAUUUUGUCUUUUUUGUUUGGGUUUUUGUGCUAUAUAUUUUAUCAAACACAUGAUGGGCUUUAGGCUCGGGUGUAAUGGGUAGACCUAUUGGUCCGGGUUUUAGUGCAAUCUGACAUUUAUUUUGUACAAAUAAUUUAUUUAUCUUUUAAUAACAGUUUUAUUAUUUUAAAAAUAAGUAAAUAAAAUAUAAUGAAAAAUUAGAUAUCUUAAAAGAUGUCCGUUUCCGGAGUUGGCAAACUAUGUAAAACACUAUAAAUAUGAUAGCUUAUUCAAAUGAUUCUCCCAUUAUGAAACAUUUAAACGAAUUUACAAAAAUGAAAUAUUUAUUUACAAGAAAUAAAAAUUAGCCAUGUUAUGCAUAUGAAAAACAUAAUAAUUGCAAGUGAAAUGAGAAGCUUCAUAUUCUAAUUUUCAGGCCAACAGUCUGAGAAGAAAGCAUAGAUUGGUAGAAGAAAGCAUAUGGUGAAAAGGGUAAUCCCAAAACCGAUUUGCUGCACUCGAGGUUCUCUUACAUGUAGUUUGUAUCAUACGUGGAUGGUUGGAUCUUAUUAUAUUAGGAUUUAGUUUACCCAACUAUGAACUUCUACUUUAAACACAUUAAUCCUAUUCUAAAUUGGUGUCGAAACCAUUUUUAAAUUUGAAAAAUGGGAAUCGAUUUUGAAAAAUUGAGAUUGGAGUUGCCACCGAUCUUUUAUUGAGGUGUGAUCGGAUCACCUUGAAAAUAAUUUUAGGUCUGCGAAUUUUGAGAAAAUAGGUUCGAGAUUCGGUUACGCACGGGGAAGGGUUAGCACCCUUGUGACGCCCAAAAUUGGUACCAAAUCGAUUGUUUAAUGUACCAAAUCGAUUGUUUAAUGUCUUAGUGUCAAAAAUUUGAAACGAUUUUAAAAUACGAUCCUUUGAAAAGAAAAUUUGAAUGAAAUAAAUUGGAUGAUGAGGCUCUCUUCUUUCAAAGAAAUAAAUUGUCACACUUAGUAAGUUAGAGUGCAACAUUUUAAAUCCUAGAAAUUAAGUUCAUCUUUUGACUUUUAAAACCUAUGCAUUUUGAGAAGGAUAUCUGAUUAUUUGGGUCAAAUGAGAAAAUCAAAACCCAGUAAGUUAGGGUUCGAUUUCACAAAAUUUCUAAAUAUCGAAUAUUGCCUUUAUUUCCAUUUGUUAGAAGAAUCCUCGUCUUAAGAAAACAAUAUGUCAUAUCCAAUGCGUUAGGAUACCACGUAUCGAAUUCCCGAGAAUGAGCUUUUUAUUUAUGUUUUAGUUAAAAAGGAUAUUUGGUCUCUUAGAUCCCGAGGAAGAUUGGAAUCCUGUAAGUUAGGACACAAUCUUUUCAAGGAUCCCAAAUUCCGAGUGUUGCGUUAUUUUGAAAGCUUUUUGAAUAAAAAUGCUUUUGAUAUUUAAAUAAUAUGAAACAUAAUCUUUUGAACAAAUAAAAACAAUGAAAUAAUAACGUACACACGAAAUGGUGAUUUGUAAAUAACAUACAUUAAUGAAUAACAAAUAAUCAAUAGGUAAAUACAAAUAAACAUAGUAACAAUAAUCUCAAUCAUACAUUAUGCCAAUGCUAAUAAUAUCGACAUUCAAAGAUUAAAUGAAUUAUCAAUACAAAAAAAAAAAGUGUUAUAUGUGUAAAAUGUUAAAAUAAACAAUAUACAUAUAUGAGUUUAAAAUAAGUCAAAAAUGAAGAUAAAAAAAAUACUAUAAAAAUAAUAUCAAAAUGAAGUUUAAAAUGAAUAUUGUAUAUGAAGAAAAUCAAAGUACAUGAAAUAAUAUAUGCAUAUUAAUUUAAAUAAUAUUACAUAUGGAUUGGAAAAUUUCUUAUGAUAAUAUAAUAUAAUAGUAUGUAUAAAAGGUUGAUAUAAAUCAAGUAUAUAAUGAAAUAAAAUUUUAAAUGAAACCAGUUAUAUAUGUAAUAAGUAAAAAAUGUAAAUAUGAAAUUGACGAUACAUUAGGUAUAUACGUAUAAUAAAAAAAAAAACUUAAUACAAAUUUUAUAUAGAUAUAAUAGUAUUACAUAAAUAUGUUAUUGAUUUUUAAAGCAUAAAAGUAUAUAUGAAUAAACAUUUUAAGAAAAAAGUAUUAUAAAAAUAAACUCAUUAAUUAAAAUGUAUAAUAAUAUAGUUAACAUAAAAUAUAUACUAAUGCAUUAGAAUAGACAGUAUGUAAUAAAAUAAAAUAGUGUAUAUAUAUAUAUAUGAAAAUAAGUAAAUAUAUAAACUAAUAUGAUAAUAAUACCAAUAAUAACAACAAUAAAGAUAAUAAACUAAACAAUUUUAGCAAUAAUAACAAAACAGAGGACAAAAUUGGCAUUAAAGCAGUAAUUCAGGGGAGAAAUCUAAAAUAAAUAAAAAGAAAGGUCCAAAUUACAAAGAGCAAAUGACAUGGGGGACUGAAAGGGGAAUAUUCCCCACCCUCCAAAACGCAGCGUUGCAUAUGGACCUAGAUGAAAUCUGCAACAAAUUAUGCUACCCAAAAUUAAAGAAACUUAAAGGAUCGAGUUGGAACACAACGCGAAGUAAGAAGGACCGAGCACGCAAUUAUCCCUCUCCAUACCAAAACGCGCAGAUCUAGCCACGGUUGGAUCGGGUCAUCGGGUAUGGUCGUUAAACGGCGUCGUAUUGUUUGCUGUACAAAUUAAAAUCGAAGAAAAUCAAAUCGAAAUUCCACAAAACUAGAGGGACUCGUCGUGAAAAUAGACCAAUGAACAGAAGCACGCGGAUCCUGCCCCGAGUCGGGUCACCACGCGAUUUUGAACUUCCCAACGGCAUCGUUUUUAAAGCUACAUGGCCUGCUUAAAACGCUGUCGUUUCUUUCACCGUACAAAGGCUAAAAUAAACCUAAAACUAAUCAGCCAUCAGUCAUUUACAAAAAAAAAAAAACCUAAAGAAAAUCUAAAACCUAAGGAUUUCUCCCUGCGCCGCUCAACCUUUCAGAUCCCAUUUGCUCUGAUUACGACGAGAGAAGCAGGGAUUCGACGGUCACGUUAUGCAGGUGGACUCUCAUCCUUCCUCGAUUUCUUUUUUUUUUUAAACAAUGAAUAAAAGAAAAAAAGAAAGCAAAGAAUCGAAAAAGAAAAAAAGAUCGAGAGCCAAAAAAGAAAAUAAUACUCGAAAUCACCUUUAGAAACUGUUUUUCUAUUGCUUUUCAAAAUUUUCUCUCUGAUACACUAUUUGUGUGUGUAAUCCCCUUAUACAGAUUUCAAUCGGCCCUCUUUAUAGCCGAACCGAGAAAAAGAAAGAAAAAAAUCAAAUUUUCUCUAUUUUUUUACAUUUUUCUUCUUAUUUACUACCGGUAUUUACUGUCAAAUUGUUGCCUCUUUCUUUGCUGUUGCUAUCUAUUUUUCUUCUUGUUUGUUUGUCCUUCUUGCAGGUACGGCGUACGGAGGGUGGACGUGGCGUGCGUAGAGAGGGAGAGCAGAGAGGCGCUACUGCUACGGCUUGAUGGCUUGCUGGAGCGGCGGCUGAUAUCUCAGAAACCCUAGGGUUUCUGUUUGUGAUUUUUCUUUUGGGCUUAGGUGAUUUGGGCUGGGGUUAGGUGUUGGGCUAAUUGGGUUGGGGAUAUUGGGCUAGGCUAAUAUUUGGGUAGUGGGCCACACAGGCUAUUGUAAAUGGACUGCUAUUGGACUGUUAUUAAUUUUUGGAUUUGGUUUAUAUAUUUGUGCUUUUGGGCCCGGGCAAAUUGGCCUAUUACAAUUGGUAUUGGGAUUAGUCUAUUUAUUCUUUCAAUGAUAGUUUUAUUACUUUAAAAAAACACCCUACAAUUAAACUUUGUAUGUAAUAUGAUAAUAAUAAUUAAAAUAUAAUGAAAGAAAUUAUGUCUUACAGUCUAGUGAAGGCUAACAAUGUGUCACAUUAUCAUUACAAUGUACACAUACUUUGUAGGAAAUUUAUCCAAUGAAACAGAGGAUUAAACUAGUUUCCCAGAUGCAGGGAAGAAUUGGUAUGCUACAAUACUAAGAAAAAUACUAAUAACAAAAAAAUGGUAAUGGAAUCACCCUUGUUAUUAGGCUUAUGAAUUUCAUUGAUGGAUUCUCUUAACAUAUGGGCAAAUCUGGCGGCGGCGGUGCUAACCUCCUUUUGUAUUUUUAUUGGAUCCAGGAGGUUGGAGAGAAGGAGUAUGUGCUCCUCAUAGAGCUGCGGUGCCAUGGCUGUGCGGAAUGGUGCUGAGGAAUGUACUGCUGCAGGCGGUUAUUUGCCAGUGUCCUUGUGCAGGUAGCUGGCCAUUUGUGGAGACCACAAAAAAUAAAAAUUAGCCGUGUUUUGCACGGAUAAAAAAAAAUCAUAUUUUAGAUUUAAAUAAUUAUAUAUUCUUUAAUCUCAUUGGGUUUCAAUUGGUUUGGUAAAUUUUGAAAUAAAAAAAUAAAAAAAAAACCUUUUGGAAUUGGAAUUGGUUUGGUAAACAUUGUUUUCAUGCAGAAAGAUUUAGACAUUUGCAUGCAAUGUCAAAGGCUAAGACUAAGUCUAUGAAUAUAUUGAAAUUAAUAUGAUUAAUAAGACCAAUAAAAUCUCAUAAUUCAGAACUAUGGGGCAUUCUGGAUGGUCUUGGACCAGGUUUGACCAACGUAAAGGCUCUUCAUUCCCUUGUUUCACUUUUUCUUCCUUUCUUCUUUCUCUUCUCAUCCUCUCUUUCUCAAUCUCAUCUCCCAAGCCAACGCUUUGAUGACCAGAUAUCUCCUCUCUUGCAAUUGCAACAUCAUCUUUACUAUAAAUAUAGUAGCUUAUCCAAAUGAUUCACGAAACAUUUAAACGAAUUUAUAGAAAUUAAUACUUAUUUAAAAUAUUUACAAGAAAUAAAAAUUAGCACAUGAAGAAUAAAGAAAGGGAAAAAAAAUCCAUAUUUUAGAUUUAAUAGACUAUAUGUCCUAUUAUUGCGUUUUAAUUGGUAUGAUAAACUAUUUUCGACCAAAGGUCCAUCAAUUGAGCUGAAUUUUAUAUAUGCUGGCCUUCUCAUUGGUAAAUUUUGAAAUAUAAAAAAUAAAAAAACCUUUGGGAAUUGGAAGUAAUUCCAAUUUUGCAUGCAAAACCUUUGGGUAAAUUUUGCAUGCGGAGCCUGUUAUAGACCAUGGAGCACUGAUUGUGGGCAGUACUGGUCGAAGCAUGCAAAACUAUUGACAUUAUCCUAAACUUAUGUAAAACCAAAACUUAGAACUGAAAUUCAAUACAAAAUUUCAGUUUUCAAAAAUCAGCAGCCUAUGGCCCAGUGUAGAGGUGAUCAUGGGCCGGGCCAAGUUUGGGUCGGGAGCAGACAAAAUUUUAGGCUCAUUUUCUAGGCCCGUGUCUAGCCCAGCCCAAAAUAUGUGCCUAAAAAAUUUGUCUAAGCCUGGCCAAAAAGAAAAUUGCUAAGCCCGAGCUUAGCCCGGCUCGGCCCAUAUUAAAUUUUACAGAAACCAAUACGGUUUUGACUCGAACACCAAUGUUGAGGAAACAUGGUCAUGAUGGUGUUGGCGAGUUUAUUGAGUUUUAUGGUUAGGUCUAUGGUCAUAAAUCUUGACAAUGGAAUGCUUUACAAUCAAUAAUAUUGGUUUUAAAGUGCAUAUAGGAGAAGGUGUGACUGAUUAGGUAGAUGGCAUGUUUUUGGUGCUGAUUAGGUAGGCAACCACUUCAACCAUUAUUCCAAGUGAAGUUAGAACAAAAACAUCUGUUCAUUCUACGUGUAAUCAUGGCUCUAAUGAGGUUUAAAGGACAUUAUUAUUGCUAUAAUUUUAUUUUUUAAUGAUUUAAAUUUAAGAAAAUUAAAAUUAGAAAAUCAUUUAUAUAGAAUAAAGAGCCGACAAGAAGAUUGAAACCUGGCAUUAAUAAGAAGAAUAAGAGCUCAACAAAGUGGAUCAACAUAGUUUUCAUGCAUUAAUGAUAUGUCAACGACUAAGACUAAAGCCAAUAAUAUCUCAUAUUAUCAUUUUUUUUUAUAAGUUCAAAGUAUUAAAAUUUUCUUGUAUUAACGAUAAUGUUUAUAUAUGUUCAAUAUUCAUUAAGGAACCAAUUUUAUAUCAUUUUUGGGUCUUUUAUCAAAUUUUACUUAAAAAAAAUCAAUAGUAAACUAUUUUAUUUAAAAAAUUACCAUUAUUUCUUUUUUCUUUUAUGACCUUACUUAAUCAAAUUGGUACAUCAUCAUCAUCAUUAUUAUUAUUGGCAUGCAGUUAUAAAGACUUAGAAUUUUGCAUGCAUAUCAAAGACUUAGAAAUUUCCACUACUUGAUAUUUUAAUGACUUGAAUUAAACAAAGUGGUUGAACAUUACUCUCAUGCAGUUAGGGGCGAGUGUUUGAUCGAAUCGAAUGAAAAAAUUUCUAGUUAACCGAGUUGACAAAUUAUAUUUUAUCAUCGUAAUUUGAUUUGAAAUUUUCUGGAAUUGAGUCGAAUCAGAUGGAAUUCAUUCGAGUUAAAUUUUAAAAAAUAAUUUUGGGUCCUUAUAACUACUGUCACUCACCGUAAUAAAAUUUAUCCACCAUAAUCAAUUUUUUUAUUAACUUACAUCACCUCAUAAUUUAUAUUUUAAUCUUUUUUAUAUGGGUUAGCUUCUUUGCUUGUUUAGUUGUUUCAAUUAUCUUCAGAUUCUUGUCACUAUGUAUUUUGGAAUUAAGAAAUAUAUUAAAUGUAAAAAUGUGAAUUUUUUAAAUAAAAUUUAUAAAAUUUUAACAUAAAGAUCUUAUGGCUUCAUUAAUAAUUCAAUUUUAUGACUAAACAAAAGUAGAAUUAGGAGUUUUUUUAUUUUUUUAUUUGAGAUUUAUGGACAUUUUCUAUGUGAAAAGUUGCUACUAAAAUGUUUAAGAAAUAGGUUUUCUAGUUUCCUUCUGUUUUUUUAUUUGUUUGAGUUUGAUAUUUAAUCACUAGAAUUAAAAAUCCAAUUCUCUACUAAUAAAUCAAACAAUUGUUUGACUCUAUAAAAAAUAUUAUGGUGUAAAAUUGUUUGAUUUAAAUUAAAAAAUUAAAUAUGUCAAAUUAAAAUCUUGUUAUAGUAUAAUUAAUAUUUGAAAUCAUAAAUAUUUGAAAACUGUUUUAAAGUGAAAUAAAAAAAAAUUAUUAUAGUUUUUGCAUAAUAUAAAUUUUAGAAUUUUUAUGAAUAUUUUAACUUUAAAAAUUAUUUUAAUUUUUUUUUGUAAUUUUUGUUGAGUGAGAUUAAUUUGUUAAUUUUUAAAAUUGACAGGAAUCAAAAGAGUAUAUAUAUCAAUUUGUGUUUGAAUUAUUUGAGUUAUUUAAAUUAUAAAAUUCAACUCGAAUCUCGAAUUAUAAAUAUUUUUAAUAAUAUAAAACAUAAAAAAUAUUAAAAUUAAAUAAUAAUUAAAUAAUAAUAUAUUUCUCAGCCUCUAAGAAAGUUUGAAAGCUGAAAUUUAAAUAUGUUUCUUUUCAAAAGUGAAAAAUUGUAUAUAUUCUAUCAUCAAAAUUUUCACUCAUUGUGUCCGUCAAUUUAUAAGGUGGCUUGACUUGUACACAUUGAUUGAACGUUGUUUUUGUGCAAUAAAAACUUGGACAUUUGCAUGCAAUGCCAAAGACUUAAGACUUAAAAGGUCUAUAAUAUUUCAUACUACCAUUUUUUCUGGUCGUAAAUUAAAGAUUUUAAAAAAUUCAAAUUAAAACCAUUAUGAUUUAAAUUUAUUAUAGUUUUUACAUAAUAUAAAUUUUAGAAAUUUUAUGAAUAUUUUGAUUUUAAAAAUUAUUUAAUUAUUUUUUUGAAAACUUUUAUUGGCAGAGAUCAAUUUGUUAAUUUUUAAAAUUGACAGGGACCAAAGGAGCAGGUACACCAAUUUAUUGUUAGAAGUAUUCCACCACUUUAGUUAAGUCUUUUUGGUCAACCUUUUCCGGCAUGGGAUAAUAAUAAUAAUACUAAUAAUAAAUAAUUUAUAUGCCAAACAUGAAAACUACACAUUUGUGUAUCAAUAUGUUGUAUGCCAAGCACAAUCCUUCGUCACACCCAACAAACAUGAACACUCUUCAUUUCCUUAUUUCACUCUUCCUCUUCUCAUGCUUCCUUUCUCUUGUCUUGUCUUUUUCACCUCCUCAAACUCAUCUCCCUAAGCAAUGCCUUGAUGACCAGAGAGCUCCUCUCCUGCAAUUGCAGCAUCAUCUUUACUAUGCCCCUAAUUCUACUUUCUCUUCCAAUUUUGACCUCUGGGAUGUCAACACUGAUUGUUGUUCUUGGGAAGGAAUCACUUGUGAUGCUUAUGGUCAUGUCGUUGGCAUUGAUCUUAGUUACAAAAACCUUUCAGGCAGCUUUCACUCCAUAUUCGAUCUCCAUCAUCUUCAACACCUGAAUCUUGCUGGAAACAACUUUAAUACCACUCUGUUUUCGUAUGGGUUUGAUGAACUCCAAAAUCUAACUCAUCUCAACCUUUCAAGCUCAUGUUUCCAUGGCCAAAUUCCAGUGGAGAUCUCAUUCUUAAAAAGGUUAGUCUCUCUUGAUCUAUCCAAUCAAGGUUCUUGUUAUUUGAGAAAUGGUUACGAUUAUGAUUCAGCUACUUUAAAAUUGGAGAAACCAAACUUCAAGACAUUUAUCAAGAAUUUGAAGUUUCUCACGGAGCUUUAUUUGGAUGGUGUCGACAUUUCAACUCAAAGUACUAAAUGGUGUGAAACCACAUCUCUUGUACUUCCAAACAUGCAUGUGUUGAGUCUGUCAAGCUGUAGUUUGAAAGGUCCAUUAUGUUCUUCACUCUCAAGACUCUCCUUUCUUUCCAAACUUAUCCUUGAUGAAAACCCAACCUCUUAUUUACCUCCCAAUUUCUUGGUAAAUUCCUCUUGUUUGGUUUCUCUCAGUUUGAGGUAUUGCAAUUUGAAUGGGCAUUUUCCAACCGGAAUUCUCUUAUUGCCAAAAAUUCAAAGCAUUGACAUUUCAUUGAACCGCCAACUUAUGGGUCAGUUGCCAGAAUUUCCAGCAAACAAUGCAUUACUGAGUCUGUCACUUUAUGACACAAAUUUCAGUGGAAAACUACCUGAAUCGAUUGGUAAUCUUAAGUUCCUGACAAAUUUAGAUCUUUCUGGUUGCAAUUUUUUUGGACCCAUUCCAUCGUCAAUUGCAAAUCUUAGUCACCUGGUGAACCUAGAUCUAGGAGGGAACAAGCUUUCUGGAUCAAUACAUUCUUCUUUAUUUACUCUUCCAUCGUUGAAGAUCCUGUUUCUUGGAGACAAUCAAUUGGUUGGGAAAAUUGAUGAGUUCCCCAAUGCAUCUUCUUCUUUGAUUGAAGUACUGUAUAUAGGCAAUAAUUAUUUAAGAGGAGCAAUCCCAAAGUCAAUUCUUCAACUUCCAAGGCUUGAAUGGCUUUAUAUCGAAAGCAAUAGCUUUAGUUCCAUGAAGCUUGACAUGUCUGUCCAAGUCAACAACUUAAGGACUCUCUGGCUAAACUAUAUCAGCUUGUUAAUUGAAAGCGACAACAGAAGUCUUACUUUUCCCCAAUUAGAAAGCCUAAGCUUAAGGUCAUGCAACCUUACUGAAUUUCCAGAAUUCAUUAAAAGGCAAGACAAGUUGGUUUACUUAGAUCUUUCUAACAACCAUAUCCAUGGUUUUGUGCCCAAUUGGUUGUGGAAGAGCAGUCUUUCAUCCUUACACCUUAGACCUUUAUUUCAAUAUGAUUGAUUUUCCAAAACAAAUUCCUUUAAGUGAUGCAAACUUCUCUUUCCCAAUGUUGAGGCAAUUGAUUCUGGGAUAUUGUAACGUAAGUGCAUUUCCGGAGUUCUUAAAGAGUCAAGAAAAUUUAGAAUAUCUCAUACUUCCAAAUAACAAAAUAAGUGGUGCAAUACCAAACUGGGUGUGGAAGAAAAGUUUGCAUCAAUUGUCUCUUGCUAAUAACCAUCUCUUAUCUUUGGGCGAACUUUUACCCAAUCAGAGUUCAACUUUUUCACGAGGCUUUUUCUAUUUCGACGUAUCUUAUAACAAUUUGAGUGGCCCAAUUCCAAAUUGGUUAUGCAAUAUGAGUCAACUUCUCAGUUUCGAUGUAUUUUAUAACAAUUUGAGUGGCCCAAUUCCAAAUUGCUUGGGCGAUAUGAGUGCUCUGAGUUGGUUAGGUUUGCAAGGAAAUAACUUCAGUGGAAUGUUACCAAAAUUUUCAAAAGCAACCCAACUGCAAUUUCUGAAAGUUAGUGAGAAUAGAUUGGAAGGUAAGUUGCCCAGAUCAUUAGCUGAAUGCACUCAGCUUGAAGUUUUGGACGUGGCAAAAAACAUGAUGAAUGAUACAUUCCCUUUUUGGUUGGGGAAAUUGCCUGCGCUAAAGGUUCUCAUUUUGCGGGAAAACAGAUUUUACGGUCAAAUUAAACAUUUCAAACAUAAAUCUGUUUUCCCAACUUUGGAUGUAUUGGACAUUG
rnacentral:lncRNA from 1 species